AGUCCGGCUACUAUACUCUUACGAGUACGAUCGCCUUCAUACUCAUAAGUUGUUUUCGAUGAUAGAGCUUCCGAAUCGACGAUCCAUACUGUUAAACAUUAUCUAGAGCAUUUAAAACUUCAAAAAAUCAAAUUUUAUAAUUUUUCGGUAUCAUUUACCUUACGAUCAAAAGCUCACAAAAUUGACAAUUUUUAACGGCCGGUAUGAGAUAUUUGCUAGUUUAACGGUGAAAAAAAAUCGGAAUAGGUUGAAUUUUUGAUAGAAAAUUCUAUUCACUACCUAAAUAAAGAUCAAUAACUCCGAUCUUAAAUUGAAGGAUCCAAUCAUCCAUUUUUAGGAUGUCGUUCGAUUUUAACCGUUCAUUUUAUUCCCGCUUGAUGAACUUUAUAANAAAAAAAUAUUAGAAAAAAUAAAAUAAAAUUAUCAUUUUCUAUAAUUGUAAAAAAUUGCAUAUGCUCAUCAUUUUAUUUUUUAAAUAAUUUUAAAAAAAAUAAAAAAAUUCAGCUAAAAAUAGAAAUAAAUAUAUGGACAAAAAAUUGUAAGGUUUGAAGUAGGAUUCUCUCUUCUCUUUAAUUUCUCUAUUAACGGAGAGAAAGAGAGAGGUUUGAAGUAGGAUUCUCUCUUCUCUUUUAUUUCUCUGUUAACGGAGAGAGAGAGAGAGAGAGAGAGAGAGAGGUUUGAAGUGGGAUUCUCUCUCCUCUUUUAUUUCUCUAUUAACGGUGUUACUAGCUGCAUCCCGCUUCAUCCCACUCAAUCCCCCAAACCUGUGCACGGAUCUCAAAAAGGAUCCAACGGUUUAAAACACUAUAGUAUAGGAGCUUCUAUACUAUUGAUAGUAUAGAAGCACAACUCUAUAUAUAUAUAUAUAUAUAUAUUAUAUAUAUACACACACACAAAAAGCACAGUUUCUAAUUAAAUUAUCCUAAAGUGGAGCAUUCAAUUCACAUCUGCAUAGGCCAUAUAUGAAAAAUCAGAUGUUGCAGCGUUGGGUUUGGUGCUAUCAAAUUCACCUAUUAGCCUAUUUGGUUUAUUUUGGGUUUGGUUCAAUAACUCAUGAAGUGGGCUAGUUACUAUUUGUUUUUGGGCUUUAGUUGAAGUACGCUAGUUGCUAUAAUGCUAUUUGGUUUUGGGCUUUAGCUGACCCGACUGACAAAUUGGGCUAUAAUAUGAUUGUUCUCAUUGUGUAAGAGAGAGUUCCAAAUUGCUGUCUCGGGUUCUCUUUCUUGGUGUAGAGGAGAGAUGGAGAGAGGGUUGGAGAAGCUCUCUUAUUCUUCUUGCUUGAUUCAAGAACUUCAAGGUUGAUUGGAGGCAUUCCGAAGUGGGGUUCGUGAAAUCAGAAGGGGCCUCAAAGGAAGUGCAGCAAGAAGGCUUUUUCCAAUUGGAAGGUUAUACGCCCAUUCUAAUAGAAUGGUAAUUUCUAGCCAACUCUUAUAAUCUCUUCAUUUGAUAAUGGAUUUGACAUCUUUGUGCCCGUGGAUGUAGCUCCAUUUCAGUGAACCCAUAAAUCUCCUUAAGUUGUGGUUGUAGUUGGAUUUUCUCUUUCUAUGUCAUUUUACUCUAAUUUUGCACAUCUUGGGGUGAUUUAGAUACAAAACAUUAGUUAAUUAGUGUGGUUAGUAUCUUGAUAGUGCAGGUUCUGUCGUUGCCGUGCUACAUGCAGGAACAUUCUACGCAUAAGUGCAAAAUCUUACAGCGGUAUAUGCAAAUAUAGCUAAAAGUUAAACAAGAGCCAAGGGAUAUCAAUUAAAAAAUACCUGAAGAUUAAUGACAUUGUCCCGCAUUGUUCCGUACCUAAGAAUUGAUGAUUCAAGCAUCAAAAUUAAAUAAUAACACAAAAAUAUAGCAUAAUUGCACCCCCAAAAAUAAACAUACACCAUGCAGGAAGCAAAAGUUCAAACAAUGAUUGAACACGGAUAAAUAGGCCAACCUCACAGCUAAAGAACCAGAACAGCGAGUGGAACACAUUCCUCCAAUUGUAGCCCCAGGUCCUGCAUAGCAGAAAUGUGAGAUUCUGGUUGAUUAAAAAAAAGAAAGCAUACAGUGGAUCGAAUCAAAAUCCCCAGUGAUUCCGUAUCUUAUUAAAGUAUUUGAGAAAAUUGAAGCUCAUCAAUGAGUGUUCCUUAACAAAGUAAUUUAAAAAUUAAAAACAAGAUAGAUAAACACUGGCCUGGAUCGAGUGGGAAGAAAAGAUCAUAAGGUUUCAAAUAUUCAUUAAGUUCAAUCCAUCCAAUCCCUGGUUCAACAACUACAUCCAUGUCCUCAAUAUGAAGUGCUUUAAUUUGCUGUCAUUGACAAGAUAAACAAUCAUCAUAAAAUGGAGAAAUGAAGCUAACGAAGCUAAUGUUGAAAGAGAAUACAGGAGAAAUCAUUCUCCUGUCCGUAGAGACAUGGUAAUAAGUGUACAUACAAGAAAAGAAAGGAAAUAUCAUAAGCAAUUAAAAACUAAAAAUUGAAGUAUUGUUCAUGCAAACAUUCUGAGCAUACUAUCUAAAGACAAGCUAGGGUCCAUGUAUAUGCUGAAACACUAAAUUUCACUGCAAAAGUAUUUUGUCAUUCUUCCAUGAAUUUAGUAAUCUGUUAAGAACUGUUUUCCACCCUUAGUAGUGCUUACGAAAUGCAUGAAUUUUAGUAAUCUGUUAAGAACUGUUUUCCACCCUUAGUAGUGCUUACGGAAUGCAUGAAUUUUAGUAAUCUGUUAAGAACUGUUUUCCACCCUUAGUAGUGCUUACAAAUGAACUCCAAUGUCACUUCCAAAGAGAUGGAUUAUGAUACAAAUAACCCAAGGACAUCAAUGGAAUCAGCAUAUAAUGAAAAAAAAAUAGCACAUGUACUGGUAAAAAGUGUGGACCUUUCCUACAAUAGAAAACCCCAAGUUAGAAUGUCCAUAUGCUUCAAAUAAAAAGCAACUUACAAACUGACUUUGUUAUAGGCCUUUCAACAGAAUCUUUACUCAAUUGUUUUACAUAACUGAGCAUGAAGAAAAUUGUUUGGAAACAGGAAUCUCUCUCCUGUCUUAAUACUUAGAUUUCACGACAUAACUCACCGGCAGACUAACAACUUUAUAAUUGAUAAAUACAUAACCUUACUAACUUAAAAACCCAAUGCAAAUUCACAGAAAAUCAGCAUAAAACAGUGGCUUUAGUGGUUCGAGACCAGGUGAUGCUUCUUCCAAGUGUUGACAAGACAAGGUUACGGUAUAAAUAUCUAAAUAUAUUUUUCCUGCAGUUCUCAUUUUUCCAGAACAUGGUAUCCUUACUAAAAGAAUGAUGCUUACUUUCAUCAAAAACAUGUCAAUACAUGCACCUCCAUAAGGAGCUAAAGUGUGGCCCUCGAGUGAUGUAGCUCCGCCAUAUGGUACAAUAGGGACCUGCUACCACAAAGAAUCAUUAAUACACUAUUUAAAAGAUAUGAUACAAUAAUUCAUGGCUGAGAUCAGUGAACACAAGUCAAUAGAGCUAUUUAAAAUUCAUUUGAAGAAUGGUAUUAAGUGAUACCCUAACAUAAUAUAUGAAUGAUCAUAUAGAAGUGAAGCUUUAUACACAAUCUUUGGGAUUUUUUUUUUCCUUCCUUUUGUCUUUCUCUUUUGAAAAUAGAGAACGUGAUACCUUGUACUUGUUACAAACUGUCACGAUCUUCUGCACCUCAUCCUGUGUUCUGCAUCGAGUUUGAAGGAGGUUUCAUUUGUUUGCAAAAGAAAAAUGACCAUCUGAUCAAGCUUCUCUUUGGAACAUCUUUUUUAUAGGACCCCAUAUACUGAUUCUUUUUAGUUUUAAACAGUAAAAAUGAACAGUAUACUACCAUAUGAUGUUCAAGAAGGAGAUUACAUCUGCACAGAUUCCUAAAAGUGACAGCAAAAAAUAGUCCUUAGAGCCGAACUUCAAAUUCUAUGAUCUAACAUAUUAGUUUGUAUCUAAUAGGUCUCAUCAAAUAUGCUAUUUGCUUCAUGCAAGUGGUUUUACACACAAACUGUAGUGCAAAAAGAAAAUAACAAGUAGAUACAAUCAUACAAGGGUGUAGCAAGAGAAUAAGCACGGCAAAGGAAGGGUUUUCAAAAUGCAAUUGACAUUUCAUCUGUUAAUAACUCCUGGAUAACUAUUGAUUCUCUGGAAUUUUGCAUUUGUACAAUCCUAAUUUAUAAUCAAUCAAGAAAACAUAUAACCAGUUGAUUAUGUAAUAUAGAGACAAAUACAAUACGGAAACAUCACUUGCAUAGAUACCACAGUAAUGUCACUUACCUAGAUACCAUAGAUCUAAAUUUUCCAUCAAAAACCUGGUUUCUUACAUAUGUGACCCUAUAAUUCAAACAUGCCACUCUUGGGAAAAACCCUUCUAAAAUAGAAAACCAACUUUCCAAGUGCAUGGAUGACUCAAAUUACACUUUUGAGAAGCUUAUAUGAAUAUUUGGAUCACACUUUGAGGGGCUUAAACAUUCGGAUUGUAAUAGACAAUUUUGUAGCAAGAUUUUUUUUGGAUGAAUUUAUGGCUACUUUUAGAAAACAAUAACAUAGAGGAGCUCUUGCCAGAAAGUACAGCAAUCAUGCCAAUGUGUAUACACAUAAUCUUCAAAAACCCUUAAAAAAAAAGAAAAAGCACACAGACAACAGAAUGAUCAACAGGAUUGUACCUUGGAUAGGCAAUCACGUCCGGAAUAUUCACUGCUGUGUGGAAGCUGCUCUGUGGUUUUCCGUGAAAGCAUCUCUCCUCAUAAUCUAAAGUCAAGUUAUCCUGCCAAAUAGCCAUACCACAGCGCAGUUGCAAUCUUACAAUUUUGGACAAAUAUUACCUCAAAAACAGAGAAUAAUUUAAAAUCGGAAAAAUAAGCCUAGGAUUACUUGUAAAAAAGAUCUAAGCUCAUCGAUGAACUCUUUGGGAACCUCCUUAUGAGAGCCUUUAACUACUAGCUCAGUGCUAUCUUUCCCUCCAACACUACCAAAGAGAAAUUAAAACAAUAAUUUGUGAAUUAUAAAAACAUUAAAAAAAAAAAUUUCACAUAUGAGCAUGUAAAGUAAAAUUGCAGAUUAUGAGGUAGGCAUAUUCAUAAAAUAAGAAGUAAAAAAAGGGGGAUAAAAUGAUUAUAACAGGACAACAUCUUCAGAUGACAUCUUCAUUAAUCAAACAAGACAUGAUAUAUGUUAAAACUAUCCUUUGGUCUUUUCCUCUCAAAUUGAUCUUUAACUGAUAUAGUAUCAGAACCACCCGGUCCAAGACUCCUGAAUUUCAAGGAGUCCUGGAUUCAAUUACCACAUCUAACAUUGAGGCCAUAGAUCUUAUGUUAUUGAAAAUAAGGAGUUUAAUUUUUGCUCUUUAAAAGAUCUUGGCAUCCAUAUUUUGGUAGGACAACAUAUUUUGCCUACAAGAUAAGAGUUAUCUCUCUUAUUUCUACAAAAAAUAAUUUGAAAGUCGAAUAUAUUAUUCCAUUCUAGAUAUUUAAUCGUGCGUCUAUCUACUCAAGCUUCUUGACUCUUUGAGUAAAUUAAAAAGAUAUGUUGUCUAACAAGAUGUGCGUGCAAUCAACCAGGGACUUUAAUGGCAUUAAGUUCGUAUCUUUCGUCUUUUUCGCUAAUAUUUUUUUGUCGGUGCACGUAAUCUGGUUAACCUAAUUUUCAUAAUGCUCGGUGUUAUAUAAGUUUUCUAAAUUGUUUUCGAUUAAAUCGAUCUUUUCUUGGAGACAAGAGACGUAGGAUCAAGAAAAGACUCUCUCGAUUAACAACUCGUACAUGAGAGAGAGAGAGAGAGAGAGAGAGAGAGAGAGAAAACCGAGGAUCGAGGCCGUGGUCGCAGAGGGAAGGUGCGGGGCGGAGGUCGAGGUCGAGGGCGAGGGCGAUGGCCGCGGCUCCCGCUGCCGCUGCGGCGGCGAGGGGGAGGCGCCACCGGAGGCGGCGGCGGAGGACGUCCCCGGCGCCGGAUUCUUGGGAGAGGAGAUGGAUGGAGCGGGUCGAGGAGGAGGAGAGGGAUCGGCGGAGGAGGGAGCGGGAGAGGAAGCUAGAGAGAAACCCCAUGACGGCGGCGGCGGCGGCGGCGGCGGCGACGACGACGACGCGUGUGUGAGGACGUUGUUGCUGCUGCUAUUUAUAGUGAGGAGUGGAGAGGAGAGUGGGGACGGAGCGAACGCGCCGCGGGAAGAAGCUAGCGAUAGGCCGGGAUGUGACCGGGUCGGGUCGGAUUCGGAGGCAGAUUUUUAGAGAUCCGUAAAAUCGAAUCCCCAUCAAAAAUUUGAAAUUCGAAUUCUGAUACGAGACAAUUAUGUUUCUUAUUAUAUUACAAAAUAUAUCAUCUUAAAUUUUAAAAUUAAUAAUAUAAAUUCAGAUACGUCUGUAAUAUUAAAGACUCAUAUUUUUAUUAUAUAAGCUAGAAUUUAUAUUUGAAUUCAAAUUCGUUGAUUUUUUUAUUUUUUAUAUUUAUAUUCUUGCUAUAUUUGUAUAGUAUUAAAUAAAUUCAUUUCAUUUUGAUUCAAAAUUUGAAUAAGAUCUGAUGCAAGAGAAAGCGUGCUUUACUUUCUUUUCUUUUUUUCCUUUAUUUAUUUUUAUUUUUUUUUAUUCUUUUAGUGGAGUAUCAGUGGAAGGUUGGUGCCUUGGAUGAUUGCAUUCUGUGAGGAUCUUACGGGAGCCAAAUAUACUUCUCUUUUUAUUUUUCCUUUCGCUCUCACCGGAUCCCUAGACUCCAGUUGUGUUCAUUUUUUGUUUUUAAAAAAUAGCAUUGUAUUCGCUUUUAUUUUCUUUAAAAAUAACUAAAAAUAUAAAAUAAUUAAAUUUUAAAUUUGAAAUCUUAAAUAUUAAUAUUAAACUCUUUACCAGUUGUGUUACCGACUAUCUGUCGCUAAAAUCAAGAUUUUUUUUGUCAUAGAAAGUGAGGGUACAAUCAAUCACCAUUGGAAAGUGAGCAUGCAUUGAACUUGGACGUCUGUAGCUGAAAAGAUGCUUUUCACCAUGUUUCUUAAAGGACUUUUUUCGAAAAUAAUCCUGUAAAAUUUCAUAUUUGCCAAACUAACCCUGUGAAAUUUUUAUUUGUGAAACUAACCCUCCUCUCGCCACGUGGGCGCCACGUCAGGGAUUCCUCAAAAAGACGGUGAAUCGUUCACCGUCUUUGAUAUUUGUUGUGAAGGCGGUGAAUGGUUCACCGUCUUCAUAAGACGGUGAACCAUUCACCGUCUUUAGUACAAAUCCCUACACUGCGCAAAUCUUUCUAAGUCCAUAAUAUGGUGUCCUUGAUAAGACGGUGAAUCGUUCCCCGUCUUCUCGAGGACACAGAAAAGACGGACUUGAGAGAGCGGAAAGGGAAAAUGACGAAAAGGGAAAUUUUGCACUAAAGGCGGUGAAUGGUUUACCGUCUUCUAAAGACGGUGAACCAUUCACCGCUUUUAAACAAAAAUUACAAAGACGGUGAACGAUUCACCGCCUUUUUGAGGAAUCCCUGACGUGGCGCCCACGUGGCGAAAGGAGGGUUAGUUUUACAAAUAAAAAUUUCACGGGGUUAGUUUGGCAAAUACGAACUUUCACAGGGUUAUUUUCGAAAAAAAGCCUUUCUUAAAUGUUCUAAUCACGUCCAUACAAAAAGAGCGAUACUAUUUGUACAUUCAAAAAAUAUAUAACAUUUUGAAUAUUUUAAAAAUAAAGUUAACAAAACUUGAGCUAAAUUUUGAUUCUUCCAUGAAAAUGUGUAAAAUUUAUGUGCAUAGAUAAUAUUGCUUAUUGAAAUAAAAAAAAAAAGCUGAACUCGUUGGACUUUAUGGCUGCGUUUGGUUCGGGUAUAAGUAAGAACUGCUAGUUCUAGAGAUAGGUACAAGUUCAGGUAUAAGCAGGAACUAGACCAAUUUUGCGUUUGGAUGAAAAUUGGGUUGUUCCUAGGAAUAAGGUAAAUAGUAUUUGGAUGAUUAGAUUGGAACAAGAGGAAUAAAUGUUAUAAUUUGAAAUUAAAAUUAUAUUAUGUAAUUAAUUAACAUAAAAAUAUUACUUAAAAAUAAAUAAAAAAUUAAUUAUUAAUAAUUAAUUAUAAAUAAUAAUUUAAUAAUAAUAAUUAUUAUCUAAUUAUUAAUAAUUAAUUAUAAAUAAUAAAUUAUUUAAUUAUUUAAUUAUUAAAAUAAUAAAUAAUAAUUUAAAUAUAUUAAUUAAAUUAAUUAAUAAUUUACUGUCAUUAAAAUUAAAUUUAAAUUUUAAUUAAUCUUGUUCUCAUCAAGGAACAAGCUUGUUCCAGAAAACGGAUGGAACAGCAGUUCCAGCCUUAUACCAGCUAGUUCCAGAUUCCCGGGAACUACUGUUCCCGGGAACCAAACAUUGCGUUUGGGAACAAAGGGGGGAACAAGGGCUUAUUGCCCCCUUGUUCCCCAACCAAAUGCUACCUCUGCGUUUUAGGUUUAAAGUUUUUAUUUUGUGUUCCAACAUCAAGACCUUUGUUUAUUAAUGAUGCAUUUAUUAUUUUGACUGGUCAUGGUCACGAGAAAAGGACUAACUAAAAUUUAACCAUUUUAAAAAAAAGUCUCCUAUCACAGUUACACCAAAUCAUUUAUGUCACAGCUAAUCACUUCUUUUUCAAAGUAAUAUAAUAAAAAUAAUAAUUUUCUAGAUGGAUAAACUACAGGAGUAAAAUAAGGUUGAUUAGAAAUAGCAUAUUGCUUAUGUGACUGUUACUUUUUUUUUUUCCCUGAAGGAUAAAUCUCAAUUGCAUGUUUCAGCUGGAUGAAUUUCAUCGAGCUUUGACAUUCAUCUCGCUACAGACAGACAAUAAAAUUAUUUCGUAUACAGAAAAUUCUUGCACAUACAGCUAUAAAAAAUUUACAUCCACCUGAAAAUCAUCUUAAGUACUGCUGACGACUCGAUAUUUGCUAUACAGUACCAAGAAACAGGAGGGCUUGCAUGUUAGUUAGCUCAAAAUUAAUGCUUGAGUACUCAGAUUGGUAACUCACACAAAGUUUUUGGGUACCCUUUCAUAAAGUAAUGAAAGAAGAAAUACCUAAGACAACCAGUAUGCUGCAGAAUUGUAGGUGAAUGAUACCCAGUUUCAUGCUUCAGGUCCCCCUGUUCAAAUCCUGAUUAGAUUGAAAAGAAAAAUUGUGGUUUGGAGUGUUCUCGCGCAAAAUCAUAAUCCGUUUCAGGGAGCAAGUUAAUCACAUGGAAAAAGAAUAAUAUCAAACCUUGAGCUGGAAAGAAGAAAUAUUACAAAAGAAAAAACACCCAUUUACAUCUUCAUUUUGCUUUUCCUCCAUCUUGGAAUAAUCACACAUGCUAAAAAGAAACUCUUCGCAGUUGCACCUCGAAACGCAGCUAACCGCCUUCUGUCGAUAUGUAGUUCUUGGAACUUCAUGAAUGCCGAGCCUGCUUUGUCUCUGGGAUUUCUACAUAUAUAUCCAUGAAAAAACACGUAUUUGCAUGCGUGGCCCCUGAAAGUUGCAGUGUCUCUAGAAAUAACCACUUAUGCCGACAUUUUAGCAUGAAUAACUCUCAAGAAGAAAGGCGCGCAUGCAUGCAAACUUGGGUUAAUUCUAAUGUAUAGACACAACUGCUAAUUUCCAGAGGUGCACAUGCAAAUAAAGGCUAUAUCUAAGUGCACUUUGAAACUCUUUUGGGAGGGAUACAUGCAAAUACGCAUACUUUGAGGGUACAUAUGCAAAAAUUUCCUUCAAAAAGAAAUAAGGACUGCUGCAUCUCACAAGCGCCUGGAGUAGCCGGAACCCCCACACUUCUUACAGAGUAUCAGCCCUACCAGAAGUCAAUUCAAGUAAUUAAAAGGAAUAGUACCAUCGCAGACCUUAACUGAACAAUAAUGCCUUUUGAGAUGGGCAUUUGAACUUCAGAAAUUCUGAUUUUACUGCUUCCCUUUCAUUACUUUCAAUUUCAAGAUAUAUCGGUCAAAAAAGUUCAAGAUAAUCCAUCAAAAAAGUUGCAGAAUAUCAGUCAAAUAAAAUAAUAUUAUGUUAGAUUGUAGAGUAUUUCAUUAAAAGAGUACACGAUACCUUAAAAUUGCGACGGCGCAAGAUUGGAUGGUAAAAUCAAAAUUUUAUUAGGUACCGAAUUCAAAAUAGGCUACAGGUCAGGUAAGGUUUGUACACUUUUACUACAAGAAGAAAGUAAAUUGUAAGAGAAUGAAGAAACCCUACUUGACUAGAAAGAGCAGCAGCAAACAAUUUAUGGCUAAAUUGAAUUAUAUGCUUGUCGAUAAAUGGUGGUGUAAGCCACAACUUCAGUUCUUCAAGUUUGCAUCAGAUUCUAGCUAGAUCUUCAAGGGUUUUAAUUUCAACAAUUUAGUCUCCAAAAUUUGGUCCAAAGUACAAUUCUAAACUCGGAUAACUACUCACUAUUCAUAGAAAACAAUAGUCGAACAAUUACAAUAAAUAGAAAGCAAUAGUAAAAUGAAUGGAAAGGCAUACCAGCUCCUCUGCAGACGCGACAGUCAACUAAUCCGGUUUCUUGCUUCAUUUUACCAUCAGUACAGAAAACACAUUUUGUCCCACCUAUAGAGGGAAAUAGGACUCUACUAAGUUCCCAUUUAUGUGUAACCAAUACACUAAUUCUACUAGCAUAAGCACAACAAUAGAAAAUGGUAGAUAAUCAGUAACAUAUUUUCAGCCUAUCAUGUAUUAUUAUGCAUAGAACAUAGAUUCUCAUGGAUAAAGAGUAUUAGAAAAAAAAAAAGAAGAACAAGAAAAUCUUCACAAUUACUGAUAUUCCAAAAUAUUAAGAUUUUAGAAGACAAAAGAACAAUGUAGGAAUGUCUUACUUGAAUUCAGCAUGCCUCUUUGGAUGUCAGAAUAGGAUAUCCAAUGAUAACUUAUACAAUAUGAGCAUUUUCUUGUGUGAUUGAAAACUGGGAGUUCGAUUUUUUUUUUCUCGUUAAAAGGUCUAGGAAUCACACUCCUCAUCUACCAAAUACAGUAAGCUUCUUGAAUAAAUCAAAGAGAUAUGCAGAUUAAGAUGUCCGUGGAUCCAAAAAAGGUUGUAUAUGUUAAGAUUUUGGCAUGAUAUCAGCCUAAAAUUAAUCUCCAUUUCAGGUUUGAAAUAAUCAUCAAGAAACAGACACUACCAAAGGAAUUGAAUUGAAUCAAAUAAUUACUAGAGAUUUCAAAGGCUAUUGGGUAUAUAUAUAUUUUUUUACCAUUUCCAGCGCACCUGUCGCACGGCAGCGGAUCCCCCUAAAACAAUUGUUUCCAAAACCCUAAUUAGAAACCCAAUCGAAGCAUAACCUAACUCAAUUUAAGAAGAGAUACGAAGAAGAAGAUGAUGAUGAUGAUGAUGAGGACGACGACGACCUUGAAGCCGAGGAAGAGGGAGAGGGAGACGGCGGCGAGGACGGCGACGGCGAUGAUGAGCGUCUGUGUGUCGAGGGGUCGGUCUGAGGAGGAGGAAGAGGAGAGAGGGUUAAGUAGGAGAAAGGCGACGACGACGACGACGCCAUUGCGGAUAAAUUUGGAGGGAGGGGAGGGGAUAGANGAUGAUGAUGAGGACGACGACGACCUUGAAGCCGAGGAGGAGAGAGGAGGAGGAGGGGAGGGGAGCAUCGAGAAGAGGGAUGAGGGAGAGGAGGAGGAGGAGAGAGGAGGAGGAGGAGGAAGAGGAGAGAGGGUUAAGUAGGAGAAAGGCGACGACGACGACGACGCCAUUGCGGAUAAAUUUGGAGGGAGGGGAGGGGAUAGAGUGAGUGAGUGAGUGAGUGCGCAGAGAGGCCUCUUUCGUUUUGUUCCCGGAGGCUUCGUUUUUGCAUGUUAGUCCCUCAGAUUCUGUAGUAUUACUCUCUAGCUCCUUAAACUUUGUUGUUUUUUUGCAUGUUGAGACCACAUCCCAUUUAGUUCCCCGAAAAGGUGUGAGAUAACCUACUAUCCCCUUUGUAUCCAAAGGCUAUUUUUCAUACCCAAAAUAAUAGUUCUCGAAUAUUAAAAUAAAGAGUUAAUUACAUACACAUUCCUACAAUCAUGAUAAAUUAUAGAUAUAUUUCUGUAAAGCUCAACUUUCGUAAGUUAUUCUUACAAAAGUUCUAAUGUAUUCAGAUAUGUCCCUCUGGUUAGGAUCCGUUAAAAAGUUGUUAAUUUUUUAACAGUACAGUUGUGAAAUAAUAAUUUUGCCCUUGUCCUCUUCCUCUUCCUCUUUCUUUUCAGGCUUCGGGAUUGGACGGCGGUGGCAACCUUGCAGAGCUUGUCGGGGUUACGGCCAACGAGGACGAGGAAGAGGCGGAAGGCGAAGGCGCGGCCGAUGCUGUCGGAGGCGGCCGUGAUGACGGCCCAUGCGGGGACCACGACGGCGACGACGAUCGAAUCAUCGACGACGACAACGACAACGACGAAGAAGGAGGAGAAAUGGAGGAGGAAAAGAAGGAAAUGGAGAAAAAGAGGAAGAAGAAGAAGCAGGAGAGGAAGAGGGAGAGAAAAAAGAAGAAGAUGAGGGGCAAAAUUGUCAAUUCACAUUAUUAAUUAACUAUGGUUAAGUAUUUUAACUGUGGUUAACGAAAUUUUUCUAACAGACCCUAACAGUAGAGAUAUAUCUUAAAAUAUUAGGACUUUUGUAGGAAUAAGUUAUAAAAGUUAGCUUUGUAAGGAUAUAUCUGUAAUUCACCAUGUUUGUAGGGACGUGUAUGUAAUUAACCCUAAAAUAAAUUAAUAUAACCUAAUAUAAAUUGAGAAUUGUUGUUCCACCCUUAUCCUUAGAACAACUGAGAACAAGAUUAAUUAAACUCGAAUUAAUAAUUUUAAAUCAUUAAUUAAUGUAAUUAAUAUAUUUAAAUUAUUAAUUAUCUAAUUAAUAUUCAAUUAUUAUUUUUAGAUAACCCGCUAAGGGUGGGACAGCUGUUUCUACCCCUUUUUUAUUUUUAAAAUUUAAAACUUAAAAAAUUUAAUUUUAAUUUUUAAAAUUUUAAAAUUUAUAAUUUGUAAACUCAAAAUUAAAUUUUAUAAUUUAAAAUUAUAAAUUAUAAAUUUGAUAAUUUAAAAUUUAAAAUUUGAUAUUGUAUAUUUUUAAAUUUAAAUUUGAUCUUAAAUUUAAAGUUUGAGAUUUUAAAUUUAAAUUUUAAUUUUGAAAUUUGAAAUUUAAAAGUUAAAAUUUAAAAUUUAAAAAUAUGAAUAUAAAAUUUAAAAUUUAAAAUUNCAUCAUAUCUAUCCAAACGUUAUUUUUCUUAUUCUCAAAAACAAUCCAAUUUUCAUUCAAAUAUAAAAUUGGUAUAGUUAUUGUUUAUAUCUAAAUUUAUACUUAUCUUUAAAAUAAAUAGUUAUUGCUUAUAUCCGAACCAAACGAUACCAUAGGUUUAACCUCUUAAAAAAAGGACUCGAGCACCAUGGUUUAAAAAUAAAUAAAAUCUAAGCGCCGCUCCCCAAGAUCCUAGAAAACAAAUAAAUAAAUAAAUAAAACAAAUAAUAAUAAGAAGUAAAAGUAAAAAAUAAAUAUGAAAUAGGGAAAUAAAUUUUCAGAUACUACUGAGAAAAAUUUAAAUGGCACUUUAUUGAUCAGCACCAUUCCGUUAAGCCCUAAAAAGCACAAAUCCGCAUUAUUUAUUUUUUUAAUUUUUUUUUUCUUUUCGUUCGUCCCGAGGCUCCGGUUGCUUGACCACUGUAGUCUAAUUCGUCUUUUCAAUGAAUGAAGCAGGUAGCAUACUACCUUUAUGUCUACAACACAAUAUAAUCUAUGCAACCCUUAGUCUAAGAAUUGUAAAAUUUAUCAAUCCCUUUAAAACAUUAAAAAAAUAAAAGUAUAAAUGUAAACAACUUAUAUGAUCUAUAAAUUAUUUUGGUUUGAUAAUUCAAAUUUCAAUCCAAGUAUGUAAAUCUUCAAUUUAUUUUAUUUAAAUAAUUUGAUGAAUCUUCGGAUACAAAAUAUAAGUUAAUUAUUUAUUUUAAUAAAUUUAUGGUCAUACAAAUUGUCUAAAAUAUACUAAUUAAAAUCGUAAAGAUAAAUAAUAGAUUCAAAUCUUUGAAGUUAAAGAAUCACCUAAAUUUCUAAUUAAAUAUAUUAAAAAAAUAGAUAGUACAAUUUAAAUUUUUAAAGAUUAUGUAGCCAAAUUUAAAUAAAUAAAUGGUAGUUGGGCUAUAUUUUAUAUAUUUUUACCAAAAUAAUUUGCAAAAUAUUAAAAAAAGGGAAAACAUAUUGAAUUGCUAAUAUAUUUCUAUAAAGUUUAACUUUUUUAUAUUUAUUUCUGCAAAAAUUAUAACGUUUUCAAAUAUAACUCCUUUGUUAAAAUCCGUUAUAAAAAUAUAGUUAACCAUAGGUAAAGUACUUAAUUCUCAUUAAUGAAUGUGGUAAAUUUAUUUUUUACCCCUCUUAUAUUAUUUGUAGGGGUAAAAAAAUCAUUGGGUAUUUUAGAGAAACAAAUUUGUGAUAGCAAAAAUAUCAUUUCACUUAUCUCAUGUUAAAAAUUAAAUAAUGCUACAGAAACAAAUAUGAAUAUUAUUGAAUUUUUAUAAAAAUAAAUAUAAAAAUACUUUAUAAAGAUGUAUUUAUUAUUCGAUAUAUUUAUAGCAAACUGCAUAAAUUAACUGUAAAAUAAUAAUAAUUAUAAAAAAUUACAACCCAAAAAGGGCGUAUCUUUGCCACGUGUCACACGAUUUCUUUCCCAUAAUAAUUAUCUUUAAUCUUUAAUCUCUAAUCUUUAAUUUUUUGAAUAAUUUUUGUUCCCAUUAUUAUCGUCCAACUCUCUCUUUCUCUUUCUCUCUCUCUCUCUUUCUCCAUCUCACUCAUUAAUCAGAGAAAACUCGAACUCAGAUUUAGUAAUCUCGGGAAUUAUCGUCGAUAUCGAGUACGCUAUUUCUCUUCAAUUUCGAUUCUACUUUUUUUUUUUUUGUUUUUGUUCCUUGAUAUGAUAUGAUAUGAAAUUAAUUCCACCGCCUUUAUUAUUAUUUUUUAUUAAUUCUACGACUUUUGAUCGAAACGGAAUCGAUUCAAAACUUUUUCUAAUUUGCUUUUACAAGAUAAUCGCUCGCUCACAAUGAUUCGUACCCUUUUUUGAUACGCAUAUGAGAACCAUUUUCUAAAAAAGUUUCAAGAAUUACAAUUUACGACGUGAGAACGUUAGUUUGUUUCAUUUCAAUCAACAUUCAUCUGUUAUGUUAUCUGCGGUUGGCAUGUGACAGCAAAAAUAUUUUUUGAAGUUCUGUUUUAGUUAUUGGAAUCUUAAAGAUCAUGUGAUGAUUUGUAAUCAGGUUGAAGUUCAAGAGUUCUGUUUGUACGUCGGAAUAAGUUAUCUAAUAAUAUAUUUUUUGAUACAAAGAUUUUGCCGAACAAUCAUAAUUUCGUAGAAUAACAUAUUUCACCUGCGAGAUAGGACAAUUUAUCUUGUUUCCGAAAAAUAUCUUGAAGAAUGAAUUCGGUGUUGAAUAUAAAAAUUAAAAAUACUGUUAUCUGAUGGGAGAACAACGGUUGUUUUACGUAAUUUAACAUGACAUCAGAGCAGAAAAUCAUGAGUUCGAGUUAGGAGAACAACUACAAUGCAAAAAUGUUCAUUUAUUCAGACAGAGGCGGAGUUUAUAGGGUGGCGUUGCCAGUUAGAGGUGACGAAAAUUCGGGCCGGGUGCAAAUUGAUUGUUGACUUGAUAAAUUUCGACUUUUUAAGCUCGAGUGGUGAUUUUGCAACUGUUCUUGCUUGCUUUAGAAUUUUGCUUUUGUUUGAAUGAAUUCAAUGUCAGUAAAUAUCCGAAUCAUUGAAUUUGAUCUCUUUGGUAGAAUUUUAAAGCCAAGAUGAAGUUUGGAGAGACUUUUACAGAGUACCUCCACGGAGAGCAGGAGAGGUUUCUGAACAAAUGCUCGCACGUCGAGUACAAGAGGCUUAAAAAGGUCUUGAAGAGCUGCCGGGUUUGCCGUGCCUUAGAAAACCAAAGCAGCAGCGAGCAUGCGGAGGGCGAAGAGAGCAAUGAGUUAUCCGAGUUCUGUCGAUGCAAUUCUUGUCCAUGUAUUAAUCUUCAUCUUUUACCAAAUUUGCAUUUAUUUAGAAUUUCAGUACUUCUGUGUUUAAGAUUACAUCAGAACUGUACUGAUUUAGUCAAAAAAAGUAACAGUACCGUAUAGAAAUCUGCCCCAGGGAUUCUCAAAAUAAUUUGUGAAAAGUUAGACACUGAAGUCAAAAUUUUAAUUUUUAGGUCCCAUUCAAAAAGUUGCUGUCAUUCAGGCUGAUGAUCACUAGUUAUGUUCUCUCGCCGUAACCAUUUUCUUUCCUUUGUCAGUUUAGAUGUGAUGACAUCGCAGCGGCUUUAUUUUGAAGAUCCUCAUUUGUACAUUAUCUCACUAUUGCCGUGUAUUUUUGUGUUUGUUAUUGGAUUCCGAAAUGAAAGUAGAAGUUAUUUCUUUUUCUGUUAUGUGGUUACAUUAGCAUAGUCAGGAUUAUAUUUAAUAUGUCUCUUGAGUUAUUAGCACCUUCGAAACACACCAUUAAUACAGGAAAUGAAGUAAUACAAAGGAAAUGUCAGAUUAUAUUUUCUCAUGUUAGUUAUACAAAAUUAGUACUAGUAUAGAAAUCGAAACAAAUGGAUUAGUUUACACACGGAAGGCCUGAUACAGUGUCGGAGAAUGGGUUUGUCUCACAUUCCAAAUUUGGCUAAACGAAUUUCAUAUUUAUGGUUAUUUUGUGUGUUUUCCCUGUUCAGAUGGAAGUUGAUUUACUGACGAUACCUCCUCUGUUCAGUGUGUGAUCAGAUGUUCUUUGCCGAGCUCACGAGAGAGGCCACAGAGAUAGCUGGCUGUUUUAGCUCGAGAGUAAGGCGCCUCCUCCACCUUCAUGUUUCUUCCGGCGUUCAACGAUGCAUGUGGCGUUUACGCCAUUGUUUCGCAGAUGAUCAGCAAGUCAUGAUCCAGGAAGGACGGAUGCUGCUCGAUUAUGUGACGAUGAAUGCAAUAGCGAUCAGUAAAAUUCUUAAGAAGUAUGACAAGGUAAGCUGUCAAGGUCCUUUCAAUUUAGAGAUGUUUACAUGCGUAAAUCCUGCAAAAUUAUCUGUUUAACUAUUGCUAGAAUACAGAAAACUCGCUGAAAACGUGAUGAUUUGCAUGUUGUUCUACUGAAAGAUAAAAUUCUACAUUGAACUCUCUUAAAUACUUACACCUCAGAAUUUUCACAUAGGAAGUGUCAGCUUUUGUUAAAAUAUGAAAGAAAUCACGAAAAUGGCUAAUAAUGGAUAUUUCAGAUUAUAUUCCAACCUAAGGAUAUUUUUGUAACAAUCUAUACUUUUUAAGGUAUAUAGAUGUAAAUUGUAAACGGCCGUCUUUAGUUUUAAGUAUUGUUAUAGCUCCUACAGAGUCCUUAGGAUGUUGAUUCUUGGAUUUGCAACUUCUUGUGGAUUGUGUGUCGCAGAUACAUGGCUCGGUCAGUGGGAGAGAUUUCAAAACAAAAUUGCGGGCUAAACGUAUUGAACUCCUGCAGUCGCCUUGGCUGAUAGAAUUAGGUGCAUUUUACUUGAAUUUCAGUGAUUCAGAUUCAGGAGAACCUGCUGAAUUCUUCCGGAAGUUCUCUUGUGAUCUUAAUGAUACCCAGCCUGCAAUGACUAUGUCUAUUUCCGACUCUGUGAAGUACGAAUACAGCUUGACUUGUGCUAUCUGCUUGGUAAGAUGCUACCUUCUUUUCCAUUUUCUUCUUUCAGUUAAAUUUAUGCAUAUAAUGACAGUACAAAAUGGCAUAUCAAGAUCCCCUACUAGUCAUGUUAUCAGGAAAUUAUGUGGGCUAUCCAUACAUUUACCCUCUUUAAUUUCUAUCUUUUUCCGAUAUCUGUGGAGAGGUAGCUUAAAGUAGUACUGCGAUAAGAAAGCCUUCUUUUUAUUAUCCUUUCAUGUCGGUUUUAGUGGUAGAUCUUUAAUUACAGGAUACCGUGUUUAAUCCGUAUGCAUUAAGUUGCGGUCAUCUCUUCUGUAAAGGCUGCGCCUGCUCUGCAUCUUCCGUGUUACUCUUCCAAGGCCUCAAAGCUGCGCCUCGCAGCGCCAAGUGUCCUGUUUGUAGAGCGGUACGUUAUAUUAUUAUUUCCUUUCCCAAUUAUUUCCAUGGCUCUUAUGAUCUUAUCCAUAUGUCUACUCGGUAUUUGAUAACACCGUCCCGAUUAAUGUUCUCCAGUGUUAGCUAGCUGCCACAGAACCUUCCAAAAGAAAGUUUGUCGAUUCAUGAGGGGAAGUUGAAUUUUAAUUGGAAAAAGGUUUUUCGAAGGCGCAAAAUUUGUUAGUCCGAGUGUGUGUGUUUCAGAAACCAAAGUUUUUGAAGGAAAAUUUGAAACUUACACAUAUUUGUAACUAGACAGUUUUGUAGUUGUAUACAUGUAUAUAUUUUAUUCCGCAACUAAUAUGCAGCAUUUUACUGCAGGUUGGUGUUUACAAUGAUGCAGUGCAAAUGACAGAACUGGAUCUACUACUAAGAAAUAGGUUUUUUGCAGUCUAAAUCCUUCUAUUAGCAAAUUUUCGAACUAUUCCAGAAUAAUAUUUUGUUAGUGAACUGCUUUUUCUCGAAUCUUUCAGAUGCAAUGAUUACUGGAAAGAGAGAUUGCGAGCCGAGCGAGCCGAGAUGGUGAAGCAAUCCAAAGAGUACUGGGAAUCUCAGGCUAUUUUGACAAUGGGGCUCUGAAUCGAAAGAAAUGGAAUCGAUUUGUUCGAGUUAUUACUAACAUCUGCUGAUCAGCCAAGCUUUUCUAGCAAGCAAGUGAACAAUUCUCUUUUUUGUUCUUCUCUCUCAGCGCGGAGAAAAGUCGCGAACUAAUUAGAACCAUGACCAUAUUUCUGUUAACUCGUCGCGUGUGUCCGUUGCUUGAUGCGAUCUCUUGUUAUGAUCUCUUUUUCUUUUUUUGAAUUCGAUUUGUUUGACUUUUGAAUUGAUGUUUCUGUGGAAGAACAUUGUGAUAAUGUUUCUGUAGCUUUGCUGGUUCUGUGACUGUUCGUUUCAUGCAGCUACAUUUACUUUGUUCUCUCUCAAUGUAUGAAAACUCUUCUUUCUUUUUUUUUUAUUGGCACUGUUUUUAACAAUUAAGUUUUUUAUUUAAAUUUUUAUAGGUUAAUUGAUUCAAAAUAUUUUUGUUAGAUUUUAUAACUCAAUAGUUAUUAGUAAUUUAUUAAUCUAGUUUUAUUCGCUAUAAAGUAAUUUAAAGUACGAAAUAUAAUAAAAUUGUCAAGUAAUUUAAUUUUAUUUGGUGGAAAUCAUUAAUUUCAAUAAAGCAAAAUGAGAGGUGGUCUCAAAUAAAAAAAAUAGUGUGAGGCUACUAUGCUUCUGGAAGCACGAAAGGUCGUUUUCCAUGUUGCGACUUUCGAAUCAUCAAUCAGCUCCGUUAAACUUGAUCUAGAGUAUUUAAAGUACUUGGAAAAAAAAAUUUAUGAUUUUUCGAUAUUAUUUGCCGAGCGAUCGAAGGGGCUCAAAAUCAAUAAUUUUAAUGACCGUAGUGAGCCGUUUGCAAGGUUAACGGUGUAGAAAUAUCCAAAUCAUGUGAAAUUUUGAUAGAAAAUUCUUUAUACUAUAUAAAACAAGAUCAAUAUCUUUGAUCUAAUAUUUUAAUGUCAUAUUAUCACGUUUUGUAAAAUUUUUAUUUUCAGCCGUUGAUUUUGAGCCCCCUCGUUUACUUGGCAAAUAAUAUCGAAAAAUCGCAUAAUUUAUUUUCUAGGUACUUCAAAUACUCUAGAUCAAGUUUAACGGAGCCGAUCGACAAUUCAAAAGUCGCAAUAUGGAAAGCGGCCUGGAAGCACGGAAGGCUCCGUGCUUCCAGAAGCAUAGUAGCCUAAAUCAAAAAAUUAUAGUUCACGGGACUAUUUCAAAAUUACCUAUAGUUUAAAGGGUUUAUGUACAUUUUAAGUCUAGCUUCCUUUUGUUCCACAAAUUUUUAUUUCAAUUAAUAUUUGUGAUUUAUUUUAGUCUAUUAACUUUCAAAAGCAUUUUUUUUAACCCUUAUAUUAAAACAAAUUAAUUACUUUUAUUAGUUUAAUUAUAUAUUCGUAAAUUGUUAAUUUAUUAGUUCUCCAUCCAUCUCUUACAUUUUAUUCAAUACCCGAUUUUUAUAUUAAAAAAAGAUUGUAAUUCAAUAGGUGCAAAAAUAAAUUAUCUAAUUAAAAAAUUCAAUAAAUGUAGAUGUAUGGAAUAUGGAUGCACUAGUGUUGAUAAUAAUUUACCAUCUAAUAGUAAAUGCUAGUGAAGAGCCUUGCGAUACUGCAAAUAUAAAAAUAUUUUAAUAAUAAAUUUUAAUUUAUAUUUUUUAUUUUUUAUAUUGUUUUAUAAGUCUGAUUAUCGAUUAAAUAAAAGUUAUACAAAAAUAAUUUAAUAUUUAUUAUAUUUAUUUAAUAAAAAUGAUUAAAAUUGGUAUAUGCGCAACUUAUUAGUGAUUAAAUUAUUUUAUAAAGAUUUAUGUGAAAAGAAGAGAAAUAAAUUAGUAGAAGAAAUUGUUUAGUAAAAUUAAUUAAUUAUUAUAUACACACACACUAUAUUUCUAAAAUUUUAUUUCAAAAAAUUUAAAUUAUGUAUUUUUUAAUACAUCGAUAUUUUACGUUAAUCGGAUAAGAUUUUAUUACACUAUUUAUUACACAUAUUAUUAAUCAAAUUAAUUAACUAUAUAUAAUUAAUUAAUUUUAUAGGGGUAUAGGGUUUAGGGAUUUAAAAUUUUAAAUCUUUAAGUUUAAAUUUGGAAAUAAAUAUUAUAAAAAUUAAAAUUUUAUAAUUUGAAUUUAAAAAUUGAAAUAUAAAAUUUGAAACUUUAAAAUUUAAAAUUAUAAAAUUUAUGCAAAAUUUAAAAUUUAUAUAUAUAUAUAUAGAGAGAGAGAGAGAGAGAAAGAGAGAGAGGGAGUUGAGUUAGAAUGCUAUCGAUAACAAACGGGCUCCGUUGCCACCCAUUUGUUUUCGAUGAUUGAGCCUCCAAAUCGACGAUCGGUAUCGUUGAACAUGAUCUACACCACAUGAAGUGUUUAGAAAUCAAAUUUCAAAUCUUUUCAACACCAUUUGCCUAAUGAUCAAAUGGUUUCAAAAUUUAUAAUUUUAAUAGUCGAUAUGAGACAUUUUCUCGUUUAACGGCGUAAAGAUAUCCAAAUCAAUUGAAUUUUUGUUAGAAAACUCUUUAAACUAUUUAAAACAAGAUCUAUACUCUUGAUCUUGAUUACAGGACUUCUAUUAUCAUUUUUUAAAGAAAAUUCAUUUUCAACCGUUCAUUUUUGUGUCCACUCGAUGGAUAAGAAAAUAAUAUCGGAAAUGUAUGAAAUUUGAUUUCUAAAUACGUCAAGUGGUAUAGUCAUGUUAAACGAUGCCGAUCGUCGAUUUGGAGGCUUCAUUAUCAAAAAUAAAUGGGUGACAACAAAGCUCGUUUGCUAUUGACAGUAUUCUAGCUCAACUCUCUCUCUCUCUAUAUAUAUUAUUUUAUAUAUAGACGGGGAGAGAGAAGUAGGAAGAAGCCUAUUGUAUUACAUAUGCACAUCAUCAAUAACAAACUGAUCAUAUUUCUUUAUUUGAAAGAAAAAUAUAAUAAAAAUAUUUUUCUAUUAAUCAUGGUGGGGCGUAUCAAUCAAAAGGAGACAAGUCUAUUAGUUGGGAACGCCACGUCAGCAAUAUAUCUAGUGCAUUCUAAAUUUGGAAAAAUUCUAGAAUGCAACGGGUAUAUUAGUGACGUGGCGUAACAAACCAAUCAAAUUAAUCCUUUUAAGAAUAUAUGUCCCAUCAUGAUUGUAAAAAAGUAUUUUUAUUGUACUUUUAUUUGAAAAGAAGGAAUGUGAUUGGCUUGUUAUUGAUGAUGUGGUGCAAGUGUGACAGUGUAGAAUUCCUCCUAAAUCUGAGAGAAAAGUAUAAUAAAAUUUUAUUUCUAUUAACCAUUUAACCAUGAGGGAACGUAUUAACUCAAGGAGGAUAAUUUUAUUGGUUGAAAAUACCACCCCAGUAAUAUAAUAUUCGUUGCAUUUUAGAUUUUUAAGAGGAAGUGGAGGAUUGGGGGGGGACACGUGUAACUCUAAAGUCCCCUCAAACCUCCUUUGAUUUAGCAAAAAGCAGAUAGAUAGAUGUGUGAGCAGUAUAAUUUAACUUUAACAUACCUUUUAUUAAAUCAAGAUUUUUUAUUAAAUAUAAUGAUAAUUUUGUUGAAUUUAAUAUUUUGAAUACUAUUUUGGAAGCAUAUUAAGUAUAAUGAUGCCGUGCAUGAUGUGAUUAGACAUUUUUUUAUGAUAAAAUUUAUUCGAAUAAUUAUUUUUUUUUUUCACAAAAAGUACAAAAAAGACAGCAAGAAGACGCAACAAGAGAAUAUAAUACUUGGCACUGUUUUUGCGUCCGUUUUGUUUGCCUCCUCCUUUUCCCUCCCCUUUUGGUUCUCACUCUCACUCUCCAAAAUUUAUUCCCAAAAUAUCCCCCCCGCCGCCGCUCGCUCUUCCCAAAAUGGCCCUCCCCCUCCCACCCAAACCAAACUCUCGUCUCUCGUCUCUCCUCCUCCCCCUCCUCGCCCUCCUCUGCCUCUUCCUCCUCUACCACUCUACACGUCACUCCCCUUUCCUUUCCCGUAAUACCCCUCCCCUUUCCCAAACUACCCCCGCCGCCCUAUUCCUCUCUCUCUCCUCCGCCGCCGCCGGAGGAGGGGCCGCCGCGGCGAACGCCACCAUCGCCGGCGAUCUCCGCGCCCUCACCCUCCGCCCCCACCUCGCCGGAACCCCCGCCGCCGCCGCCCCCGCCGCGUUCGUCCUCUCCCGCCUCCGCGCCGCGGGGCUCCGAACCCUAACCCGGGAGUACUCCCCGCUCCUCUCUUACCCCUCCGCAGCCGCCGCGGCGGAGCUCUCCCUCCUCAGCCCCAACGGCUCCCUCCUCGCCGCGCUCUCCGCCGCCGAGCCCGCCGACCCCGCGGCGCGCCUCGUGCGGCCCUACCAUGCCUACGCCCCCUCCGGCGCCGCCGCGGCCCCCGCGGUCUACGUGAACCGCGGCCGCGAGGAGGAUUUCCGGGCGCUGGAGCGGAUCGGGGUGCGCGUCGAGGGCUGCGUGGCGAUCGCGCGCCGCGGCGGGGGGAACCGCGGCGGCGUGGUGGCGAGGGCGGCGGAGAGGGGGGCGGCGGCGGUGCUCAUCGCCGGAGACCCCGGGGGAGGGGUGGAGAGGGGGGCGGUGUUGCUCGGCGGCGUCGGGGAUCCGCUCACCCCCGGGUGGGGCGCCGCCGCCGCAGCCGAGAGGCUGGGGCCGGAGGCGGACGAGGUGAGGCGGCGGUUCCCUAGGAUUCCGUCCAUGCCGGUGGCCGCCGCCACAGCAGCGGAGAUCCUGAGGACGCUCGGUGGGCCGCCGCCCCCUCCGGAGUGGGCUACGGAGGGCCUCGGGUUCGACAUCGCCGGGGUGGGGCCUGGGCCCAAUUUGGUCAACUUCACCUAUCAGGUAUCCUCGCCACACGUUGAUAUUGCUUGGUUUAUACUUUAUUCAUAUGUCUAUAAUUUAAAAUUGACCAUGAUGAAAUAUAUAUCCUCAUUAAAGAGGUCUUUUUUGGGUCUUCUAUCAUUCUAUGGGUCUAUGGCAUUUUCUCUGCAGCUUUUAUUGGUAGUCAAUGGUCUCUUAGCUCACAUUGAUAUGAAAAGGGCUUCUCCGUUUUGGCUGUGUCUUGUAUUGGGUCUACAAAAUGUAGAGCUACCAUAAAAGGAGUAUUAAUUUGUAUGUGUCCAUUUUAAGGUGCGGAAUUGGACUUGUAUGAUGAAUUCGUCAUUCAUUUGGUAUAUUGCACAUAGGAAUUAGAUUUUACUGGUGGGUCUAUUCAUGCGAGUGCGCCCCGUUUUGUCAAAAGCAUCCCAAAAUUUAUGUUUAGGCAUCUGCCUUUCAUUCUCUAGAUUUCAUGAAAUGUACUUCUGGUAUAUGAAUCCAAAAGAAAAAACGCGGUGCUAUUAACGUCAUCAACGUUCGCAUAUUCAAUUCAAGUGCAUGGUAUUAUUUUUGGGACAUUUCAAGUGCUAACUUUUUUGAUAGUGGAUGGUGCUUCACAUUUGGACACUACUUGGUGUUUGUCUUGUAGUUUAAUCUUUGAUUCGUCCUUAUCAUACAUUAUGUUUGGACCAAUAUAAAGAUGGUUCAAUAGAAAUUUGGGUUAGAGACUAGUCAAUCUUGUGUCUUUGCUAUUUAGUGAUUUGAUACUUUUACAUUAUAACCUUACGAAUGCGGCUGCCGCCAACUCUAUUAGGGAAGAGUAAAUAUAUUUUUUAAUCAUCCAGUGUUUAAAACAAGCACGUCUAGGGUGAAGGAGUGGUCAAAAGGAUUCAAACUAUCUAGCAUAUGGCAUGCCAUGAACCUAAUGUGAUUUUCAUACAUUUAUUAUUGAUUUAUUUUUGCUGACUCCAUGUUAACAUAAAAUAAAGGGUACGUUUUGAAAAAAAAAAAAAAAAAGGCUUCAUAGUGUAAUGCAUUUUCACAUUGCUACCUUGUGGUUUCAUUUGUAUCAUUUAGGUGCUUUGUGAGGUUAUUAGUCCCAUGUUCUAUAAGAGGUAAACACUCAGGUUAUUUGUCUGGUAUGCUACAAGGAUCUCUCUAUCAGUCCAAUUAGAAUUUGGAUUUCGGUUGGGUUUUGACUCACAAUAAGUGGUGUAUUGUGUUUGGAUCCAAGAUUGACUUGAACUUGACUCUGAAGUCUGAAUUCAAAACCAAAUUUUAAUUGGUUUUGGAUCAGUUUUACAUCAAAACCUGACCCAAAAAAUAUCAAAAUCCAAUCUGAACCUGAAUUUCAUUGGGGAUCAUCGAUUUGGUGUUAAAAAAUCAUGAAAUUUGGUUUCUAGAAACUUUGAAUGUUCUAGAUCAUAUUUGACGGUUUAGAUCGUCAAUUCAGAAGCCCAAUCAUCAAAAACAAAUCGAUAAUACCGGAUUCCGAAUAUUAUCAAUUGUAUUCUAGCUCAACUCUCUCUACAAUUAUUAAGUAAACACUAUUUACCCAAGUUGAAAUCCAGUCAUAGAAACACAAAAUUAAGAUCAAACCAUUGGAGGUGAUCAAUAACAUAGAAAGGAACCGCAUACAAAAAAUCAUGAUUUUUGGAAACCUAUAUAUUAAGUAUUGAACAUUGGCCUUUCUUGAAAUUAUGGAUCAUUGAUUUUGAUACCUUGUGACGCUUAGUUAAUAGGUUUUCAAAAUUUGUAACUUUAUGAGUAAGCUUUUUAAAAGUUCUUUUUAAGUUUCGCUCCAAAAUCUCCCUCCAUUUUCCUUUAACUUCUAGUUUUGAUAAGUAGUGGCUACUUCAUUGUAGAAGGACGCAAAAGCUUUUCAACUGUCAUUGUAGGACUAAAAUUCUAAGGUACCGUCUUUAGGUUAUUUAAUUUUCAACUGUUUUCUAGAAAUAAUUGCUACUUGCUAAGUUGAGUUAAUUGAGAUGCAAGUUCUAGAACUAAGUUAUGGUAGUUAGGAUACAAGUUCUGUACUUGCAAGUGAUUCAUACCAUGCAAUAAUUUCUGCCAAGUGCUGAUAAUAAAAUUAACCUGUUGUUGAUUCUUCUUUUAAGGAAGACAGAAAAUUGGCAAUAAUACAAAAUGUCUUCGGUCUCAUAAGAGGACGAGAAGAGCCCGACCGUUACAUCAUCAUUGGUAAUCAUAGAGAUGCAUGGACGUAUGGUGCAGUCGAUCCCAAUAGUGGAACGGCCGUCCUUCUUGAUAUUGCUCGACGUUUUGGUAUAUUAUUGCGAUCAGGUUGGAGACCUCGAAGGACCAUCAUUUUAUGUAGCUGGGAUGCAGAGGAGUUUGGAAUGGUGAGUAAAUAAAUGUGGUUAUAGGCUUCUACAUAUUUCAACAAUCUAUUUACUUGUAUACAACGGUAAAAUCUGAAUUUUCAUAUAUGUCCCUCCUGAAGUGUGGUUUUUCAGAAAAGCACCAUUAUCUUUAGUUGGGAAGUUUAUCAACUCGUGGCAGGAAGUUGGUUUUGUAUUAAUAAGAAGUUUCAAAAAGACAGGAUUUUUAUUAGUACGAUGGCAUGCUUGCAUGAAAUUAAGUUUUUGAAAUGCAUUAUGUGAGAAUUUAGAAUUAGCACUUUAGCAGGCAUAUAUAGACAGAUGACUUUGUCAGUGUAUAUAUGUAAAUAUUUUGCCAUAUUUGAUAAAUGUUUAAGUUGUUAAAUUCGUUGUCUGUGCUGUAUGCUUUAUAAGUUACAUGUCUCAGUAAUAAAAAAUGUAAUAUUACCUUUUUUACUAUUUCUACCUAAACUUUGUUGUUUGGCUUUCAGAUAGGAUCUACAGAGUGGGUUGAGGAGAACCUUGGAAAUUUGCAUUCCAAAGCUGUGGUUUAUCUGAAUGUUGAUUGUGCCGUACAAGGGCCUGGAUUUUUCGCUGGUGCAACGCCCCAAUUGGACAAGCUUUUGAUUGAUGUUACAAAGAAGGUAAAAUAAUCAAUUAUGCUACCUACUGUGAUGUGAUUCAGUGCACCAAUAUUUGAAGCUUGAGUAUGAAGAAGGCUUUUGUUCAUUUGGUUAUUGCUUCAAAGCUCAAAGUUAAUUUGUUGGUGGUAUAUAGACCUUACCUAAACUAAAGUGCAUAUUGAUUCCUGAAUUUUGAAUUAUGAUUUUGCCACCAGAGCACUGUAAUCCUCCCCUUCAGAACUCAAAAAUAUAUGUUCUUUUUACUCUUUUUUUUUUUCUCAUGGAGUAUUCUGCAACUUAACAGAAUUGUUUGUUACUUAACAGAAUAUUUCUAUAAUUCUUUUUUCUUUAAGAGAAAUAGUUGAGUUCCUGUGGAACUUAAUAGAAUCUUCUGAAUUCAAAAAUUUUGGAAGGUUGGCUAGCAAAACCAAAAUGUUUAAAGUUCAGGUAUCAGUUAGAAAAUGCUUUGUAGUUUAGGUAAGGUUUGUGCAUUCUUACCUAAAUUGUGUAUAGAAAGAUUGCACCUGAGGCCUUUCCACAUCUAUCGUUUUGUUAUUGCUUUGCAUGCAUAGAAAACUUGUACUACCGAUCGGUCAGUUAUGCUUUUUCCCCCGCCUCUUCUUUGUAGGUGAAGGAUCCAGAUCUUGGAGAUGGGACCGUUUAUCAUACAUGGGAAAGAACGGAUGGAGGCAUCAAUGUAAGGUGUUUAUAAAAUUUAUUCGGUUAUUGUAAGAGUCAGGGAAUGCCCUGUAACUACACUUUACACAAAUUAUUUUGUCAUCUCUUUUUAAAUAAAUUUGGAAUAUACAUUUAUUUCCCUGCAAAAAUAUGAAUUCCCUGCAAGUAACUGCACUUUACAUAUCUGAAAUUUCUAAUUUUGUUAUUUGGACAAUAUGUUAGUUGAUGAUUUUUUUAGGACAAAUAUGCUCUGUAUUCUCAUUAAGCAGUUUGUUUGUUGUUGCUUCAGAUAGAGAGGCUUGCCAGAGCUGAUUCGGAUUUUUCUGCAUUUCUGCACUAUGCAGGGAUCCCUUCCGCUGACUUCUACUAUGGUAAAGGUGUGUUCUCUCUUUUACAAUGUGACCUAUUGGUAGUAGGUUUUAUUGUUCCUUACUUCCCUUCCAUUUUUUAGGUCUCUCUUGGUGUAUCCAUUGUUAAUCUGCAAGUAAUCAUGUUUUCGUUUUGUUUCUAUUCAAAUAUUUGUUUUGGUGAUAGAUAUGAAUAGUAUAUCUUAACAAAUUGCUUGUUUUGAUUAUCUACUGGGCCUACGGAAAUGGCCAUUCAGAGAGGGUGGUCUUUUCGGCUAUUAUUUCCAAAAGCUUUCAUGGUUAUAAUUUACUUUUCUAAAUUCUAAUUACUUGGAUUUAUGGUAAAAUAUCUCAUUGUGAUUUGCAACUUGCAAGGCAACGAUAUGAUGAUCUCUCAUCAAAAUUUUGCACCAUUUCUUGUAAUACUGCUUCAGAAAUUGGAUGGAAUUUUGAUAUUAUGAAGGAUCUUGGAUCUAUGAUGUUAAUGAGCAAUUGUUCCUCAAUGAAGAUGCUGAGUUGCAUUAAAACAAUGGAAUAUGUAGAUCAUGUAUGGUAAUUGAUAUGUCAAUUAAGUUUGUAUGUUUGGAUUCCAUCUCAUAACAUGUGGGGAAUUUUUAGUCAUUAUGGUUGUCUGUUUGUAGCCAUAGCUGUAUUUAGGGUCGACAGUGCAUUUUACAAAGACCUUUGUUUUUGGCGAUAUGUAUUACUGGUGCUCUUCCUUUUUUUCCCUCCAAUAAGGAGCUCCAUAACACGAUUUCCUUUCUCUCAUUUCUUCUUGUAUGGAUUGUACUUUUUGCGAUCUCUCAUUUUAUAGUUGAAGUCUGCUCUUCAGCUGUCGCAAAAUAAACUAAUUAUAUCUUUCAAUCAGAAUUCCCAGGCUACCAUACUGCUUUGGACUCAUACAGCUGGAUGGAAAAUCAAGGGGAUCCUAUGUUUCAUCGUCAUGUGGCAGGUUAAGUUUUUCCAUAAUUACCUUUCUCAUUUAUGUGUUUAUGUUGGUAUAUUAGUCAAUGAGAUGCUGGCUUCAAGUUUAAAGGUCCUAUUCAAAUUGAAAAGAAAGAUUAAGGUCGGUAGUAGUUUAAAAAAUUACCGGUCCACAAGUGUAAUCCAAAAUUAUGGAUUUGAGGUGCGGUUGAAGAUUCAGUUCAAUUUAUCCAUUAUUCUUGAGUGAAUGAGAGGUCCAAUCGCAUUGGAAUUCACAACUAACUUUGAAUUUGACAAAUUUCCAUUGAACUCAAUCCUGCAAUUAUCAGUUAAAAUUUAUGUACUAUCUUGCUUUUGCAUAACUGUUUUAAUGGUGUUAUUGCUGCUUAUAAUUAUUAUAGGAGAUUUCACAUACAGAUAUACCGUCUUGGAAGUGUUGUUCUUAUGGGAAAUCCCUUAAUUUGGUGAGCCAGUUAAGCGAUGGCAUAAGUUGAUUUUGUUUAGGAAAAGUUUCAUGAGUAAUUUUUUAAGAGGACAUUAUCGAAGGACGUAUGAAUUUAGAUUUUGCCGGGAUACAUACGUAAAUAGAUAACUUCAUUAAUUAUAUAAAAAUCUUAUUAUCACAUUGUCUCUUAAUUUAUAUCUGGUUUUAAUGUGGCAUACAGUUGCCGAAAUAUUGGGACUUCUUACCCUUCGAUUAGCUGAUGACCCAGUCCUGCCUUUUGAUUAUGUAUCUUAUGCUGCUCAAUUGCAGGUAAAAUUGCUUGUUUGAUUAAUCAACUUGUUUUUUGCGCGAACAAUGCUUUUCUUCUUGUGGCUCAAAGUGUUAUGUUACUUGUAGUUCUAUAUUUUCUUGGUUGCAUCAGUGAUAUUAAUAAUCCAAUUGUAAGGUUUAGAUAGAACUUUGAUUGUAGCGAGACUAACUGAAAUCGUGCUUCUUUAUUGUUGUACUUUCGUGGAAACUGGCCAAGUUUUUUUCUGAUCUUUGUCUCGCUCUUUUAUUACCAUGGCGAAUUGGUGAUAUCAAUAAGUUGAGCCAAAAACUAGUCAAAGUGCUUAGCAAAGGCAUUGUAUAGCUUCAUGCUUCCUAUAAUGAAGUUGUCGAAGGUGGAGACUGUAGAGUUGCUUGGAUCGUCAAGGUUGCCAAGAGAGAUAAAUGCAUUUGAUUUAUCUUUUUCUAAGCAUGAAUCAGUAGAUUGUCUUUUUCCUUUAACUAGGAAUCUUCUAAGCAGACGACAAGAGAAACUUCAGUCUUGUGUUAGAAUUGGUAUACUGGUAUAAAACUUGACUACAGUUCCUUUAAAAUUGUUAAUUAUUAAUUAAAAAGACAAUUGCUUCAGAAUUACCCGGAUUUGUAUCUGAUAAAAGCCUUUGGAUGUUAUUAGCAUAAUAUGCAUCAUCUAGUAAUGGUUGUAAAUUCCAGUAAUUUUCUUGUAGGAACAUGCAAAUGCAUUGAGUACCUUGCUUGAUGAUGGCCCUUCUCUAGAGCCAAUAUAUUCGGCCAUUCAAGAAUUCUCUCAUGCAGCUAAUGAAGCUCUAAAGGAGGGAGAGGUAAAAGAGGGAAUUAUUCCACUUAUUUCAUAUUCCAAGUAAUUUUUUUUUUCUUUCACUAGAUGAUAAACAAUUCUACUACAAUUACUUUUAAUACUGUAGUGUAAUUGAUAGUAAUUUUACCGGAAUUGAUCUUGAUUUUAUCAAAUUCAAUCAAUAGUGCAUAGAGAAUAGUGUAAAAGGUUUCUAGGGGGGAUCCCAAGCUCUUUUACAUGAAAUAUGAAAAUGGUAUGAAACUGUGAAAUGUGAAUUUUUGAGCUGUGCAUUUACUUGACAAUGAAGCUUUGAAAUAUGAAAAAGGUUUCAAGGAAACGAGAUUUAAUCUAAUAAAUUGCCUACGGGCUUCACCCUCAAAAAGAAAAAAAAGACGGUUGCAAGGGGGGAUCCCAAUUACUAUAUUAAUCACAACCGAACCAAAUCUAAUUCAGUUUUGUUUGGUCUAAUCAUUCAAUUUGAGCUCGUCACAUUUUAAAGUGGAUGGUUGUGAUCUAUUAUUAUGCAGUAUGUAGUGAGCUGAUUCAUUAUAUAUUUAUAUAUAUGAUUGUGCAUAUAUUAGAUAUAUGUAUGCAUAUGGGUAUUAUUAUUGCUUUUUUGUUUUGUUUGGUUGAGAAAUUCUGCAACCAAGCCAAACCAAAUUACCUUUUUUGGUCGGAUUCAGUUUAGUCUUUGGUUUAAAGCCAAAUGGUGGCCAACCUAGUCGUUAGUAUAUGUACUUGUCCUUUGUUAAUUAUUAACAUUCAACCUCAGAAGCUGCAGCUGCAAGAAAAGGGAGAGAAUUUCUCUAUUCUUUGGAGACGAGCUUUCAAUGAUCGCCUCAUGCUUGUGGAAAGAAGCUUCCUUGAAGCGGAAGGUCUUAAGGGGAGAUGGUGGUUUAAGCAUUUGGUAAGCACAUAACCUGCGAAUUUCCAAAAUUUUUUCAUAUUAAUAACAGAUCUCUCAAGUCCUUUUAGGUACUCUGCAAAAUGUAUAAACAAGUGUCCAGUUAUCAAAAAUAAAAAAUAAAAAAUUGCCUCGAGCCAGUCCACCAUGUCUGGAGCACCUCUUAACAUACAAAAUGUAAAGUAGCUGAAAAUAUCUUGCAAAAUGCAUGAAUAUGUUUCAGGUCCCUAAAAUCAAGGAUUUAAGUGCCGCGGCACGGGGUCGUGCCGGAAACUUGCCGGCACGGUGCGUGCCGAGCCGUGCUGACGCGUUCCGGUCAAAAAAAUUCUUGUGUGCCGACACAUAAUAGCAUGAAAUAUUUAUUUUCUUUAGCAACAAAAUAUUCUAACUAUUUAUUAUGUAUUUUUAUCACAUCUUUUGAACUUUAUUGAGGAAAUUACUUACUAAUUUAAAGAAUAGAAGGUUUUGAGCUGUGCCAUCGGUAUGGGGUUUGUAUAGUGCCGGUAUCUUGUUAGCACGGUACGGCACGGUGGAUGCGGCCCAUGCCAACGGGCACUUAAAACCUUGUCUAAAAUCUUCCAAAAAACUUCACACAGCCGUCCUAUAUUUUAGUGCAUUUGUAGUUCACUACCUACAGUUUCUAUUCCUGUUACACCAUAAUGACCUCCUAGUAAAGGUAGCUUAGAAAUGGCUCGUGGGGUCUCAAACCAACUCAGUAUGUGGGCACAAAUGAGAGCCAUGAAAACCCCUUGUGCCAUUUCUAUCCUGAUGUUAAUGGAGGUCCUUAUAGUGGAAGGAAAUAGUCAGCAUGGUGUUGUUAAAUACAACGAAUGAAGGCACAUGGUAGUGCAGUGCAAAUGUGCUGAACCGCAAGGGUGGUCUUUGAAAGUCUUCCAAAUGUCUUCUAUGUACUUUCUUGUAAAAUGUAGUGUCUGAGACAUCGAGAAAAUAUCGUCCAAGACAAGUCCACCAGCUGUAGUGAUUAGACACAUAUCCCAUGUCUACUUUUGAUCCUCACCACUGUUGAAGGAUAAAAAGAUACUCUUUAAAGCCUUAGUAUGGAUGCAAUCAACGGGCGGUUGCAAUGUAAAGUAGAAAUGGGAUCGAGAAAAAUCAACUGGGGUGGUUGGUCGCUGACAGGGUGAACUAGGUUCAGCCAAUAGUUUCUUCAAGUUUUCUUAUAAGACAGCAGUUCUCUUUAUGCUCAGAAUGUGCUUCAGCAUUCUAUAGAAUGAACUAGAAAUAACACCGAUUGGGAUGAGGGAUGUAUGAAAAUACAUAAUCUAGUAGGUGGGGUGUAUAUCUGAACACUUUUAAAUGUCAAAUUCAAAAUCGUAUUCUGUCCUCUAAUUUUAGAAGUUUCUGUUUGAUUCUUUACAGUUGUACUCGCCUCCCGAGGACUACGAAAGUCAGCUCUCGUUCUUUCCCGGCAUAGCAGAUGCUAUUUCUCGAGCUGCAAAUCAGAGUGAUAUGGAGCGGCAAAGGAUAAUUCAGCAUGAGAUAUGGAGAGUUGCUAGAGCUAUUCAACGGGCCGCGAGUGCUCUUAAAGGAGAGCUCUUUUAGCGGAUGCGGACCUGUUUUGUAUGGUAUAAGAUGUUUUAUUAUUAUGUACAUAAAGCAGUAGUCCGCUAACGAAAGAAAAUAUUGCGACGUUCGAUUGCUUAAAAAAUUGUCUAGUGCUUCUUCCUUGAAUUUUCAUUUUACCCAGGUAGUAAUUCUUGGAUCUUCAAAUCUGCGGGUAGGAAUGGAGAAUGGGCUGCUCGGUAGCCGUGCGCGGCGCGGCCUGCGACUGUUAGUCAUCCGCUGGUACGCUCCAACUGCCUGUGGCACUUGGCCUGGCCUGCCCCUUUUUUGUCUCUAAUAUUUAUUUCUAGUUCACCGACCGUCCCUAAAGCAAGUUGCAAAGGGUUUGGUGGUUGGUAUGCGAGACCCAAGUUCGAUUCCUAAUUGAUUCACAUUUCCAGCUAAGUUUAUUUCUAAAUGAAAUAAACGAAGCGGGUAGCGUGCUAUCUAUCUCUCAAAAAAAAUAUUUAUUUCUAGUUCUACUCUAUAAUAUCCCUAUGAUUUAAACUAUACCUUCUAUACCCAUAUAUUAUUCCUCCUAAAUUUGUCACGUGGUAAUGUUCUUUUCAUUGUUGAGUGUGGGCUUCAUUCGGAACCGGCUCAUGACCUUCAUAUGUUUGUUUUUUUUAACUUGAACCGAAUCCAGUUUCUCUCUUUCUUUGCUUGAAUCGGAUUGAUCAUUGUUAAAUGUGGACUCUACCUGGGCUUCACCCCGAACCGGCUCAAGUCCUCUACAUAUUUUUUGCUUGAACUGAAUUUGAUUUUCCUCUUUAUUUGUUUCUACAUGUUUUUUGCUUUUUUGCUUGAACCGAAUAUGAUUUUCCUCUUUAUUUGUUUGAACCGAACCGGAUGAAUCUGUUGCAUUGGGCUAAACCGGCCUAAUUGCUCCACAUAUUUUCAUCUAUAAAUUGAAUUUUUCUUUUUUUUUGCUUGAACCAAACCGAGUUUCCCUCUUUCUUUUCAUAAGCUGAAUCGGACCAAACCGAGUUUCCCUCUUUCUUUUCAUAAGCUGAAUUGGAUCACACCUCUACAUCAGGCUGGGCGGUUACUGUUUUUCUUCCUUCAGUUGUUAUCUUCUUUCAUUGGUAAGAUAAAUUAUACCCCUCAUCUUCGCUUUUUUUUUUUUUCCUUUGUCGGCAUUUUUUAUUUUUUCUUCAAUUAUCUAUUCUUUGUAUUGCACGAGUUACUACACUAGUUGAAUAUUAAAGCUAUCUAAAUUUACUUAGUAACAACAUGCAUUUUGUAAAACUAAUAAUAAUAUGUUUUAAAAAAUUCAGAAUUUGCAUUGUAAAUCAUAAGCCGCGGCGGGCCACCUACAAGCCAAGGCCACAAUGCAACCCUAUCUGUACAGAUUUAUUACACUUGGCAGCACAACGCAAAUUUUCUCAGCCCGCCAAAGCUUUUAGCUUGCUGAUAUUGAUGACUUCUUUGUGCUUCGUUCGAAUCCUUCUGAUGUCUCUACGUCUCCAUGAUAGACGUAUGAUGAUUUGUCGUUGUCAUGCCAUCUCUCAGAAAAGACUCAGUUACUGAUAUAACUACCCAAGGCUGAAGUUGUAGAACCAAGAGUCUUCGGAUGGACGAUUUAAAACCAUUGGUCAAUGCUCUCAACCGCCGCGUUCUUGUUUGUCUCCGAGAACAUUGCUCAUAACAUCAUUGUAGAGAUUUCACUCUCCUCAUCGUUAACUAGCUUAUGAUUCACACUAAAAUCUAUCAAAUUGAUAACAGAAGGAAAUAAACAAAAAGGUUGUUUCAUGUAGGCAAAUGGACUUUUCUAAAUUUAUCGAAUGCAAUAUGAUAUUUUCAUAUUUCAAAUAAAUAAAAAAAAUAAAUAAAUAAAGGCAAUGAAAGCAUCGCAUCUUAAAGCUCAUUUACAAAGUACUAAAUAGCAAUAUAAACACUUAACACGUAGAACCGCCCACGGUAACGUGAAAUCAACAAACCAAAUUUCUGGUUAUAUUGCUGCGUUUACUUCAAAUACAGAUGCUGGGCCCACUUCAGAGAAGAUUUGAAGUCACCAAAAGUCGACUUUUAUUCAGCAUAAACAAUGCCAACCCGAUUUAACUUCCACACGAUUCCAACCUAAUUUCCAUUUUGAGUAAUUCAUAGAUUUGAGAUACGAGAGAUGCACUUAUUUUGCAAUAGCCUCCUAAUAAAUUCAACCAUAAUAAUAGUACAACUCCGAAUUUCCCUAUACACUAGGUCAAGAAAACAGAAAGCAGCUGUUAACAAGAUCCAGAUGAACAAAACUAUACCCUGUAUACAUCACCUAACAAAAUAAAGGGGUUAAAAAAAAAAAAUAAAAGAGGAAAGAAAAAGAAAGCCCGUCUUUAUGUACUUAAAAUACACUAGAAAGAAGAUUUGGUAAAUCUCAACCAAAUCAAGCCCCCAAACCCCCCCAACCCAUAAUAGAAACACAAAGAGAACUUAGAACUAGAAAAAGCGGAGUGUGCUGCUGACGAAGAUGACACAACUCUACAAAGUAAUCUCUCCAAUAAAAGCAUGCGACAAAAAUUACGUGGCGAAUCCACCACUAAACCUCAUAAGCUGCGUAAUUUUGUUAGGAUCAAACGUAUUUCAGUUUGUUGAUUCUUAUCCUGCAAGCUUGGUGGUGAAAGUUGCUGAGUUUGAGUACCAACGGUGGAUUAUUUUGUCCUUUUCUUUUCUAGUUGUAAAUUUUCACAGGUUUCUCAAAGGUAUGCCGGUUCUGCAGAGGGACAAAUCACACAAUAUUUGUUUAAGAAAUCACAGUAAAACAUUAAUAAUAUUUUUUGUUGUAAGAAAGAAAAUUAGGAUGUGAAAACACCCACCCAAAAUAGCACAACUUGACCUACGCCCUCCCAUAAAACUAAAUCUACAUUUAUAACGCCCCCUUAUCCUCCUUCCAUUAUAUUUUCAAAAAAUUGAAAUACACCUCAAAAUGAUAAAAGGGGUGAUUUCAAACGUAUUUUUAUAUUUUCUACCAAUUCCUACACGAAAAUUGUUAAGCGUCAAGAAUUCAAACGCUAAGGGGUUUAAAUAGCAGGUUUACUGUUUUGGAAGGGAAAAAGAGUGCACAUUACAAUAUUUGGAUAAAUUAGUAUAAAUGGAUGGAAUUUAAAAAGAUAUCGGUACUUUACCUGAUUAGCUGAGAAAGACCUCUUUGGUGUAGUGUCUGAGUGCUCCAAUCCAAGGUACUGCUCCCAGGGUCCAUAAACAUUUCUCUGAAUUGAAAAGGAAAAACACUGAAAAAUUAAAAGAAAAUAAGAAAGAGAUAUUAUCCUGGAAAUAGCUACCAAGUGCUUUACAUACCUGAAAUCGACUAGACACUACAUCUGAAUCUUCAAGGUAGUCAGGGCGACCAAGUGCGAAGUAUGCAAAUUUCCACUGAUCCAAAAUAAUAAUUAAAAAAAAGAGAGAUAAUAAUUAUAAGUAUGUUAAAAUAGUUCAGGCCAUUUUUUCCUUUUUUAUAAAAUCAACCCCUGAAUUUUUUCUUUUUUUGUAAGUACCCCCUGAGUUUCUGUUUGUUUUGAUUUGAGUUAGUAUUUGCCAAAUAAAGAGGGGAAUUUGUUAAUAGUUAAAGGCCAGUAGCUAACAAAAGCAUUAAUUUCAAUGGAAUCCCCACGACAUAUGAUGGCACUAGCUCAAACAAAAGGAAAUAGUAGAAGGGUGUUAACCAGAGAGAGAGAGAGAGAGAGAGAGAGAGAGAGAGACUAUUCCAAGAUAGGUUAUAUUUGAGGAACUACCCUACAUUUUAAAAAUCACAACAAUUAAACAUAUGGAUUGUUUUCUCAGUAGAAUCAGAAGCCUAACCCUGCAAAGGGAGUAAUCAGGACUAAAUGUUACAAAUCAUCUUUAUUUUCGGGCCACACCCAAGUUGAGCCAACCUUCUAAAACCAAUGAGUUAAUUACUGGCGUUCCAAACAAUUUUAUUAUGAAAAAUAAAAAUGUUUCCAAAGUGACUCCAAGUAGACAAUGGUGAGAAAUUUCCCAACAAUGAGGAAGUAAUUACGAUUGUUACCUACACACAUAUCUGUGCAAGAUCCUUUUAUAUAUUAAAAAUUCACAUACCCCUUAAAAGUGUAGCAUCUUAUGAAAAUUCCAUUAAGUUUGUGAGUCAUCCUUCUAUAGGAGUUUUAUAAAAAUAAGAAAAUGGCUGUAAUUGCACUUUAGAGUUGCUAUCUUAAAUGUUCAAGAUGAUAAAGUAUUCAAAAUUGCAAAGGCAUGAGUACCUUCGAGAAAUCCUCAUCAGGAACCUGAAGUUUCUUCUGGAUGCGUACUUUGACCUCAGAUAAAGUUUCACCUUCAUGGAUGACCAUGAAGAAAGGUUCCCCAAAGUUCUGAAUUUGCUGCAGAAAUCAAAGUGAAAAAGAAACAAUAAGAGGGCCUAAGUGGUAAAUUCUUGCAAGUUGAUUGGAAGUAUAAUGAAAAGGAACACCUUAUAUGAGAAAUCGUUAAAACAAAAGUCGGGCUUUUAUACAUCCCCUGCAUAAUCUUUCAUGUAAAUAAGCCCCUAUAUCUCAAUUUUCAUCAAAAACGACUUGAAAGGACGAAGACCUCCGUUCUCCUAAAAGAAUAGCAGCUGAAUUCUAAUAUAUAUAUAUAUAUAUAUAUAUAUAUAUAUAUAUAUAUAUUGCAGGGGUAUAAACAUAAAUGUCUCGUUUAUAUAAACAGAUGAAAUAGCGAGAAGGAAAAAAACGUAGUUCAAAAUUUAGGAAUUAAUAUAUCACCUGGGUUUGCGGAUCUUUGAUGAUGUGAUACACAUGAAUCAAGCGAUCCUGAGGUCCGACAUUUUUCUCUUCUUCUGGUAUCUGAGAGGAACGAAAAGAAAGGGCUUUAGAAUAAAGGAGAUUUUGUCCUAAAUUAAAACAAAAAUAAGUAGCAAAAUAUUAGGUAACUAAGAGGAAACUGUAGCCCGAUGUCUUUUGUUACUUUAGUUGACUUCUGUUGAAUAUUGAAUUAAUUUUCUCCACAAAAAGGAAAAAGAAAAAAAAAAGAAAAAGGGAAAAGUUUAGAAACACAAUAUUAGCUCGACUUCAGAUGAAUAAUUAUUAGAUUAGGUUAAAGUUUUGUUACAAAGAAUCACAAAAUAGCUACAAGGUGAACAUGGACGAGAGGGAAUCAUACCUCCUCAGCACGCAAUGUCCAAUAUUGAUCGUUAAUGGUUUCUAUCUUCUCAGUAAGUGGAAAGACCUGCAAGAAGCAUAUAAGAAAUUUGACCAAAAUGCCCGAGAGCUAGUUUUAGGAGUUCAACAUAGUUAUAUUGAUAAUAUCUCAGGCUUACAAUAUCUGUCUAAGUUCAAACUAGUAGCACACCAGACGGUUUGGAACUUGUUUGGCAUGGCAAGAACAUCUACAUAGGUGCUGUUCCAGUAAAAAUAAGCCAGAAGCUUUAACAUCUUUUUCCUUAAAAAAUCCCUCAAAAAGCUUGACAACAGCUUUUACUACUUGUUAAAGACCCAUGUUGGCUUUUCAAGACUGGAAAUUUUGGUUGCCAAACAGUUUUCUUCUAUUACUCAACCCCACAUAUAUUUGCAGUUAGUAUGAUAACUCACUGGGGCAAGUGUAGACUUGCUUUAAGCCUGAAGUUAGCUGGACAACUUUCGGGACAAAGUGGAUGUAGGUUCUAGGAGUAUAGGUUGUGGGAGUGAUUAACUAGCCUAUGUUUAUAGGAACAGUGCAGAUUUAAGGUUAGAGUAACAUAAGUUUAUAGCACAAGGAUCUAAAUGAUUUGGGUACUUCUAAACACGGCAAUACAAGUCACAACACUUCUACCUCUGAAAAUAGGAAUAUCAUGAACUGUGUCGAGCAUGCAGAAGUGAACUUGCAUAUGAUCUUUCGUCUAAAUGAAUGAUCUCUUGGUCUUGACCUUUCCUUUUUAUUUAUCUUGAAUGAUUUGGUGAUUACAUACAACACAACCAAGGCCAGAAUCUAUGAACCAGCUUACCAACUCCAAUCAUAUCUACUCCAAUCGUUCCAUAAUUUCACUACCAUCUAAAACUCUAUGAUUACUUGUCUAAUUGGAUAUUUGCUUCGUGGGUUUAAUCAACCAAGGAGCUAGUUAAGGUUUAAUUUGGACAGCAUGGUCGCAUUUCAAUUGGCUCAAACAUAUAAAAUUCAUUUAAGUAAUCAAGGCCUCAAACUUAUUCAUAAUGGUGACAUCCUCAAAAAUAAGGAUUGACAACAACCAAAAUAAGGAAGAACAACUAGAUUAAACUGUAUGUGGUAAACUGUAUGUGGUCAUAUUUGAAUCAGCUAGAAAAUCAGUAUUAACAAAAAAAAUGCAAAGGCCAAGGAAGAACACUUGUUUCCAUUAACAAUAACAUUUGUGAAUAACAAAUUCUGAAUAAACUUGCAAUACAACACUAGCUGAGAUGCUCAAAAAUAGACUGGCACCUUAUAGAUCUUGUGGUAAAAGACCUCAAUCAAUCUGAGUUCAGCAUUAUGAUGAGAUAACUCAACCUGAUCCACAACAAAGACCAUUUGAAAUGAUGAGGCCUUAAGUACCAAUCUAAAGAAAGUGUUUUUCAGAAUAAACUGAUUUUGGGAAAUGUCACCUUUGAUUUCAGCUCAUUGAGUACAUCGCCAACCGUGCUAUUUUUUGGCAGUCUGAUACAGUGAACUGACACCUGAUAAAAUUCACAUUAGGUUCCAGCAAAAAAAGAAAAAAUAUAAGGGUGACCCCGUCCCGCGGCCACGCCGGGGAAAAAAAUAACACAAAGUACUAUCGAGCUGACCUCAUUCUUUGUUGCAUGAUAAAAUGCAACUUUUAGAGUCUUCAAUCCUUGCAACUCCGGCAGAGGAAUAUCCAAUACUUCAUAAUACAAUAUAUCACAAGUCUGAUCCAUGCAAAGUAAAUAGACGCCAUUAGUCUUCAGAUAAAUUUCAUAAAAGAGAUUUAAGAUUCAUUUUCAGGUAAAAUGUAUGGACAGCCCCUCCCUCUACUAUCCCGAUACUGUGACCCAAAUACCCAACCCCUGAACCUUUCCCUUAAACACUUUAGUCCAUGAAAUUUCUCAUAUAUUGCUAAUUCCAUCAUUGGACACUAAAAGAAAUCCUGUAUAAUAACCAGUUUACUCAUGCAAAAUACUUACUUCGGUAUAAAAUAGGGAUAAAAAGGUCAUUGUACCCAAAAAAAAAAAAAAAACUCGCUCGCUAUCAGACUUUCCUCAGUGGCCUGGGAUGGAAUUGCAAUAUAUGAGAAAGGUUGAGGACUGAAAAUUUUCAGUCAAAAGGUUCAGAAACUAGAUUGCAAUAGAGUAAUAGGACAGGAACUAGCCAUACAUCUUAUCCUUCAAAUUUUUGACCUUACAGAUGUUGACAGAUGAAUAACCUGAUUGUAAUGAACCAACAUAUCUGCCAGGUGCUCUACACCUCGGUAUUUGAUGGGUUGAGGUUUAGGCUGUUGCGAAUAGCAGUUAUGAGAUGUAAGCCGGAUCUUCGAUGGAUCAUCCACGCCAAGUUUAUGAGCAACUCUUUCAACAACAUCAUCAUAGGUAGACAGCUUUGAUCUUGGAAAAAGGCAAAAACAAUGGCACAGGUGAACUAACAAAAUAAUAAUCUAACUAUCAAAAUGGAAAGGUGAAAACUUACAGACGUUACUUGAACUAUAUAACAUUUUGAAAAGGGUAUAAAAAAUUUAAGACUUUCGAAUUAUUGUUCCAUCAAAAAAAAUCAGAAUACUCAAAUCAACUAAAGCCAAUUUCAUAAGCUUCCAGAAUAUUCCAUUAAAAAAGUUUACAAUACUGUUAACUUGAAGAAUUAGGAAAUAAAAUCAAAAUUUUCGAAGUACAACUACCCAUUUCAAGCAAAGAUCUAUGUUUUUACCAAAAAGAAAAAAUUAAGAAAAAAAUUUCAAACACUUACAGCUCUAAAGAGAAGUCAUCCUCCUUUGGCUUUUCCAGUGAUCGGAAAUGGACAACCUAUGUCACAUCACACAGAAUUUUAAAGCUCCGAUAAUAAGAUAGAGGGCCAGGUUUUAAAACAAGGAACAAUGUUAGAUUCCAAGCCAUAUGAGAUAGAAAAGGUCAAAUUUUUUUCCAAGAUAAGAAUUAUACAAAAUAUCAAUAGAAAUAAGCACCAUUAGACAUUUGUAUUACGAGUGAAUACCACCAUCUGCAGUAAUUACAUACGCUUGAAAAACCAUUAAGAAAGAGGGGUAAAAAAAAUUCUCAAAAUAUUGAAAAUAACCACCAAUGAGAUAAGUCUCAUGCAGCUGAAAUAAUAGCAUUGCAUAAAAUGAUAAAAGACUGAAAUACACCUGUCGAUUAUGGAUAUACUCCAAAAAUGAUGGCACAUCAGGAUAGGGAUACUGAUGUUCAUUAUCUGGUGUAGGUGAUUUUUGAUAACAAAUAAUAUCUCCAUCUUCAAGCUACAAAAAAAUAUUCAAAUAAGACAACAAUAUUCAAGCAUAAUAAUAUCUCCUUCAUGCUGAUAAUUUAUAGACAUUAAAUAAACCUGGCUAGCCCGAAAAGAAAGCUUCUUGUCAACAUGUUCACACAUCACAGUUGGUUCAAACUUUAUUUCCUGUAAUUUGGAAAACAAAGAAAAGAGUAGAAAACCUCAGAUAAAUUUGACUAGUAAAUCAGAUAUACAACAAGGAAAUGAACCAAGGAUCAAAGAAGGGACUUUUAGUAUAAGUACAACUGAAUGCACCUUACAUAUGUACUCCCAUAAAAUCUGAACUUUCAUAUAUGCCAAUCGAAAGUGUAGUAUAAAAAAAGCCCUUAUAUUAAGUUGGGAGCUACCCAAUUUGUGGAAGGAAAUUCGUUUUCCAUUAGAACAAGCUCUUUUAAAACAGACUUUUCUGUAAGAAUAAGAGUAUAUAUGUAAUAUAUUAAAUUUCUGAAGGACAACAGAAAAAUUCAGAUUUUACAGGAGUAUACCUGUCAAUAGAUGAUUUUGCAAGGGCACAUACAUAAAUAUCUCAUCAAAGAAAAAGUACAAAAUAAGAAUAUAUCAAUAUAGAAAAACUAGUUAGCAUAUCACAUGGGAUCAGACCUCAAAUAGUUCAAUCUCCUCAUUUGGUGCAAAGCCAGCCAUCUCGUUCAGUUUUGGUAGAAUUUCAGACGGCUUUCCUGGAGCCUUCACGAAUAGCCUUCCCACAUAUCUAUAUAUUUAUUGAAUGAAAAGAUAUUAAGUUGAAUUUUGUAUGAUUAAACAAAAGAACACAACAAGAACACAAAACAAGAAGAGGAAAAAACUUAGCACUCCAAGGAAAGGAUGAAAACCUGAGCUCCUUUUUAUCUGGCUCGUAAAGCUUGAAAAAAAGCAAUAUAUCUUCUUUCAUCUUAUCUGGGGGAGGAAGUGGGCGCCGGUCCUACAUGCCACAAUAGCCACAUCAGCGUUCAUACUGCAGAUUUAAUACAGAGAACACUCAUGCUAAAUGCCAAAAGAAAAAGGCUUACAAGUCCGAGCUCAACUUCCAAGAACAACUUCAAGUCAGCACUAUGUGCUCUGUUUGAUGCAUCCCUUAUAUUUCCAACCUAAAAUAGAAAGUUCAUUUUGCUAGUUAUUUGUAUUUAAAAAGGGAAAUAAACUAUGAAUGGAAAAACUCGGAUGAACUCUGCAAAAUGAACAGCAUUGUCAAAGAACAAGCAACGCCAAGGUGCCUUUGGCUUUUAUUUGUGUUUUUUUUUUAAAUCAUCAAGCUCUUUAAGGUUAGAAGCACUCUGGAUAGACUUCAUUAUUUUGCUGUUGUUGGUUUCUUUGCAAUAUUUAAGAAUUUUGUUUGAAAAUAAAUGAUAAAAAUAAAGAGUAAUUUUUCUUGUUCUCUUGGAGAAUAGGAGAAGUCAUAAAACAAGCCUAUGACAACAAAAGUAAAGAAGCCCAUCCCAAUAAAUAACCAAAGAAAACAAAAAAGAAACAGCUCUAGGGGGAGAAAAAAUUUAGCACGUCAGUCUAGGACAUUUUAUCAGCAAAAUUCUUUAUGUAUACAAAACCUUUCUCAAAGUCUCUGAAAUGGUAUUCGGAGAGUGCAAAUAAACACCCAAAAGAAAAUCACAAGUCUCAUAUAUAAGAGGGAAACGUGUGUCCAGAUUAGCAAAAUCAGAAGAAUAACAGUAACACCCACUCACUGACACAAACACUCCAACAAGCAUAAACCAAAACUAUCUAACAUGGUAUUUUGCCAGAGAAAUGUGACUGUUAAGGAAAACAGAUACAGAAGAAUAAAGUUAGAAAGACGAUGCAGCAAAUAAAGCCAUAGAUAUGAAAGCAAGGAGCAGUUUCGCAGUUAAAUAUGGAAAAAGGAAGAUUCUUACGUAUUAAAAAUAUUCUAACUGACCCAAAAUCGCAAUGUGCCAACAACUUUAUUAUUCGACUAAAUUGUAUUAAAAAUGAUUAAUGAACAAGAUAGGUUCAUCUUUUCAGGAAAAACUGAACUGCCUGAAUCAAUUGGGUUAAUAAAUACAUUAUACGAAACUAAGCAGAUUAAAAGGAACAAUAAAGCUACAACUCGGCUGGGUUCACUUUUUACUAUCUUACCGUGCUUGUAAAGGUUCAAAUAUAUACUACUGGAAAUUCUGAUAUUCUAUGAACCGCAACCAUGAAACACAAUAGCACUACAGCAGAUGUUAAUGCUAUGCACCCAAAUAUGAAAAGAUAUACAAAAUAUUAGACAUUUAAUACACCACCACUAUUAGAAGUUCAAAACUGAACCAAAAUCAAUUUGUUUUGCAAAACCCAAAUCAUUAAAAAGAUAAAUGGAACAAACCAAUUGAAAAAUAGUAAAUUGCAUAGGCCCUGAACUCCUCCGAAAGUUUCAUUUGGGUUCCUAAUCUUUCGAAAAGGAUAGGUGACACCAGGUAAUCUUUCCACCAUCCCCCGUUGAGUCACAACAAAGCUGACAAUGCAACCAUUUCAACAAGGAUAACCAUGCCACUGGCACUAUGGACCAGGACAUGCUGAUGUGCCGCCAGCACACUACCACACUACAGCAGGGACCCUAUGUUAUAUAUGCCGUUGCCCGUGCUCAGCACAGGCUUAUUGGCAUUGGCAGCACACACCAUGUGGAACGGUAUGGAGAUCUUUGCAUAUCAGAGAUUUAGAUCGGGUGACAAACAAGCUAACAUGGUAGCUACUUCAGCGUAGGGUAAGGGGCAGAAAGGCUGACAUAGCAGCCACAUCGUCAAGGGAUGGAUAUGCUGACAUGACAGCCAUGUAAGCUCCGCCAUCACUCAGCUUAAUGAAAGAUUGGAAAAGUUACUACAGUUUGGGUGUCGCUUGUCCAGUUAAAGAACAAGGAACAAAAUGACUUUUGGAGAAGUUAGGGGAAGAUUACUGCAAUUUACCCACCAUGAAUACAUUAAAUACCCAAAAGUAAUAAGCCAAAUGAGAUCAGUAUGGCUACAUAAAACAAAUGAUCCUCCUGAUGAUAAAAUUGCGUAUGCCCAAAAAUUUUACUUACCAGCUGUGCUUCCUCUUGAGGAGUCAAUGGACGAUUAGGACGGUACGUAUGGUUUUGCCGCUUAGCCCACACCCAAAAGCGUUGAAACUGCACAGGGAUUCCAAACUCUUUUGCCACCUCCUCCUGCAUAACCGAAAAACAUCACUAACAAUGAACCUUUUUUUAAGCAGAAAUAAAUAUGUACACCCCUCAAAAUAUAUAGGAUUCAUUGAUGCCCUCCGAAAGCUGGCAAUAUAAAAGAUGGUCUACAACACAUCAAACAUACUGAUAAAUGCCGUUAAAAAAAUUGUAAAUGCCCCUGAAAAUGAAAUUAAUAUUUUCGUAAACGCUGUGAGAAUAAGGAAUUUUUGAGUGUUUAUGUAUCUUAAUUAACAGGGACAUCUAUAGUAUUUCAAACUUUUGAAAGGAAUACAAGAACUUAGUGUUUUUGUGCAAUAUGAGGGAAAUUAACCCCAAAUUUUUUGAUACUGCACUGAGAAACAUUAAUUCAACAACUUCACGGAAAAAUAGGGGAAGCACAAUAUUAAAAUGGUUAGGCAAGAGUAUCAGGUUAUGCAAAACAAGCAAUAGUACAUUGUUAUUGCCAAAUAUUUUCAAAUAUUAAUAUAUAUAUAUACAUAUAUCCUGAAAAAUUGCCUAUUUCCAUACCCCUAAAAAAUCAAAUUUCUAUAUCCCAUUCAGACACUAGAUUUCUUACAUAUGCAUCCUAUAUUCCUGAAAUGCGCCUGAUCACAAACCUUUUUCAAAUGCAAAACCUACUUCCCCUCAUCAAUUGGAUGACCACCCCUUUAUUCAAGAUAAGGGUACUUCUGUACAAAGAGUCAAAAAUGCACUUUUGGGGGCGCAUAUAUGACGAAUUCAGACAUAGAGAUUUUAUGGGGUAACUAAAUGUAAAUAGAUCACUUUGCAGGGAUAUACACGUAAAAAGUUCAAAAAAAAUUAAUUGAGAUCAUUAAAACUAACAUAAUAGCUCUGCCCAGUCAAUGAAAAGAUGAACUCGUUUCUGAAAUCACUUCCAACAGUUUAACAAUAGAAAUUUAUGUACAUCCCAUUUAUUAAAAUCUCAACUGUUUCUAUGAUAUCACUGCAGCUUUAGUACAGAAACUAGGCAGUAGGAAAAGAUCUGCAGUAGAUAUAAAAUCCUUUUCCAAGAUCUAUAUGAAAGACAACUCUAAAGUCUAAACAAGCAAAACCGAGAAUAACAAAUGUAAACAUGUCAUCUUAAUUAAUAUUUCCCCCUACUAUAUAUCAUAUUACAUAACUAGAUGUAUUAUACAUAUAUGCAUCCCCUGAUGCCGGCAGUACUAUAGCACAAGCUUUGAAUUAAUACAGUUAAACAUCAUCAUAGCAUAUACCUAUAACUACAGUUGAUGGCCGUUACCUUGAAGUGCAUAAAGGGAAUCUGUUUCUGGACACGAAAGCUGCGGACUUUAUCAUGAUCAACAAGAUCAAAAUAUAUCUCUUUGCCAAUCUGCUCUGACAAAUCCUCAUCUCGGGCCACCUACAUGCAUCAAGAAUUAAUCCAAGUCAUGAAAGCAAAAAAGAUGUUAGACAGAACAGACCCAAAAAACAUUAGCACCUUUAUGAUUGUAUACAAGUGAGCCUCCGCUUUUUCCUUCUUCUUGAGCUCCUUUUCUUCCUGCUCUUUCUUCAAUCUUAUCUGGAAAUGAUAUUGGAAAUUACAUAGAAAUUGUUGACAUUCAAUUAUCAACUACAAAUUUUUUAAAAAGGUUAAAUUGUAUGGAUAGUCCCUCUACUACUCUGAGAGGGUGCAUUAGCCCCUGAACUUUCCACUUAUGUGUCAUUAGCCCCUGAACUUUCCACUUAUACGUCAUUAGCCCCUGAACUUUCAACUUAAACACAUAACUGAACUGACCUUUUUGUGUAUUGCAAUUUGAUUCCUGACAGGAAAACAAACCUUUUUUUUACCCUGUAAAAUGACCAUUUUGCCAUUAUCUUGUAGACAUUCCUUUUCAUAGAGUACUUGAAACAGGGAUAACGAGCUCAUUUGGUAGAAGUCACUGUCAAAUCUCUUUUCUGCGGUCAGGUGAAUUGCAUAUAUGAAAAGGUUCAAGGCUCAGAGACUGCAUGGGAAUAGCAGGAAAGCACAAGGGAACCAUCCAUACAUUUUACCUGUAUUACAAAUUAUCUUACUCGAAGGUGUUCAGCUAUGUCUUUCUCAUCCACGUUACAAAUUAUUUUCUCCUUGUCGCUUUCACGAAUGUACACAAGCAUGUAUGCAUUCGAAUACUUCGUGAACUUAAACGGAGUAUUAUUCACGCCGGGAUUAGCCGGAGGUAGCUGCAGUAAACAAGACGUCAACUGUGCAAAACACAAAUGAGCUAAAGAGCACAACAACAGGAAGCUGUUUCUUGAGCAAAAGCCUAUAUCAAACCUCUUCUUCGCCACCAUACUGUUCUUCUAAUGCCCUUUUUACAUCCUCUUUCGUCACUCGCUCAUCAUCAAACUUAAACCUGAAAUUUUAAUUCUAUUUCAAUUGCUUACAAGAAUGCAAAGUUGCAAAACAAACCAAAAUCAAAGAAACCUAGCAGUGGGUUUAGAUACGUGCAAAUAAGAUCAUGUGAGAUGCUUCCAGACAGCAAAAGUCUGGUAUCGCUAAAACAAAAAAAAUCUCCUAGAUAUCAUAACUUACCACUGAUCAGAGAGAGUAGGUCGGAUGAAGGCAUAAUAAUGACCACCAUGAACCCCACCACUGUGAACAAGAACACUACUCAAAGAACAAAGAAGAGAAGUCAGCACAUUCAAUUAACAAAAAUAUUUCAGGAAAAACAGAAUAUAAUUUCCCUAGAAAGUUCAAAGCAUGAAGAUUUUGAAUACCAUAAUAGAUAGAGAUUAGGUAAGGUCUCCUUAAUAUCUGUGUUAAUCAUAUCCAAGAAAGCCAGAGAAGCAUAAGGUAUUUCAAUUCAAGGUUGACGGAAUUUCAUUUGAAGAGAGUAGAUGAUGCAAAAGUCUUUGAUCUCAUCUUAAAGCAAGCAGCGUUAUAAUAAAAGUAUAGGACAAGAUUUAAUAUUACUAGAAGGGAGAAAUGUAAUAGGAGAAAAGAAAAAAAAGGAAAGAUUAGUCACAGGAAUUUUUUUUGAAAGAAAGGAAAAAGCCUAUUGCCUGCAAUUCUUUUUCAUAAAAAAUCCACAAUGCACCUCACAAGUCAAAGAUAAAUCCUCUCUAUAAAUAAUAUGGCAUACACAUUUUGAGUUGUAUUAGAUCUGAAUUGAACACAUCAGAUCUGCAUGGAAUACUACCAAAUAUGGAUUAGAUCAUAACUAAUUUAUAAGAAUCAUAUCAAAUCUGGAUAAGAUCACAUCAAGUAUUGAUAAAUCAUAUAAACAUAAAAUCCAUUCAACAAUAGGCAAUAAAAUAAUUGGUUAGAUUUCUUACAAAGUUUUACCUGUGAAGAGUAUAAAGAUUGCGGACUGUCCGGUCUGCUUCCGGAGAAAGAUAUUUUCCGUUAUCUCGAUCAAGGUCUAACUGAAGUGGGAACUCAUAUCGAUCAUUAAUCUGCAUCUCACAAAGGAUAAGAGUUUAACAAUAAUAAUUGUCCAAUUUUCUUUUGCAAGAAAACAAUAAACAUGGUAAUUUUGCAGUCAUGGUAAAAUCCCAUAAAAAACUUAACCCACAAAAAAUCACAAGAAUUAGGUAUUAAGUCAUAAAGCUUAGAAACAUAUAUAGAAAUAUGCAGAUGUUACAUUCCAAAACAAUACGGAGCAGUGAAAAAGAAUUUGCAUCAGAGAAAAGUUGAAUGAAAUAUUGAAAAAGAAACAGAAUGUGAGUGAGUACGUGGAAGGAAUUAGGGGACAGAAUUUUGGUAAUAUUCUGCUUGAUAAUGUUUUGAUUACAGAUACUUGCAUUAAGAAAAGGAAUUUGGUUACUUUCAGGAGGUAAAUGAAAAUGUUACAAAGGGAGAGAGAUUAACUGAACAGCAUAAGUUAUUCGUUAAAUACAAGUGCUUGAAAAAUAGAAGUGGAACAAUAAAAUAGAGAGAUGCACUAAAUUUGGCAAUGGAAAUAAAAGAGGGGAUUGUAAAAGAGCUAAACAAAUGGUGUAUAAGUGAACUAUUUAUUGCAAAGGGUAUGCAAUAGGUGGACGUAAGCAGCCCAUAAAUGAUAUGUUCAAAGCAAUAUAACAGUAAUAGAUUUUUAUCAGUGUGUGGUAGACUGAAAUAAGUUAAAAGAAUUAAGGAAAACAAAAACAUUAGAAUAACCAAAGGCUUAUUUCAAUUCUAUAGUAAGGCAUCUUAACAUGAUAAAGAAUGUGUCUAAGUUUCAAAAAGUUUAUGCAGAAAAUUUUUGAAAUCAUGAAUAAUUAUAAAUAAAGUAAAAUCUAGGUAUAGAAUAGCAAAAUACAGCAAGGGUACUUGUGCAUCUUCAUAACACCGCGCUAACAUAGUAUGAAAUUUUACAUACAAAAAAUAAAAAGAAUGCCAAAUAUGACCCCAUUGCCCAACAUAUAUAGAUAAGCUACCUUGCACGGUUCAUAUUCAGAUGGAUCUAUGUAUUUUAUGAGAAUCACUUCGAAGAGAUAGACAUCAAAAAUCCAAAAUAAAGUAUAAUCACAAUGGAAAGAAAAAGAGAACAAAAUACCCAUACAAAAUGGUGAAAUAUAUAUAGAGAGACAGAGAGCUAGGCUCCUAUAAUAUCUAUAGUACCGGGACUCUAGUACUAUAGUCUCGUUUUCGAUCUUAGGGUGUUCAAAUCAACGAUCUACACCGUUAAAACUGAUCUAGGGUAUUUUAAGUUUUUAGGAAUAAAAUUUUAUACUUUUUCAACAUAGUUUACUUUAUGACCAAACCGUUUCAAAAUUGUCAAUUUUCAACAGCUACUAUAGCGAGUUUGUAGUUUAACGGUGUAGAAGAAUCUAAAUUUAUUCAAAUUUUGAUAGAAAAUACUUUAAACUAUCUAGAUUAAGGUCAGCAUCUUUGAUCUUGAAUUCAAAAGUCCUAUCCUUAAAUUUUAAAGAUUGUUCAAUUUCCACCAUCCAAUUUGGCAUGAUUUAUUCACUAAAUAAACAUGUCGAAAAAAAUUAAAAUUUUAUUCCUAAGAACUUUAUAUACCCUAGAUCAUAUGUAAUGGUGUGAAUCGUUGAUUUGAACACCCUAAGAUCGAAAACGAGACUAUAGUACCAGAGCUCCGGUACUAUAUAUAUAUAUAUAUAUAUAUAGUGAGGCUACUAUGCUAUCGAAAGUACGGAGCCUUCCNUUUCACGUGAUUUGGAUAUUUCUACACCGUUAAACUUGCAAACGGCUCACUACGGCCAUUGAAAUUUGUUGAUUUUGAGCCUAUUUGAUCACUAGGCAAAUGAUAUCGAAAAAUAAUAAAAUUUAUUUUCUAGGUACUCCAAAUACUCUAGAUCAAGUUUAACGGAGCCGAUCGACGAUUCGAAAGCCGCAACAUCGAAAACAAGCUGGAAGCACGGAAGGCCCCGUGCUUCCGAUAGCAUAGUAGCCUCACUCUAUAUAUAUAUAUAUAGAAUGUGUGAUGCAAAAGAAGUUAAAUUUCAAUGUCUAAAAGUAACGAUCACGCCAGUUCCCUUUCUUUUGAGAUAACAACAAUUUGAAUAACAAAAGUAAUGUGUUGUAGUAAUACAAACCUUCACCAUUGCAUCCCGCAUAAAAUCAUACUCAAAGCGUUUAAGCUGAAGUUGCAAAACAGGGGGAAAGUCAAGAAAAAGGACACCUUUCUUCGCAUCCUGAAAUAAUAUAAAAUUACGUCAAGAUCACCGUGCCCAAUAAAAAAAAUGAGCAUAAAGAUCAAUAUUCUUUCACCACGAAAGCAAGUUGUUCAUCAUUUUCCACCCAGAAACAGAUGCAAAUAAGGCAUCAGAAAUGGCCCAUUAUGCCACUUUCUAAGUAUUUAAAGGAAAAGUUCUAUACUCAUCUGCUUCAUAUUGCUAAACCCCAAUGAAUGUAAUAGCUCAUUCACUAUGCACCAUUAGAUAUUGAGUUACAUUCCUCACAAUAAUACUCGAGAGAGUUAAAUCAAAUCACCUUAAAACUCUACAUGAGUACUUAGGCAAACUUUCAUAGCACAAAAUUACAGGAACGACAAUUUUGGCAAUUCAUCCAUGAUUCUCCACUUCUAAAAUACUAGGGCUUUCCCUGUCACUAACUAAUAUUUCAUCCUUCAUUCUGCACACUCUACUAUACUAAUUCAUUAUUCUUUAAUGAUAACCCCAAUCUAACCCAAUCCAACAUCUUUAUCUUACUUCUAACAGAAAAGAGAUCAUGACAUCAAGCACUAUAACCCUAUUGAGAAGGGCACAGGUGCAGAGUGCACUAACAAAACCCAUAGGAUUAACCUGAGCCAUCAGCAUCUUAGCAAAUGAGCAUUAAUUGACUGGUACUAAAAAUUGAUAUCCAAGGAUCAUUUUGGCAAUGAAAUGUGAGAUGGACAACUCACAUUGAAACUUCAAAUAUGAUUUUGUUAGUACAGCCUACACCUAAGCUGAACUCCACAAAUUUGAGCAUGGCUCUUUAGAAGAAAUUUUUGUGUAAAAUUUAUUCACUCAUCCUCCAGCCCUUCCAUAAAGUCCUUUAAUGAAAAUAACAUUCUAAUAAGGUAAUCUCAAACAAAUGACACCCAAGCAUUCAUUUAUAAUUUAUUUUAGCUAGAUCAAAGCUCAAUUGGAACAUCAUUUUCCUUAAAUUUUCUAUGGAAAAUCAAGACACCAGAUACCCAAAAGUAGACCUGAGCAAAACCAUCAUCAAGCUGGGUUUAUGCCGGGCCUGACUUAGGGACUGGAUUUUUUUUUUAGUCAGUCCAGGAAAAAAACAUAAAAUUUCAGACCCAAGCAUGACCUAUAGGACUUGUUGAGGCCGGGUCAGGCCAAGUCAAGUAAUUAAACACCGGGACAGGACAGGUCAAUUAAAGAAAAGGAAAAUGCGGACCUGGCCGUGCUACCCAAAAGGGCCCAAAACACAAGUAGACAUACAAGUUAGAAGAGAUAUAAAUUAGUGAACAUGGGUUGCUAGUUAUGCUUUGAUUAGGGAAAUACGGUUCACUGAAGGAAUACAAAUGAAACUCAAGCAAAUGCCAAGCCAAAUACCAAUGUCUGACUAAGUAGGUGUCAUGGCACAUCAUUAAUAAGUAGCGCAUAGGAAUAAAUGCAUUGAACGCAAACUAGUAGGAAAAUACACAAGUCACAAAAAAAAAGCCCACAUGAGCAAAGGUUAAAAAUCAAUUUACAAUUUUACAUGACCAGAUUUUACAGAAUAAAACAGAGGCAUAGUAAAAGCCUAAAGUAGGAACUAGGGUAGAAUAAGUGAGAAGGAACAACGGCAGAAAGACAGGAAAAGCCUAAGUAAGAACUGUGUAGAAUAAGUGACAAGGAUAAAAGCAUAACCACCAAAAACUCCUAUUCCACAAUAUCCAGUGCAAAUAUGCGGUCAUUCUGCAUGAGGUCAACAAAGAAGUCAUUAUACAACUAAACUACCUUAGUGAUAUACUAUCACGAUGAAGGUUUUCGACUUCACAACUUCACAUGUCACCCCUAAUAUCUAUCAGGGUAGAAAAUGAAAAUACAAGAGCAGAACUUUAAAAGGUUGAUUUUAGAAGCCACCAUGACCAUAACUGAACUAACCUGCAGACCAUACUGUUCAGCAUGAUAUUUAUUAUCACCUUCUAGUCGCUCCACUUCAACAUACUUAUCAAAUGAAGCAUAAACAUCUUUACAUCCUUUGACAUCAAGCUGGAGGUCUGCAUAAACCAGUCGUGUUAUUUAGCAUAGAACAGAAGAAAAUGAUGUAUAGCUAAUUUUCAUCAGGGUACAUCAGCUUGAUAUUUACCAUAGAAUGACUCCUUUCUAGUCGACUUAAAAUCCACAUUAAUGCACUGGAUAUAAUUCAUAAUAUGCCCUUCAAAUAACCGCUGGAUCGUGCCUUCCACAACAGUUCCCUAAGUCAUAUUAGAAAUAAGUGAUUUAAUGGUCACAAGAGAUAAAUACAAAUGAAAGACCUUACAGACGCCAAACCUUCAUUUUAUCUUCCAAUUUCUCUGAGAGAACCCUAUUCAACUCUUGCACAUCAUGCUGCAUGAAAGAAUCAUGUGUGUCCCAUCCAAAAGAUUUAGUAAGGUCUUUCGUGGAAACACUAUUUUCACUGUACUGAAGCUUGUAGAACAGACUCUGAAGAGCCAAAGGAAUGCUCCCAGAAGGCAUGUCAUUCUCCGUCGUGGGCAUAUGGUAAACAGCCUGAAAUAUGAACUCCCGCAUCAGCAUUAACACUCUGAUCAAAGAAUAAAAAAGGUAUUUUGUGGGAUACAGACCUUUCUAAAGUGUGGAAUAUGGUAGAGAGUCUGAAGAAGAGAGUUCAUGUAACAAGUAGCUCCUUGAUUCUUUAAACCAACAUAACCUGUUUCUUUCUUUGAGUCGUAAUUCCAAUAAUCAACAAUCCUCCGUACAGCAACCUCGGCUUCAAUUAUACAUGUAUCAUUCACAAGAUACCCUUUACUUGGGUCAUAGAGUUCACUUAAAGGCAUGAAAGAAGUGAAACCCCAGUCACUUUCUCGCGCAUUGAAUUGAUGUUGUGUGUCUGUCGAAUAAAGGGUCAAGAUCAAGCAUGCAAAAACACACAUGACUAGUGAGCUCAUAAGCAAAAUACGCAUGUAUUGAUGCAAAAGCACAAGUUACACGUCUCACAAGACUACAAACAAAAGAUUCUCAUCCCUAUCAUACAAAUAGGUACAUAAAAUGCUUAGAAACACAAAUUUAAGUUACUGCCUUUUCCACAAUUAACAUCAGUUUUGGGGGGGGAGGGGGGGGAGGGGGNGAUUGGAAAUAGAUAGAAAGCACAAACAGAGAAAUUCUCUUGAACAUGAUUUACAACAAAAAGUCAUUAAAAGCAUCAAUUAUUUAGUUUUAAGAAAAAAAAAUACCAAUUAUCUGAUAUUAAGAAAAUAUGGCAUGAGCAACCAAAGAGCUAAUAACAAACUUCAUAAUGACUAGAAAUAUUAUAGAACGAUAAGAUUGCUAAAGCAUAUUUCAGCAUUGCAUUAAUAAACAAGUAAGCUUGAAGGGAAAAAAGAAAAAGAAAAAGAGGCAGUGAUACCUUUUCUUAUUGUAUAAUUGCUCUGAAUCUGGUUGAUAACAGCAAGGCUGAACUGCGCAUACCUAACCCAUCCAUGUUGCAGGAUAGCUGAAUCGGCAACAUCCAGGUACAUAGACAGGUAGUCUACAUUAUUUCCCUUGGGGAAAAUCAAAACUCGCCUAAAAAAACACAAUUUAAUCAUCAAAAUCAACUUCUGCAUUCAACAAACUCACGGGCAACAGCAAUGAUGCAUGGUUCAAGCAAGUAGAAAUGAAUGCUAGUGAUCGGCUCACCACUUAUAGCCGCCAACUAGGAAAACCUCGGAGUAGAGCUUCCUUAUAUUUAACUUCGAGAAAUUUUCAAUCCUCCAAGUAAAUCUGGAGACUGCAGGAUCCUCUGCAGGUUGGUUCUCCACAACUGCAGCUGUUUCCGCCGCUGGCACUACUGGUAGCAUAAAAGAAACCCAAUAGUGGAUUUAAAUAAAGGUCAAGAACAACAAAUACCAACUCAAAACCCUAAAUCACAACCCUACUUCACUCGCAGAUAGAUUAAAUAGAAAAGUUUCGCGAUUACAGAACAAUUUUCGUAAACCAACAAAAGAAAGAGAUCGAAGAUCUUAAUUUUUCGAGAUUAAGCACCUUCCAUCGGCUGAUUCCCAUCGGCGAGCUCCUCCUGAUGGGGCACGAGCAUCUCAGUAUCCUCCUGCUGCGAAAACCAAAGCACGAAUCAGAGAUCAAAUCCGACAAACACCACAAUCCCACAACCAAAAACCCAAAACCCUAGAAUUCGGACUCCGGGGCCAAAAACGCGUCCCGUCCGACGCGACGACCCGCGCCCCGACCCGACGCCGAAACCCUAGAAACCACCGCCGGGAGGAAUCGCCCGAGGCCGCGGGCGACACGGCCGACGAGAUCGAAGGCGAUAUGGAACGGAUUCGUUCCAAAUCAACCGGGGGCGAGGGAUGGAUCGAGAGGGGAGAGGGAUUAGGGUUCCGGGGGCGAGGAGGAUGCUUACUUCGAGCGGCGGAGGGGUCAUCAUAGUCAUCGACGGGGCGGCGGAGGAGGCGAUCCGCGGCGGUGAGGGGGGAAUUUUGGGGUCGGGAUUGGAGAGGAGAGGGGGGAAGAUGAAGGGUGAAGGGGAGAAGAGAAGGCCGGGGGAGGAGAGAGAAGAGAAGGGCGGGGGAGGAGAGAGAAAAAACGAGGCUCGGAAAAAGAUACGGGGUUUUAUUUUGGGGAAAAGUAAAAGCGAUGCGCAAUCCGACCUGCGCACUCCUCCACGCUAGAGCCCUGAGAUUUAUGCCCCCGUUCAUCCAACGAUCAUUAUUUUUUCACUGAUUUUAUUAUAUUUUUUAAAAUAAAAAAUUGAUAAUGAGUAUUUUAUUUAAUAUUGCUUGUUAUUAUAUUAUAGAUAGAUGUUUAUGUUGUUACGAUUUGUAGUUGGAUUUGAUGAUUACUCUAGUUUGUUACAGAAUAAUAAUUUUGAUCUUAACUAUAUAUGCAUGUGCUAUUUAGAUAAAAAUGUAUAAUAAUCUCCUCAUCUAUAAAUAUUAUGGAUGAUUAGAUUGUUACCAUUUAUAGUUGGUUUUGAUGAUUACUUUUGUUACAUAAUAACAAAUUUUGAUCUUAACUAUACAUACUAUUUAAUUAAAAAUAUAUGAUAAUCUUAUUUGGAAAAAAAAUUUUCACUCAAAAGUGAUUUCGUUAAAUUUAAGCUUAGCUUGGUAUCGAGGCCUAUCUGCGUUCUCCGGCGGGACCACAGAAAAUAUAUCGUAACCGAUUCAUCGCGAUAUGCGAAAUACAAUAUUACGUACGGAAACUAAGAAGGUAUUUUUUUCAACGUACUUUCUCACCCGCAAUCUCCCUACAAUUCCAAUCAUAGUAAAUUUUUCUGAAACGGAGUUUUACGCAGUUACGAACGGAUGCUUGCGCAACUGCGGCCAAAUAAUGCAAGUUUGAGUAAAUUUUUUUAAAAAAAAACUAAGCUGACUAAAAAACUCACAUUAUUAUAAAAAUUGAAAGUUAAGUGGAUCUCAAUUUUAAAAAAGUGAAAGAGAUAUUUCAUAAUGCCAAUUUUUUUUCAUUAUGACCCAUUACCUUUUAAUUUUUUUAAUUAAGUGAUUUAUGUCAAUUAUAUAAAAGAUUUUAUUAAAUUUAUGAGUGACUAAAUUAAAUUUGAAAUAUUAAUAACUAUUUAGCAAAAAGAAAUUAGAAAAACUAACAGUUAAUAGUUGAUGGUGUCACUAAAUUAAUAAAAUAUUUAACUUAACUAAUUAGAAUUACUUAAUUUAAAAUAAUAAAAAGUUAAGUGAUAUUAACUAACAAACUCAAGUUAAUGAGCCUAUUUAAAACUAACCUGUAGUUGAGGGUUCUCUGUGCAUUUAUGACAGGAGAUAUUUUUGAUGGAAAGUAACUGUUAAGGAUAAUUAUGAUAAUUUCUUCAAUCUAAAAGGAUAUAGAGGGUAUUUUAUUUUACAGGGAUAAUGAUGAAAAUUUAAGUUGGAGGAAGGGCAUCCAUGAAAUUAUUCUUUUUUUUUUAAGAAUUCAAACUCAAAAAGGAUUUUAUGAAUCCUUGGAUAAAAGUGGUGUAUCAUUUUUAUCCGUAAUUAUAUAGAAUAAAAUUGUACAUAUAAUAUUUUUCGAAGAAAUAUGUAUAGUUUAAAUGUUGUUACUUUGUCCGUUUACUCUUCACUCCACUAGUAUUUGGGAUCGUAUUUAAAAAAGCACCAACUUUUAUAUAACUACAUAUUUUUUCAAUGACGGUACUUUUAUAAAAUUAGAUAAAAAAAUAUUAAAAGAACUUUAAAAUUUUAAAAACUUUUAAAAUAUGAAAACAAUUUUUUUUAACCACGCUUUGACAUUUUUGGAUUGAAGUUGCUCAAGAGUUAGCAGCGAAUUUUCUUUGUGAGUCAUACAUAUUUAAAAGUUACUAUGUUAAUACAUAUUUAAAGUUUUUUAUAGAAUCAGAAAUACUGAAUUUAACUUUUGUCAUUGCAUAAUUUUUUAUUUUUUUUAUGAAUAUUUUACUAAAACUUUGCUACAAAAAUGAUCUUCCGACUCUCUUAAAAAUAAACUUAAUAAACAAAUUACUUUUUUGUGUACAAAAAAGUUAUAUGUAAAUAUUCAAGCACUUAAAAUAUAAAAAAACAUAUGGACCAAAUGGCAAUAUCAGGUACUUUGUGUACUUUACCGUCAUUUCAACCACACUAGUAGUUGAGAUCCUCCCCGUAUCAGGAAAAAUUCUAAAAUGCAACGGGUAUGUUAGUGACGUGGCGUAACAAACCAAUCAAAUUAAUCCUUUUAAGAAUAUAUGUCCCAUCAUGAUUGUAAAAAGUAUUUUUAUUGUACUUUUGUUUGAAAAGAAGGAAUGUGAUUGGCUUGUUAUUGAUGACGUGGUGCAAGCGUGACAGUGUAGAAUUCCUCCCGCAUCAGACGCCGUUGAUGUCAUCUCCUGCCUAAUCUCCAACAUAGGGUAAAUAUGAACCGUCGGAUUGGAGGUAUUGGAUAAGAUGAGCGGCAUCUAAACUUUCUCCAAUGAUGUCUCGUUGGGCAAUCUCGAUUCACUGUUAUAUGUCAGUUUUAAUAUCAUCUUUUUACUGGGUAUUUUUUUAAUACUAUAAAUUUUUUAAAAACUUAACUCUAGAGAAAAAAAUUAUAAAUUUUGAAUAAAGAUGAAACUAAUAUAUAGCAGCGAAUUGGGAACUUCUCAAUAAGACUUCAUUAAGGAGUUCUCCACUAAAUUUUUUUCCUGCAAACAAGUCGUAUUUGGAGACAGGAGGAGUUUCCUAACUUUCGUCUAAUUUUUUAAAUAGAUCUAGAGGGAUUUAAAGCGGGUUGAUUCAUAUUCUUUUUUUUUGCUCUCGCUUGCUAUUCUAUUCGAGACUGGGUGAGACAGAAGCGGAUUUUUUUUUUCUUUUGAGAAAUAGGUAGUGAGCUACCUGCUUCAUUUGCUAGGCAAAAUGAACUAAGUAUAUAUGGUGGAAACAACUGAGGCAUCCGAAAAAAAUAAAUAUAAACUAAAAUAAGAAAAAAGGAGAGAGAAGGGAAGUAACAGAAAACAAAAGCGGAAAUUAAGGUAAAGUAAAUAGAAGAAAAAAGAGUAAACAAUUAGUGGAGCUCGUUCUAAGUGGUCAUGGGACGCUUGACACAAUCCAGCGAUUGAGAAGGAAUGGGCUAGCAUCCUGCUCUGUGGUGGAAGGUCGGGUUGGGUCGAGUCAUAUUCAGAAUGGCAUACGGCUCGGUUGGGCCAAGUCAUGUUCGAAGUGGCGUGAGGCCGUUUGGGCCAAGUCACAAUCGGAACCUGUGGACGUUGUUUCUAUACGCUUUGAGUGAAUUAGUUGUGUAUUUCUAACCGUUUGGGCUUCUGAGAUUAAUGGUUAGUGCCAACGAUUCGACAAGUGGUAUUAGAGCCAAAUAUCAUGGGUUCGAUCCUCACAUGCUGUGAAUGUGUGCAGGGUGCUAGAGGGAGGAUUGGUUUUGCUUAAUGGACUUAGCAUCCUGCCAAGUGUGGCAUAUUUUUUUGCAAAUCGAUGCUAAUUCGGAGCAUAUAAUUUUUCUUUUAUUUUGGGCCCUACUUAACACUACAUUCUGAGUGGACCUGAGCGGAAUGUCUUGUACUAAGUAUUUUUAUUUGCAAAGCUCGUGCGACGCCUACCUUUCUGCUUAAUGAUGGGCAAGUCUAGCUUCUUAUUGCUAGCUUUGACCCCUACGUCCUACGACUAAGUAUGCAAAAAUAAGAGAAAAGAGAGGUAGAGGUUUUCAAAAAAUUAAGUACCCCACUACUUAGAAAAAUAGGAUUACAAUAUACAACUCCUCUUGUGUCUCUAUCUUUCUACCUUGGCCUUAGCUAACUCUCAUAUUUAUAACCUCCUAAAUACAAUGAAUCUAGUCUACACUAACUUACCACUAAGCACAUAUUAACUCACUCAUUAUCACAUAGAAAUGAGCCCUUGUGAAUGCCUAAUGAAUGUAAUGUGAUCCCAAUAGUUGCCUAUAUUUCUUGGAUUUCUAUAGGUAAUGAUGAAGAUACUAAUUGCAGCAGUCGUAUAACCCGUCAUCUCUCAUAAAAGACUGCUGGCUUGAUGACCUUUUGGCUGCCCACUAGUGAAGUUGGCUAAAGACUUAGAUUGAAAAAUCACUAGGUCUUGACAGGGAGCUCUACUAACUAGGAUCCAUUUGCAUUCCUAGCUGCGAGAACUUUUCAUUAGAUGGUCUUUAGUUUCUCAUAAAAAUAUGAAAUAUUAUGUUUUAAGGGAAAAAAAUCAUAAAAAUAUUAUUUCCUUUUUAAAAAAUUUUGAUGUUUUAAGGCAACUUUUUAUAUAAAUCAAACGGACGAAAAAUAUAUUUUUAGCUAAAAAAAAGUUGGUUACUGUGACUUUUUAAAAGAAAAAUGCUUUAGUUUCACAAAAUAUAUCAUAUAAGUAAAGGCGGAAUGCUUCUAGAAAUAAAUGGUUGUGUCUACUUUUUUAUUAUUUGAGUCUAUGAGACGCAUCCAUACAUUUAAACUUGGGAAAACUUCAAAACCCCCCCUGUGGUUUCGUAGUUUUUCACUUUGCCCCCCUGUGGUUUAAAAUGUAUCAAUUUGCUCCCCUAUGGUUUCUUUUUUCUCUUUUUCUUAUCAAUUUUAUUAUUUUUUUUCUUAAAUCAGUGAUAAAGUUAAAAUUAAAGGGUACUAAAGUGAAUAUUUGAUAAAUCUAGAUGGGUAUCUGAAGUUUUUUUUUGUAUAUAAUUUAAUGAAAUAUUAACGAAAAAGCUAUCGAAAAGAUAAAAACGAAACCACAGAGGGGCAAUUUGAUACAUUUGAAACCAAAGGGGGGCAAAGUGAGAAACUACGAAACCACAGGGGGGGUUUUUGAAGUUUUUCCUUUAAACUUGAUAGAGGUUUUUAAUUUUGUAAAUUUUGAAUUUCAUAAUUAUUUGACAUUUGUCGCGUAUUUAAAUAGCCUCGAAAUUAAUCAUUUUAAUGGUUCUUAUACAUAUGAAUAUGAAUAUGAAUUUAAUUAAGACCACUAAAUCACCAUGGUCCCAUUACUUUUAUAAAUGAAAGCAUUUACUUCCACUUUAUUCCUAAGAUAACAUAUCCAAAUCGGAGAUUGGUAUAGUUGAAUAUGAUCUAAGUUGUUUGAACUCUUUAAAACUCAACUUUUGUAAUUUUUCAAUAUUAUUUGUUUAUUUGAUUAAGUAAUCUCAAGUAUGCAUUAUAUAAGUUUUUAAAAAUAGUUAAUUUUGAGAACAGUGAAUGCUAAAUAAAAAAAACCUAAAAAUCAUAAAAUUUAGAAAUUGUAAAGUUUAAACAGCCUAUGCUAAUUUUAACGGCACUAAUUGUCAAUUCACAAAUCCUACCAUUACAAGUCCCACCGUUCGAAUUUAUAAAUAUUCUAGUUAUACUCCCUCAAAAGUACCACAAAAAUAUGCAAAAAAAACCCCCUUGAACUUUACUUCAAUGCCAAGUGACCUCUUAACUUUUAAUUGUGGCAACUAUAUCUCCAAAACACUAUAAAUAAAUUCAAUUGGCCAUUAAUAAAACAAUCAUAAUGAUAACGUAAGUGACAGAUGAUGAUCAAAAUAGCAACCUAAAAGGGAGGGUGAAUUAGGUUUCUAAAAUAAAAUGCUAAAUAAUCAAGCAAUUAAAAAAAUCCGAAACAAAUAAUAAAGGAGGAGUUUAGAGAAAUGCAAACUCAAAGAGAAACACAAUUGAUUUGUUUCGAGAUUCGGCACUUUGCCUACGUCCCCGCCAACUCCUCAACACAACAGAACGUUGGAUCUCCACUAGAUGAUGCUUUUGCGGGCAAGCACCAAGCCUUCACACCAACACCUUCUUCUUUUCAAGCUCCAAGACUUUGUUUUUCUCUCUUUUUACAAGAUUAAAUCUCACUACAAAUUGCACUCAAGUUUAAAGAGAGAAUUGAGAAUUAAGAGUAUUAGAAACACUGAAAUUUUUAAGCUCAAAUGUUUCUAAGAGAGAUUGAGAAAGGCCUUAAAGCCAUCUAUUUAUAGCCUCGGCCAGCUCCAGACCGUUGCACUUUUAGGCGCCUUAAACCUGAUUUCGGGCGCCCAGAAGUUGUGCACGCGCACUGCGCUUCCAGCUGCCUGUCAGACAUCGUGCGCCGCUUUUCUGAAUUCGUACAUUCGGGCCUUCAGAAUUUGUGGGCGCCCAGAACAUGCGCGCUGGCUUUUUUGACAGACAGACCACGUGCGCCGCUUUCUCUGAGCGAAAUCAUUUUGGGCUUCCAAAAGAUGUGGGCGCCUAGAUUUCCAGCACGCGUGCCGCCUGCGCCGUGCCGUGUCAGAACUUUUCGGGCUGGUCCGUCGUACUGUCCGGAACACGCAACCUAUCAAGUCAGACAAUCCGGUCGCCCUAAAUAGACAUUCGGGCCCUCAGAUCAGGUAAAGAAAUUUAUGGACCACCUGAACAGCAAACAGCAGGAUUCAAAAACACAUAAGAUUCGGAUCCACUUUAGGACGCCCAGAACAAAGUCCAAAAACAGUAACUUGACAGCACACAGAUUUGUGAGCAGUUUUUGAAUUUUAAAAUCCUAUGCACCUUAUCACAAGAUAGAGAUCGAUCAAAUAAGCUAUAAAGUGAUGAGAGGAAUAGAUUAUACUUAGCUCAAAAUUUCUCACUCUUAUCAUAGGGCAUAAUAUUAAUAAAAUUAAGAAUAGAGAGAGUGAGUUUGUAUAUUUGACAAAGGAAGCAAGCAUAGCUUCAAGUGGUGAAGCUCGGUGCUAUAAGAUUGCCCAUCUUGAGUCCUUUUGAAUAUAGAUAGAUCUAAAACAUGAAAACUCAAGAUAAAAGAUUAGUUCAAUGAUCGUAAUUAUUUGUUAUCACCAAAAUCUAAUGAAAGAUCAACAACAGAUAAUAUUAUUAUCUAUAACCCCUAUGAAAGCCCGUUCUCUUUGUCCACAUGACAACAUUAGCUUAAUUUAACUUUUGUGGGCUCUACCUGUCAUCUUAAGAUAGUUUAUUAAUUAAUUAAUCGGUGGAUAAUUUAACUUCUCUGGGCCCUACCUGUCAUCUUAAGACCCACCCAUCCAAAUUUCUUUUCAUACUCUGCUUCCCCAUUUAAUUUUUCUUGCUUCUAAUUAACUUCGUCUUUCAAUUCCGGCUCCUGUGCUCUCCCCUCUAGAUGCCGCUCCGAUUCCUGUUCCCUCUUUGGACGGAAUGUUGGGCGAGUUCAUGGUCAGGCCUUCUUCCCGUCGCGCCCGUUCCCGUUAGCGACGCUUCGUUUCGUUCGCCCUUAGAUGCCGCUCUGACUCCCGUUUCCUCUCUAGGCGGAAUGUUGGGCCGAGUUCAUGGUCGGCCCUUCUUCUGGUCGCGCCGUCCCCGUUAGUGAUGCUUCGUUUCGGCUUAUUCAUCCCCUCCGGUCACGAAAAUGGUUCGUAUUUAUUAUCUGUGGUCCCUUCUUGCUGCCUAUAUAAUAUGCCUCUGAAAAAAAAAAAAAAUAGCAAAAAAACUCUAUUUCUCUCCUGAAUUUUUCCAUCUCUGAUUUGGUAGCAAUCCCUCCGCGGGCUUCGAGCGAUCCCUCCGCGGGCUUCGAUUUCACCUCCAGGAAGUGGAUCGAGCAGAAGCUUCUUGAUUACAGUCAGGAGGCCGAGCGGUUCGGAGGUGAGAAAAAGGAAAAAGCAUCUAAAUACUUGAUUACUUUUUUCUUAAAAAAAAAAAGGGAGCAUGAAGCUGUAAAGAGAAAGAAAAAGAAAACAAUUUACUAUCAAUGAUCUUUUGAUAUCGUUGUGUGUGUGUGUAUAUAUAUAAUGUUAACAUAGGAACAUAGAAUAGGGUACUUCAAUUUCACCAAAUUGGUAGGCAAUAGAACCAAGAAUUUUCUAAUUCAGACAGCUAAAAGAUGUGCUACAAUACUAAUCAAUGCAUAAACUCUUUGUUUUAAAACAGUAAUUUCUUUUCGGCAAUCAUUCUUGCUUACCAUUAUGUCGUCCAAAAGAAUGACAAUAAGUAAUUAUAUUGCAAUUGGAUGUUAAUUAAUACAUGUCAUCAACCUUCAUUUGAUUAGCUAUUUUAGUGCAGUGAUGGCGUCGCAUCUUAUUGUUGAGAUAAACUUUCAGCGAUUGUUGCGUAAUAUUUGUGAGAAGUUUUCCCUCCCUCCUCCGAGGUAUGGAAUCACCGUAGGCUCGAGCGAUCAAUUUUGCGCUUUUGUUGAUGUUGAAGUUCCAAGGUGUAGCCGCUUUAUGGAGGUUAUUACGUAUUGGGAUUCUCCGUCUUCCGAUUCGAGUUUGUCUGAAAAUAAAGCCGCUCGGACUGCUAUCGAGACGCUACGAAAUGAACUUCAAUUUGACAUUAGGGAUGCUAAUUAUACUGGAAAAAAUUAUUUUAAAAAUUUAUAUGAUAGUGCUUCCCAAAAAUAUGAAGAUUUUCGAAAUGAAUAUGAAAUGCUGAAGAAGGAACAUGUUGUACUCAAAAGGUUUCACAAAUCUUUACUGGAUGAAAGAGACCGGAUUCUCGGUGAUUGGAAUGAAAUUAGGGCGAGUAUUGGCAAGUGUCACAAUCUACUUGCUCAAUCCGACAUUGAUCUAAUGGAUACAGAUCAAUACAUAUUUGCCGCUGAAAAAUUACCAACCGCUGAAGAUCAUUUACCUGCAAAUGAAGCCUGUGCAGCAGAGUCCGCGUCAGGAACCGAAAAAGAUCCUGAACCCCCUUCUAAUUAUUAUAGGAACUAAGAUUAGGACGGUCAUGAACCGUCUUCUGAUUACUAUAGGAAAUAAGAUUAGAGCUUCCUUCGCUCUUUUGUUCUGACUUUUUGAAUGCCAUUUUGUAGUUUGUCAGUUUUAUGGUAUGUACGGGCAAUGCCAGAUAUUUUAUAAUAUAUUACUAAGUACUAUGGAUUAUUAUGACUGUUGUGAUGAUUGCUUAAGAGCAUUAUUUCUGUUUGCUUCAAGUGUCGUGCCGAUGUAUUCAUUUACUUCUUUAUUUAUAACUUUUCUUUUCUCUUUUUUUCCCCCUUUUAGCCUCUACGUAGGCGCUGCUUCUUUUGCUGUCGCUUUUGCCGCUUAUUUUGCUUCAAAACCAAGUACGUAUUCUGCAUAUUUUUCUUACGUUAUGUCCGUUUAGUAGUUAUAUACUUUCAGAAAAUUUGUAUUGCUUGGGUUGUAUGCUAUGUGCCUUUUAAUUAGAGUUUUCAUAGGAAACAUAUGAAGUAUGUAUUUUAAAGAUGAAGAUGACUCCACAGGUUUUCGAAAUAAACGCUAAUUUUCUAUUAUUUUCUUGUAACUCUUUAAAAUGCAAAAACAUAGUAGCAUUUUUAUUUUUUUUUACGAAUGAAAAUGAAGCAUCUAGAUGUAUUGAAGAUUUUUAAUUAUUUAUUUUUCUCAAGCAUUAUGUCAGGAAAGAUAGGUUUUAUCAUGUUUUAAAGCUUUACAAGAUAACAUACAAAAAACCCCCUAACUUUGAUACUUUUUUAAAAUUUAUCAAAUAGUUCAAUAGAUUUUUUUACUGGUUGGCCGCUGGUGUUAUAAAUUUUUAAAGUUGUAUGUUAAAUAUAAAAAUAUACCAAUACUGUUUUUUAAUUGCUUAAAUUUUUAGUACAAUGAUUGUUUCAUAUGUUAUCAAAAUAAGGGAAUUUAAGUUCGAGUCACGUCAAGUCUUAAAUUCCACACUGUAAAAAAAUAAAUAUUUGUUUCUUCUAUUUUAACUCAUAAGAAAAAAACGAAUUUCUUCUAUUUUAAUUCAUAAAAAAAAAGUACUUCAUGAGCAUCUCUGUUAAAGAUUUAAGUGCCAUGGCAUAGAUUCGUGUCGGAAACUUAUCGGCACAGUAUAACACGGUGCGUCCUAGGCCGUGCCGAUACGUGUCGGUUAUAAAAAAUAUAUGUGUGCCGACACGUAAUGACAUGAAAUAUUUAUUUUCUUUAGCAACCAAAUAUGCUAAUUAUUUAUUAUAUAUAUUUAUUAGAUUUUUUGAAUUCUUUAAAAAAAAUUACUUAUUAAUUUUAAAAAUAGAGGAUUUUAAGUUGUAUUAUCAGCACGAAGACUGUAUCGUGCCGAUAUUUUACUAGCAUAAUACGACACGAUGAAUAUGAUUAUUAUUGAUGGUCACUUUAAUUUUUGGUCUAUGUACAUUUUUCUUUUUUAAAUAGUCAUAUACUAGUCGUAGUUUUCAAUUAUUUGAUCCGUCUCGGCUUGGGCUCGGGGUGGGGUUCGGGUUCGCAUGAGACCGAGUCAACCGACCGGCACUAGGGCCCAGCCCAAUUAAACCCUCCGAGUAAAACCAAUCGAUAAACCAGUGGGCGCGUUAGCGCACAUCAUAAAGCGGAGUUAAAAAAAAAAAAAACGAAAAAAAAAAGGGAAACUCAAAAAAAGGAAAAAAAGAAAAUUAAAAAACGAAAAGGGGAGCGUAUCGAGAGCGAGCGAUAAAACCUAAACCAUCGUCGCGGAGGUACCAAAUCCCCUCCGAUCUCUCUAAAACCCUAUUCCCCUUUUAAGGUUUCGCUCCCACGCGAUCUCCCCCCUCGUACGUAUUCGGAUCUAAAACCCUCUUUUCUGUUUAUUUUUUAUUUUUUAUUUAUUGAGUUCGAUGUUCCCCUGCUUCGAUUUUGCAGGUAAUUUGUUCGCGUUUGUUCUUAGAUUUGUGGUCGGUAGGUAUUUUUCUUGGUGCUUUUUUGGUUUUUUUUUUUGUGAAAAUGUAUGGUGCUUCCCCCUCAAUUAUAAGCCGUUUUGAUUUAGACCCUUCAAGUGAGAAAUCUUGUUGAUCGACACAGUUUGGUGCCUUUUUCUUAUUUGUUUUUUUUUUUUUUUUUUUGAAUUUGAGUUGUUCUCUCGAUUAGGUUGAGAUUGUUGUUAAUUUUAACGGUUCUGUUGGCUCUCGGUUGUUAAAAGUUAACGGAAUCUGUAUAAAUUUAACAAAAUUUUGGAAUUAACUUAUGAAAGUGACUUAAAAUCGAAAAGAAAUAAAAAAUUGAGGAGGGGUAAAUUAAAAAAAGAAACAUUCUUGAGGGGUCUAUUUAAAAAAUGGCCCGUUCUUGAAGGUGAGGGUUCGGGGUAUACAUUUUUAUUUAAACUAAAUAAACGUGAUUCCAUGAUUCUUUAAUUAUCAUGGCUUAUUUUCAUUUUCUGAAUGUUUACUCAAAUACUUAAACUUGCUCAUGUAUUUAGUCAAUUUACAGAUUGAGUAAAAUGAUCGAUUGAGGUGAAACACUUUGAAUUUCAGCUGAUCAAGGAUGGAAUAGCGAUAUAUGAAAUUUCAGGGAUUACGAUGUUGAAAUGAAAAGUUCAUGGGCUAAAGUCGCAGAAUCGGGAUAAUGUAGGGACUAUCCAUUUAUUUUAUCCUGCAGUAAAAGGGGAAAAAUUACGUGCAACUAAAUUUAUAUCCUUGCUACGCGCUGGAAAAGAAAAAACAAGAUCAUGGUUUAUUAUUAAAUUUCUUUAUGUAAUGUAAAACCAAAUGCAAAGUUGUCUUUGUUUGCGGUCAUCUUGGGUUACUGAAAUUACCAUGCCAUUAGGUUAGUUCUGGUUGAACUUGGUUAUUCUAGAAGAACACGAGAAUUAGAUUGCUAGCAAAUCCCUUGAAUUGUGCUAUUCAUCAAUUAGUCCCUCUUCCACUGUUAUUAUUGUUCAUGGCUCCAUUUAGAUGCCCUAUUAUAAGUUUAAUGCAGAAUUUACUUUUUCCUCUGCCAUCCAAACCGAAAGUAUUCAAUUUAUCCCCUCAUUGCUUGGUGUAGUUGCUUAAUCAACAAAUUUCUAUUGUUAAUUUGCUUGAUGAAUUUACUGGAGGGAAGUAGUGUAAUUUCAUCAUUUUGCUAUCUUGAUAUUACCAAGAUGAAUGGGAUUUGGAAGUAUUCAAUUUUCUUGAGAUGAUGAUUAGAUUUGGUGCUUUUGACUCUGAUCAACAAUGCUAUCAUUGUAUUUACAUAUGGAUGGAAAACUUCAAUUGUUGAGAGCUACAAAUGAAACCAAACUUUGCCCUCUCUUCCCACCUCCCCCGCUUUAAUAGAUAAGACUGAUAAUUUAAACGCUAUUAUUUCCUAUUGACCUAGUCAUUUGUCUGUAUUAUGGUAUAUGGCCAUCUGUUUGGUCUGUUGGGGGUAACAGAAACCAUUUACUUUCUUUAUGUUUUAUAUAAAGAUAUAUUUGUCGUGGUUUUUCUCUCACCCUUGAUGAGGCUUAAAUUUAAAUACAUUUCUCUAUUUUUCGUCAGUUACAUUAUUGACAUAUAAUUUAUAGGGCAUUACAUAUUUUAUUAUGCUAUUAUUAUCUACAUUUAAUUUCUAUGGCAUUAUCUGUUUUUACAUGCUACACAUUUUAACCUCUGGGGCGUUAUCAUUUUUUGCGCCAUCUCUUAAUUUCUAGGGUUUGAGCUACCUAAUUUCCAUAUCCCAUUAACAGGUUUGAAGAGGAGUGCUUGAUGAUUAAACGGAAUGGCAUCUGAGACCCUUCAUAUCAGCAGGCAAAAGGGCAGUGAUUUCUGUCAGGAGAACAAAAUACAUGAUCCUAUUGAGCAAGUGGAUUGUCAGAACAGCUGCUCUAGCUUUUGCCAGUGCAGUAAAAGAUCUGCAUCAGAUGGAAGCACCUUUUGUUUUAGAGAAAGAUGUUCUGGACAAAAGCUUGUAGAAGAUGAAAAUGAUGGGCCUGGCAAAAUAAAUCCCAUCGACUCUAAUGUUUUAUCUGAACCAACGAUACGACAUGUAGAGAAUGCUGAUGAAAAUGCUUGUUCACAUUGUGAAAAUGAGAGUUGCAAGGCGUGUGGUGCUAUGCAACCACAGGACUAUAGGAGGACUCAUAAGGGCAAUUCUGCCAAUUCAUUACAAGAUCUAUUUUUGCAAGAUAAUUAUGAUGAUGGAGAAGAUGAUGAUAGUGACUGGGAACCCGUCAGUCAUCUUCUUAUCAAGAAGUGGUUCUGUUAUAACUGUACAAUGCCAAACUUUGACGACGUUUUUCAUUGCGAUGUAUGUCUAUUUUGUUUUCAUUUUUUGGAUAUCCCCGCAAUGCCAAACUUUGAUGACAUUUUUCAUUGUGAUGUAUGUCUACUUUGUUUUCAUUUUUUGGAUAUCCCUGCAAAAAUAUCAAGUUCCAUACAUAACCUGCAAAAUCUGAGUAGUUGUGUGUACCUCUCAAUCAUGCGGUUUCUUAUGAAGAAUAUUCUUAUGUUGAUUUUGGUGUCAUCCAAUCCAUGGGAAUGUUUCUAUUAGAAAAGCUUUUUUAGAGGGGCUCUUUUGUAAUUACGAGGAUAUAUGCAUGUAAGAAAUGUAGUUUUUGAGCAUAUAUGAAAGUUCCUAUCUUGUACGGAUAUCUAUGUAAGCCGAUAGUUUUAAAGGGUAUAAUGUAAAUGUCUAUUUCUUUGUGGUUGUUUCGUUGUCAACUGCAUCUUGCAUUUAACUUAGUUGAUGCAUAAGAUCAAAGUUAUAUGUUUCAGUGAUUUCUCAUAGCUAAUAGAUCCUUGAAUUGGCACAUACUAAUUUACUAAAUUGUUUAUUGGUAAAGGUAUGUGGUGAGCAUAGGGAAUCCCAAGUAAGAGGGUAUGAUACUUUCCUUAAACAUAUUGGAGAGAAAGUUCAGGUUUCUGUUGACUCAGAUACUAUUUGCAGCUUUCCGGACACAGGUUUCUAACUUCCACUGUCAUUUGAUGAUGCAGGUUUACUUUUUUGGAAAGUAAAAUAGAUUUUUGAUGAUUUGUUCAGUAACAGUUCUAUUUAAUUUUCAAGUAGAUUGUUUAUUCUUAGUUACUGUUAAAAAUCAUCUAUGUGUGCUUGUGGACAAUCCAAACCUCCUAAUGACAAUGCUCCUGUGGUGACAUUUCCUGUUAGUGUACUUAUGGAGGUACUAAUUGUUUCAUGGCUAAGAAACUUUCGGACUAAAUUGUUGUGGUUUAAACUAUAAGGAUAAAAAAUAGAAGUCAAAUUUCAGAGUCUAAAUUUCUAAUUAACUGUUUUUUAAAGAUUUUACAGGGUUCUCUGCUGAGUAUUUUUUUUUUCUUUUGUUUACCCUCUUUUAUGCAGCAUCAUCAUCAAAAUCAUGUACAGCCUUUGGCUUUGAUGAGAGAAUGUUACUUCAUUCAGAAGUAAGUCUUUUACGGUGUCUGUACUAGUACAAAAUUUUCUUGUUGCAACUUACACUAUUUAACUUAUGAUUACUGUUUAUUGAUUGGCCCCACCUAAUAUCUAGGUUGAGGUGAAACCUCAUCCACACCCUGAGAGACCCGAUCGCCUUAGAGCGAUUGCAUCCAGCCUUGUUGCUGCAGGUACAUUUAUCUUGCAGUGCUUAAUAUGAUAAUUUUUGGUAUUUUUAAGAUAUAUAUUUUUUAAUUACUGCUUUUUUCAGUAAAUCUGUACAGACCUUGCUUGAACAAUUGUGCAUUUUUGAAAUGCAUAACUAAAAUUUGUUUUUACUAUCUGACCAUCUAAUUUCAAUUUUAUGAACCAUCAAAUUCCUUUAUAAUUAAACCUUCCUUCUGAAAAAUUUACAGAAUAUCUCAACAAAACAACAGAAUUACAGAAUGUUUCAACAAAACAACAGAAUACACAUUGUCGUAAUAGAAUAUUCCGAGACAAAAAUUGACAAAUCCUAUUGAAUGCUUGCAGAGAGUUAAUUAAACAUAUUGUAAGGUUCGGUAUGAAAAUCAGAAUUUGAAGUUCGGGCAUCCAUUUUAAAAUGAGUUCUAGUUUGGAUAUGGUCUUCACAUUUUCACCUUAUUGAUGGUUAGGUUGAUUUUUCUCAAAAUUCAAGUGCUUAUAGCUGUAUCCUACAUUCUUGAUGUGCUGAAGUAGAAUGUUUUGAUGAAUCUAGGUAUAUUUCCUGGAAAGUGCUCCUUAAUAGCUGCUAGGGAAAUAAGUCAAGAAGAGCUUAUGAUGGUAAUCUUAUCCUUUUCCUUGGUAUCAGCACUCAUUGUUUACUUAUUGCAUAUUGGCACGUGUUUGUUUUUAAAAAAAGGUGCUACUUGACCAAAAUUAGGUAACUAUUUUAUUUCUGGGUUGUUACAACUUGAAUUCCUAAAGUCUCACAUUUAUUUCAUUUUCAUCCUCAUAAUUACAGUUGUAACAGUUUAGCCCCUAUAGUUUGUUCUGUAUAAAAUUAAGUCCUUAAACUCCUUUUGUCUUGCAACCAUGUUAAAUGUGUCUUGGAAUCUUGGGUCUGGCCUGCUUUAUGUUGCGGCCCAAAAUUUUUCAGAGUGAAACCGAGUGGGAUUUUUUGUUGUAUAAUUUAGGACACAUUUUUUUUUUCCAAUCUUGAUCAAGCUUUGGUCGCUUAUGUAUAUAUACCUCGUUUUCGUGAAUAUUCGUAAUGAGAGAUCUUGGGUGUCUUUGGGGCUAGGGUUUCUGAGAGGCAGGCAUCUUUUAUACUUCACUUUCGUUUAUAGUAAAAUUUUCUUUCUGACUUUCUUUGUUGACGUAGGCUAGUGGCUGACCCAUAUAAAUUGCUUGUGUUUUAUUUUCUUCUAUCUGUUCUCAAUUCUGCAUACUAGGGUUUUUCAGCCUUUGUCCUAACAUGUCAACUCAAUAGAAGUGCCAUGUCAGCACUAUACUUUGUUUAAAUCGAAAUUUUAGGGAUGAAAUUGAUAACAAGGUCCAACAUCAUGGACUAAGGUGUUACAAAUGAAACUCGGAAGACUAAAUUGAAAAUGCAUCAAACUUCAAAAACAUAUUUGUUACAAUGGAAUUUUUAAGGAUGAAAAUGAAGUCUGGGUCAAACUUCAGGGACGAGAAUAUGUACUUAACCCUUCCAUCUUUCGUAAGUUAUUUAUUGGCUGGAAUUCUGCAUCUUUUUAGGGUCAUCCAUUAAUCCAUUUUCACGAUCUUAGCUAUUAGGUUAUGCUGGUCCUACAGUGAAAAGAGCUUUAUUUUUAUUAUCAGUUUAUUAAACCUGCAGGUGCACACUUUGGAUCAUAUUGAAGCAGUUGAAGAAACAAAGAAUAUGCUCUCUAGGUGAUUAGUGGUUUUUGUGCACCUCUAUUAUUUCAUGUGCUUUUGAUUACCCAUUACAUUAUUCAUUGGUUUGCCACAGUGCAAAUUAUUGAUAUUAAGUUGCCUGUGCUCCACAAAUCAGCCUUUUUUACUUGUUAACAACCAGGAUCUUACUAGUAGCUAAAAAUGGACCAUAUAGAAAUUCCUUAUUUGUUUCGAUUCAACUGGGAAUUGUAGAGGAUGGCCUAUGGAAGUCAGAAUUGAUGAGAAGUGAUAACUACUGUUGUUCUUCUCUCUCUCUCUCUCUCUCUCUCUCGCAUAGGGACUAUAGUUCAUUUAUAUUUCUUUUUCUUAUCGGAGUAAUUCUUUUCUAUGGUAUAGAUACACUUCAAAGUCCCUAUCUAAACAACUUUUAUAAAGUCUUCUUCAUCUAAGCAUGCUUGAGCAUAAGCAGAAAUUUUUAGCUGGGUGAUAAUACAAAAUUGAGGUAUUCUAUUUAGGUCAUGUGCUUUCUAUUUAAAUGCUGUGAUUAUUGCUUUGACGUAAAUGCAGCUACUUCACUUUGGACACGUAUGCUAAUGAACACUCAGCAUGUGCUGCAAGGCUUGCUGCGGGAUUAUGUGCUGAUCUUGCUUGCUUAAUAAUAUGUGGCCACUCCAAGAAUGGUUUUGCUUUGGUAUAUUUCUUCAUUUUCAUUUCGUUUAAUAUGUGAAGGAUUGUUUAUGGUAAUUUGUGCUGAAGGUAUUCCAACCUUUUAGUAGGUUUCUGUUUGUUUCCGCCACCAUUUAGUUUGGUCCCUACUUUUAUUUUAAUCAGUUUCAGUCUACAUAAUGCAGAGAUUAGGAGCUCAAUUGUAGUAACAAUUUAAAUGUUUAGUAAGAAAACUGACAAUAUACUGAAAGCUUGAGGACCCCUGCUGCAAUUUAUCCUUUUUAUUUUACAUCAUCAUACUAGCACAUUUUCGUGAUUGCCUUGAAUUGCCGAGUUUUGUUUACUAGUUCAUAACAACCACUGAUAAUGUGCUCCACAAAUUAGGUAAGGCCGCCUGGGCAUCAUGCAGGUGUAAAACAAGCCAUGGGUUUUUGCCUUCACAAUAAUGCAGCAGUGGCAGCAUUGGCUGCGCGAAGAGCAGGAGCCAAGAAAGUUUUAAUUGUUGAUUGGGUAAUUAACUUGUUAGUUUUGACUAUUUAUUUUUCUCUAUAAUCUAUAUAUAUACUAUAUAUAUAUACUAUGUCAUUCUCCUGACCUGCUAAAUUUUCUUUGAAUAUUUUUCCGUAAGAGUUAGACAUGAUAACAAUUUGUUUUCUUAGCAGUUUAUGAAGUUAUCUUCAAUUGUCAUUUCAGGAUGUACACCAUGGCAAUGGCACACAAGAAAUAUUUGACGGGAACAACUCGGUGAGUGGUAAUUUGAGGUUAAUAAGUUCUCAUUGUUAGAGUUUCCGGUCCAUUUGAUUCUUGAUGUAUUGUUUGUUUUUUGGCUGUAAUCAUUUACGGAAGUGACAGAAAUAUUUCUUUAACUUAAUGGAUGACAAGUUCCUAAUUCCAUUGAAAAUUGUUUAAUUAUAUUCCAACUCUUCCACCUAUAAAAUUAGCAUCAACAAAUUCUCUUGUUAAGUCAUAUGAAUCAUAAUUUUAUUAGCUGAAGUCCAUCCCUUUUGCAUAUGCGCCCUGAAGUGGAAAGAAUGACCAAUCCAGAAACAUAAGAUUAAAAUGAGUAUGAAGCUUCUACUCUUACCUAGUCAAUUGUCAUUUGAAAGUACUCAGCUCAUUUACUUUCAUCAGAUUUUUCUUUUUGCAUACUGAGGAAUAAUAUAUUUUCAGGUUCUGUAUAUAUCUUUGCAUCGACACGAGGGUGGAAGAUUCUACCCUGGUACUGGAGCAGCUGAUGAGGUAAUAUUUGUUCUUUCGCAUGUGCGAACUAAGAUCUUAAUAUUCUAUAGAUAGAUUUUUUGUUGUCAGAUGCUGGUAAACAGACUUACUUUCUGAUUAUUAAUCUUUAGUAAUUGUAUAACAAACUAAAUUUUUUAGUUUGUCCUCCUAGAGAUUUUCUUUACAAAUUGCAAUUAGUUGAAAGAAGACCAUGAUUGUUUGUUCUUUGUUUCAUGUUUGUGUCCGCAAACAAUGAUUCGAUUCACUGUUCAUUUUUCUCAAUAAUCUAGUCACGACUGCAUUCAAAUUGCUAACUACCAUAGUAUAUACUGAUAGCCUCGGUCUGUUUUGCACAUACAAUCAUAAAUGCUCAUUUUUGAGUCUUAAAGGGCAGACAGAAAGGUAAUGAGCUGAACAGCAUACUAAAGGAAUCCUUUAAAUUGAGAGAUGCAGUUUCGAUUUAAAUAUAUUAUCGUAACUGCUCUUUUGCCAGCUUAGUAUUUAUAUGCAAAAUUCACAAUAAAUGGUCUUCCCGUUUUCCAAUAGUACAUUUGAUGUUCUAAAACUUUUCUUGUACAUUUCUCAUAUUUGUUAUCUGUCCAUAUAAACGUUUCUAUUUUCUGUCACUUAUUCUAUUUUGCAACAGAUUUUUCUUUUUUUUGUUCUGCUUUUAGUAUCUUUCAUUCUUGUCAUAUUAGCUGCUAGUUGUUUGCUUUGGUUUUAGGUUGGUAUUAAUGGUGCUGAAGGAUAUUCUGUCAAUAUUCCUUGGAGCCGUGGUGGAGUGGGUGAUAAUGAUUACUUCUUUGCUUUCCAGCAUGUUGUUCUUCCUAUAGGUUUGCGUUUUUACUUGGAUAUUGAGGAUUGUUAGUUUAUUGAAUUUCUAAAAGAUUGCUUGGGUCAACUCAUAUCUGGUAUUUUCAAUGUAUUAUAACUUUAUAUGAGUAUAUGAAGGUAGAAGGGUUUCGGAAUAGUGAGCUGCAAUACAUGACUUUCAAGUUAUAAGCUGGUUAUUUAUAACUUGUUUAUAACUUUCUUUUACCUCCUGAGAGGCGGGUUUUUUAUUACAUUGAAUCAGUCUUUUCUCUAUUUUUAAAAAAUCCAACGGGUCUUAUCUAGAGGGAGAUUGUAGGUUACAUACGUACAUACCUUCAUGAAUCAUGAUACAUGGUAUCAUAAAUAUGUGCAUGCAUUUGAAUAAAUUUAUGUUAUUUAUGGCUUUAGCUCUUUUCACACAUCAAAACCAGUAAGAUCUGUAACCAUCUCAAACAUUUUGUUGUUUAUGUGAAAUUUCCUUAUUAUUUUUUUUUAAUAGAGUUAGCAGUUUUAUUUAAUGUGCAAUAGCAUGAGUGCAUGACUAUCUGAUGAUGUUCUGUCAUUCUUUUGCAGCUUCAGAGUUUGCUCCUGAUAUCAUCAUUAUAUCUGCAGGAUUUGAUGCAGCGCGGGGUGAUCCCCUUGGCUGUUGUGAUGUAAGGAUUUAAUGCAUCGACCCUCGCCAAAAUGAUAGUACAAUGUGGAUUUUUGUUCUGUGUAAAUCUAUCCAUAAUUACUAAAAUUUGGUGCUAAUUCCAAGUACCAACUUAGAAAUAUGAUCUGUUAUAGAAAAAGAGAGUACCAAGUAAAAGAAAUUGAAAUGUUAACCUUAGCUGAUUGUCUGCACACCUUUUCACAGAGGAAACAGGCUUUGUUCCCUUUCUAAGUUUCAGCAAAUAUUAAGCAAUUGAAAUCUUAAAUUUAGCUGAUCGUCCGUAUACAUUUUUCAAAGAGGAACCUAGCUCUAUUCCAUAAGUUUCAUUUAUGUUACAUUAUAUUGCUAAUGCAAAAAGUUUUGAUACUUAUAAUGGAUAUACUUGUAUGUACAAGCAAAAUCUCAAAACUGCCGCAACAGGGUUUUGAGAAGGUUUGGCUGGAACUGCUUGUAUAUGCUGACCAACAGCUUAAAGUUUAGUUUCCCAUAUGAAUAAAGCUAAAGCAGUAGGGUCCUUUUGGAUGUUUCCAUCCAAAAUUUCCUAUGUUAAUUUAAGCCUGACCCUUGAAACUCAUAAUUCAUGAGUGUUUUGAAGUUGAUACCAAUCUGUGAUAUUUGGAACCAUACAAGCUUUCAGGUGAUCACCUUAGUUAUUUCUACAAUAUUUAUCUUAAUUAAUAUUCAUGAACGUAUUUGAGGUUAUUGCCGACUUGCCAUUAAGCUGUUAGUAAUAUUUCCAUUGUUACCUUGCUGGUCUUGUUCUUAUUCAUUGUACAAUGGAUUGGUUCUCUUGUUUAUAAAUUCUUCUAAUAGCUUCAAAGCAUAUAUUAUCAGGUUACACCAGCUGGUUAUGCACAGAUGGCGGACAUGUUGGCUAAUAUUUCAGAGGGUAAAUUGUUGGUUAUUCUUGAGGGAGGGUGGGUAUUUGAGUCCUGUCUUUGUUUUCUUUUUUCUAGUUAGUUUUAGAGCAAUUGUUUCCUCAUUUAUUUGCAACGCAUGACUUGAUUACUUUUUUGGUUCACAGAUACAAUCUUCAUUCAAUAUCAUCUUCAGCUACAGCAGUGGUUAAGGUAGCUACCUUCUUGAAUAUGCUUAUUUUUAAUUGAUCCUUUAGGUAUUUUUGUAGUUAAAGUUGUGCAACAUUCUUCUCUCUUUCAAUUAGUUAGUACCUAUUGAUUUCUCGCUAUUAUUUGAUGUCACAUUUACUGGUUUGGGUGCUGUAGAUAAUUUUUGUGGUUAUACAUUCUGUUAUACCCUUACCUUUUUAAUUUAGAUUCCUUUCUUUUGUUUUUAAUCUUGUGGUGCAAGCCCUGAUGGGAAGAUUCCGAUGCUAUAGUUGCAACUAUAUUUAUUCUUCUAAUCAUCAACAAUCAGUAAAGUUUUGGUAUUUAUAUUUGGCACUUAAAAGUAAUUAGCUUGGUUAGACGCCUCUUCAAAGUUUAUUCUUCACAUGAAUUUUUUAUUUGGGAUUCUUAGGAAGCAAAUAUAUAUGUUGGAUGUAAUAAUGUGCAUCAACUAUUGUCAUUUUCAUUUUCAAAGCGUGUGCUUAACUACUAAUAAGUUAUGGCUUUAGGUAUGUAUCGAUUUCAUUUGUGAAUAGUGAUAAUGUUUGUCGCUGAUCACUUCUUAAAACUCUUUAUACUUGCAAGGUUUAGCACGCUAAAGCAAGCUUCUAAACUAACUGAAAUUUGAUUCAAAUAGGGAUACCUAAUGUGCCAAAGUUUGUUUUGUAUUAAGUACAAGGGUAAAUAUGGUAGAAAUUAAGUUUUGGAGGCAUGCAUGAAGACUCAGUUCUUGCAAAAUAUAUAUGAGUAAAAAUUUUCACAGGAGAUUUGUAAAUUUAUCUUAGUGUUGUCUCUAUGAUAUAUUGAGUAGAAAUCUUGGAAACUAUUUGGUCCACGACUUCAUCAAUUUUCAUGGCAUUUCACUAUUUUCUAUUUUUAUUUUUUGCCACUAGUAUCUGUUCGAAAUUCAUUACUUUCUUCUAUUAUGAGUUGAACCUCAGUGCCUGACUUAUGUUUCCUACAAAUGAUACUCUCUGCAGAGUUGUAAAGUACGUGGUUUUGAUAUUCACCUUAUUACUGUACCUUGUUACUUUCUGGUUCUAAUAUCUUAUAGGUACUAGUUGGAGAGAAACCAAGCUAUGAUUUGAGCAACGUCAUGCCAUCAAAAGCAGGGCUGCGGACUGUUAUGGAAGUAUUGAAAAUUCAGCUGAAGUAUUGGCCGGUUUUAGAAUCGCACUAUACAGCGCUGCAGGCGCAAUGGGGCCCACUUUCAUGGAACAAUAGUGAGUGCUAAUCUUAUAUGUUGAUAGUUUCUUUAUAUAUAUUUAAACGUGGGUGCAAGUAGGUUUUAUUUGCAUUAUUUGCUUCAGUUAGGUAGGGAUAGAAAGGUCUUUUAUUACAUGUUAUGGUCGAUCCUUAGAUUUUCGGAAUUUUGAAUGGAAAGCACACAAAGGGUUGACAUAACAAAACUUCGGUAAAUCAGGGUUGAGAAAGUGAAUUGUAUUUCUUGGUAGUUUAGGGGCUAUACAGACACACUUGAACCCUUCUUUAAUCACUUGAGUUUGUUCGAAAAGAAUUAGUUGGUUCUGUUUGAUUCUUUUGACAUGUUUACUCGAUUCUUUUGACAUGUUUACUUGAGACCAUCUCGGUAACUGGAUAUGAAGUUCCUUUUGCCUUGUUUUAUUUGGAUGAAUCAUUUUAUCUGGUAAACUUAGGGCACCAGCCGAAGAAGAGGCGACAUUUGAUCGGACCAAUUUGGUGGCAGUGGGGGAGUAAGAGAUUUGUGUAUGAACUAUUAUACGGGCGUCCCCAUCUAAGAGAUUUAAAGAGAAUACGCCGACAGCAGUAAGGCGCAACACGGGCAAAGCUGGUGGUCGUCAAUGUGCUGAUUCUGAAAAAUUUAUAUGAAAAAAGGUAAAAUUAUGUCUGCACCUUUAUUCGUUGUAUUGCCAAAAGGAGUUUGAACGUUUUAACUCCGUGCAGUGGGACGUGCAGAUUGUGCGUCAAAUUUUGCUUUAACAGUAACUUGUUAUAGCUGAAAUUCUUGUGCUACAUGGCGUAGGUAAACAAUUGUAGUAAUUACAGUAGUGAUUCCGAAUUUGGAGAUUUUCAGUUUACAUUGUGAGGAGGCUUUUAAAUAUUAUUGUAGGAUUGCAUAAAUCGUAUGUCACUGUAUUAGUUAUGAGAAAUUCUUGCCAGUGCUACUGCAAAAAGAAUUUGUUCUAAACCGGUCCGUAUGGGUUUAUAACUACCCAUUCGGCACCAGCUGGCUUUGUGCUGAUGAGCCCAUCUAGAAUCCUGCCUGUUGUAAUUGUGCCAACAUAUUAGAGGGUGCACGUCCAGAUUUUCUGCCAUGCGGUGUCCUGUCGAUAUCUCAUCCUGUCGAUAUCUCACCGGUAUGUGCCGUUUUACUACAAUUAUUGGUUUAUAUAUAAACUAAUUGAAGCCAUGCUAUUACUAAGAUGGAGUGAUGUUUAAGAAAAAUCUUUGAGUCUGUUUUCGUUUGCAAGAUGAUAAUAUAUUUAUUCGGUAGUGUUGAACGCUGGCUAGUAAACAAUUUCUCCUCAUCGUGGGGAAAUUGUUUACUGCAUCUGGCCUACCACGACAGUUAUUCUUUUCUGAGGAGGUGCUGUACUUUGUUCUUUUUUUGAUUUUUGUAUUAUAUAGAUCUCAAUCUCUCCCAAAAGCACAAUCACAGAUGUUGGACUAGUUAAUCUCUCUCUCAUAUUAGCCCUUUGUUGGUGGAAUUAUUAGUCAUAAUUAUGGACCUUUUUUUACAAUCAUUUUCUGACAGAUAGAAGGCCACCACGUCCCCCCACAUGUAGUUUAGGCUGGUUCAAAGGCUAGUCUAAGGAUCCAAUUAUUCAAUAUUAUGACUCUAACGACUAACUAGGAGAAUCAAAUACAUGAUGAAUGAUGAAUACUAACUUUCGAUCUAACAAAUGUACAAUCUAUGAUGAAAUAGCUUUGGUUAAUCUAUGAUAAGAGAUGUGAUCUGAGCAGAGAUACUUCAUGUUCACAUUUCUGCGUCAGAGUGAUCAUUACACUUAAUCUAGGCACUCCACAGAAUCGAACAAUGUAAGUACAAAUUAUAAACAUUUCUUUUGUAUAGUUCAUCACAGGAUUAACUCAAAAUCAGAAGCCCUUCCUCUUGAAGCAAUUUAACCAUCUCAGUAGAACAAACAUCCACAGAUCAGAGAAAGAUAUACCAGUCCAAGGCCACUUCAAAAUAUCAUUUACCUGCGUCUCUAUAAGGUUCAUCACUUUAUCCCUGCAUUCAUGAAACAUCAGGCGAAUAUUAGUAAAUAUUACUCAACCGACUUUGGUGGUGUUUGCUUGGAAGAUAAAGUGUAAAAAGUAAUAUAUAUCACUAUAAUCCCUCCCAACAAAAUAUUUUGGUUACUUAUCCAUGCUCAGAAUUGGAGCCAAGAACGGCAACGUCCGGGGAUAGCAAUAUUUCUCGGGUAUGGUGGAAUUGUGCUACUCCCAUCACUAGACCCUUUAUCCCAAUAAUUUCCCACAUUUUCCUAGGGAAACACAGCAGGAAUAACACAAGGAACAAAAUUUUCGAAUCUCAAAAUCUAAUGUGGCCGGUGCUGUGAAAAAUUAUUGCAUGCACCUGGUCAUAAUGCAUUUGCACACUCACGCACCAACCCAUCCAUCAGCACUCCAUCCUCUACCAGAUGUCAAUCCCUACCACACAGCAAGCUUAAAUAAACCUAUUCCUUCUUCUAAAAAUUGGAUAGUUGGAUACAAAGUGCGAAAGGUCUGAUGGGUGGAGUUGCACCUAUGUAUGGAUGCAUCAGCAGUGAGUGAUAAAUUUCUCCUAUUUGGCCUGACUUUUGAAACAGCUCUAAAUAGAAGUGAAAGCAUUUAGGGAACGAAAAGUUUGGAGCUUCAGUGUUGGCUUAAGCAAAUCCAAGGCUGGGCCGGGCGAAAAGAAAUAUGCUCCACUCAACCAAAGCUGGUCUGGCUCAAUAACAUUUACAAGACCUCAACUUUUGAGAUGCUGCUCGGCCUAACGAACUGGCCUGGCCCUACCUGGAAAAUAAUUGGGCUGGCUGGGCAAGGUCAGAUCUUUUCUGCUCGUCUACCUGAGCGCUAAAAGUAGGAGCUCCCAUUUGAAGCUCCUUGAUUCUAGCUUACGGUAAAAAGCUUUUGGAAGGAUUUUAACGGCAAAGCUGCUAGGGAUUCUUUGAAGCAGCUAUAUGAAACGGCACGUCUAGAGAAGUCCUCACUGACCCAAAGAAGAGUAAAAUGAUUCAUGCCUGUUGGCUCAUAAGAAUUUCAAUGGCAACAGUGGGAUCCCCAUCAGCAGCAGUAAGAGCAACUUCAGCCUGGAUCUGCAACAAAAACAGGAAAGCAUAUCAAGAUAACAGGUGGUGAAAGAGAGAUGCUUGAUGGAAAAAAAAAAGCAGAAAAUGAAAAAAAGCAGAAAAUGACUAACUUGUAAGUCAGAUAAAGUACUUAUAAACUGAUUUACAAAACUCUGUACUUCCAAUUUCGCCUGAGUUGUAUUAAACCUACUAAAACAUGAAAGAUGAAACAGCUUCCUUUUACUUAAAGAAAAAAAUAGAAGUUCGCCUUUCCCCUUCAUUCUGUUUGCCUAUUCAGGAUUCUGCCCCAAUACUUGAUGGGAUGAGAAAAAAUCUAGCUGGCCAGCUGCCCCGGCCAAAUGUGCCAAGCCGAAGCAACGCAGGCCAUAACAUGCCUGAGGAUUCCCUGAACCAUUGUGGCUUAAUCCAGAUGGGCCAAGCUAAAAAUAUAACCUAGAUUUGAACCAGGCUCAGGGACGAGAACCAUUCUCGGACUAGAAUGCCUGGUUGAGCUCAUCAUAAGAUCAGGGAAUAUUUUUCUAUAAGGUAAUUACACAGUCAAAAGACGGUAAAUUGUGAAAUAUUUCGACUCAGCUCGACAACAUUAAAGAUAAAAUAAACAUUAGAGCAAAAGCUAUGCUGUACCUUCUCAAAACCCAUUGCUACUAGCUUGUUAAGCUCUUCUUCAAAGUUAUCAGAACCCUAAAAACAGAUAAAUCAUCAUUCAGAAAAAAACAGAAGGAUAAAUAAAACCAUGUAAUUAAGAAAUUGUUUCAUGCAACCUGGUUGGUUGCUGCUGAUCCAUCAACUCCAGUGUUUCCUGUUGAAUGCCUAACACCAGAAAACAGUCAGAGAGAAUAAAUGUCAAUUAUUAUAAUCCUAGACUGCUCUGUUACCAGAUGCUUGUUAAUUUUUCUCUCUUCACUAUGCAUGUAAGUUUAGCUAACUCCAGGCUGAUAGAUACAAGUCGGCAGUAGCAACUAUCCUUUUGAUAGGCUCUUAAAGGUGAGGUGCAUGAUUACGCAAAAUAAAACUACAAACAAACUAUCCAUACUCUUUCUCUCUCUCCCAAACAAAGGAAAGAAGAAAAAUCUAUGUUCCUAGCCAUAUAAAGAUCAUAUAACAUCAGUAUUUGAACUGGUCAAAUAUCGUUUCUUUGGUUUCAUUCACAUGUCUCAUCAACAACACCUUAUAGAACCUAAAAGAGCAUGAUGAAACAAGAUUGAAAUCAAAAUUAACUAUCAAGAACACACAGCAAGCUAGUAGACUGAUGAACUACACAAUAAAAUAAUCCCCAACUAGCCAAAGAAUGCGAUUUCAAGAAAUAUCUUUCCUUAUGAUCAGGAUAGUUACUUGUGAUAGUUGAAAUAAUCGUGGUUCAUAAAUGAUGAGAAUAGUUGAAAUAAUUGUGGUUCAUAAAUGAUGAGAAUAGUUGAAAUAAUCGUGGUUCAUAAACGAUGAGAAUGGCUGUAUCAUUUGAUUGUAGAUUAUCAACACAUUACCCUUCUUUUAAAAAUGGAACCUUUGUAUCUUCAUGGGACGAACUAGUAUCUUCACUCUACAGAAUCUUUAUCUGUUGCUCUUAGUGUCAUUAUAAUUCUCAUGUGCAGAAGAAUCUUGUCACCAAAAAUUUUGAUAGAGACUAUGACAGAAAGGUCCUGAACUGAACCACUACCAUCUACCUAUGGUUACAGAAUACAAAGUCAAAUGAGAGGAAAGAAGACAAAAGAAAAGGUGAGACAAGGAAAAUUCUCGGUGAGAAAAAGUUAAAGACGAUGUAUUAUAAAUUGUAACUAAGAGAAGGAUAAGUGUGCUUGAUAUCAGGAUGGGAUAUUUUGCCUUAGAGGUAUCCAUUCCAAUUAGUCCAUUUAUAUAGAGUUUAACUCAUAUUUCUCCCUUAUUAAUCAUCAUCAAUAAAUGAACUCGGGAGUUCAGCUUGUUACACCCUUAAUUGAAGCACAGUGUGUACCCUACUUGCUAGCUUACAAAAACAAAUUAUACACCAUGUGCAUGACAAGGUGCAAACAAUCGCAAUCUCAGACUGCAUGAAUUUGUUUAUGACAAGUUGACAACUUCAAGCAAAUUGUGUUCAACAACCAAACUAGUUCUAAUGACCUUGUUAAAGUAACAUAUUAUACAUUAGAUAAGACUUAAGAGCUUUAAUACCCAUUUGGCUUAGGUCCUAUUUCUGCUUUCAGCAAACAAACACUAAUAGUGGAGUGUUUGACAAAUUGAAAGUUUAAAGCUUUUCCAAUGGCGGGAAGAUGGAAUAAGCUUCCGAGCUCAAUAGCAUAAGCCUCCAGUUUGGAGCUUCUGCUUCUGCUGCAGAAGAGAACUGUAGGAAGGAUUUUAACUAGAUGUUUUUAAUGCUUCUCAUAGGAGCAUCCUACGAGCACUUCAAACACCCUACAGCAGGGCCAAAUAAGUUUCUAUUAGAGUAUAUGUAGUAGCAGCUUGUGAAUCUUUCCCCUUUUUCUUUCUAUCUUGGUAGCGGAUGUUAGUAUGAAUGUAUAAUAGCAUUACCGUCCUUCUAGUACUUCAGGAUUAGUGGGCUCUGUAUUAUCCAACAACCUUGUCUGCAAACUCAAGUCGGAAUCUGUAGUGGUCUGCUGAUUUCUUGCUGCACCUAGGGUCCUCCCCCUCCCAGGGAAUCUGGGGUCUUGCGCUGGGCCUGUUGGCUACAAGUAAUGCGAGAGAAUUAUAAUAUGGCCUAAGAAACACAAGUAUAUUUAAAAUAAAACAUUGGAUAGUAAAAGAAAAAAAAAGAGGAAAGGUUGCAAACAGACAAGAGUAUAUUUAGCAAGGAAAAAAAUAGAAACAUUUGAGAAGAAGUCCUAGACCCUGACAUAUAAAUUGAGAAGAAAGUUCGUGAACAACAGUAUAAUUUCUGGCGAGUAUAAGCCCCCAGUGUAGUAGUAGUCAGAAAAUGCUCUGAACCAUUUCCUUAUUUUAUCCUUCACAAAUUUUUUUUAUCCGAGUACCAAUUAAUGUUCGGCAGAAGAACUAAAGCAAUCUAGGCAGAGAUAGUACAAUUAAUUUUCAAUGGGUCAUUUCUAUGAGUUUGGCUCGAAGAAUCCUAAGAAUUCCAGUUCAUCAAUCUAAGCUUAUCAUUUGCUCCACCAUACUGAUCCUUUAAACAAGGAGAACUUUGUAAGUUGCAUUCCGGUGUACGAGAUAUUGAGAUGGACAAGCCGAUUGUUUUAACCAGAAAAGAGUAUUUUCUAGUUAUUUACAAAAAUAUAUACUUUCUGUUGAGAGUAUCAAAUUCAAGACAGAAGGGCAGGUGUCAAAUAUGAAAAUAGUAUAUUGAUACAGCAUAAAUCUUGCAUCAACAAUACUUACCGAAUUGGUUGAUGUAUCCCUAUGCAGCAUCCACGAAGAAAGAUUUCUCCACAGGUUUCUCCUAAUCAAAGGGGUACUGUAUUGAAAGAAAUAGGAACAAAAAAAAAAAAAAGAAUGACGUUUGCCACAAAACAAAGACUUAACCGCUAACCCACCCACCCAUACCCCCCUCCGCCCCCAAAAGAAACAAGAAAAAGAACCCACAAAAAAAAUAAGGGGAAAAAAAUGAAAGAAAACCCUCAGAAAUAAAAUCUACCUGGAUGCGGUAUUAACAUUUGAAUACGUAGGAAGAUGGCCAUAUGUAGUCCCUCCAGUGCACAAGAUAAAUCCAGAAUGUCUAACACAAGCUGACUGAAAAAUUACAAUAUUAGGAUUUUAUAUUACUCCGUAUUCGCAAAAGAAAAUCGCGAACGUCAAGCACAACCUAAGUAGGUGCUUGCUUGGCCCUGAUCCUGCAUAAGUACUGCUUAAACUGUUUGAAGAAGCACUAACAGCUUUUCUCCUCAACAGCUUCUCGAACAUCAGAAGCUUCAAAUCAGACCUUUCGUUCUUGGGGGCCAAAAGCUCAAUUUUAGCUUUUUGUCAGAGUAAAAACUCGGCCUUAUGUUAGCCAAACACCUAGUUUCUAGAAGUUUUUGUGCUUAGGAGUAGAGAAGCUAUUGUAGAAGAUAUGGCAAAACAAGCACAAAAAUUCUCAAGUCUAUUAGUUGUGACUAAUGAUUGAAUCUGUACAGACGACUACUUACUAGCAGUGAGGAGCUUUCAAUAGCAGAAUAGAAAGAUGGUCCAGGUAACAAGUAUUUGAACAAUCCAAGAGUAUCUGAGGGGAAGCAGAAAAUAAUUGAGUACAAUCACUUAGAACACUAUCUUUAGAAAGAAAUAACGGAUUGAAACAAGAGAAGGAACAAACAUGCAAACCCAGAUAAGAUGCCACAUAAGUGUCCCAAUAAUGAAACAUUGCUUGCUAGAAGUUGGAACAGAAUCAACAGAAUCCAAGCGUACCUGAGUAGAACAUCUAUUUUAUACAAAGGAAUUUUUUUGCAGUUUAUAGCUGUAUUUAAAUGCUAAGAUGCUGGAGUUACAGGUAAAUUGGAUUUCAUUAGAUGGUUAAGUGUGUACCAUUUGGCAGGAACAUUGAAGAGUCCAAAAACACUGUCAAAAGGAAACCCCACCAUCAGUAGACGAAAGCACAAUGUCAUGGGUCAAAAAUAAAAAGACAAUAUUGGACAUGAUGGGAGAGUUAAUACAUAAAAAUGUCACAUAGGAAUCUGGCAAGCAGAAAAUUUGAAGGUUUUGCUAUGUGGGAAGCUCAAAUGAGCUUUCGAACUCCAAAAGCAAAAGAUCUAUUUUGAAGUUUCUACUUCUGCUACAGAGGGAGGCUCUGGGAAGGAUCCCAAUGAUAAGACUGUUCGUACUUUCAAACAACUAUUAUUCACAGCACUUCAAUAGAAGCUUCAGACAGGACAACCACAAUCACAUCUUCUUUCACAAACUGAUAUCCACCUAGGUACUAAUUCAUGAUGCAAAACCUAAAGAUAGGAAUAUUGGUUGCUAUCAAUCACUCACGUCUGUGUCAGACUUGUGUCCGACGCGGAUGCGCCAUGGACGGGCGUUCAUGGUGCAUCCCAUUAAAUUAUUUUAUUUUACUUUUUUUUUUAUGCAUAUAUAAUAUAAGAUGAUAAAUAUUUUGGUUUUUUGAUGAAAGCAUAAAAACUAUAGCAAUAUUUUAGCAAAAUUAAUAUUUUAUAUAUAAUAAAUAUAUUAUUAUUUUAAUAUUAUUAUAUAUUAUUAGCAGUAUCCAUAUCGUGUUCGUAUCCUUUUUUUUUUUUUUUAGCUAUCGAGUCGUCGUGUCUGAGUAGUGUCAUGUCCCUUGUCCAAUGUUCGUGUCCGAAACACCUAGAUUGGUUUUCACCUGAAAAAUUGAUGCUACCAAAAGUUGGUAACUCUAAAGGCUAAAUAUAUGAACAGCCCCUAUACUACCCUGGCAUUGUGACUUAGUCCGUGAAAUUUUCACUUAAGCACUUUUGCCCCAGAAGUUUCCUAUAUAUUACAUUUCCAUCAUCAAAUGCCAAAGGAAAAAAAAAAAAACUAAUUUCUCUUGUCAAAUGACCAUUUUACCCAAUCUCCUGUAAAAGGAUUUUCUAGUUUCAGUUUUGCAGCAAGGUAAAAAAGUCAUUUUACAACGACAGUCAAUAGAUGUCAGUUUUUCUUUCUUUCUUUUUUUUAAUCAACCGGGAUGCAAUUGCAAUAAAUGAGGAAGUUUGUGAACCAAAUCAAAGGGCUAUCCACACUUUUUACCCCACACUGAGUUUAGUGGACAGUUUCAUUUCUCAGGAUAACAACAGACAAUCAGAGUACUCAUCACCGCUCAUUAACUUAAGCAACUUCAGAUGAAAGAAGUCAAUACAGGAAGUAAAAGCAACUCCAUAUGCCUAAAUGCAGGAUGCUGUAGUAAAUAGACCAAUAAAAAUUAAAAACUACCAACCUUCUAGAUUGUGCUCCACUGAGGCUAGUCUCUAUAACAAUCAUUGAGAAAAUGAUGCCAGAAAAUCCAAUGGCACAUUCAUUCAUGAAGAAUGGAUAAGGGUGCAAAGGAUUAUAUGAGAUCAGUGAAGCAAUAAUGAGAUGGAAAAUAGCAUUGCUUGUAGCGAGCAACAUCAUCAAGUAUAAAAUGCGGACUGAUCCCAUGAUUCUCUCCAAUUCCGUGCCCAAUGGCACCAAUGCCAACAUAUUGAAAACAACAUGAAGCAAGGAUCCAUGGAAAAGAACAGACGUAAAUAUCCUGUACACUGAAUAAAAUGUGGAGGAUUUUAGAUCUCAAUAAAAGAUACAUGAAAAGAAAAAGAAUAAUGCUACCGGUAUAUCCAAAAAUGGGUGUAAAUCUUACAUCCUGCCCAUCCAAGAGCCAACAUUUUCUCACUAGCUUUAUCAAUCCUUUUUUACAUAUUAAAAACCUGAAAGGGACUUCUAAACCCUUUGAUGGUUGGGUGUAAGAUUUAUACCCUAUUUUUGGGUGUACAAGUAGCAUUUCUCAAAGAAAAGAAAAACUUAAAAUAUAAUAAAUUCAUUCCAAAAGCGGAGAAAGGGGGAAUGUACUGCUCGAGUUUUCGGAGAGUUGAAAUGACAUUAUCUAUUGAAAAUUUAUCGAAGCUAAGCAAGUGUAAUACAGAUGCAAAUAAGGAGUUAGGAGGAUAAAAAAAAAAGAGGAGAGAGAAAAGAGAAAACAUAAGUUCAUAACAACAAGACUAAUCCAGCACAUAUUGUAUUUAGAGAGAGAGAGAGAGAGAGAGAGAGAGAGAGAGAGAGAGAGAGAGCAUACCUUGAAACCUUGAAACAAUUAAAGAAGGCAAGAAGCAUAUCUCAACAAAGGAGUCAUACCCCACCAACAAGCAUACCAAGUAAAUUACACCACAGAUUAUAACAACACCAGAAGUAAUGAACGGUAUACUAGCCCACCACUGAUUGAACCUAGUCGGCAAUCCUGCCUAAAACAACCAAGAAAACACAAAAAUAAAGCACUGAGAAGUAAGAUGGGGAAAUAAUAAUAAUAAUAAUGGCAGCAUUGCUAUGCUGAAAGCAUCAAAGUGAAAUUCUCACCAUUAUUUGAUAACCAAAGAAACUGAUGCUUGCUUACAUCAGGUUGAAGCUAAUUCUUAAGGUAUAUCUUUUGUUCUAAAGAUUGAGAUAUGUAGCUGACUGGUAAGUAAUUAUAUUUAAACAAGUAGCAACAAUUUUUUUGAAUUAGUUUAGAGGGAAAAUUUGAAAUGCUGCAUAACUAUAAUCUAUACAGCUUGCAACCAAAUAAAAUAGAUAAAAUAUAGGUAUGAAAAACCAACAUAAGCUCUUAUCAUGUUAUCUUGACAAAUAAAGUAACACAAAAAAACCUACAUUAUCAAAUUUGAAAGUUUGAAAUUUUGAAUUUUUGUAAGGCUUAAACCAGCAAGAAAAUGCUGAAUUGCAUCAUCUGAAUAUCUUCUUAUAAGAAUCGUUCCUUUCCAGAGCUUGCACCACACAGAUAGUGAUGGUGGCUACUCUAUUAGAGAUAACUUUACCUAUACAAAAGCAACAAGGAAAUUCAGAAACUGGUUAUGUUGCACUUCCUAGUAAAUUUCCAAUAAAUAUGAAAAUUUCUAACUAGCAAAUAUUUCCAAUGAUUACUUUUUUUUCAAUUAUGUUUUUUCAUCCAUAUAAAUUGAGGUUAAAAUCUCCUUUUUGAGUAUAUACAGUAAGUGAUUUAGCGCCCUUCCGGCUAGUUACUAGUACAGCUUCUUUACUCUAGAGAAGCAUAAGCUUAGCAUUCGCCAAAUAAAAUCAUAAGGACAAGCCAAGCUUUCACCAACCAAAGAUCGCACUGUACAAAAACACAAUAAUUUGCUUCAUCUACUCCAAGUACACAGCAUUCCUACAUAAAUGAAAUGCUGAAUGUAAACUAAACUAAGAAACUGCACCAACUAAAAAAGCGUAACAUUCACAUCACAAAACAAGCUGGUUCUCAUUCAAAAAGACAACACGCGCUCCCCUUCCUUGGUCUUUAAAAGCAAGAACACAUGGAUCGUUAUAUUUCAAGAAGACAUGAAAACAGUAUUUCGGCAUCACAUAGCUGCUUAAGUGCCGCAAGCAGCUUUCUUUGCCUAGUUGGUCCAAUCAAGUUUUGUGCCAACCCGACCUCCUAACCAGCCAUUUGGUCUCCCUAGAGAGUGAUUAUAAUAACAACGUCAUCUACUACAGGACCGUGGACACUCAAUGUAGCGCCCCUACGAAAUCAAGAUCCGCAUCAAUCAAUAUUGAAUAUUCCUAAGUUCCUAACCUCAUCACCACCAAUCUCAGCAAAUCUAUCUCUAGCAUUACUUCAGAUCUAGCAGUAGAUACUCCAAUGAAAAUUUUACACUCCGGAACAGAAGAUUCUCGCCAUAUCAAUUACACCCAUCCACAAAAAAAAAAAAAGAAAAAAAGAAGGAAAAAACCAGAUGAAAAACCCCAUCGGCUUCUCUACUCUUCCAAGUACGCAUGUAUGAACUUCCAACAACUACAACACCCAAGAUUACGCUAAUUCCAAAACCUUUUCCCACAUCCUGUAUCCAAUCAUUAAAAUCAAACUUAUUAUGACGCAUUAUGAAACAAAUUUCACCCAAAAUAUCCCCUCACUACAAGAUUCUUCUUUUCUCCACCAAUCAACUAAAAUCCACUAGAAAUCGAAAUUGUUACACUUCCUAGGGUUUGAAAAUGAUCGAAUCGUGCAAAACAAAAAAAAGAAAAGAAAAAGAAGAAGGUGAGAGGGAUCAGAUCCAAGCAGGUAGAAAUCGCGGGGGUGAGGGGGAAGGGUUUUGGAUCGGUCGAUGGGAGAGAUGAGAUCGCUUACCUCGGUGACGAUGUUGGGUCGCAUCUCUCGCGUCGUUCUUGCGAUUUCUCCUCCGCGUCUUUCUUUUUCCUCCCGCUUCUUCAAAAUUUUUCUUUUUUCUUUUUUAUCUUAAUUCAUGCGCCGAGGUUUUGAUAAAGAAUCGGCGAGGAAAUGAAGAACGGAGUUUGGGAAGAAGCUUCGAGCGGUGUAGCACCACUCGCAUGAAUCGGCGGGGCGCUCGAAACGAGGAUGUAUUAUCGCCUGCACCCGGUGUAUCCGUACAAGUUGCGCACUAUUUUUUUGAUAUUUAAUGGGUGAAAAUGUAUGGAGACUCCCUUAACUAUACGUCGUUUUGAAACGAGUCCCUGACCUUUUAGCUUUUUCUAACUUUCUUAUUUGAAUUUUUAUUCUUGGUUAGUUAUAUUCCAGAUUUUAUCAAAUUUACUGACUCUAUUAGUUAUCAAUCAUUAAUUUGUCUGGUCUUAUUUAUUAAAAAGUAAUUAAACCUAUUAAAUUUGGAGAACUCGCUAAUGAAUUUUAGAAGAUUUUUAAUUUCUUUGAGUAUAAUUACUUAAUUCCAAAAAAAAUUAGAAGUCAAUGGAAUCAGAACGCAAUAUAGUUGAGGGGGUCUCUAUACGUUUUGCCAAACUGUUUUGUUAUAAGAAAACUUAAGACAAAAGAUCACUUUCCACCUAAAAAGAUAUUUGUUGUUAAAACAAACUUUAGGUGAAAAUGUAUAGAAUUUGUCUCAAAUAUCACCCAUUUUGAUCUUAUUAUAUAAACUUUAAAAAUUAUGAUUUUACUCCCUAAUGUUUAAUUUAUUGAUUUGAGCCAGUUAAUGACUCUUAAUUUUUUAGAUUUGAAUGCAUUGUUUAUCAUUACAGAGUUAAUUAGUAUAUUUUACACAGUUUUAUGUAACUAAACAUUUUGUUAAAGUAAAUCAAACAAAUUGAAAGAUUGAUAUUAAAAAUAAAAAUUUUGAAAAAUUAGAUAGUCAAAUCAAAAUAAUUUGUAGUUUCAUAUAAGUUUUAUAUAUUUUUACCUAAACUUUAUUUUGAAAAGUUGAAGCUCCCAUCCGAUGAAAUGGUGAUUUCUAAAUUGCAUCUUUGGCGCAUAUGGAUACACACACGCACACAUUUGUGCCGAAUUUUGAUAUAAUCUGUUAUGGGAAGUGAAAUUUAAACCAAUCUCCACAGCAAAAUACUUAAUACUUUGUUUAAGAUUGCGGAGAGAUUGCAUUAUGUAUUGUGAAAAAAUAUGAUGGGAAAAGAUCCUGUCUGUUUCUGUACGUAAUAUUACGUUUCGCAGAUCGCGAUGAAUCAGAUAUGAUAUAUUUUCUACGGUCCCACUGAAAAACACAAAAGCUUAUCUCUAUAUGCUUUUACCCAACUUCAUUUUAUAAUUAAUAGGCCACAAUAUUAAACUAAGCCUAAGUAUGAAUGAAUUGUCCUGCUAUACAUUCUUUACACUAUUUACAUAAGCUAAGUUAUUUUCACCUGGACAAGCUCCAUUUUCUAAAAAGACAAUUACUAACUGUGACAACAUUAACUAAGCAGUUUAAGCGCACAUAUUGUGGGAUAUUAGAGCCAAGAUUAUGCCUUUUCACCUGAGUCACAGCUGCAAAUGUAGCACACAGAAUACAUUACUCAUUAAAAUUCAGAGAGAGAGAGACAGAGAGAGAGAGAGAGAGAGAGAGAGAGAGAGGAUACAUAAAUAGUUCAAAUUGUGCACCUAUUCUUUGUUUACAAUGAAUAAUGUUGGAAGAAGACAAAAAUAAAACAAAAUUCUUCCAAUUCCUCAAUAGGAAUGCAAAAAUAUCCUCAAGAGUAUCGAUCAUCUCAGCAAUGAAAUCAUAAUGAAUGUUUGAAUUGGAAAAUUUAAAAUUAACUACAAAGUUACUUCUCAGAACAGCAUCCGAACUAAAACUACUGGAGCUGAACAAACAUCAAGGUCACCAACAAGCUGAAAACAAGAGAAGCCAUUCUAAAAUCCUCUCUCCGGAGAGCAUGAGCAGUAGAGUACCUAAAAAGAUAAAUCAGAAAAGGGCGAAAUAAGCAGCUGCAUUAUGAUUUUCUUUCCAUUUCUUCUUCGAUAGCAAAUAAUGGAACUCGAGUUUCGAUGCUUACAUUCUUUUUUUUUUGCCCAUGUUAAUGUAAAAUUAAGCGGCAGAGAGGUAUAAAUUGCAGAGUCUAACAUACAAAAAAGCCUCCCCUCCAAAUAUCAGAGAUUUGCAAUGUCCUCCGGGUAAAUAAAAACUUGCACUUAACUCCCUAGCAAAUAGACCCCUCAUAUCACUUUUCUAGUUAAGGAGAAGAUAAUUUAUAAGGCGGAUAUAGGGCAUUUUAAUCACAAUUCGACAUUUUUAUAACAGUUCUCGAGUAAAAAAUGUGAUACAGGAGUUCAGUGCUCAAGGUAUAAACAUUGAGGGGGUUACAUAUAGAUUUUUUUUCCAUUUUUGAGGGUGAAGGUGCAAAUAGCGAUAUUUUAAGGGAGACUUUUUCGUCUACCAAUUACAAACCUUAAUAGACAGUCGAUGAAAUUCAGUCUCUACCUUGCGGUCCCUGGAAUUGUCGUCAAUCCAAAAUCAAAUGGAAACAAAGGAUCAUAGUGAUUGUCUCCCACAUUCAUAGGCAAUUGAUCCACCGACUUGAACCAAGUGCGAGAAAGCCUUCCACUGAAUCCAUAAUCCCCAAAAAGGCAAUCAGUGACGCCCUGGCCUUCCGUUCCGGGGAGCCAAGCAGCAACUAUGGCAUCCAUUAGUGGUAGGUAGGGCUCGAUCACGACCGGACGGCCUGAGAUGAUGAUCACCACACACUUCAUGGCUGCACAGAUGUUCUGGAUUGUGCUCGGGCCAGGAUCAGGAAGCGUGAGGUUGAGGCUGUCACCGGCCGUCUCGGCGUAGGGAGGUUCGCCAACGACAAUGAUGGCAUAAGAGAAGUCAUUAUGCUUGAGAAAGUCGGAGCCAGGAUUUUCGGAGUAGACGACAUUGGUCGAAGGGUCAACAGUUGAUUUGAUGGCUUCGAGGAUUGUAGUUCCUGCAUGGAAGAGAAGGUUUAACAUAUGAAUUCCAUCAAAAUUGCCCUACAAAAUGUGAAUUCUAUAUACUCAUCAAAAGUAAAGUUUCUUACAAAACUACCCUUUGUGUUAAGUUGGCAAACCAUCCAAUUCCUGGGGCACUAAGUUUGUUUGGAGCAACUUUAUCAAUGAUUAUUGGAAAGAACCAUUUAAAAUGUAUAAGGCCAUUAGGGUUAAUAUGUAAGAAAUUAAAUUUUGAAUAGUAUAUAUAUGAAAUUCAUAUUUUCAAAUUUCAUAUUUUGCUGGCAAAUAUGUUUAAAUAGAUAACAACUAAAACAUUCCAGAAGAUGCAAAUAUAAGUAUAUAACUAUAGUAAUAACUAAUAAGCAAAGCAAUAAGGAAGAGGAAAACUCAGAAGCUGUUUUCUUCAUGGAAUUAUAACAUUUCAGGAAACGCUGCAUAUUUUCUAUAUAAAUGACGAGGUUAGCAUUGUGGAACUCGGGGUUGGAAGGAGGUAACAGGGAAGUGAGACAAAUAUGCAGCGCACUCAAUGUACUCAUCUUACAUUAACAUGGCAAGAGAUUUUUCCCUUGCCUGCUAGGUUCCCACAGCAACAAAACUCUCCUUAUUAAUAGGAAUCUUUUGAGUCCCUCUAAUUGUCCCCUCCCAACCCAAGUUGUGAGAUUACAAUCUUACCAUUUCAAAUGGAAAAUGCAGUGAAUUUCCAGAUUACAAUUCAUGAAAAGAACGACCCCUAAGAGAGGGACAUACCAACAGUAAUGUUUCCACUCUCUCCCUGCCAUUGAAUAGUCCACCCACCACACUGAUAACCCAAGUUAUCCGCAUGUGAUCCGGCAACAAGGAUGUUCUUAGCUUUUUUAGGGAGGGGCAGAAUGGUCUCAUUAGCAGAUUUUCCGUUUUUCAGUAAUACAAGAGAUUUCCUCACAGCUUCCCUCGCCAGUUCUCUGUGCUCCUGUUGAAAACUAUGGGAUUUAGAGAGCAUGGCCAAACAUGUUACUCUUUGGUGGUUUGUAUCAUGUUUAGGCAAAAAAAGCAAAAAUGCCCUCCAACAUAGGCUAUUUAGAAAUAGGUCCGUGAACUGUACUUUUUUCUUUAUUUGAACCCCUUUAGUAGUGUGUUGUUCCAUUUGAAAAUACAUUGUUAGGUUCCGCCAAAAGUGAGGUUUUCUGUCUAAGAGGACAUAGAACAUUCAUUAAAGAAUAUUCUGUCAAGUUACAUGGGUUUAAUUUAAACAAUGGCUAAAAUGCAGAUAACAAUAACAACCUGGAUUUAUUGUAAUUUUUUUCCUUCAUCCCUUCAAUAAUAAAAAAAACUACAGAUAAAUCCUAAGAUUAAUUAACAUUAGCACUUUACCCCCUUCAUAUUUCAUAAGAGAGAAAACUGCAAGAUUUUCUAAUAAAUCUAGUUGUUAUAUAUAGGUCUUGGACCGUUGGUUGUCAUGGGGGUAAAUAACAAAGUUCAAAUAACAAUACUGGGUCCUUUUGUAAUAUAGUUUAAAGAAAACUUGAGCUCCAGCGAACUAAUUCCAGAUGAUCCAUAGUUGGAGGGUUGUCCAUAUGAUUUUAGUGCCACAUAAUGAGCGCAAUUUUUUUAGAUAAGAGAGUAGAAGUACUGAUGAAUGUAACCUUCUUUCCGAGUUGAUCAGAGAAGCUAAGAUCAGCCAAAGGAUUCUCAAAGAGGCCCAUCGUAAACUUGACCCGCAGAAUUCUUCGUACAGCAUCAUCAAUUCUGUCCAUCGAAACUAUAUUCUUGUUGACAAGAGAGGUCAGAUUAUUGAUGUAUUCGGUGUAAUUGUAAGGAACCAUUAUCUGCAAAACAGUACAACAUAUUAAUAUUAAAAAGAAUAUUUGGUAAAAAAGAAUUAGAGAGCAAAUAUAUACAAAUCGCUGAUAGAUUGGCCUUCGAUAUUGAAUUGGAGAAAAGGUCAAAACCUACAAACCUUAUUUGGACCAUUGAACAUUUUGAUAGGUAUGUGAACUGUUAAAUAUAAAAAAAUAAAAACAAUGUUCUCUACAAUUUUAAAUAUUAGAGAUAAACGGUUGUUUCGUAUAAUUUAACAUGCAUGGGUCCUAAGUUCGAGUCAUGCCAAGCUCCUAGCAUAAUUGAUUUUAUCCUAUUUAAUUCAAGUCUCGAGUUCAGACGUGAGGAAGAGUUUUAAAUAUAAAAAUAUAUAAAGAUCGUUCUCUACUAGCUAAAGCUUUUAGAGAAUAAUGGUUGUUUCGCAUAAUUUAGCAGGAACAUUAAUAAAAUUGAUUUUACUACCUAGCAAUUUAUGAUUGCAGCAAAACUUGCCACCUCUUAUAGAACAUAAGAGCUUCCAUUUAUAAAAUAUACCAUUAAGUAUCAGAUAUUCAGUUAGGUUGUAGAAUACUUAUUCCGAGACUAUAAGUACCAUUUAAGUAUUGAGGAAUGAGCUUAUAAUUCUAAUAAUAACAAGAAAUCCUUCUAGAUAUCAAUCCCUUUACCCCUCAUUCUUCAAGAAUCAGAAGGAUCCUUUUCGAAGUUCAAUUUAUUCAUUUGAAAUGUAGGCUCUUAAAAAUUUUUAAAGCUUAGCACCCAUUUCAAAAUGUUGUAUAGUUUAGUAAGGUACACACACACACCCCAUCCGAAAAAACAACGUCCAAACAAGGAAAAAAAACAGCAGUAUCCACAGUCCAUUGAAUUAGAUAAUUUUGCUCAGCCUCUUCAGUGUUGUUACCCUUUGUUUCAUUAUUUUAAAUACAAAUUCUAUGUAGAUGGAGGUGCCAGCAGAUGGGCUUCUCUCCCUUCGUGAUUGUAGGUUAGCUUGCAAUGUUGGCUGGAUGCAGAUUGGCAUCCAUCUCAAAAAAAACCAACCAAAGCAUCAAAUGUUACUGCUAAGUUUUUGCUUUUUAUUGCCAAACCCUGUGCGUGCACUUCAUUUCAUGUGCACUUCAUUUCAUGUAAUUUGCGUUGAAAAUAUUAUUACAACAAGAAAAACAACAGAGGCUUAAAAUUAUCGGUGUUCAAUUACAAGAGAGACUGACCAUAUCAAUCCCAGCAUUAAUUCCAGCCUGCACAGAGUAAGUAUAGUUUGCACCUGGCGGACUCGUGAUCCUGUCAAUCCCUUGCCAGUCAGAUAUCACAAAACCCUGAAAUUUUUUUAACAUGAGUUAGUGCAGAAUUGCACCAUGUAAUCUAAAUAGAUGAUUUGAAAAGAACUAAAGGGAAUUGCAAAAUAAUAUUACCUAACAGGCACUAAAUGGAGAAAAUGAUUCAUACAGUCGAUCACUUAUGGUUUCCAUAGAGGAUUCAUAUAGGAAACUCUAACUAGUAUGCAAUGAUGAAGGAUCAAUUGAAACAAGAAAUAAGUACGUACCCUGAAGUGUAAUUUGUUCUUGAGAUAGUUAGUGACCAUCUCAUAAUUGGCGUGCAUUUUCACCCCAUUCCAGCUUGAGUACGAGACCAUGAUAGUAGAAACACCCUUGAUAAUAGAGUUGUAAUAAGCUGGCAUGUGAAUGCUCAGAAGCCCAUGUUGAUCAAUAAUAGUAUUGUUCUCAUUGAUCCCGUCAUGUGUACCACCAUCACCAACAUAGUGCUUUGCACAGGCUGCGACUUUAUUCCUGUUCAAUGAGCAAGCGUUAGAUGGAUAACUACUUAUAAUAAAAUAGAAAACAGUCCAAAAAUUAGCAAAUUGGUAGGAUUUUUUUUUUGAAUUAAUUUUUAUACAGCUUCUGUAGCAGAUUAUUGGAAGUUAAAAGGCAUUGAUUAUAGAAGAAUAUGGGAUUUAAGAGGGAAAAUUAUCAUAUUAAUAUAGGAAAAGUUGCAGGAAACCUCCUUAAAUUAUCACAAUUUUCAUAAUUAAGCACCUGAAGUAUUUAAAACAUAUAACUCAGUCAAGCUACAAGAUUUUAUCACUUUAACUCCAUCAAGUUUCCUCUAGGUGAAAUCUAUCAUUUGUAAAAAUCACGAUACUUAUAAGGGGUUUUCUCAUGUCCUCCAUUUAAUUAGGAUUUACAAGAACUUCGCAUUGAUUAUCAAAGAAGAUGAGAUUUAAGAGUUAAAGAAGAUGGAAUUUAAGAGGCAAAAUUAUCAUAUUAAUAUAGAAUAAGUUGCAGGAAACAUCUUCACAAACUUAUCACAAUUUUCAUCUUUAACCACCUGAAAUAUUUAAACCUACAUAUAACUACUUAAGCUACAAGAUUUUAUCACUUCAACUCCAAAUUUUCUCUAGGUAAAAUCUAUCAUUUGUCACAAUCAUGAUACUUAUAGGGGGGGGUUUUCUCACUUCCUGCAUUUAAUCAGGAUAUUCAAGAACUUCUCUUACAUUAAAUUCCACAAUGGCAUGGUUUAUCAGCAAAGAAGAGAACUACAACUGAAGUGUUGUGGUAUUUGAGAGUAAUUCUUUCAAAUAUUUGAAAUAAGACAAUUUCCAAACUUUCAUUAGAUUUAGAAGCUUACUUUCCAGCAACAUAAGGAAUACCCUUGGUAUAGUUUGCAGGGACAUCUCCCUGUAGCCCAAGAAUAAUAUUUGUCAUGUUCUGGACAACAUUGUGGUCUUCACUGUAGCUUUCAUAGCAGCGGCCCCAUCUUGGAUCUCUGCAGACCUGAAUUAGUGCAAGCAAAUCAAUCAGUAAAAUAGGGAAAUUUUAAUGACAUACGUACAAGUAUAGCUACCCCAGCAAUAUUUGAAUUUCAUACCUUGAAAAGAUAAUUUUAAUUUUUAAAUGUAUACCUUUGUUCUGCCCUCCCUUAAAACAGCACUCUUUUACAAAACCAGCUUUCAACCAUUUGACUGGAUGAUGUUCCCAAGUAAAGAUAAAUGUAUUUUUGCAAACACUAAACUUUCAAGAUGUAUAUGAAAAUUCAGAUCUCAUAUGGCUAUGUGUUAACAGGUUAUUUUCCUUACCGCGAUACAUGGAGCAAAAGUGUAUUGAAUGCCUGUUGCCCUAACUUCAAGAGCCGUUGCUUCACCAAUUCUCUUCACGAGGUCAGGAUCCCUAAGAGGCAAGGAAAGUGUAGAGAAGUCUAAGAGUUCAAAUAUAUGUAUCCCUGUAAAGUUUGAGUUUUUAAGUGUACGCACCUGAAAAGUGCAGUUUUUUACAAACAGAGUAAAAUAACCUCACUGUAAGUUGGAAAUUCAUUUGUAUCAUUGAGGACAGUUAAUUUUCUAUUAAGCAAAAGGGUGUCAAAAUUCAAGUUAUUUUUCUGAAGGAAAUAGAUGAAAAUUCAAAUACUGCAGGGAUAGAUACGUAAAUAGAUAAUUUUACAGGGAUCGAGCGGCAUAAAUAAAGAAGAAAAGAACAUGAAUUGCUAUAUAAAUUAAAGCAAUAGUUUCAGCAUAAACUUACCUGGUAGCUCCAAGCCCGAUGUUGUGAGGGAAUAUUGUUGCGUUAUAAACAUUAUUGUGACCGUGAACCGCAUCUAUUCCAUAUAUCAUCGGAAUUCCGAGGCGCGUCGAUAGAGCCCCCUUCUGGAAUUCAUUCACCAUAUUCACCCAAUCUGAAGCACUUGCCUGAGGAGCAGGCACGCUUCCACCACCACUCAAUACACUGCCUGUGGAAAUGCAGUUGCGAUGCACAGCAAUUAAAUUUUGCCAGUUUUGAAAGCCAAUUCCGGCACAAAAAAAGUUUAGUCCCUAAAGUUUCCACUUGGACACGUAAGUCCCCAAACAUUCUCAUAAUUUUAAAUUUCAUCCCUGGUUAUCUAAACAAUUUGUCAUAAAAUAACCUUUUAAGCUUGUUUCAAGCACAUUGAACGAGAAAGCGAUUUUCGAAUAGACAAGGCAAGAUGGUCAUUUUACAAGAAAACUUUGAUUUUUUUUUUUUUUUUUCAGAGUCAGGGAUGACAUUGUGAUUUGUGAGAAAGUCCAAGAACUAGAGUGUAUUUUUACUCUUUUUUUUGCUUUUGCAACUUCAAACAGUUCUCUUUAUGGGCCAAAAUAGCAAGAGCAAAAAUCUCUUAUGCAGACAUGCACGUAUGCAUUGAGUGGAAGUUGAUAAAUAGAAAAAUCCAAAAUAAUGUUACCUAUGAAGUAAUUUUUCAUGACGUCAGCAGACGCAACUUGCCGCUCGAUCUGCGUCAUUUGGCCAAUCUUUUCAGAAAGAGUCAUCCUCUUCAUCAAAUCAUCAAUGCGAGCAUUGAUGGGCUGACGAGGAUCUUUGUAUCUCAUAUACUCCGCCUUUACAGCAGCGAAGCACGACAAGAUAAUGAGAAUUAGACAAGAACGCAGAUGACGCCCCAUUUUCCAAAUCCUUCUUCUUGAACCUUUCCUCCCCCCAAAACUGAGAUUGGUAGCAACUAUCCACAGUUAUAAACAGAAUCUUAGCAAAAAAGAAGGGUAACUUAAACCAACAGACACUCAAGGAUCUCUUAUAUGGGCAACUCAUGUCACAAAAUUAAAGUCCAUAAGAAACAACAAGUGAUCUAUGCAGGCCAUCCAAUAAUAAACUUUAGUAAGCAUCCUCAGACCAAGAUGGUGUCAAAGAUCACAGAUAAAGAAAAGAGCCAGUUAUGUUGAGCUAUGUGGACUACUUCAACAGGUUCAAGUGCUUACUUUUUUAAUGGUGGGCUUAUUAAAUAGCCUAAUUAGUCAAAUCUGUUCGCAUGAACUCAACUAGUGAAAUCACUCUUUCUGAAUAUCUCAUAUAUUGGUAACCCAAAUCCUAGAAAUUAUGAACCAGUACCAGUUGAGCGUCCAUAAGAAUCAACAAGUGAACCAUGCAGGCCAUCCAAUAAUAAACAUUAUUAAGUAUCCUCAAACCAAGAUGGUGUCAAAGAUCACAGAUAAAGAAAAAAGUCAAUUAUAUAUGUUGAAUUAUGUGGACACUUCAACAGGUUCAAGUGCUCUUUUUUUUAAGGAAAAACUUCAAAUACCAUCCCUUUGGUUUCGUACUUUCUCACUUUAAUACCCUGUGGUUUAAAGUGUAUCACUUUCAUACUCUGUGGUUUAAUUUUUCUCCUUUUGUUAUUCCCUCCACUAAUAUUUUUCGUUAAAUCAGUGACAAAGUUAAGACUAAAGGAUACUAAAGUGAAUAUUCGAUAAACUACAAGUGGGGUAUCUGAAGUUUCUUGUAUAUGAUUUAACGAAAAGUUAACGGAGGGGCCAACGAAAAGAGAAAAAUGAAAUCACAGGGUACUAAAUUGAUACACUUUAAACCACUGUACUAAAGUGAGAAAGUGCAAAACGACAUUGGUCGUAUUUGAAGUUUACCUUUUUUUAAUGACGGUUUUAUUAUAUAGCCUAAUUAGUUGAAUCUUUUCCAAUGAACAUCCCCUAAUGAUAUAUAAAAUUCAAAAUACGCCGCGACAGUUGAAGUUAAAGCUUAAGCACCCAACUAAAGAUAGAACCCUUUCAACAACAAAUAAAAUGAGUACAAAUUCAUCAGGGAUCUUCAAAUUCUUAUUAAUUUCCAAUUUGGUUCUGAUACUUUUUGUUGUUACAACUUCGUCCUCUUAAAGCACCACACUUUUCCUUCACACGAAAAGCCUUUUAUUCCAAAAUAAUUGAUCUUAAAGAUGCAGAUACAAUUUCAACAAUGCAAACGCUAUAAAAAAAAUUAGAAUCUGAUUGAAAUGUUAAGAAAAAGGAAGGAUACAAAUUUUACAUGACAGUCCCUGUACUAUCCUGACAAUGCAAUUUAGUCCCUGUACUUUCACUCGUACACUCUAGUUCCAAAAUUUCACAUAUAUCACAGUUUAGUCCUGACAUUAGAAAAAAAAAAAAAAAUCUAAUUUUUAAGAAAAUGGCCUAUUUACCUCUUCACCUCUAUUUACCUCUUCACUUAUUUCAAUUUACUUGAGAAGGGUUAACAUGUCCAUUUUACAGCAAAAGGCAAAUUUUUAAUUGACGGUGAGAAAGUAAAGUGCAAUAUAUGAAAAAGAGAAAAAAAAAAAAAAGAACUACACUGUUCCAGUAAAGAAAUACAGGGGCCAAGUUGCAACAUUGGGACAUACUACUGGAUUUUUUUUUAAAAAAAAAAGGGGAAAAAUUCACGUAUACCCACCCCUCUCCCUUUUUUUGAGAUUGUUCAUUAAAACUUGAAGAAAUUAGAAAAAAAAAAUCAGAUAAUAUUGCUGUAAUUAAGCUGGAAAAUCGUAAGAAACAAAACACCACUACAUAACGAGCAUUUGCUAGAUCUUUCCAAGAGAGAGCUCAAGCAGUUCACAGUAGCGAUCGAUUCAAAGCAUCAAAAAAUGUAAAAGAAGAAGCUAAUGGUGAAAAAUUAGUAGUAAUAGGGACAAAAUCAUACCCUAAAAUGAGAUUAAUCCCAAGUGCUCUCCAAUGCGUGUAGGGAUUCGGUUCGAAGAGCAGAGAGAGAGAGAGAGAGAGAGAGAGAGAGAGAGAGUGAGAGCGAAGAGCUUCUGAGCUACUCUUGGGGCGAGUAAAUGGGCACUGCUAUUUAUAGAAAGAAAGGGUUAAUUACACACCACUGUCGGAAGGAUUUUUCCAAUAUAGUCCCCAAACUUUUUAUAUUUUCAACCUAAUUCUUAAUAUUUGUUAACUAUUUUAUUUAUUUAUUUAUUUGUUGCCGUUGAAAGUGCUCUUAUCUCGAAUGGAAACUAUUACGCACAUUACAAUAAAUCUUACACUUAAAAAUACUUUAAAUAAUAAUUAGCAAUACUUUAAACCAUUGGUAAGAAUAAUCUCGACACUUGUAAAAUCGUCAAGUAAAGAGUCGUUAAGUAAAUAUAUCGAGAUAAAUAUAUCGAAGCUUUAAUAUAACGUCGAAAACUUUUUAUCAGUAUUCGAUAAAAAUAUAUUUAUUAAUGACGGUUAAUCAUUGUGUCGGUACAUGCCAAAUAUUAAAUACGUUAGAAUAAGCGUCAUCUAAAAACAUAGUCUAAAACAUGUUUUGUUGUAGUGAUAAUAAUGUUUGAUUUUGAUAUUACGUAAUAAUUCAUAGUUUAAUUUAAUAAUUAUUUUAAAAUUUAGUUAAAAUAAUUAAUAGAUACUAAAAAAAUAUAUACAUUAAAAUUAAAUAAAAAUCAACCCUGAGUAGAGAUGAGCAAAGUACUAGUAAUUUAUGUUAAUAGUGUAAAUCAAUUACAGCACAAUGUAAAAUAUUUUGGAUUAAUUGAUUUAGGAUUUUUUUUAGUACCUUCAUAAUUAAUGGAUUAUAAUAAUUCUCUAAUUAAUUAUACUAACCACGCUAGUGUUUGGUUUGGGGUUAAAGCGAGAGGGGGGGGUGUUAUCCUUCCCUUUAACCCCAAACACUAUUUUUGGAGGGUGGGGUUAGCUAACCCCACCACCCUCUCCGGAAGAGGGGUGUGAUUAGCUAAUUCCACUCCUAUUUAAUUUUUAAAUAUAAAUAUAAAUUUUAAAAAUUUAUAAUUUAUAAUCUUAAAAUUAAUAUUUAUAUUUUUAAAUUUUAAAUUAUUUUAAAUUAUUUAAAUUUAAAUUUGACAUUUUCUAUUUGUAAUUGUAGAUUUGAUUUAAAAGUUAAAAUGUAAAAUUUAAAUUAUUAUUUUUAAUUAUUUAAAUUUUAAAUUUGACAUUUUAUAUUUGUUAGAUUUGAUUUAAAAUUUAAAAUUUAUAACUUUACAUUUUUAAAUUUGAGAUUUAAAAAUAUAGAUUUUAAUUUUGAAUAUUUUAAUUGUAAAAGUUAUCUAUUUAAAAUUUAAAUUUUAAAUAUAAAGUAAAAAAAAAUAAAUUUAAAUAUAAUAAUUGGGGCAAAAUCAUUAUUUUCUAUUUAUAACUAUUCACUAUUCUUAUUAUUCUAUCUUAUCUAUCCAAACGCUAUUUUUCUUAAUUUCGGGAAUAAUUCAAUUAUCAUCCAAAUGUAAAAUUCGUUUAUUCUAGGCUUAAUCUUGAACUUAAUCAUAUUCCUGAAAUAAUUAGUUUUUAUUUAACUCCGAACCAAACGAAACCGUAAGGUUUAAUAAGGGCCUUUAUCUAAUGUUUUGCUUUUUUUUUCUUAAACACUUUAGUCUCUCAACUAUAAAAUAUCAAUUUUUUUUUAAAGGACUAUCUUAUAAAAACUAAUUGUUAAACUUGUCCUUUAUUAAACUUUUAAUUAAAAUAUUUUAGGACUACGUUGAUGCAAACAAAGGAGGAUUACUUUUCUUAUUUUAAAUUAAGAAACCGUGUUCCUCAUGUCACUUUAUGAUUUGAUUAGAACUAAUGAGUACUCAGAGAUUGUAAGGUGUAUUUAUUUAAUUAAUCAUUCACAAUUAAUGUUUAUACAGUGUGAACAUAGUUAAUUAAUAAAUAAUCAUGUAUUAAUAUUAUAAUUCACAACAUGAUAAUUGAUCAUUAAUCUUGUUCACGCAGGCUAUUAAAUUAAUAAACUCCAUUGCCACACCGUCGUGGCGACUUGGUGGUUUAUUUUCAACGAAUAAGCAUAAAAAAUCAUCAUAUGUUUUAAUUCGAAAGUGGUGAUCUAAAUACGUUAUAUAAUAUCUUAGAUCCAAUUAGAAUUUUGGUAAAAUGUCGAGUCAUUUGUGUACUUUCCUAUUUUUGUGACUUUUGUUCCACAAAUUUUACGUAUAAAUUUCUUAAUACAGUUUUAAAGAAAUGUAGCUUUAUUGUAAAAUAACAUUUUAUCUAUGUUCAAAUCAAAUUGAAAUAAUUAAAUUAGUUUAAAGAUGAAAAAGUUAAAAAUGCUCAUUUUUAGAUCACCUAAUGUGUGCAUUAUAUAAGAAAGUUCAAACAUAAGUAUUUUAAUAAAAAAUACAGAUACCAAGUUGUAACACACCAACUUGAUCUCAUAUGAGAUACUUAAUAAUGUCUAUUUUGGAGCAUCUAACGCGUCGACGUCGAAUCAGACGUGUCAUCAAAUCUUUUUAAAUUUUUUUAAAAAACAUAGUACGAAAGUAAUCAUAGGCUCUUGGAUCAUUUACCAUGGUAUUUAUGAGUAGGUAAAUUUAUUGGAGGUAAUGCAUUUUGUUCCUUUAAAAUUAAUGAGAAUUUGGAUGGAAUACAACAACAAUAAGUAUAAAGGUUCAAGGGUAAACUUCCAAUAUCAUUCCUACAGUUUCGUAUUUUUUAUUUUAAUAUUUUAUAAUUUAAAGUAUAUUAAUUUAGUAUACUGUAAUUUUAUUUUUUCUGUUCGUCGGUCCAUUCGUUAAUUUUUUAUUAAAUCAUACAUAAAAAACUUCAGAUACCCUACCUAUAGUUUAUGGAACAUUCGUUUUAGUAUUAUUUAGUUUUAACUUUGUCACUUAUUUAACGAAAAAAAUUAGUGAAAUGAAUAAUCAAAAGAGAAAAAUGAAACCACAUGGUACGAAAAUGAUACACUUUAAACUCUAUAGUAUUAAAAUAAAAAAGUGUGAAAAUAUAGAGAUGGCAUUUCAAGUUUUUCUAAGAUUAAAAUAUUAAUAGCAAAAUAAUUUAUUUCCUAGUUACCCAGAAUGAUAACACGGGCACGACACACAUGCUCUAGACAAAUAUACGGUGUGAUGAUCACGUGUUCAAAUGCAAGAAAUAGAACUCCGCACUGCACCGAGUAGGGCCACCAAUCCAGCUCGUUGUUUGCGAGCCAAAUCGUAUUCGGUGCGGACUUAGCUUGAGAUCGAUUGCUUCGUUUAAUAAACAAUCCGUGUUUAGUCUGAACUUAGCUCGAGAUCAAUCGCUCGUUUUAUAAAUGAUCCGAAUAUGAACGGGGACCAACUAGCUCAUGUUCGUCUUGAUAUAAAAUUGAGCUCUUAUACUUUAAAAAUACUAAGUUGUUAUUAAUAAUACGUAUAAACGUGCAUGUUAGUCGAUUAUAUAUCUUUCCCACACACUGAUACUAUGAAGAGGUUCGUGGAUACUCCAUGAAAGUUAAAUUAUUAGGAACCUAGUUGGAAAACAGGUGAAGAUUGGGAACUUAAUUAUAAUAUGGAGAUCUUCCCUGGUAGUAGUACGUUUGGGAUGUUAAGAAUUAGGUUCUUCGUAAUUGAUAAAAUAUAAAGGCUUUCUUAUCAUCAAUAUACAUAUAUCUCUCUCUCUCACACACACACAUACACAGGGCGAUGAUACAAUAGUUAUAGUAAUUAGUAAACCACGAUAGUUCAAAAAUUGACAAUGGCUGGUAAGGAGCUCGUUCACCGUUUCCCAAACCACCAACCAUGCGCUAUGGGUUCAAGCUUCGGAUCAACUAAGUAUAAAGGUCGAUUCAAAUAAAAGAUUUACUUUAUUCGCUUUGCUCAAUCGCACGAUAGAUAGACAGUUUUUUUUUUUUUUCAAAAAUUGACAACUUAUCGGGAAACUGGUAAAGGUGAGUAAUCUAGUAUAAUAAAUUAGUUGGGUAGGUAAGUUGAGAUCUAUUGGUAACAGUAAGAUUGGUGUGUAGGUAAGUAGGUUCCCGGCCUUUUUAGAUUAUCGUGGUUCGAGAACUAUGAAUAUUUAAAAAGCGGUAAUCUAGAUAAGGAAACUAUUAAGAGUGACCAAUCUAAUAUGAUAAGUUAGUUGGNUUGUACAAAUAUUUACACCAUUUGCAUAGAUGUUACACUAUCAUGAGAUAAUGUUGCACCAUUUAGAUGUUAUGUUGCACUCUUUCUUUUUAAAAAUUAAAGUGCAUUAUAUAUUAAAUAAAGUGUUAAAUUCCUUGGAAAUGACAACUGCUAAGUCAUAAUUAUAUGUACCUUUCUCGAGAGAUGAGAAUUCUCAUUUAAUUAAGAUAAAAUAAAAAAUAAAAUAUCAUUAAUACAAUAAAAGAGUAUAACAUACUCUUAAAGAGUGCAACAUAGUCUCAAAUAGUGCAACAUUCUCUUCCAAAUAGUGCAAUAUUUAUGUAAAUAACAACUGCUAAGUCAUAAUUACAUGUACCUUUCUCGAGAGACGAGAAUCCUCAUUUAAUUAAGAUAAGAUAAAAUAAAAAAUAAAGUAUCAUUAAUACAAUGAAAGAGUGCAAUAUAAUCUCAAAUAGUGCAACAUUCUCUUCCAAAUAGUUAAAAAUUUAAUUUUGGAUAUCAAAUGUGAAUAAAUAGUUAAAAAUUAUAAUCGAAGUGGAUCAAUUAAAUUUUAAAUUUGAAUUAAAGGUAAAUUAAAAUUUCGAUUCGUCUAGUUCAAAACAUGUAUUUAAAUUUUGUAUUCGUCAACAUUUCAAAAACAUACAGAAAUAUUAAAUGUAUAUAUAAAAAAAUUGAUUAGAUAAUUAUUAGGGGAGGCAAUAGAUUUUUUUUUAUUAUUAAAUAUCAAGAUUAAAUACUAAGAUAAUAUUCUUUUAAAUAUUGUUAUUUAAUCUUAUCUUUAAAUUACAUAUUUUCAAAUGUCGAUAUUAAAUAUCUAAGAAGUAUUCUUUUAUUUUUUUUUUUUAUUCCAAUCUUGUCUUUGAAUUGGAUAAUUUUUAAAUAUCGAGAUUAAACACACAGGGUUCUUUUGUUCCCUUUUAAAUUUUGUAUAUAUAUAUAUAUAUAUAUAUGAACUAGACUGGAAUGCUAUCAAUAGCACAAAGCUGUUGGUACUAUUAGGUUUUCGGCCCUUGGAUGAAAAAAUGAACGAUUAGAAUGAUAUGGGCUUCCUAGAGUUGAGUGAGUUAUUGGUUGAAUAGUAUAAUCUAACGGAUGAAAAUAAUUAAUGGGUUAAAUCUAAUGGCGGAAAACUCGGUAGCAUCAAGUGGUUGGUGCUAUCUAUAGUAUCCCAGCCGGACUCAUAUAUAUAAAACUAGGUUGGAAUACUAUCAAUAGCACCAAGCUAUUUGUGCUAUUAGUUUUUUAACCCUUGAAAUGAGAAAUGUGUGGUUAGGAUAAUGUGGGUCCCAUAGGGCUAAGUGAGUAGUUGGUUGAAUAGUAUAAUCUAACGGGUAAAAAUAAUCAAAGGGUUAAAUCUAACGGUGGAAAACUCGACAGCACCAAAUCCUUGGUACUAUCGAUAGUAUUCCAGCCGGGCUCCAUAUGAGUUGAGCUAGAAUACUUUCAAAAGCACCAAAAGAGUGAUGCUUUUGAGUUUUUAGGCCAUUGGAUGGGGAGAUGUAGAGUUGAGAUGAUGGUGGUAGGUGGUGGUGGGUAGAAUAGUGUUUGAUCUAAGGGGUAUUAGUAAUUAAGGAAUAGAUCCAAGAGUUAGAAACUUAGAAGCACCAAGGGGUUGGUGCUUCUAAAAGUAUUCUACCAAGUUGUUUUUUAUGAUGCGGCUUCCAAAUCGAUGAUCGACUUCAUUAGACUUGAUCUACACUAUUAAAAGUAUUUGAAAACUAAAUUUCAUAAUUUUUCGGCAUCAUUUACCUAUCAAACGAGUAGUCUAAAAAUGAACGGGUGAAAAUAAAAAUCUCAUAAAAAAUGAUGAUAAAAGACUUGAAUUUAAGAUCAGAGAUACUAAUCUUACUCUAAAUAGUGAAAAGAAGUUUCUACAAAAAUUUCAUCAGAUUUGGAUGAUUUUACACGGUUAAAUUCACAAGCGCAUCACAUCCACCAUUAAAAUUGUCAAUUUUGAAACCUUUUGUUCGCUAGGCAAAUGAUGUCGAAAAAUUAUGAAAUUUAGUUUUCAAGUAUUUUUAAUAGUGUAGAUUAAGUCUAACGGAGCUGAUCGUCGAUUUAGAAGUCGCAUAAUUGAAAACAAUUUGGUAGCGCGGAGGCCUCCGUACUACUAAUAGUAUACCAGCCUAGCGCGCUCUCUCUCUCUCUCUCUAUAUAUAUAUAUAUAUUAUAAAUUUUAGAUCAGCCCAAAAAUAAAAAUAUUUAUAUUUUAUGAAUUUCAAUUAUUUGAUCAACAUUUUAUUUUUUUCAUUUUUUCAUCUAGUAUUCGUGUUCGGCUCGUUAAUAAACAAGCCGAUUUCGAGUUAGACUUUUUAGCUCGAUAUUUUAACAAGUCAAUUCAUACUCGAUUCGUUUAACUCAUGUUCAGCUCAUUUACAACCCUAGCAUAGAGUACCUGCUUGUGUUGGCAAGUCUAUAGACCAGAUCCAGGCAAAAAAAUUUCAUCUGCUGGGAAUUUGACAAUCGCUUCUUGUUGGUUUCAUUUUUCUUCGGCCAUAUUUGAAAGUUGAAAUAAAUUAUUCAAAAAAAAUUUAUUUCUGUAUAAAAUUUGUUUAGUAUGAUAAUUAUAAGUAGAAGGUUAAUUUUUAUUUUUUUUGGAAGGUCUUUCUAUUCAUACUUUGGCGGAAUAGUAUAGUUCACCUAUAAAGUAAUUUAUUUUAUUUCAAAAAAAUAAUCUUAAAACUAAAUAUGAUAUUCUGUUCUAAAUAUUUAAUCAUAUUUGUACACAGUUUUUUAGUAAAUUAAGAGGAUACACCAAACGGACCUUAAUGUUUUAAAAUUCGAAUUGAACCUGCAUGUCGUAUCAGUUGUGUCGCUGACGUGGUCUGGUUUUAUAAGUAUCAGUUCACUUUCUAUUUAUUUUAUAUUUUAAUAAUUAAUUUAAAAUAUGUAUCAAUUUUUCAACAAUUUGUACUCUAGUAUUUUAAAAAUAAUGUAAAAUACUAUACAUAUCUUAUUAUAUAAGCAAUUUGCAUGAAAAAUUUAUCAAUUUUGCAUUUUUGCAAAAAUAGAUCACUUUUUUGAAUUUUGUAGAUUCAAUUCGAAUUUUUAGUAAACUGAUUAAAAUAUUUUUAUUCUUUUUUUCUCUCUUUUUCUCCUCCCUCAUGUUGAGUUUUUCAAUUUUUCCUACCGACAUUCUCGUUUCCGCUUAGGGCAUGUUUGUUUUGGUGUAAGUGGAGUGAUGGAACUCAAGUUCCAUCACUUUCGUUAUUUAUUUUGGUGUAAGUGAAAAUAUAAUGUAACUCAAGUUAUGUUAGACCUCCACUUUACCUACUCUCGACUUCCUCCUCUAAAGUGCCGAACUCGACUUCCACCACACUCAACCUCCUCUAAAAUAUUUAUUAAACAGUAAAACCUAAACUCAACUUCCCUUAUAAUAGAUUAGAAUUACCUUAUUUCUAAUAAAUUAGGAUUAUCUUUAAAUAAUAAAAAAAGUUUAAUUAUAUAAUAAGUUAAAUUUUAUAGCGAUAAAUUUACUAUUAUAUUUAGGAGAUAAUGAGAUCCACUUACUUACAUCAAAACAAACAACAGAACUCACAAAACUAAUUUCAUUAGCACCAAAUUACAUCAAAACAAACAGAAGAAGUAAUUGAAUUUAACUUUCGGGCUAUACGAGUUACAUCAAAAUAAACAACCAAAAAAUAAUCACACUUCAGAGAAACUCAAACACCACUGCACUUGACUUACGUUGGAUCUACAGAUUCGUCAAUCCAAACGGACCCUUAAUCGAACCCUGCUUUUACAGUUGCUUCCCUCUAAGGCGGAACGCUCCCCUACCGAUCUCACAUUUGGCUAGAGAAGAAAUUAGAAAAACAAUAAAUCCUAUAGGCUGAUGGCACAGAACUUAGCAGGUCUUUACCCUCCGUUGUCUGAUUUGUGUAUUGAUAAGAUCAUUCACUAUUUCUUAAAGCUCGAUGCAUUUCAGUUCAAAGACCCAACAUGGCACCAGACUGAAGAUGAGAUUGCGGCGGAGGGUGCAAGUUAUAUAUUAAAUAUAAAAAUAUAUUCUCUAUAAGCUUAAAGUUAAGAAUAACUGUUGUUUUUUAUAAUUUAAUAUGAUAUCAGAGCAGAAAAUUUUGAAUUUGAGUCCCGUAGACUACUAAUAAAAUUAAUUUUUUUUCAAUUUAAUUUAAAUUUACGUUAUGAAUCUAUCGAAAAGUCUUGAGCCUAAAUAUAAAAGGAGAGUUUUAAAUAUAAAAAUAUAAAAUAUACCAUUCUAUAAAAGCUUAAGUUUUGAAAAAAUAUAUAUAUAUAUAUAUAUAUAUAUAUAUAUAUAUAGUUGAGUUAGAAUAUUAUCGGUAGCCAAUAGGCUCUAUUGCCACCCAUUUGUUUUCGAUGAUGGAGCCUCCAAAUCGACGAUCGGCACUGUUGAACAUGAUCUAUACCACUUGAAGUGUUUAGAAAUCAAAUUUCAUACAUUUUCGAUAGUAUUCUCUUAUCCAUCUAGUGGACAAAAAAAUAAACGACUGAAAAUAAAUAUUCUUUAAAAAAUGAUGAUAAGAGUUUUGUAGUCAAGAUAAAGAGUAUAGAUCUUGUUUUAAAUAGUUUAAAGAAUUUUGUAACAAAAAUUCAAUUGAUUUAGAUAUCUUUAUGCCGUUAAACGAGAAAACGCCUCACAUCCACCAGUAAAAUUACAAAUUUUGAAACCCUUUGAUCAUUAGGCAAAUGAUGUCUAAAAUAUUUAAAAUUUAAUUUCUAAACACUUCAAGUGGUAUAGAUCAUGUUCAACGGUGCCGAUCGUCGAUUUGGAGGCUUUAUCAUCAAAAACAAAUGGGUAGCAACGGAGCCCAUUUGCUAUCGAUAGUAUUCUAGCUCAACUAUAUAUAUAUAUAUAUAUAUAUAUAUAUAAAAUUGAGCUAGAAUACUUUUAGAAGCAAGGCACCAAUUUUUUGUUGCUUCUAAGUUUCUAGCCCUCGGAUCUACUCCUUAAUUACUAAUAUUCCUUGGAUCAAACACUAUUCUACUUACCACCCCCUACCACCACUUACUACCAUCAUCUCAACCCUACAUCUCUCUAUCCAAUGGUUAAAAACUCAAAAGCAUCACUUCCUUGGUGCUUUUAAGAGUAUUUUAGCUCAUCUCUCUCUCUCUCUCUCUAUAUAUACAUGCACAUAAUAAAGAAGCAUAAAAUAGAAGCAAAAAUUAUGAUAUAUUUAUCGAUCUCUGGACCGAAUAAACAACCAAAUUGAACGAAUUAUUUUAGUGAAAAUAUGAUUUUUGUUAAAAAAAAAGAAGAAGCAUCUUCUAACUAGAGAAAUGAGGGGGAAAAACAAGUAUAAAACAGAAAUUGGUCUAAUUAAAGUAGUGAUAAAAGAGAAAAAAGAGAAAGGAGUAUUGAAAUGGCCUUUGUUAACUUAUUACUUUCACAAGAGAAAUAAUCUCAUAUUUGAUCAACUAAAACACCUCUCUCUCUCUCUCUCUCUCUCUCUCUGUGUGUGUGUGUGUGUGUGUGUGUGUGUGGAAAAAUAAAUACAAAAAAAAUUUGUGCGUAAUAAUAGGCUGAUCAUGAGCAUUGCAACAUUUGGUCUUAGGUCUGAUCAUGAGCAUUGCAACAUAUUUAAUUAAGUAAAAAUUUGGUAUUCCUACAAUCUUAUCCGAAAUACCUAUCUGACAAGAUAAACUAUGACACAUGUAUUGAAUAAUUAAAAGAUCACACCUAAGAGGUAAAGAAUGAAAAUAUGAGAAAUGAUACUUGUACAUUCAAAAGUUUGGUGUGAAUUUUACGCCCAACUCAUCCAAAGAUUUAGACAACCAUUAUUUGUUUUACUAGCUUUUAAAGUACACAUAAAUGUGAUAGGCUUUGGAUGGAGAGGAUAUAAGAUUUAUAUAGUUUAGCAACAGAUGUAAGAGACAUUAGUGGACCUCUUGAAUUGAGAGGGCUACCUAGGACUAGCUCUAAUGUCAUAAAGAAAAUGAGUAAGAUGAAAGAAAAUGUAAAAUGACUAGAGAGAGAGAGAGAGAGAGAGAGAGAGAGAGAGAGAGAGAGAGAGAGGAUUAUGGUUCUACCUUUGAGAGCCAUCACCUGCAUGGAUUAUCUUUGUAUAGAAAGUAGAGUGUGAGGAAUGAAGCCUGGUCCGAGAUCUCUUUCUAUAUGUGUAGUUGAGAAGGGAUCUUGGAUCAAACCUCAUUCCAAACACUAGUUUCCUUGCUUCAACCCCCUCUCUCUCUCUAUAUCUCUCUCUAUAUCUCUCAACACCAUGCAACACCUCCUAGUAGGUUAUGCAAAGGAUGGGUUAGUUGGAAUAAGGAUGGUGGGGAUGGGGAAAAGAUUACUAUAUAAUGAGGCCAAGCUGUUAAAGCACAAAGAUAGUACAGGUUCAUUUGUGGGAUAUAUAUAAUAAUGAAAAGAAACAUAUAAUAAAUAUUGAAAAGAAUUAUGGGCUUUGCAUAUGAUCUUGUCUUCUUCUAUUGAGCUAUUAUUAUUAGAGGAACCAUGAGAGAGAGAUAAAGAGAGAGAGAAAGAGAGAGUUAAACUUUUACAGGCUACAUAGCUCUGAGCAAAGGGAACCUAAAACUACUAACAAAAGAGAGAGAGAGAGAGAGAGAGGAGCAUGGGAAGGAGAAGGCCCCUUUAGUGGAAUUUAAUAUACAAAAGUUUUAGCUUAAAAAAAGAUAUCAACAAAAGAGGGGAGAGUCCAUUGGCUAAUUUGGUUUGGCAUGUGAAGGAGAACUUGUUACCUACACCAGGUGCAUCCAUACAUCUAAUGCGCUACAACGCUCCUUCAAAUUUUCAUCUCAUUUCAUACUUCAAAUCUAAUUACAGAAGUGAAAUGCAAGGCGAACAGAGGGCUUAUUAGCGGAACGCGCGUGGUGCACCGAUACACAGAGGAUGCACCAGGUGCAGGCAAUAGUUUUAAUAAGUGAAGGAUAAAAAAAAGAAAUGUAAGAAAAUAUAAGAAAAAGAAAAAGUUCGCACCGACCAGAAUCUUCUAAGCAUGAUGAUUUCACUAUGUGGAUGGAGGUUGCAAGUGAGUAAAUGUAAAGUAAGAUCAUACAUGAUAGCAUGGGGGACAAUGCUAGGAAAUGCAUGUAGACUGGCCCACAAGCCACUGGCCAAAUUUAGGUUUACCUAAUUUAGAAAGAUGCUGGGCUAAACUGGAGGGAACUUUAAAAAUCGCUUUCAUGUUAGCUGUGAGUUAUCUAAUUUUUUUUAUUAAUAUAUUUAAAAAAUAUUAUAAUCAUAAAAAUAUAUAAUCCUUCAAUAAAUUUAUUUAAGGCCUAUGCGGUGGAUGAAGUAUCGAUUUCUAAAUGGAACAAGUAAUUCACUGUUUUCUUCAAAAAUAGUAAAAUUAUUUUUAGUGUUUAAUAUUAUCUAUCCUUCGGAGUUCGGAUGUAGAAAAUAUAUACGUUAGGUGAAAGUGGUGAAUUAUACCGAAUUGAUAUAAGCAACGCGUCUCGUAAUUCCAAAAAUAAGUAUAAAUUUUACAUCAUUUUUCUAAAGACCUAUAUAUCAUCACACUAAUCUUAUCACUUUCUUCUUCUUUUUUUUAAAAUUCUAAAAGCACAAAAAGAUGUUUAAACAUGUGGAUUGAUGGAAUGUAAGAUUUACACUGAAAUUUUAGGUGUACAAUUAGCAUUUCUCAAAUGUCAUAUAGUCAUUUUUUUAAAAAAGAAAAUUCUAUAGCUGACUAAGUUGUUAUUGAAUCUUUUCAAAUUUAUCACAUACAUACCAAAUAACAAGGCUAUGUUUAAUAAUGUGAUGGGUAUUAGUAAAAGAUCAAGGCACCUCUAGUACUGUAAAACUACUGGCCUUAGCUCCACAUUUUUUAUGAACACUCUCACCUUUAAAACCUUAGGCUGCAUAAGAUAGGAACUCAGAUUUAGUGGGGGAAAGAAAAUAUUUACAGAGAGAGAGAAAGAAAAGAGAGAUACUUGUUUUAAUGUUUUUUUUAUUUUAUUUUUUAUUAGAAAUAAACUCAGCUAGAAAUACAAAGUAACUGGACUUCGACCUUAGGAUCCCAGAUACCUACCACACCGAUCUCUUAUUAGGCAAUUGCAGUAGGUACAUUUGGUAUACCUGGGUUAAUGUUAUGCAGGGUUUAAUGUUAACCAGAAACAUGAGGAAAUCAAACACAAAUGAUUGCCUCCAAGCUAUAGGCUGAAUUUCUCUCACUUUUCUUUUCCCAAUUUUGUGAAAAAAAAAAGAGGGGUAAAAAAAAAAAAAAAAAACUUACCUUGAAAUGAGGUCCCCUGUUUCCUCUGAGCAAAACCCCCACUUUCUUUCUCCCCCAUGGCGAUGCGUUCAGGAUAUGAUUCGUGCUCCGUCCAUCUUUUUGACCAAUCAUUUGCUUACUUUAGUUUUAAACCACACUACAUUGCAUGAGAAAUAAUACCAUACCCAUACGGCCAUACCCACCUCUACAGCAAAUGAGAUUAGAAUUAAAGUGAAAUAACUGCUUAUUUAUUUAUUUAUUAUUAUUUUUUUGAGCAGCAUGUAAUUUUUUGAGAAAUGAGCAUGUAAUAAAACUAACAUCUCAUGAUUUUGAAUAAACUCAGAACCAUCAAAAUUCUACUCUCAUCUUCUAUAGAAAGCAAACAUACUGAGUUUGGCCUUGUUCUGAAUCUGAACCAGAACCUAUACUGUCUGGCGUACGCGCACUUGGUGUAACUCAAUGUUGUCCUACUUCUGUUAGACUAAAUAUCCAAAGGGUCAUUUGGUUGCAAAUAAUUACAACUAUCUUGCAGUUAUAAGUUAUAACUAAAUUCAGAUUCAAAUUUGGUGUUCAGAUUUAAUACAUUUGAAUUCAACUGCUAUAGUUAAAAUUACACCCAAAUUAGCUGCAUUUCCAAUUGCAGUAAUGAAGAGAACAAUUUUAAACAAAAAAAUUUACUCCCUAAUCACUGGUAAAUAUAAAAUAAAUUUUUUUUUCUACAAUAGAGAUAAUCUCACCGGCAUAUAUCUAAAAUGAUGAAAUUUUAAAAAUAUGUUCUCAAUCGCAUGCAACUAAACAAAUUAUUUAUAUUUAUAACACUUUCUACUACAUCUAACCAAAUAAAGUGCAUAUAGUUAUAACUACUGCAGUGCCAACUGCAGGCACCUUCAAAUACACUAUUUUUAAUUACAUUCAAUUAAAGGGCUCCUAAAUCACUUUUAUGUUUUCAUGUUGAAAUUUUAAAAAGACACAUUACAUGGUAAGAGAAAAACGCAGCUGUUGUUUUAUUGAUUGCAUUGAUACAUACAAAAUAAUCAAAGAUACAUGCAGUUAAAGUUACAAUACUCAAAUAAGUUAAAAGAUUAUAAGCAUGUCUGAUCAAUAUAAGAUCGAACAGCACAAUCCGGUUCGGGUUGGGUCAAGGGAUAAGAGUGACCCCACACUUUGACCAGAAUCAUGAUCAGCUUGUGUUUGAGUUGGGAUAUAUUAUUAGGUGAAACUUCAAAUUAUUAAAUUUGAAUCAGGUCACAAAAUAGGUUUGGAUUUCGCAUAUAAACCUAAUCUUAAAACUCCUAUCCGAGAUAAAACAAGUGUCAACUUAUUAGGCUAAGUUACAAUUAACAAGCAUGGUUUUGGUCUUAGCAUGGUUACAAUUAAAAUUAUGUAUUGAAAACAGCAUAAAAUGCAUUCACCCAUAUAAAACUCGGAGAAGAAACAUAAAUGAGACAAAAGGUAAACAAUGCCAAACAUGCACUUAAAUUUCCUUUUUACCUUUCCGUUUUCCUUGCACUCUUCACCCAGGGUUGACUCAUUUUAGUAACAUAAUAUAUAGUUUACAUUGCAAAACAAUCUCUGCUUCCAAACUAUAGAUAAGAUACAUGUCGAAAUCAGUUAAAACAUUCAAAUCAUUCAAAAAAUUGCCGACUAUAUACUCGUUUUCACAAAAUCUGAACAGAAAUAUCAAACAAACGGAUUCUUCAAGUCAAAACAUACCUGCAAAUAGCAAUGCCGGACGGAUGAUUCGCUUUCCUGUUUCAUUUUUCUGGUUCAAUCCCUUGGUUCUUGCAAUAGACACGCCAAGUAAUCAAAUUCUAAUUUUAGAGCAUCCUUUCACAGAUGAAUGAAACCUGUGUAGCUGUUACCCAUAGCGGUAGAGUAGUGGUCGUUGUAGUUCAAAAGAUUCCAAAAACGGCAAAGCCCGAAUUCCCCGUACUUUGGGGACUUCAAAUACAAGAGGUACAAAUCUUUAAUGUUUCUCUCAAACAUAGUAUUGAUAGCAAAUACCUGAAUCAUUAGUAAUAAUAGUCAAUAAAAAUUAUAAACAUCUUACUUGAGAAAUCCCAUAGCCAUAGUCACAGUGUUGUCUGAUCCGUUUUUGAAAAUUUCAUAAAUAAUAUGUUAUUGACUGAAUAAGUAUUUCAAUUAUUCGCCAGUAAUACACUAUUCAGAAAGUUUUAAGGAUCACAUUAUCUAUUUAUCAUUAAGGAAAAUGUUCAUUGUCUUUUUACUUUCUAGCUUAAUAAAAGAAAUUUAUUUUUAUAUCUUUAUCUUAUGUGUUUAUUUUUUUUGUUAGCCCAACUAUUCCCCUCGCCUUCCCCAAGUUUAUUGAACUUUUGCCAAAUACAACAUAGCCAAAUUUAUCCCAAACUAAAAACAUUGACUUUCUUUAAUAAUUCUCGAUUUUUAUACCAAGAUAGAAAAAUUCAUGGAUCUAGAAUUUCAUGGUGAUUACCAGUAGGAACAGGCUAGACUUGGUGAUCCCAAAAAUAUACAGGAAAGAGACUAUAAAGCUAUAUGGUAAUGCCCCAGGGUAAGUGUGGUCUCCUUUCAAUGGGUCCACCAUCAAGUUGAAAAUUGGAGUUAUUCGAGGGGCCUAUAAUUUCAUACGGUAGGAAAUAACCACAUGCCAUCAAAAGCAUAUCUUUGAGUCGAACACAUCAACCUUGGUUAAAAAAAUCACAUUGCAUACCUAUAUAUAUUCUUUACAUGGAAACAUAUGAGGGUUGUAAAUGAAGCAUGUUAAUGGAGCAUGUUAGUCUUGGUCCUUCAGAUAUAUCUGAUAUGCAAUUUACCAUUCAAUGUUACAUGUAACCUGAACUAAGCCUUUUUUUGUAUUAAAUUAAUUUUUCGUAUACAAAGACAAAGAAAAAAUUAAAAUUACCUGAGAAAAGUUUAUUCGAGAUUGCAAGUUCAGAUGAUCCGCUUUUGAUCCAUCAUCCAAAUUUAAUCCAGAAAAGCACAAACACAAGUCCAGAGCACAUUGUAAAAUGUUUUUAAUGAUAGCAAGUAUUGACUUCGUCUCAGCAGACAAAAAGCAUCUGGGACAAGUAAAAGCAUAAGUGAAUAAAACCUAGAAAUAUUCAUAUUUAACCACGUCAACCAUAGUAAAAGAACAAAUUGACUUGUCCAAAUUAAUGAGCAAUCAUACUAAACAAUUAAAUAAGACUAGGGAGAUUGACAUAAAUAGAAAGAGUGAAAGACUAAUAAAAGGAAACACUUUACGAGCCCUUCACUAAACAAAAAGUUUUAUACAUCCCUGGUCGCAAUAAGGGAAGAACAGAUGAAAAGUUUCUUUCAGUAAGAGCUGCAGUAUAUUUUAGCAGAAUUCUUUUAAUAUCUUUACACUAAUACAUAAAAAGGUGACUAUUUGUUUCAACAAAUAUUAAGUGGGUUUUCUUGGUUUGUUACAGGAUAAUCAAACAAAUGGUGCACAAAAUCUAUCAAACAGGCCUACAGAUAUCAGCUAAACAUGCAAAUCUUCCCAUACAGGAUUUGUGUGGAAUAGGACUUACAUACAUUAGCAUGAAUGAAUAAGCGAAUACUCUAGCUAUGACUUACGUUUUACCGGCAUAAGGUAGGGAUUGUUUAGGUAGUUUAAUGAAUCUCAGCUCACGGGAUCGAAAUGUAAGAUAAUUCGCCUUACUCCUAAUUGCCCUUCCAAUACCAACACACAAGGACUUUUUCUUUUCUAUCUUAAAUUGAUUAUAUUGAUAUUAUUAGAAGCUUUACAAACAAUUUUACACACUCCAUGUUUUGGUUUGAAAAGCAGCAUUAUCUCAUUAACAACGGUCUUCAAUUAGUUCAUGUGAAAUGAGAAAAAUGCAGAAAUUAAAGGAAUUACUAAAUGGAAAUCCUUUCCUCAUAUAAUGCACAAGGAUAACAAACAUUCCAGAAAUUAAAGAUACUCACAUGUGCAAAGCAUCAGCCAGAUAGGACAUAUGCAUCGUUUCUAAGUCGAGCAUGUCCUUGACCUAAACGACCAUAGGCAUUAGUGCAUAAACAACUACCAGUUACUGGUACAGAAAGGAAAAUGCAUUAGCAGGACCACAAUAAAAUACUGAAAGAAUGGAGAACCAAAACAAGGAUAAAUAAAUCAAUUUAAAGGUCAAAUGAGUGACACUGAAUAGACAUUAUAGUUUUGACUAGAAAUUGCCAGUUAAAUAUGUGAACAAUUAGUAUAUUCCAAAAUAUACUCAUCAAAACUACUAUUUCCAUAUAUCUCCAAAGUAUUCAAUUUUAUAGUCAAUCACUUUUCAUCAUAACUCAUGUUAACAGCUCAAGAAAGGAAGGAUGGUUUAUUUUUCCACAGCUUAAUUAGGUGACGUUAGAGUGCAGGCAAAGAAACUGGCAUUUCUAGUGUUUAUUUUGGCAUUCCCUUUCGUUUGCAGCGUCCUUGGGAACCUUCUUGACCUUUUGGGGCUCUUCACUAAAAGUAGAUUAGUAACUAUAUAAUUUUGUUACUUCAUAACAACUGCAUGCUAGAUGGGAGUAAGAAAAUUUUCAUAUGCGGGAUAUUCUUAAAUCAAUGGUGCUUAGUACAAGUUUCAGAAGUUGAUAUGAAAAACAGAGGCGGUGAAUUUGGAUUCAUAUAGGAAAUUCGACUAUAACAUGUGUGUACAUAGUUAUGUGUCGUGUAGUUGCAAACAACUAAUUUGGACAGAAGGCUUCGGUUAAUACCAUCUUUUAACAGUAAAUCUCUCUCAUUAAUGUCUUUUCCUCUGAUCUUUCAUCAUCUCAAAUGAAAAUUGAUACCUGAUGCUUAAGGGAGUGCUGAAACCGACACCAUGACACACCGGAUAAUUGAGAAUGCACAUACUGUUGUAGUGUAGAGACAAAGUGAUAUAUUUGUUGCCUAUACAAAAUAGAGAAGCUUAGUGAGCUAUAAGCUAGUGAUCACGACAUAUCUAGAAAAUAUCUAUGGAGAAUAUAUCAUAAUAAUCCAUAGGCUUACAGAAGAAUGAGAAGACAUUCAAAUAUGAAAUUCAGAUGAAUAUGUAACUUUAUGGCUCAAGGCAGUUGUGUAUUCAAGACAGUCAUUCCCUACUAGAGGAUCUGAAAGCAAAUAUUACCAUGGAAAAGAUGUUUCUGAAAGCAUAUAUUACCAUGGAAAAGGUGUUUCAGUUUCAGUAGUAACAAUAUGAUACAGCUUAUCAAAAUAAACUUUCCAGCGAUAUGAUCCAGAUCAGCAAAAAUAACUGAAAUAAUAGUGAGGAAAAUAGAGAGGUCGUAAAAGUCCAAUAGGAUCUUUGUAAUGAACGACAUAGAACUACCUUAAGACUUAUCUUUAGCCCAAGGUUUUAAGUGCCCGUCGGCAUAGGCCGUAUUCACCAUGCCGUACCAUGCCAACAAAAUACCGGCACGAUACAGACCUCGUGCCGAUGGCAUAGCUCAAAACCAUCCAUUCUUUAAAUUAGUAAGUAAUGUCCUCAAUAAAGUUCAAAAAAUGUGAUAAAAAUACAUAAUAAAUAGUUAGAAUAUUUUGUUGCUAAAAAAAUAAAUAUUUUAUAUUAUUAUGUGUCGGUACACAAGAAUUUUUUUGACCGGCACGCAUCGGCACGCACCGUGCCGUACCGUGCCGGCAAGUUUCCGGCACGACCCGGUGCCAUGGCACUUAAAUCCUUGAUUUAGACAAAGGCACAUUCCGAAACAAUUUUCAUCGUGACACCAAUGUGAACUUGAAACCAGUUAAGAAAAAACAAAUAACACAAGGGAAUACUAAAAGUACCUUACUCUCACUAAGGUGUUGAAAUCUUUCACAUCUUCCGGUCUCACUUGUUGGCAGCGACGAAUUGAAUGCAGCAGCUCCUAGUAAACAUUGCAGUACAUUGAUUUAUUUUCACUUACAAGUUUAUCAUGGAACCAUAGUGCUAAUUUAGCAAAACAACAAUAUAAAAGAAUUAUGACUUCAUAUACUGCAGAUACUUCAAUCUAGCCCAGGAAAUUAAUUAAUUGAAAAAGCAUCCAAAUAAGCAAUUACUGAUUGACCAUGCAUCAUAUAUCAAUUUAUACACAUUUGCAACAUUACUUGUCGUAGUAAAACAUCUCUUGCUUAAUCUACUUUCAUUUUUAACCGCUUAAUUAGCUGACAAUAUAGCUUAAUAAUGACUGUACAAUAGGAAGACGACCAUAAAAAAGAAGGUCCAAAAAAUCACAUGCAAUAGAAAUGAAAUUGCGAUAGUUCUUUCUUUGCUUAUUCACAAUUAUCAUCUAGAUGUAAGUGUAACUGAAAUUAACAGAAAAUGACAAGCUUAAGGAAUGAUCAAGAGCUAAAAGGUUAGCAUCACUUCUCUCUGCAUCAAGACACUUCAUAUCAAUUCUGUAACUUGAAAACAUCCAAACAUAGUUCUAGGCACAAUAUCCUUUCGAUAUUUCUCAGCUGCUAAACAAUCAAUUGAAGUUAAUUUUACAGUUAAUUUUACAAUCACAUUUUAGCACAAGUUACCAAUGCAGGUAGAGGAGUCUUCCAGAAAAAGAACAAAAGAUAAAUAACAUUUCAGACAUAGGCAGAACCAUAAAAGAUAAAAAGGAUUUGAGUUGUAGCGCUAUCAACGUGGCCGAGUUAGAAUUUUGUGUUAAAAAUCAUUGACUCCCGAAAGAAGAUUCAGAUAUGAUUAAUCUAACCCUCACUCCUGUCCAUUUCUUCGCAACUUGUGGCCUUACUUUAGCAAUAGGAUUUUUCACUACUACAGGAAAAAGUUUAUUCAGAAAAAGUAAAAAAACAAAAUACCCCUAAUGAUAGGAAAGUAGUGGCAAAGUAAAGGACUAAAGGCAACAAAAAGAUCCACUGUUAUGAUCAGUCUAAUCAAUUAAUAGACAUUUCUCGUCUAGAUCAAGUGAAUUAUGUAAAGCAAGAAUGCAGAAUACCUUCAGAAAAAUCCAGUCACAAGAAUUAGAUAACAUGAACCCAAGUACUAAAAGCAAAAGGCCAGAAAAAGAAUACCUUUAUAUUGCGCCAUGUAUCAGUUAAUGAAAAGACAGCAAGCCUGACUUGAAUGAGAUAGCCAAAUAUUUCAGCAUAUAUUUUCAGUGCAUCUUCAGUAAUUAUAAUACUGAUAGGCCAAUCAACUUUGUAACCCAACAAUAUAUAAUCAAGGACACUGAGACCUGCCAUUGAAGUUCCUAAGCAAUUAUAAUCUGAAGCAAGGAAACCACUAAAAAUGUAAGAAAACAAUAAUGUGCUUGAGGUUAUAACUCCCAAAGAAAAAAGUACCAACCAGUUGAUGAAGUUGGAGGAGGAACUAUGUCCAGUCCUUUCAUGUAAACAAAUAACCUUUCUUUAUAAGGAUCUGACUCGCAUGAAGAUCUCUGUAAAGCCAGUUGAAGAAGCCCUUGAAUCCCCGCUAUCUUCUGAUCAGGCCCAACAGUGGACCAUUUCUUACAAGAAAAAGAAGCAAAAUCUUCUCUCAAAAAAAAUAAGAAGCAACAAAAUUAUAUAGGUCCAUUUAAAUAGUAGUUGCAUGAGUUCAUAGUAUUCGAUAGUCAAAAUAAGCAGCAAGAAAACUAAUAUAAACUACCUGAUGGCGAAGACAUAUAAUGAACGAAUCUGUCCAGUCUGCCAGUUCCAUAAAAUGGUACCGCCGCAGUGCCAACAAAUGUUCACACAGAUCAAAUCUUUCCUCAAGCAACUUUAUAGUGAAGUUGCUGAUAUACUUAUACCUGCUAUAGUUAAGGAACCAAGGAGUGAUCUCUGGCUUCUUGGACUAGCAUGAUCAUGCCUAAAUUGAUAAGGCAUACUAAUAUAUUAUAUAUACCUAUAGAGUAAGACGCAUUUAGAGUGUCGGCAGCACAACACCUCAAUGCUUCUGAUGAGGUAUCCAUCCCCCUUCACCCCACCCCACCCCACCCCAAGCCCCAUCCCCCAAGGCCCCACCCGCUGGUGCAAUCUCGCCAAGAGAUUGCCUGCAAUUAGUGUAUAAUCACAUUUCAUACAUCACACAUUCACACUCUUAAAAAGUUAAAUUUGAUGCAUGAGUCAUAUGAAUACACCAGGUUCAGGCAAUAAAUUCACUCCACAUCUUACUAGGAAAAAUUAUUGGCUGCACCAGGUGUUCAGAGACAAUUCAUGUACCACAUAUAAUAUUUGAUGAUCAAUAUCCUAAAAUUAAAUUUAAUAUGAUAGACAUGAUACAGAGUAUCUAAACAUUCUCUCUAUAAAAAUUUAAGAUAUUUUAGAUUUAAGUAUGGCAUCCAAGUUAGUUUUCUUUUUCUUUAUAAAGAAUUUUAGUCUGUCAUGAAGUGUUGAAAAACUUAUUAAUAUUAAAAACUUCUAUGGUAACUUAGAAUGCACCUCCAAAUUAUAAUUAUUAUUAUUUAAUAAAGAUUCAAUACCAACUUUGAUACCGCUGCGAAGCGUGGGCCCUUCACUAGUUAUACUGCAAUAUGCAGGGGUGAUAUUAUGCUUAUUGUCACCAAGACACCAACACACCGGCAAGAGAGCAAGUUCAGCAGCAAGCACUAAUUUACUCAAGAGAUACCUAAUUCUACUAGUAUAUGCUAAGCAAUGAAGUUCUAGAAGGAUACUGAAGCAAGAUUUCAUGCACAAUGCAUUUGUCAAUGGCGACAUCAAGUGGCAUCUCAUAUUCACCAUGCCAACUGUCCUCACCAGUGCACUUUACAUCUUCGCCAGAAUACCGUAACAACCCAGCCCAAUGGGCCCCACCAGGGGCAUUCUUUGGAAGGUUCUGUGCUUUAUACUUUGCUUCCUGUGAUAACGAAAAGCUUGAAACUGCUUGACCUCCUGUAUUAUCUUGAACAGAAUCAUUGGAUUUUUCAUAUACAUUACAAGUAGAAACACCAGAAUCCUUAAGCAAAGGAGUUUCAACUUGAGAGCCAUUAGCAGGCCUGGAAAAGACAGUUUCUGAAUAAACCUCACAAGGGUUUGCAACAGAUGAAAAAUCAAAGCAGGGAAAAAGGUUCUUCAUGGAUCUUUUUUCUCUGGAGCCAUGGUUUGUACAACGCCAAGUAGCCUUUGCCACCAUCGGGUUAGCGCUGAAAUCAUAAUGUUUACAAGGAAGCUCAGGUUGAUUUUUGCCGUUGAUGAAGCCAAUCAGACUGAAGGGAAGAAGCACUUCACCAGAAAUGGAUUCUUCCCUUCGAAGAGAGUCCAUGUUCCCAGCAGUUGUGCAUGGAGUAUCCUCAGUUGAGGCCACUUGUUCAGAAUCUGUAGAGUGCAAAUUGCUAUUUAUAGGAUUCUUUAGAAGUCGGUCGAAUGGCCAGCAGCAACCAUAUUGAUAAUUUUCAUCUGAUCGACUGGGAAUAGAAAACUCAUUUGGCUUCUCAUCCUCAUUAUUCACCUGUGCAGCGAUCGUAGGACUUGUUUCUUUCUGAUUGGAAUACAAAGAAUUUUGAGAAGAAUAUAGCCUUUCAUUUCUAGAGUUUGUGAAUCCACUAAUGCUGGCAUAGCAUGACGACAAAUUUGAAUGUGUUAUAUUACUACCUAAUAUAGCAAUUUCCUCAACCUCAGUUUCUUCUGUAGAACUACAUGAAGAAGAGCAUUCUGACGAUUGUAAUUUCUCAACUUCACAUGAAGAUUCAUCAGACGCAUAAGAAUUAUUGGCAUCUUCCUGAUCCGAAGCCCUACUUGCAACAAAAGGCAGUGCAAAUUGUAACAAAAAUAAAGCGAGAAUUUAAAGUUUUAGAACUAGAAAAUGAGACAAUAUAUCAAAUUUAUGUGUCCGUUUGGCCCAAUUGCUGGAACUGCUUCGGUACUCCAGGCAAACAAAGGAUGCCAGAUAUACUGUGGCAAUAAGCUGAAAUGAGCUUCUUUUCAGUUUUCACCCUAAAAGCAGAAGAUCAUAUUUGGGGCUUCGGCUUCUGCAAUACGAAGAAGUUGUUUGAGGGAGCUCAAUGAAAGUACUUUUUGAAGGGCUCCACUCAAACAACAAGAUGCUUGCACAAAAUAAACUUCAUCAAAGAAGAAUGGCAGGUAAAGUAACCUACAUACAGAUAGUUGCUUCUUCACUGGCAGUGGCAGGGAAUAAUGAGUCUACUUCGGGAACCCAAAUUGCUGGAAAAUUCAUAUUUUUUUUACCAAGAAAAUUAGCUGCAUUAACCUAAAAAGGAAUUCCUUAAAUUAAAAUCCAGAGGGAAAAUUUGCUAUGGAAACAAAAGAUUAAGAUGAGAAGCAUUAAUGCAUUAGUUAAAUAAGAAUAAAAACAUUACACUGAGACAUCUUUCAUGCGUUAUCUUCUCAGUGAAGACCAGAAAGACGAAGACUGUAGGUAAAAAGAGAAUAAUCUAUAUGCUUAAGAAUCUUGACACUGAAUUCUUUUAUAACUAAAAUUUCAUAUGAUGGUUCUUAACAUGAUGUAGUCCCCUGUAAAUGGAAAGGCAUAAUAACAGUAUGUAGUAUUCAAAGAAAAUAUUCAAGACCUGCAUCAGCCGUACAUUUAUGCAGAUACGAGUCAUACGAUGGAAUGAGAAUGAAAAGUAUAUAGGAUUGAUGGGCAAUAAGCUCCUCAAGUGUCAACGCUAGGGCAGCACUACAAGAGACAUGGAAUUGCCUAGACCCAUAAUAAGAGACUAAUUAACAUAGCACUAGAGCGAAUUCUCUACUGAAUUAAAAAGACCUGAAUAAAUUAAUUAAAAUUAAAAUAAAAUGAAAUAGCUCAAGUCGAAUCAAACAUCAGAGACAUCAAAACUUAACACUUAUUGUCUAUCUAGUUAGCGCAAAGCAAACAUCUAUCCACCUCAAAAAAAGAAAAGAAAAGAAAAGAACAUGGUCAAAUUCAUAUUUGAUUUCUUGAUUAUUGUAAAACAAGGCAAAUGGCAAUAUAAUUGCGAAAGGGAACAACAACUAUAAAACUCUUACAGCAUGAUCCAUCCACUGAUAUCGCACGUUGUAUUUUGAGAAAACAAGUUGAAGCUUUUCGGACAUCGUCUUGUACAUAGCUUCUCUUUUAUGAAGUAUGGUUUCCAUGCUCUUCUUGGAGAAAGUCAUUGAGUUGGACAGAAAUGCAGAAUUGCUAGAAUAGUCAAACCAAAACGGCAGGAUUUCCUCCAAAUUUGCCAGAUCACGAGGUAUAUGAGCUCCUCCAACAAUGGAAAGACCAGACAAGUUUAGAAGCCUUACGAGCACUUGGAGCUGUAGGCCGGCUAGCAGAAGGGGGCGACAAACAUCUUUUAGAAAGCAAGGAACAGACACACGACUUCGCUCCUGUUGAAAACUUAAAAGUGGUCACAAACAAGUAGUACAAUGUAUAUGAGAUACAUACAUACAUACUCCUGAAAAAUUACCAAACCUGUAUAUAUCUGAGAAAACUACAAACUUUCACGUAAGCUCUUCAAAAAAUUAGAAUUACACACACACACACACACACACACACACACACACCUGUAUUUACGAAAAUGUGCGUUGCUAAAGAACCUGUUUUUAAUACAGAACCAACUUCCCCACCCAAUACACACACACACACAAUUGUAUUUAAAAAAAAUGUGUGUUGAUAAAGAACCUUUUUCAAUACAUAACCAACUUCCACCCCAUAAAUUGGACGAGUCUUCAACUCAAGAUAUGGUUUAUUUUUGAAGAAAAAAAAUUGCAAUUGAAUAGAUGAUUUUUCAGGAGAUAUAUGUGAAGUACCCAAUUCAUAUUUACCUGAGGAAAACACCAGAAAAAUGCAAGUAAAAACAAUAAUACAUAUCCAUGCUGGGAGACAUGGAAACAGAUGUAUCAUAUAAAGGUAUACAAUCAAGAAAAAGGAGCCAAAUUUCAGCAUUGAGGCUCAGGAAAGAGAAUAGCGAAUAAAACAAAAGAUUACCUUGGAAGGCAUUAAUGGCAAAUCACUCCGCGAACCUAUAGCACCAUUUGCAGUUUGUAAAGUGUCUGAGUGCGCGACCAAAAACUCCUCAUAAGGAUCAUCAAUACUUGCUCGGUAAAUCCAUGACUUUAUGAAACCACAGUAGGGUUCACAAGAACGGAUGAAAAGAUAUUUAAUAAGUUCACAAUUAAUUGGAUCAGCAUCCUAUAGAUCGAACAAUCAACAGCAAAGAAAAUGCAUCAGCAUUUGCUUAUCUAAAAAGCACUUUAUGUGGAAGAUAAGCAAAUUAUCGUGACUUUCAAGAAUUUUGUUUACUGUCAAGAAUCACAAGAAGGGACCCUAUAAAAAAAUAUGACAUAAAAAAGCUAUACUCUAACCAGCAUAUAACUAUUUAGGCUUCAGGUCACCUCCAAAUAACUUCAAGAAGAAAAGUGAGGUAAGCUUUCUAAUUCAUCAAUUUGUAUUAAGUACCCAAAGUUGAAAGGAAAAAAAAAAAAAAAAAAAAAAAAAACUAUUAAGACAAAGUUUUGGCUGCUACAAUAGUGGAAAGUUAGCAUGCUUCACAAGUCAAGUUUAAGAAAAAAGAACAAUUUCUUUUUCAAAUUUCUUAUUCAAAAUUUGAGUUUAUUGGGGAAUACCAAAGUAAAAGUACAGGCCAGAAGAAAUGCUAUUUGCGAAGUAAAAUUUCUGAGUUUCAAUUAUUGAUUACUUGAAGGUAUUAUUCGCAGUACUUUUCUUAAACCUAGGGCGGUUGGUCAGAAAGAGGAAGUGGAACACUAACAAGCAAAAUGCUAGAGAGCGAAAUGGGGCAAGUAAAAGGUCUCAGAAGCCCAACAGGGAUCAGUGCUGCCCAACAUCCACAGGGCUCCAGUUUUAUUUAAGUAGAUGGAAAUUUACUAUAUACCAAAUGAAGUUUAAACUGAAAAGAACAAAAGAAGUAUCCAAUUCAGAAAAUAUCCCAAUAUAUCUGACAUUUGAAUUGACUUGAUUUUUCAUUCUACCUGGCCUAAUGUAAAUUAAUGUACUUACAAUGGUACUAGCAUUUGGUAUCACAUCACUAGUGCAAUUAUAGUAAGUGGUGCCAAAUGGUUAGGAUAGUGCACCUGGACUUCAAUAUCCCUUGGUAGGCUAUUUCUCCAAUAACAAAACCAAAAACCUAAGCCUACUAGAUAAAGAUGAAGAUGGAAUUGGAGCCUUUUUUCCCAUUUAGUGCGUCAAGAGUGCAAGAUAGUGAAACAAUACAUGAAUGCGCUCAUAGAACAGAAAAAGCAAUCAAGUGAUCUACUACAACCCAUAAAUUUUCUAGCAAAGGAGAUUUGUAGGCUAAAUGAGCAUAGUUUUCUUAAAUUUAAGAAAGUUCUAAGAAAUUGCAUGGGAUGCAAAUAAGCAAACAUAUAAAAGAAAUCAUAAUGUAAAGAUGAAUCAAAAAGAGGAUGGCUUACUCGGAACUGAACAUACAAAUAUGAAAGUAGAUCUGCUCCCUUCGGAAAGUUGUGAAAUUCAAAGUUAGUAUCAGUGUUCAAAUCCUCUCUCCACAAGUCAAGAUCUGCAAACUUCGGAAAACAAAUAUUUCCAAGGGAUUGAAUAAGUCUUCUCAAUUCCUCGGUAUGUAAAUAAACCUCCAGAAUAGUAACUUCAGAAACAGUAGUUGUUUUGCCAAUUUUCCCUUUGGUAAUGGAAGAAGGUGCAUUUAAGCGUCUCAAUUUAACUGAUGCCAAUAAAGUACUCAAGGAACAAAAGUACCCUUCUAAAACUUUUUUAACUGCAACAGAAAAUGCAUGAUUAACUAGACUGUAAGGAGGUUGUACUUCAACAUUGUUAUCAUAAGAAACUUCGUCUUCGUCUAUUUUAUUUCUACUUUCACCAGCCACCUUUCGACUAGAAAAAAGAUAGAAGUUCACAAACUUUUGAAGGAAAUAAACCACAAGAGCUGUGUGGUUUAUUGAUUUGAGAAUCUGUCCUAAAGCAUUUGUGCUUGAUGAACGGCACCAUAAAUUAGGGACCCGAUGAGAAGUUCUAUCUGCCGGACUUGAACAAAAUGCUGAAGAGAUUUCCUCAAUUUCUACUAUAGCAGACUUAACACCUUGCAACGCAAGUAAGGCCAGACGCACCAAGGUUGCAUCCUGAAAAAAGAGUCAUCAACCUACAUGUAAGAGAAACUUCUAAUGAUAAUAAAGAAUAAGAUAUGGCAUAUACUAUAACCAAAAGUAUUGUCAUAGAAAAUAUGGCUUGUUGUAAAUUGGGGGAUGGAGAAGAUGAAGCUCAAAUGUGUCUGUAUUUUGUUUUAAAAUAGACAAGCACUUCAGUUAGGUCUGAGAGAUUACAGAUUUACAGUCAUGAAUCCAUGAUACAAAGAGGCAGUGGUCUAAGCCUACAGAUAGUCUUGCUUUUGUUUAAGUCGAUUCUUUUCGUUUAAAUGAUUUAGAGGAACAGUAGAACCCACAAGGUUUACUUUGCUAUGUCGUCUGCUUGACACCAAUCUGCUCCUCAUAAUUCUUCUACAAGAAGAAUUUCAACACAGAAAUUUAUCGGGCUAUAAUGCCUAUCCAAACCAGGUAGUUUUCUUAGCCAACCACAUCCUGCUUAUCUACUUUCCAUGAUGCCAAUUCUAAGACAAAAAAAAAAAACAACGAAAUGUCAUUGUUGGGAAAGCUAACAUAUGUGCCUAUUCUGCCUGGCUCUUGGGAUGGCUUCUACCCCAAAAUGCAGAAACUUCCAGAAACUAGACUUCUGGCAAAUAACUCUUCAGAAGUUCUUGCUGUACCAAAAGGCUAAUAUCUAUUGGGCCAAAAUUAGGAGGUUCCAUUUGAAGCUUUUGAUUCUCACGCAAUGAGAGGCUAUAGAGGGAAUUUGAAUAGAAAGCUACUAAUGCUUCUUCAAACAACUUCGUUCAAAGUUCCAACAGUAACCAUAUCUCCUCGAAAAUUGUAGCUAUACUGUCAAAAUUGUCCUAGCACCUAAAUGGAACCAUCAAUUUUUGUUUUUAUAUAUUGCCAAACAGAUCUUCAAUUUGUCAAAUGAGAAAAGCUUCCAAAAUACUGAAAAUCUGACCGUAUCAAGGCAACUAUUUAUUGUUGUUUAUCAUUCUACGACUAACUACUUUCCAACACCAAUUGUAUAUUAUGAACAAUGUAUUCAAUGUUCCUCACUUGAUCUGCGUAUGGUAUAUAUAUUUCCAGUUUAAAUUCAAAAAAGGCCAAAUUCCUACUAAUAUCUAAUCGAAUAAUAGUACUCACAACGUAAUUGAUCUCAUCCUACAUAUCAUAGAAUCGAGAAGAUUAAAUCGCCUCAAUUAAUCGUAAAAUUAGUGAGAAAAAAGAUCGCAUUAAGGAAUUUCUUACAGAAACUGAAGCAGGAUCAUAGAUCGGAGCUCGAGAUCGGCGACGAGGAUCGCCGGAGCGAGGGGCUCCACUCUCGGAUGGGAUCGACUCCCACGUCCGCGGAGGAGUCCACGGAUCGUCCACCUUCAGGUUUCGAAGCACAGAGGAGAGAUUGGGAUCGAUCUCCAUGGGAGCAAAUGAUGAGAAUCGCGAGGCGAGCUAGGGUUUUGGUGUGGCGGCUCUUGCUUUUUUUUUUUUCUCCUCUUUUUGAUCGUUGGGCAUUAAGUGUGCUUUUCGUUUUCACCGCUCGAAAACGAGCAAAACGAAAACUUCCCGCCCAAAAUCGGCGGCGUUCUGGAGGGCAGGGCAGCAUGCGCCGUCCACGAUGCCAUCGCUGCCGCAGCUCCCUCCCCCCUUCUUUUCUUUAAUAUAGAAAUAUUAAUAUAUAUUUAAAUAUAUUUAAAAAAGUAUUUUAUUUUAAUAUAAAUAUAUUAUUAUAUAAUAUUUUCAUAAAUAAAUAUAAUUUAUAUUUAUUAUAGUAUUACAUAAAUCUCAUUAUAAUAUAUAUUACAUACUUAAUUAAUCUAUAAUAUUAAAUAUAUUGUUUAAAAUAUAAAUAUAAUACUAAAUAUGUAAAUGAUAAUAUUAAUAUAAAAAUAUAUAUGAUAAAAUAAUAUACUAAUAAUAAUUUUAUUUAUAAAUUUUCUUUUUUUUUCUUUCAACCAAACAACUAAAAGAAAACCCUAAUUUAUAUUUAUUUAUAAAAAUUAUGAUAUUUUAAUAAAUAUAUAACAUACCAUUACAUAUAUAUAUUAAAUACUUAUACUUUAUUAAUAUAAUAACUUUAAUAUAUUUAAUUCAUAAAUAUAAAUUAUAAUAAUAAUAUAUAUAGCCUAAUAAUUAACAUAAAUUAUAAAUAAAUAAUAUAUAGAAUACAUAAUAAUAAUAAUAAUAAUAAUAAUAUAUACUUUUUCCUUUCAACCAUCCAACCAAACAAUUAUAACUGAAAACUAAUUUUAUUUUCCUACAAACCAAAAACUAAAAACCGUAAAACAAAUUUUCCACGAAAAACUUUUUUUUCCACGGAAAAUUGUUUUUCCCAGUUUUACAAACUUUUUUUUCCACGGAAAAUUAUUUUUUCCAGUUUUACGUAGAACCAAAACAAUGAGAGAGAGAGAGAGAGAGAGAGAGAUGGCUCAACGAUUAAUAGACCGGGAUCUCCAAAAUUCAAAUUUUAUAAAAUUUUAAAAAUUCAAAUACAAAAAGUUUCAUUACCACCUCUGUAGCCUGUCGCUGCUUGAGAAUCAUAACUCCUGAGCUUCAAAUGGAAGCUCCUAAUUUUAGCCCAAUACAUUUGGUAUAGCUAGAGCUUCUGAAGUAGGUUUUAGCUUCAGAAUCGGAUCUGAAUCUAAAAUAAAAAUAAAGCUUCAAAGUUCGAAUUCAAAAUCAGACUUUAAGAAGUAGAUUUUAACCACUUUCUUUUUUGGACCUCAAAAAUUAAAAAAUUGAUUCUAAAAAUUAGAAUAAUUUUUUUUAAAAAAAAAAUUGCCAAACACUCCAUUAAACCAAAAAUUACAUUUGGACUCAAAAUUAUUUUUCAAAAGCUAGAUCAAACAAGCACAAAAACUUAUUACUAGUCAGAUUUUAAAUCUUCAUACCAAAUAUAUUAUUAUCACAUAACUUACCCAACAUCCAAAAAUGCCAAAUAGUUUUGCUAUGAAUUUAUAAGCUAUUGAAAAAAAGGGGAUCAAACAGAUAACUUGGGCCACCACGUUGCUUUCUUACUUUUUAAACACUAAUCCUAUAUCUAUACUUACUUACUUUUAUAUAUAUAUACUUACUUAUAUACUUAUAUAUAUACUUAUACUUAUACUCUACUACAUUAAAGGAGAGUUAGGUUACCUCAAAGUGGUUAGGAGGUGACACGUGUCCUCCUCCAGCUCUCCUCUCUCUUUUAAAAAUUUGCAUGCACCCGGUCUACACAAAUAUAACAUACACCAAAUUUAUUUUUUUAAUUUAAAAUUAAAAUAUAAUUUAAUGGAUAUAUUUACACUAUAUAAUAAAUUUUUGUACAAAAUAUUAUAGGGUUUAAGUUCCAACAAUAUGGGCUUAUCAAUAUAGUGUUUAACAUAUAAAUAUACACCCGGUGCAUGAAAUAAUUUCUUCCCAACCCACUUCUCAUUUAUUAAAAAGUUUGCCUACACCCGGUCUAUAAAUAUUACAUACACUAACCUUAAUUUUUAAUGAUUAAUAUUAUUAAAUUAAAAUAUAAUUUUAUAAAUGCGAUCUAUACUAUAUAAAAUGUCCCUAUAUAAAAAAUUAUCAGAGUUAUAUUUUUAUAUCAAAUAUUUCAAAAUAAAGUGUGUAAAAUUUACUUAUACACCUGGUGCACCAAAUAGUAUCAUUUGUUUUUAAUGUAGAUAAAGAUAUAUAGAUAGCCCCUCAACUAUAAUUUUUUUGAAUUGAGUAUAUAAUACGAAAUUUUAAAUUUUUAUACUUUCAAAUUUUAAAGUUAUAAAUAUCAAAAUUUAUAUUUUAUAUUUUAAAUUCUAAAUUUCAAUUUUAACUCAUAAUAUUUAUUUCUAAAUUAUAAACUUCAAAUUUUAAAAUUUUAAAUCUCUAAAUUCUAUAAAAUUAAUUAAUUAAUUUACUAUAUUUAAGGAGGGUUUUGGGAAACCAAAGGGUGACACGUGUCCUCCCAAACCCUCCUUUACUCGCACUUUUCCUCUAUAUAUAUAAUAAAAAUAUAUAUAAUAUGAAAUUUUUAAAUUUUGAUACCUUCAAAUUUUAAAAUUUCAAAUUUUAUAUUUUAUAUUUUUAAUUCUAAAUUCUAAUUUUAACUCAUAAUAUUUAUUUCCAAAUUUUAAACUUCAAAUUUUAAAAUUUUAAAAUUUUAAAAUUUUAAAUCUCUAAACUCUAUGAAAUUAAUUACUUAAUUUUAUUCAUAAUUAAUUAAAUAUAUUAUAUUUAAUUAAUUUUAUUAAUAAUAUGUGUAAUAAAUUGCAUAACAAAAUCAAACCUAAUAGAUGCAAUUUAAAUCACGUAAAAUAUCGUUAUAUAAAAAAAUACAAAAUUUAAAUUUCAGGACUAAAAUUUUAAAAAUAUAGUGUAUAUGUGUAUAUAUAUAAUUAAGUUUAUUAAACAAGUUCUUCUACAAUUUUAUUUUUUUCUAUUUAUUAAUUUUUUUAAAAUUUUUUUGAUAGAUUUAUCUCAAAUCCUUUUCAUAUAAAUUUUUAUAAAAUAAAUUGUUGUAUAAAUUUCUUUUCCGCAUAUACCAAUUUUAAUGACUUUUGUUUAAAUAGAUUUAACUAUUAAAUUAUUUUUAUCUAACUUUUAUUUAAUUAAUAAUUAGACUUAUAAAAUAAUAUAAAAAUAUUAAAAAAAUAAAAUUUAUUAUAAAAUAUUUUUAUAUGCGCGAUGAUAAUAAAAUUUGUUAUAAAAUAUUUUUAUAUCCGCAGCAACACGCUGGUAUUUCACUAGUAAUUUAAUAUAGGGGGGGAAAAAGAUUUUCUUUUAUUGUCGUAAUUAUUUGCCUUGUUAACUUACUCCAACCAAAUGCUNAAUAAUAUAUAUAUAUAUAGCCUAAUAAUUAACAUAAAUUAUAAAUAAAUAAUAUAUAGAAUACAUAAUAAUAAUAAUAAUAAUAAUAAUAUAUACUUUUUUCUUUCAACCAUCCAACCAAACAAUUAUAACUGAAAACUAAUUUUAUUUUCCUACAAACCAAAGACUAAAAACCGUAAAAUAAAUUUUCCACAAAAAACUUUUUUUUCCGCGGAAAAUUGUUUUUCCCAGUUUUACAAACUUUUUUUUCCACGGAAAAGUAUUUUUUCCAGUUUUACGUAGAACCAAAACAAUGAGAGAGAGAGAGAGAGAUGGCUCAACGAUUAAUAGACCCGGGAUCUCCAAAAUUCAAAUUUUAUAAAAUUUUAAAAAUUCAAAUACAAAAGGUUUCAUUACCACCUCUGUAGCCUCUCGCUGCUUGAGAAUCAUAACUCCUGAGCUUCAAAUGGAAGCUCCUAAUUUUAGCCCAAUACAUUUGGUAUAGCUAGAGCUUCUGAAGUAGGUUUGAGCUUCAGAAUCGAAUCUGAAUAUAAAAUAAAAAUAAAAAUAAAACUUCAAAGUUCAAAUUUAAAAUCAGAAUCAAAAUUUUAAAAAAUAGAUUUUAACCACUUUCUUUUUUGGACCUCAAAAAUUUAAAAAUUGAUUCUAAAAAUUAGAAUAAAAUUUUAAAAAAAUAUUGUCAAACACUCUAUUGAACCGAAAAUCACGUUUGGGCCCAAAAUUAUUUUCCAAACUAGACCAAACAACCACAAAAGCUUAUUACUAGUCAGAUUGUAGAUCCUCAUACCAAAUAUAUUAUUAUCACAUAACUUACUCAACAUCCAAAAAUGCCAAAUAGUUAUGGUAUGACUUUAUAAGUUGUUUAAAAAAAAGGGGAUCAAACAGAUAACUUGGCCCCCCUCAUUGCUUUCUUACUUUUUAAACACUAAUCCUAUUUAAUUUAAUAUAGGGGGGAAAAAGAUUUUCUUUUAUUGUCGUAAUUAUUUGCCUUGUUAACUUACUCCAACCAAAUGCUACUUUUUUUUUUUUUUUUUUUUUUUUUUUUUUUUUUUUUUGCUGCUAAUCAAAUAGCUUGAAUGUAAGGAUCACAAGCAAUUCAUCAUUCCUUUAUAAACUAUUUUAUAUAAAUAUUUUAUUUUACAAAAUAGGGAAACUACAACAAUACCAACAGAGGCCUUCACAUUGUGCUUACAACCAAAUUCCACAUCACUCUGCAAACAUCCAGAAGUAAAGAUGGUUAAUUGACUGAGACAAAUCACAAGAAAACAAUACUUGAAAACCAAGGUGCAUCAUCAUCAGAGAAAACAUAAAGAAAAGCAAGCCAUUAACCAUUUGGUUUACUAUACUACUUGCAAAUUAAAAGAUGUUAUGUUCAUAAAGAUUGAAAGUUCAUAACAGAUGGAUCAUUGCCCAUAUCUGACUAUUUUGUUCAUGCAAUAGCAUUUUGUUUAUAUACUUUAGUUAAUACACGUUCAACACUCAUCAAAUUAAUCACUUAAAUUUCAUACAUAUCAAACGAAAAACAAGAAAACACGAGAUUGUUACUAUCAGGUUUUGGGGAAAGUGAGUUUGAUUUCCGUAAUCCCCUUUGAAAUGCUGAUUAUAUGAGAACAUCGCCUGCACUCAUGAAAUAAAUCAAUGAAAAUGUCAAAAUGACAAAAUAAUGCAGAAUCUAGUUCAAUUUAAUCAACGGAUGGCAAGAUAUUUACACACUACGAAAAUGCACUUUGAAGGGUUACAAUCCAGAAUUUGGAUAUUAUAGGCACAUAUUUACCUUGACGGAAAUUGAGACUAACAGCUACCCACAUAUCAUCGCUGAAUGGAAGCAAGGUUGCGCCUUGGGGCAAAACCAAGUCAGGUUUGCGGGGGAACACUCGCACUCUGUUACACAUCAGGGAGUCGUAGCUCCUUCCCUUGGAAUACUCGAUACUCACAGUCGUGAUAGGGUCAUCGGAGAGAUCGGACGAUGUGGAAGAUAACGAGUCCAAAUCUUGAGGCAAGUUAUGUUCUUCAGUAUUUUCGUUCUUCACCGUAGUCUCAGCACCUCGCAUCGUAGGAGGUGCUGCAGUGUAAUCUUCUAAGGCAUUUGCAAGCAAAAUGGGAGGUUUGGGUUUCUGAUCUAACUGGGAGUCGAUAGAAUCAAGAGAGUUUGAUGUGUGAUUCUCUGCAGAAAUAAUGAUAUACAUAAUUUUAUUAAUAUCUAUAAAUAUCACGAAAAAGUUUUGUCCUCAUUAUUGAAUCUCCCACAUCAAAAUAACUGCCCACCAUAAGUUAAUCACACACGCAAUUCCAUAUUGCAAAGAAUGUAGCAGAAGCAAAUGCAUGUACAAGGCAAACAGAAAUGACACCCAUACAACUAUUGAUCUCUGUAACACUUUUUUGACGGAGUAUUUUGUAACCUUGUAGAGCAAACUGUCUGCACAAUUUUUGCACACUUAAAUGAACCAUUAUGAGUUAUUAGCUUUAUAAAUAUAUGCAAUGCUCAUGUGAAAGAACAGUUACAUAUCCAAAAAAAAUUAAGCUGCUAUAGGACGAUAUAGAUGUAUAUUUACAUCUUCUAAAGCCAAAAUAACAAGAACUGAGAAUUUCACCUGCUACAGCUUCAUUCUCGUCAGAGCUAAUUAAUGCAGCAGUGGAAGGAUGGGCAGAAUCAAAUUCCUUUUGCAUACAUGAAUUUGUUAAAGGAUCAGAAACAAGUCGAUUUUGUUUACCUGCAAGGGCACUGACACAGAUUAUAUUUAUAUCUAUUCAAUUUUAAGAUUUGAAUCGAACGCCAUUAAAGUAAUAGAUGCAGCCAUACAUCUUUAAUCUUUCUAUGCCACAGUUGAUAAAAAAGGCUAAAAUGCGGGAUAGACUUACUACAUAUAUCACCAUGAAUAUACUGUACUUACGCUCUCUAAGCUUAUACCAUGCGACCUUCGCGGCAUUCAUCUCAGCCUGCUUCUUCGUCUUGGCAACAUCUCCUUCAAAACUCUCGCUUUCGACUUCAACAGUUGAUCGAAAAGUAGGCAUAUGGCAUGCACCAUCUCUCUCAGUUUGAUAUGAGGGCAAAGAUAUGCCUUCUCUCUGAGUCAGCUCUUGUAAAAGGUUCUUAUAAAGAGCAGAUUCAGCCUGCAUAAUACAAGAGGCUUAUUAAUAUUUUAAUGGAAAUCUUAGAAACCCACUACUUUUUUUUUUGUUUUUCCUUAUUGUAAUUUAAUCCAGUAAUACUAACUUGUGCCAAAACAAACUAAUUUGUUUCCAAACACAUAGAUUUGAUUUGGUACAAAAACCACACCAACAAUGUGCUGUUAUGGUGAGCUUUUUAUAUUCUUUCGCACCAAACAGAUCUUUGUGGAACGUUACAAUACAGAAAAGAGUCAGUGAGUUUCUUCUUUCCUUUAGCACCAAAUUAAAUGUAGGUGGGCAUGGGUCCAAUAGAAAUUAUGAAGGAAUGGUGGAUUUGUGUGAAUUUUAAGUUCAUUAGAUAUAGAACAGUAAGGGAAUAAGAGCACAAAGGGGAGGAACUUAACUGAAAAAGUUUCCUGCUGAUUUUCUUCUUGCGGCAAAGCCAUCAAAGCAACUUCUGCGGCAGCACUUUCGGCUUCCUCUAUUGUGCUAAAAUAUUUUGGACUUUCAAAAGUUUGCCCAUCUACUGUAACAGUAGCCAUAAAAAAGUUUGUAGAGUUAUAUAUUGGUAGUUCCUUAUUUCUCUUUUGCACAUAUAUUUGCAACUGGCUUUUGAAAGAUAUUUGAUUCUCUGCAAGGAAAAUUUUAAAUCGUCAGCAACUUUAAAAUAAGAAGAAUGAAAUAUUGAAAAUAUUUAUGAGAACACAUGUUAGUAGCAUGGACUAGGGAGGGUAUAAUGCGGCAAUAACUAGCAAACAUAAGGUAGAAGUUUCUUUUCUAAUACUACGUGCAAAAGACAUUGCAGAUAUCAGUAUAAACAAUUCAUUUUUUCCAUUAUCAAAUUAGAAUACAAAUACUUAUAGUUUAAGUAGAGCUUGGAGAUUCUAUGUGUAAACGGAGUCAAAGCCUUUGCAGCAUUCAUCACCCCUAGCUAGAAUUCAUAGUAUAUUUGCUCAAUAAAAUUAAAAGGACGGCAUACAUGAACAAAUUUUCUGUGCUGUCUAUAAGUAAAAUGUGAUGCAUAGAUGCUACAAAAGAGAAAAGAGUGAAACUUCCAAAAAAAGGUAUAAAAGCAUUAGCAACUUGAAUUCCAAUAAACCAUAGUGACAAUAACUGGUAAUACUAGAUAUCUGCACUAAUUCAUGAAAUUACGAUUGCAGAAUGCAGAACGUUUUCCAUCGGCAUGCUUGUUUGUUUUUUGCCAAAAAAAGAAACUAUUAAAGUAUCACAUCGUAAAUGAUUCAGAUAAUUCAUCAAAAUUCUUUAAUGUAAAAGAAUUAUCAAUAAUACCUAACUUUUUACUUUAAAUGAUAAUAAAAAAGGGGAAAACUUCAAUUAGCUUCCCUGUGGUUUGGCAGAUUUUUAAUCUACCAUCCUACAGUUUGAAAAGCCUCAAUUUGCUUAAAAUGUGGUAAACUCUAACUGCACCAUGGGAUCGUUUUUUUUCUUUUUUUUUUUUUUAUUAUUUCUAAAUCCCGCUUGUUGAUUGUAUCAAAAUUCGCCAAUAUACAAGGGAGAUAAUCCGCGAUAAAAGUUUUUGGCACUCCACUCGAAAUGAAAAAAAAAAGUAAACUCCAUUCUUCGAGGCGUGAGACCCUCUCUUCAUUCUUUUUCUAAAAACCCCUCCUCUCCAUCUAUCUUCUUCCUCUCUCUCCAAGCAGAAAAUGGUGACGAAGCCUCCGGAGAAGAUGACAACGGCGACGUCAGCAGCAAGGGAAGGCACUUUUCCCCUUCUUCCUCUUUCAGGCACAUGCAGCCAUCCUCCUACUAUCACUCAAAAAACAACCCACAUGAAUGCAAGGUGAAUCCAAUGGUUGCCCAUGAUCUUUGGGUUUCCGCUGGCGAUUUUGGAGGAUUUGAUGGCAGCAGUUGCAUGACCCUUCAUCUCCCACAGAAGGUGCCUCCUUGACAACCACCACACAAAUUAUAUAUUCUUAUAAAUUCUGUUGGUUCCCUGAUUUCAGACAGUCUAAAUCAUAGAAAAGGGUCUCAACAAAGUUUUCGCACUGUCUAUCCAGUCCUUUCAGCCAAAAAAGAAAAGAAACACAGGAUGCCAAAAUGGCACCUUUCAAUUUUCAAACGAGAGUGGCAAAGCGAGGCUAAACCAUGUGCACAAAGUGAAGCCCUAAUUCCUACACGAAACCUAAGAAUUCCAUUAAUGUAAAUCUAAUUCCGAUAAAAUUUGUGAUCACCACGUUUUUCACAAUUGAAAUCCCAAUCCCUCAAGCAAAUCUGACAAAAUUGGUGGUCGCCGCGUUUUUCCCAAUCAAAAGCCCAAUUCCUUGAAAGAACCCUCAUUACAUGCAAUGCAAAAAAGUUAAAAGUUCAAGCGACCCAUAAAAGAUUAAGGAAAUGAACAAAAAAGAUUCCAUAAGUUCGACCCAAGCCUUUAAAAGAGAAAAAUAGCAAACAAAGAAAAUCAUAAUCAAAUCUUUACUCGUAAUUCCAUUAAAGUAAACCCUAAUCCACCAUAAAAAAGGGCGGAUUUUGCCCACAAUAGAAAAUAAUCUCCACAUUAUCAAACCACUCACCAAAAAAAAAAAGAAAACCAAUCUUUAACCGAAUUGCGAUCGAUCCACAUCAAGAUAUUCCAAAUUGAGCGCAAAUUACUAGUUAGGGUUUACUCACUCACCAGGGGUCUGGGGAGAGGGCGGGAUCGUAUCGGCGGCGGAGGUGAGGUGGUCGAGAGCGGCCAUGGCGGCCUUGUUCUGGGCCUCUUUGGAGGAGCCGGAGGGGUCAGGGGCGUCGAAGGUGGCGCCGGCGACGGCCACGGUGGCGCAGAAGCGCGGCGCGUGGUCGGGGCCCUCGCGGUUCACCGUGUACUCCGGCGGCUCCCACCGACGACUGCGGCACAGCUCGUGGAGCCGCAUCUUGUGCAUUCCUCUUCUAGGGUUUCGUCGGAGGAGAGAGAGAGAGAGAGAGAGAGAGAGAGAGAGAGAGGAAAAGAGGGAGAAAGGGUUAAUAAGGUUUCGAAAAAGAGAGGAGAGGAGAAGUGUGUGAGAGGGUUUUCACUUUACAGAGGCAGCGAUCGCGAGAGGCACUACUAAUAAUCCAAUCAAAAGCGUGCCAAAGACCAAAAAAAAAAAAGUUAAGAUUCUGUGACCUACGAUUUUAAUUCCAGUUAAUUACUUUAUAAUUUAAUUUUUAUUUCAUCAAAAAAAAUAUUGCCGUUAGAUAGAAUAACGAAACAAUUUUUUUUUAAUCACGAAAUAGUACUUUGUUUAACGAUGAAAUUUUACAGUAAAAAAAAAUAUGUUAAACCUCGGAAUAAUUAAAUAUAACAUUUUGGAUAACAAGAUUGCAAAUAAAAAUAAAAAUGCACUAAUCCACACUGGUGAAUUGAAUUUUGCCUUAAAAGAGAAAAUAAAAAACUUCAAAUACCAUCCCAGUGGCUUCACACUUUCUGUGAUUUAAAAUAUAUCAAUUUAGUGUCCUGUAAUUUUAUUUUUACUUUUUUAUUAUCAAUUUUAUUAAUUUUUUUUGUUAAAUCAAUAACAAAAGUAAAACUAAAAGUUACUAAAGUAAAUAUUUGAUAAAUCUAGAUAAAAUAUCUAAAAUUUUUUGUAUAUAAUUUAACAAAACAUUAAUACAAAAGCUGAUGAAAAAAUAAGAAUAAAACCACAGAACACUAACUUGAUACACUUUUAAGCCACCGAGUGCUAAAAUGAGAAAGUGCAAAACCACAGGAGUGGUAUUAAAAAUUUACCUUAAAAAGAAAAAAAAAAGAGAACUUGGUGCAUAGACCUGGUCCACUAAGACAGCCAAAAAAAAAUUUCUAAUGCAAGCACAAUAUACUAUCCUAAUAACAAAUCAAGAAAACUAAUGCCUUUUAAAUAGUAAAAAUUAAACUUCCUCCUAUUAAUACUACCAACAAACUAAUUCUGACAUUCAAACAAAGCCAAAUUGUUGUCCUGGGAGCGCAGAGUCUGUUCAAAGAAGUCAUUGACAACUUACUUAGAAAAGCUUUCAGAAGCAAAAGAUACCAAAUGUUUAUAGGAUAUAAGAAUUACAAGCAAUCUUCUAUUCCUUUCUAUUUAAGAAAGGAAAAGACAACAAUACCAACCGAGGCCUGCGAGUAAUACUAUGCUUACGAACAAAUCAUACAUAACUCCGCAAACAUCCAGAACAUAAACAUAGUAAAGAGAUAUAACAAGAAAACAAUAAUAAGAAAAAACAAAAUACACAAUCAACAGAGACAACAUGACGAAAAGAGCCCAAUUUUAUCUACUUUAUCCAUAACAGUAACUAAGGAAGCGAAUUUCUCUGAGAAGCAAGCCAUAAACGUUAGGUUAACUACACUAUUUAGUAUUUACUUACAAUAAACAGAUAUUAUUAUGUUCAUAAAGAUACAGAGUUCAUAACAUGAUGAUCGGUGUCCGUAUCUGACUAUUUUGUUUAUAUACUUUAGUUAUGGCACAUUCUACAUUCAGCAAAUUAAUCACUUACUUUCAUACAUAUCAAACGAAAAACAAGACGACACGAGUGUUACAACAGGUUUUGGGGAGAGUUAGUUUGAUUUCCAUAAUCCCCUUUGAAAUGCUGAUUAUAUGAGAACAUCGCCUGCACUCAGAAAUAAAUUAACAAAAAUAUCAAAAUGGCGGCAAUAAUGAAAUGUGUUAAAGUUUCAAUGAAAUCAAACAAUAGCGAGAUAUUUUCGUACUAUGGAAACACACUUUUAAGGGUUACAGGCACAUAUUUUACCUUCACAUAAAUCGAGGCUAACGGCUACCCACAUGUCAUCGCUGAAUGGGAGCAAGGUCGCGCCUUGGGGCAAAACCAGGUUCGGUUUGCGGGGAUACACUCGCACUCUUUUACCCAACAAGGAGUCGUUGCUCCCCCCCUUGGAACACUCCCCCUGGGAACACCCGAUACUCAUAGUCGUGGUAGGGCGAUCAGAGAGAUCGGAUGACGGGGAAGAUAACAAGCCCAAAUCUCGAGGCAAGUUAUAAUCUUUGGGGUGUUCAUUCUUCACUACAGUCUCAGUGCCUCGCUUGGUAAGAGGCGCUGAAGUGUAAUUUUCCAAGGCAUUUGCGAGUGAAAUGAGAGUUAUGGGUUUCUGAUCUGAUUGGGAGUUGAUGGAAUCGAGAGAGCUUGAAGUGUGAUUCACUGCAAAGAUAACAAAAUAUAUAAUUUUAUUAAUAUCUACAAAUGUCAUGAAAAAUUCUCUGAAAAUUCUUCCCAUUUGUCCUCAUUAUUGAAUCUCCUGCAGAAAAGUAACUACUUCACUGUCCGUUAUUGACACAAACACUCCCAUAUGGCACAGAAUGUAGCACAAGUAAAUGCAUGUGAAAGGCUAAAACAAAGACAACUACUGAUCUCUGUAACACUAUAACCUUUUUGACGGUGUAUUUUGUUACUUCAGAAGAAACCAUCUGCACAAUUUUUGCACACUUAAAUAAACCAUCAUGAGUUAUUAGUUUAAUAAAUGUAUGCAAUGCUAAUGAAAAACAACAGAUGCAUAUCUAAAAGCUUAAGUUGCUAUAGAAUGAUUCUUGUAACCGAUGUUUAAAAGCAUAAAUAUAUACAAAACUUGCAUGCAUUUGUCUACAUUUUGAUAUAAAUAUAUACUUGUAUCUUCUAAAGCCAAAAUAACAAGAACUGAGGAUUUCACCUGCUGCAGCUUCAUUCUUGUCACAGCUAAUUAAUGGAGCACUGGAAGGAUGAGCAGAAUCAAAUUCCUUUUGCAUGCAUGAACUGGUUGAAGGAUCAGAAACAAGUCGAUUUUGUUUACCUGCAAGGGCAACGACAUGAAUAAGCUUUGAUUCGAAAGCCAUUAAAGUGGUAGAUACAGAAACACAUCUCCAAUCUUUCUAUGUCAUUUACAAUUUAGUUGAUAGAAAGGCUGAAAUGCAGGAUAGACUUCUACAUAUGUCGCGAUUUUCGCUUUGCUAACAUGAAUAUACAUUAUACUCACGCUCUCUAAGCUUAUACCAAGCAACCUUCGCAGCAUUCAUCUCCGCCUGCUUCUUCGUCUUAGCAACAUCUCCUUCAAAACUCUCGCCUUCUACUUCAACAGUUGAUCGAAAAGUAGCCAUAUGGCAUGCACCAUCUCUCAAAGUUUGGUAUGAGGGCAAAGAUAUGCCUUGUUUCUGAGUCAGCUCUUGUAAAAGGUUCUUAUAAAGAGCUGAUUCAGCCUGCAUAAUACAAAAAAUAGGCUUAUUAAUAUAAACCCUCUAUUUUAUUUCUUAUAGCAAUUUAAUCCACUUAUUCUAACGUGCCAAAAACAAACUAAUUUGUUUCCGAUUGCAUAGCAUUUGAUUUGGUACAAAAAACACACCAACAAUGUGCUUUUAUGGUAAGCUUUUUAUAUUCUUUCACGCCAAACUGAUCUUUGCAGGACAUGUUGCAGUGGGAAAAAGAAUCAGUGGGUUUUCUUAUUUUUCUUUGGCACCAAAUUAGAAGUAGGUGGGUCAAAUAGAAAUUACGGAAGUAACUUACUGAAAAAUUUUCCUGCUGAUCUUCUUCUCGCGGCAAGGACAUCAAAGCAACUUCCGCGGCAGCACUUUCGGCUUCCUUUAUUGUGUUAAAAUGUUUUGGACUUUCGAAAGUACGCCCGUCUACCGUAACAGUAGCCUUAAACAAAGGAGCAUGAAGUGGACCCUCCCGUGCAGAGCUAUAUAUUGGUAGUUCCUUAUUUCUCUUUUGCGUAUAAAUUUGCAGCUGGCUUUUGAAAGAUAUUUGAUUCUCUGCAGGGAAAAAUUUAAAUCAUGAGCGAAUUUAAAAUACGAAUAACGAUAAAAUUGAAAAUACUUUGAGCACAAAUGUCAAUAGCAUGGAGUGGGGGAAAUAUAAUGCAGCAAUAAUUAGCAAACAUAAAGGAGAAGCUUCUUUGCUAAUACUACAAGUAGAAGACAACAGGGGUAUCGGUAAAAACAGAUCAUAUUUUUUUCCAUCAUCAAAUUAGACUAAUAUACGAAAGCCUAAGAUUUCGAUUAAUUUAAACCUACAUUCGACAAAAUUGGUGAUCACAACGUGUUUUUUACAAUCAAAUGUCCCAAUUCCUCAACUAAAUCCGACAAAUUGGUGAUUGCAAUGCGACGCUUUUCCAAAUCAAAAGCUCAAUAUAUAGCCAAUUUUUGGCCAACCAACAUAAUUAAUUUCCCUUAAAACUCCUCAUAACAUGCAGUACGAAAAAGUUAAAUCUAAAGUGACACACAAAAAUUAAGGAAAUCAACAAAACGGAAUCCAUAAUUCCAAUAAAUUUAAGUCAACCCAAACCUUUUAAAAAAAAGAGAGAGAAAAAUCGCAACAAUUUCACAACAAAAAACAAUCUUUACUCAUAAUUCCAUUAAAUUAAAUCCUAAUCCAACCAAAGAAAGGGCAAAUUUUGACCGAAAUAGAAAAUAAUCACCACAUUAUCAAAACCCAGAGGCCAAAAACCCAAUCGUUAACCGAAUUCCGGUCGAUCCAAAAACCCAAUCUUUAACCGAAUUCCGGUCGAUCCAAAAACCCAAUCUUUAACCGAAUUCCGGUCGAUCCACGUCAAGAUACUCCGAAAUAAUCGCAAAUUACUAUGUUAGGGUUUAGUCACUCACCAGGGGUGGAGGGAGAGGGCGGGGUCGCUUCGGGGGCGGAGGCGAGGUGGUCGAGUGCGGCCAUGGCGGCCUUGUUCUGGGCCUCCUUGGAGGAGCCGGAGGGGUCGGGGGCGUCGAACGCGGCGCCAGCGACGGCGACGGUGGCCCGGUAGCGCGGCGCGUGGUCGGGGCCCUCGCGGCUCACCGUGUACUCCGGCGGCGCCCACCGCCUCCGGUGGCACAGCUCCUGCAGCCGCGUCUUCUGCAUUCCCUUUCUAGGGUUUUCGACGAGGGGAGUAGAGGGAGGGAGAGAGAGAGAGAGAGAGAGAGAGAGAGAGGAGGGAGAGGGUUAGGGUUUCGUGGCGAAGAGAGAGAGAGAGAGAGAGAGAGAGAGAGAGAGAGAGAGGCGUACGGGGGGAGAGAGAUGCUUGAGAGGGUUUAUUAUAGAGGAGAGCGAUUGAACGAUGCACUACAAACGAAGAGGGUGCUAAUGACAUUUAAAAAAAUAAAAAAAAAAACCUUUGAGGAACUGGUGCGUGGUCCUGGUCCACCACGUCAGCAAAAAAUAAAAAUAAAAACCCCUUUUCCAAUCCUAUCAAUCUUUAUUAUCAAGAUUUAUGAUUGAAGAGAAAAAAAAGAUAAAAUAAAGUAAUUUUGCCUUCUUUUGUUUGGACAAAGAAAAAUAAAAAAAAGAGAUACUUAAGAGAAAGAAAAUAAGUUAUUAUAGAAAAUUAUUCUCCCUAUUUUUCUCAAUUUUAAAAAAAAUUUUAAUUUUUCCUCGUAACUCUUUUUUAACCAUCCUCUUUUACUCUUCUUUGCACAAAAAGAGUGUUAAGUGGAGAAAUGUGAACUUCAAUAUGGAAACAAUUUAUGUGGAUUAUUAGUUUUUGAAACUCUAUUAUUUAGACAUUUAGUGAUAAUAAUCAUCAUAAGAUAUUCCAUUAUGAAAGAACUUGAAGGAUCACAUUUUAUUUAAAUAAAAAAUUAAUUUGCAAGUAUGGAUAAUGUAAUAUCCCCCACCACUUCCUAUAAUUUUUUUUAGAGAGAAAAAAAAAUCGGUUCUAUACUUUGUUUAUUUUUUAAAAUAAAUUAAAAUAAAAAUAUAAAAUAAUUAAAUUUUGAACUUAGAAUCUUAAAUAUCAGCUAUCUUAGCCAAUUGCCUUAGAUAUAAUCGGUACUUUCUAUAAUUAUUUAUAAGUGUGUUUAUCUGAAAAAAAAAUUUUAGCGGAUUCUUAUAUUUCAAAACUAGUAGUUACGAAAUACCAAAUAAGGUCUAACUCGACUCUCACUUCCAAAUGACAUGAUCUAAAAAGCAAUAGAAGGUGAAUUGGAUGAUUCCAAGAAACAGCUCAGCAAAAUGCUUCAUUAGUUUCAUGUGAAUACAUUUCAAACGGACAUCAGUAAAUAAUGUAAUUGAUUAUUACACUUUUUGUUGGAUAUUACAUUAUCCAUACUUGCAAAUUAAUUUUUUAAUACACCAACCCAAACGGUCCCCCGUUUGGGUUGGUGUAUUUAAUAUCACAAUAUUACUACAACUGUAAAAAAAAAAAAAAAGAAAAAGAAAAAGAAAAAAGAUCGAUUUGUUAUUGCUGUAGUUAAAUACUAUAGAUAAAUUUACUGGCAGUGUAGGCCAUUUCGAAUCAAUUAUUCAGCCUACCUAAUCUUUCAAUUUGUAUAAUCAAUGAUAUUUUGACUUUAAAAUUUAAAUUAAUUACUUAUUUUAAUGAAUUUAUAGUUGUAAGAAUUAUAUAAAAUAUGCUAAUUAAAUCUGUAAAUAUAAACGAUGCAUUUAAAUUUUGAAAUCAAAAUAUCAUUAAUUAAUUCAAAUCAAAUAAUUUAAAAGAUUGAAUAGUAAAAUUAAAAUUUUAAAGGAUUAGAUAGUCGAUAAUAUAGUUAAACCUAUAAAUAAAGGCCCAACUGAUACAUUUCGACUAGUAACGAAAUUAGACGCAGUAAGUAAUGCAUGAAUUAAGAGAAAUUAAUUGUACUGUAAAGAUAAUUAUACCAACCUAAAUAUCUCUUAAACAAAAAGAACAGAAAAAAAUAAAAUAAAAUUCUCCUCUUCUGGAGUAAUCUCGCUGAAAACAACAGAAUCUGUUGACGCACUGUAAACAACCAAACAAAAUAUUUACAAUUACAGGACCCUCAACUGUGAACUACGAAACAUAAAUGCAAAUACAACAACAUGCAUAUUUACUUAGGAGGUUAUCAACCAAUUCCAAUUCUCUUAACUUUAUUUCAAUGAUUCUAAAUGAGAAAUGCUACUCUUACAUUCAAAAAUGGAUCUCACACUCCUGGCUAGUAUGAAAAUAUUAGCCCUUGGCUAAAUAGGUUUACAAUUUACACCAACUUUUUGAAUGUUCAGAUAGCAUUGCUCAAGUCUAAUUUUAGGCCGGCAUUGUCUGAAUACAACUGCACUGGCCAAUUCAGACCGGAUCAAAUUGGAGGAAAAGAAAAAAAAAAGAAAAAAAGAAAAAAAAAAAGAAAAAGAAGAAAGGUUAAGAGAUUACAGCUCUCCAACCUUACUUGCUUUUUCUUGAGACUCAAUUUUUUGCUCAUUUAACCUUAUUACAAACAAAUAUAAAAAUCUCUCUUCUUGUUGCUAAGAAAGAAAAGAACCCCUGAAGUAGGCAAAAUUGCUCUACUCGGCACUUGCUAGCUGAGUUCUCAGUAACUUGGCUGCGGCGACCAUGUUAGUUAGAGCUGGCUUAACCUCGGCAUACUUCCGAGUCUUGAGCCCGCAGUCGGGAUUGACCCAUAAAAUCUUUGCCUCAAGCACUGCUAGCAUUUUGUUGAUUCGAUCCGUAAUCUCUUCUGUUGAGGGGAUUCUCGGUGAGUGGAUGUCGUAGACACCGGGGCCGAUUCCGGCACCGUACUUAACCCCCUCGCGGAAGACCGUGAGGAGCUUCUCGUUGGAGCGGGAGUUCUCGAUGGAGAUGACGUCGGCGUCCAUGUCGAUGAUGGAGUGGAUGAUGUCGUUGAAGUUGGAGUAGCACAUGUGGGUGUGGAUCUAUAAGAAAUGUAGAUAGCUGUGAGCGGUCAAGGUAUCGAAAAUGCUCAACCUCCUAUAACUGCUGAUGCGGCGGAAUAGCAUCGGCUCAUUUGGCUAACUACCAUCAGCCUCAUGAGUUGCAAAGUAUGGAUGUAGGAAGUUGUAUUAAGUGUUAGUGGGCACAGCAUUACUCAGAGAGAUAUUAAAUAAAGGAUAAAGCCUAAAAUACACGAAACACCUAUAGAUAUCAUAAUAUUCACUUCCAUGUCCUGAAAUUGUAGAACAUAUUAUUUGUUACCCACUUAAUUUAAAAAUUCCGUCAGUCUGCCUCCUUCCAAGUGUUCCUUGGCAAUAUAGGUCAAUGGGGUAAAUUGUGGGUUUUAAAAUUUCAUGAGGCGCAAUGCGAUCGAUCACAAAAUAUAGGGGGGUCCAUCCAUUUUAACCGAGGAUAAAUCGCAUCAAGGCCUAAAUCUAUUGUAAAGAGAAAUCCAUGCAAUUGCCACAGAGUUCUCAUGUAAGUGACUAUGCAAUUCAUCUCUUUAUGCAUCACACAUGCUAAGCGACUUCGCAGAUAUGAGGAAGUACAGAUUAAGAAAAGGAGUUACGAACCUGAGUAGUGUCUUUGACACUGCAGUUAGUGAUCCUGAAAGAGUGGACAGCCCAAUCCAAGUAGACAGACUGCUCUGACUUUCGAAGAGGCAAUCCCUCUCUCAGGGCCGCUUCAUCGAUUUGGAUGACCUGUGAACCAACGAAAAAGCAAAAUUACAUAUCUAGAAAAUAAAAUAAAUUGGAAACACAUGACUCUUUAUUACUUGAAUGUGAUGUUAAUUGGAGAGGUUUUCUCACAUUGUAGAAUCUCAGUGAGUGCCCUCGUUUUCAAUCCUAAUAUAAUAAAACCUAACGGCCCGCAUCUUAUGUUUUUGUAUCUUAACAAUACUAGUGACCUCAUAUGUAACUUGCAACAUCAAGAUGUGACUGAAUACACUUCAGGGACUUGCCAGGACGGAUUGAAAGAAUGAAGAAACUUGUAAGUACAGGUGAGAGAUUGACCUGUACACCAGCAGCCUCCAGAUCUUCAACCUCUUUCUUAAUUGCAAGAGCAAUCUGAUAGCAUGUCUCAGACCUGACAAAGAAAGUAUGCAUAUUCACUUCUACUGUACCAAAAAGCUUCGCAUUUGUAGGAUAGCCAAGGGAUAGCUCAAGUUAUUUCCCUUUUUCUGCAAAUGCCACAAGGGUAAUGGUACUAUUAGAACAGGAACUGCAUUUAUCACAACAGGUGCCUUAUACCUGAUCAAGUUUACUAAUGCAAACACUAACUACUUUCAAUUCACCUGCUCUCAAAAUAACUAAUUCAGUACCUUUUUGAGAGUAGUUAACUUUGGUCGAACUGGGAUAUUAUAGAAUAACUUAGAAAGGACUAUUCUAGCCUAUUCCUGGAAUAAUGUUGUCCCCGAAUUUAUCCCUACCAAAUGGCAAUCACAAAAGUUAUCCCUCUGAUGUCAAACCAAACAUAAAAUAGACUUCUUCACAGUAAUUGCAGGAUAGCGACAUAACCCGAGGAAUAAAUAAAAGUUGUCCCACCGAAAUUUUAUCCCUGAACCAAAUGGCACCUUAGGAGUUAAGGCACUCAAGUUGGGCUCACCUGGGUUGGUCAUUCCUAACAAAUGACCAGUUGAGGAUCGUCACGGGGCCAGUCAACAUCCCCUUCAUAGGCCGAGAAGUCAUGUUCUGUGCCAUUGAAGACCAGAAAACAGUCAUGGCCUUAGGACGGCUCACGUCACCAUAGAUAAUAGGUGGCUUGACGCACCGAGAUCCAUAAGAUUGCACCCAUCCGUUGACUGUGAAGGCGAAGCCUGAUAAUUGCUCCCCAAAAUACUCGACCAUGUCGUUUCUCUGUGAAAUAUGAAGUUUGUGUGAGAGGGAAUAUAAACUAUGACAAAUCUCAAUGUCUUAUGGACCCAUAUAGCCCAAAAGCACGAGAUGCUGCAGACAUGCCAUUUAAGUAGAGUUCUUCAUGCAGGUUUCUAAAGCUUAUUUCAGCUUCCACAACAGCAAAAGAAUAAGAUAUCCCCUCCGCACCAACCCAAACAAAAUACCUGGAGGCAGGCUUCUAAAGAAGGGAAGCUGUUGUGAUCAUCAAGAAGCCAAGCCAAAAAAGAAAGAGAGUUUAAAAAUGCUCACCUCAGGCUCUCCAUGAACUAAGACAUCAAUGUCAAGUUCUUCUUGGAGCUUAACAACUUCGUUGAUUUCCUCUUUGAUGGCUUUGACAUAUUCUUCUUCCGUAAUUCUGCCACAUAGCAUAAUGCAUAAAUAAAAAUAAAACAAAUGAACUGAUAGUUACAAAUGUACCCCUCCAAAACAAUCUAUCUACAUAUGGGUCCUGCAAAAUCUGAAUCUUCAUAUAUGUCCAUAAAAUCCUAUACUUCAUACUUAUGCAACCUUGUGUUUAGCUGCUCCUCUGGAGAAAAUUCUUUCCUAUUUCAGACCAAACUCACUUUAUUAACUGGAUGACUUCCAACCUUCCAUCAAGGAUACUUUUUUGUGAACAAUUAAACUUGCAAGGGCAUAAAAGAAAUUUUAGACAUGGGUAAAAUAAAAUGAGAUCAAAAGUACUUCAGCCCACUUGUUUGCCUUGUACUCUCGCCGCACUCUCCUUAGUUCCAUAGUCUGGGGGAACGAACCAAGAGUAGUGGUAGGAAGAAUUGGCAGUUUGAGCUUCUUUUGUUGUGCAUCUAAUCUUGCACUAACAUUUGUAGCUCGGGAGUGGUUGGAGUCCUUCAAAGCAGAAGCCUAAAAACAGACAACAAAACAGCUGAGUUGGCAUUUUCUAACCACCAGGUGUGUCCAACCUGCUUCUCAAUUUAGCCCCUGGUCUUCUAAUUGUUUAAAAUUGAGACAAACUGGGGUAAGUUAUAGAACAAUUUCACCCAAUCCUCCAAACUUAAAUUUAUUGCAAUUGAUGCAUUGAAAUUCUUUUCUUUUCUUUUUCCACUCAGGCCCUUCAGCCAAACUCCAUAGUGAAGAGAUGAUAUGACAGCUGAUUCAACUAACAUGCCACUGGCAUAGAACCACCACAUUUCAGUUCUUGGAUAUGAUUUGGCAGUUGAAUUAGUGACCCAGCCAAUGGCACAUGAUGCUACGGCAACUAAAUCAGCUGCCAGCAUUAUCUUUGUGUUAAGAAAAUUAAACAGAGGUUGACGCAGUAACCUAAUUGAAAUAGAAAUUAAGGUUCAAUGCAACACUUGCAAAAAGGUUAAGGCUCAACGACUGACUGCAGCUUAUCCAUAAGUUAGCAACCACUGAUGUAAUUUACGUAUUGCAUCUACUACUCUUUUAAUCCCCCUUGCAAUUCUAUCCUUUUAAAUUCCUCAAACCCAAAGUAUGAUCGAGUAGUUAAACUGAAAUAAGAAGAUUGCAACAAAGUGCUACAUUUGGGGAACCAAUUGUAACAAUUGUAUGCUGAGAGACCAAACUGAAAGUGCAUUAGAAGGUUGAGGACAGGUGACGCAAUUUACCCAACAAUGAAUUAAGAGAAUAGUUACUAACGGCUUUUUGGACUUCGUCAUUGGUCACUCUAGGAGAUGACUUUCUUGAAGCAUGAGCAGCAGCAUUUGCUGAGAAGAAGGCCUGCAGAUAGUUAGCUGUGAGAGAGUAAAGGCAUGCAGAAAGUUUGUUCAAGUAAAUCUGAUCAAAGAAACCUUAAUGACUUCUUUCUAAUGAAAAAAUUCCUUGCACGGCUUAUGGCUACAGCUUGUAGUAGGACUUCAUGUUGGAAAUUCUGCUUUUGGGGCCAGAGGCCCGUUACGUCUUUCCCACAGCCAGAAACUCCAAACCAUUUGUUUGCCAACCAUCUGGCUUCUUCUUCUCAAGUAUAGAAGCUAUUUAAAAGCCCAGUUCACUAAAGAUGAACACCAUAUUUUGUAUACACGAUGUCUAACCUCAUCCUUGUCACCAGCCAAUGCCUUUGCAAGCUCGUUAACCUCAACCACCUUUUGUGCAGCAAAGGCCAGCCACGACUUAAUCUCACUGUCCAAUUUUGUCUCAUUUACCAGAUCGACUGCAGUGUGCAUGAGCGAGCAGGAAGUCGAGACCACAAGCUUGUCUUAAAAACAUACAAUGCAUAUUAUUAGCUAAAACCGAGAAGAACUCGUCAAAGGCUAAAUACAGAAAACACUCCUCAAGAAUUGUGAUUGUACUUUAUCCCUCAUAAAAAUCAAAAUCUUUAAUCUACAGAUCACCCGUAAAGUUUCAGCACUUCAAAACUUCCAAAGGGCUUUAAGGUGCAGAAUCUUCCAACAGAUUGCGGGGUUACUUAGGAGUACAAAGUACAAAUCAUGAUAUUUUUAGGGGAACUUUUUUGCACUUGAGCGCUUCUAGAAAUGGAACAGCAGUAGAAGAACCUUUGCCAACAACAGCCUCAAGAGCUUGAAGAGUGUUGAUAGAGGCAGCUAGAUCAUUGGCCCAAAUGUUUCUCCCAUCUACAACUCCUGCGAAAAGGUACUUUCCAGAAGGGAAGCCCAUACUUUUGAUCACAUCAAGUGUAUUGGUUCCACGAACAAGGUCGAAACCAUAACCGGAAAUGCCAUUUAAGGAAGUUAUGGUCCUGAAAUCAGAAAAUACUUUUUGAGUGACCAGUGAAAACAUCUUGUGAAAUAUAUAAUGAGUGUGCAUCUUUCCCUGCAACUAUUAGUUAAUCAUACAUAUCCCUCAAAAUAUUAAAUAUUGCAUAAAUAUCCCUCCAAUCUGAUGGGCAUCAGUUGGCCAUAACUUUUGAUUGUUUUCAUUUAAAUGAUUGUCAUGCCCUCUUAAAUAUAUCUUCAUAAAGUAUUUUAAGGGGAGUUUGAGUCGGGAAAACGAGCUUAGAGUUUAACGUUCGGAUAGAACAGCACGGUGAGAUACAAUUAAGAGAAUUUCAGACAAAAAAAAAAGUCCAAAUAUUUUAGAGGGACAUAUUUGGAAAGGUAAAACAGUCAUUUAGGUACGUAAAAGUAAGCCAGUCACAUGGGAAGGAUACACGUGUAAUAUACUGAAAUUUGCGGGGAAUCACAAUUACAGAUGUAUAGUGGUUUCCAUGGUAAUAUAUGCAAUUCUCCAAUUGAAUAACAGCAACACAUUAACAUAUAUUAAACUAGAUGAAAGCAGUCUUACUUGUAUGCUUCAGCAGGAACAUCAGCAAAGUAUGUCUCCAUAAGCACAUUCAAACCAGAGAACGAUGAUUUAAGUUCUGAGUAUGACUUUGAAAAAGCUGCUAAUUGGUGAGAAUCCAGAUCCAGUACAAGGAUGGGCUCAUCGAAUUGAAUCCAUGAAGCUCCUGCUGCCUUCAACUCCGCGAUUACCUCCCUAAGAAUGUUUUAAUACUGUGAGUAACAAAAUAAAAAAGGGUAACCACAAACUUAGAUUUAGAAAUUUGAUCUCAAUUUCGAUUUGUCCUCAUACUUUCCAUUAUAACAAUUACUUCAAGAACUUUGUUCUGCAUAAUAGUCAAGUCCUGUUAACCUACUGUUUGAAAAAGAUGUCAUCAUCAAAGUAAACAACAUUUUAUACUUCGAAGUUAAAACUGUUGACAUCGCUUUUUUUCAAAACUCAGACAAAUUGAAACCAAGGUCAAACUUUGUGGACUAACUGUUAAAAUUACAACUUUGAGGACCAAAUUGCAAAAGAAACCAUACUCUUAAGGACUAGAUUUUUAUAGUUAAUUCAUUGAGGACAAAAUUAAAAUUCUGGUAAAAUUUGGUGACUAAAUUUAUUAUUACCACAAAAUAGAAAAACAGGGAAAAGCGAACAACAAGUAGAUUGCAGGUGGGAUUCUUACUUGUAUAUAGGGAGAAUGUUUCCGAGCAGUGAAAGAAGAGGAAAGGAUUUCUCCACACCUUUGGCAGGUUUUGAGAGCAAAAGAUAAGUCACGGGUCCAAUAAACACAGGAACAGUAUCAAUUCCAAGCUGCAGAAGAUGGACAAAACUAAACACUGCAGCAAAGAUUUUGCUAAAAACACCUAAGUCUAGAACGAAUGUUUAGUCAAGCCAUAAUAUUGUAUUCUUUCACGUCAAAAAAGAUCCAUAGUUUAAAAUUUGAAUAGUCAUGUAAGAUAAUAGAUGAAUUAGUGAGGUUUUGCAAUUAUAUAAUAAACUCAAUAAGACUUCAAGUUCAACGGAAUCAAAAGAGAGCACUUUCCACAAGAAUGGAUGUUCUAUUACAUUUGAACUUGACUGACCUCGCUAACUUUAUGAGGCUAAGAACAUAAUUUUACUCCACUCUUUUACCUUCAAGAGACUCCCGAUUACGAAUUGGAAGGAUAAUCGUGCAAUUAGAACAAUGGCAGCUCCGGUUCAACAAUUAACACUUACAAUUCAAUAAUUGGCUGAAAACAAAGAUUUAAGUGCUCAUCGACACCGAUUGUACCCACCCUGCUAUACCGUGUAGACAAAAUAUUGACACAAUACGACCAUCGUGCUGAUGGCACGGCUCAAGUCCCUCUUUUCUUUGAAAUUAGUAGUAAUCUCAAUAAAGUCCAAAAGAUCUAAUAAAGAUAUAUAAUAAGUAAUUUGAAUAUAUUGAUGCCAAAAAAAAAUAUUCAUGCCAUUAUGUGUCAGCACACAAUUUUUAUUUUUUUUUCUUUGGUGACACGCACCGUGUUGUACCGCGUGAGCAAAUUUUCUGCACAAUUCCAGGCCACGACACUUAAAUCCUUGGCUGAAAAUGAUUACAGCUCCUAGGUUAAAUAUUACAUUUGAAAAUUAUGAGAAGCCAAGGAUGAAAAUAUCAUUAAAUACUAACAAGAAAAAGAAGAGAAAAGAAGGCCCAACUUGCUCAUAUAACUAAGCAUAUAUAUAUAUUUAUCACAAGCACUUAAAUACAAUAGAAAAACAAAGAGAAGGUAGGGCCAUACCGCCUUCGCUUCCUUAUACUCGGAGACAGCCUUGUGAGAAGAAUAGGAGAACUUUGUGUUGGGACCCAAUUCAGGAACAAUGAAAUGGCUACGUAACAAGAGCAAGUUAAUAGGACUAAUGACCAAACAGAACAAAUUAACUCAAAGAAAUAUUUGCAUAUGUAGCCCUGCCAAAUCAUCUAUUUACACAUAUGCUCCUGCUCAGAAUUUUCAUGUCUGCCCUUGAAAAAUUAAUUCCUCACAUAUAUAUCCUUCUGCUUAGGAAAAUUCCCCCAAGAGAAAAAGAAAAAAAAAAAGAAAGAGGAAUGAAUUUGGAUGACUUGCCAACUUAAGGAAACUUCAAUAGAAAACUAUUUCCAAAUAAAUAUUCAGAUUUUACAAGGGUGUCUGUGCUAAUAGAUGAUUUCAGAUACAUGUCGAAGUUUCAUUCAAAUGCUAGUGUGAAUUACAAUUUACAAAUACAAAGAAGGUCAGAUGGCUUACUAGUUAGUAUCGAACCACUUAGUCAUCUCCAUGGCAGGAACUGAGGCAUUCCCUCUGACCAUAGAGAAAUAAGUGUCAAACUCGAUCUCCCCACCAGGAAACAAAUACCGUUCCGGGACUGCACCUAGCAUCGCUGUGGUAUCGAGCACUUGAUCGUAAUACGAAAAGGUAUUACUAGGGAUGUAUUUGAUCCCGGCACUGGCCAUUUGUUUCCAAAUUGAACAUCUAAGAUCCGCAGCAACGUGCUGCAGAUCUUCAGCACUGCUCUUCCCAUCCCAGAAGGAUUCUAGUGCAAACUUAAGCUCUCUUUUCGGUCCAAUGCGGGGGUAUCCAACAAUGUGUGAUGCCAUCUUUCUAUGCAGAUGAAAAGUAAGGCCCAAAUUACAUUAAUUACAAAAUCGAUUUAUACGAGAUAGGUUAAUGAAACAUAUAUUCCUCUAUUAGUAUAAACAAGCACGGCCAAGAAAUUUCCCCAGAAAAGCAAGUUUAUGUCUUUAUGGUUUAUUGGUAAAUUUCCAUAUUUUGAUAACAUCAAUUUUUAGUCCUUUGAUUACUAAAGUAUAGCAGGGUAUGUAAGAUUCAUGUCAAAUAUUACUUCUCACAAGCAAUAAAAAAUUAAAAUAAUGGGUGCAUAUUAUCCAUCUUUAAGGCAUCAUCAUUUAAAAAAAAAAAAGUACAAGGAAUGCUUUUUGAGAUAGGAUCCUUAUAUACCGACUUUUAUGUAGCGAAUAGGAUGUAAUCCAGCCGAUUAUCCAUAUCAACUUUUCGAUUAUCAUCUCCCAUUUGAGAACAUGUAUGUGCAAGCCAAUUGAUCAAAAUUAAAAUAAUAAUAAUAAUAAUAAGGCACAAAACUUAUCUGAGCUAGGGACCAUUUUAAAUCGGCUACCUAAUUUUUCAAAAUUUUGAUCUUCCUACCUAACCUUUCACUUUAUUUGAUUUGUGUCGAUCAAUAGUACAUUGACUUCAAAAUUGAAGCUAAUUACUUAUUUUAAUGAAUUUAUAGUUGGGAGAAUUGCAUGAAAUAUACGGACUAAACAUGUAAAAUAAACGACACAUUCAAAUUUUAAAAUCGAAAUACCAUUGACCGACCCAAAUCAAAUAAAUUGAAAAAGGGGAUUGAGCAGCCGAAUCAAAAUAGUCCUUAGUUCAAAGGACAAAGAGCUACCGCAUGAAAAGGAAAACACCAGGUCUACCUCUUAUCAUUCAAAAAAAAAAAAAAAAAACAUGAUGGAUUAAUCUCAAGCACAAUUUGAAGUAGAAUUGUGGAUGGAAAUUAGAACGGGGACAAAUAGAAACAAGAAAUUGCUCCAGAAACGUGCGAUGGGCGAAAGAUCUCAAGCUCCGAAGCAGAAAAUAAGCACACAAACCUCCAAAAAAUCCCGAAAAAGAAAAUGUGAAAAAAGAAAAGUAACUAUACAUCGGUUCGAACAAAGAAGUGAGCUUCAGAACAAGAUGGAAAUGGAGAGGAGGGGAGAGUACAUACUAGGGUUUCGGGGAGAGAGAGGGAGAGAUUACCUUUGAGGGAGAUGGGCGCAGCUGCAGCGAAGGAGAAGGGAGAGAGAGGAGGAGGAGAGUGUGGAGCGAGGCGCGAACGAGAGAAGCAGCGGCAUUAGGUUUUUAUUUAUUUAUACGCACUACUGUUCCGACAAGUACUUCGGGAGAGAGCACUUCUUCUAAUAAGGCGACGCUCGAAUCGAGGGAGCAGGAACAACAGUAAUAGCAUCUGAGUUCGUUUUGGUGCAUAGGUGACAUGGUGGACCUGGUCUAGGCGAUUGUUUCCCGCACCGGGCACCACUUAACUAAUAACGUCCGAACUUUCUGGUAAGUUGCCCAUCCUACUCAGGGAUGUCAAUAAUACAGAUACUGAAAUUUUAUCCAAUUGGAAUGCGAACUGUGUUAAUUUAUCUCAUGCUAGAUAAAUAUAAUAAUUUUUUUGGAUAUGAAUAUUAAAAAUAAAAAUUCGUCGGAUUUGAAUUUGAAUAUAAAUUUUAAUGGAAAAAUUUCAAAAAACCCCCAUGUGGUUUCGUAGUUUCUCACUUUGCCCCUCUGUGGUUUAAAAUAUAUCAAAUUGCUCCCAUAUGGUUUCGUUUUUAUCUGUUCAAUAGCUUUUUCGUUAAUAUUUCAUUAAAUUAUAUACAAAAAACUUCAAAUACACAUCUAGAUUUAUCAAAUAUUCACUUUAGUACCUUUUAAAUUAACGUUAUCAUUGAUUUAAGAAAAAAAAAUAAUGAAAUUGAUAAGAAAAAAAGAAAAAAGAAAACACGGGAGCAAAUUGAUAUAUUUUAAAAUACAAGGAGACAAAGUGAGAAACUACAAAAUCACAGGAGGGUAUUUGAAGUUUUCCCAAUUUUAAUUAUACCCUAUCCGAACUCAAAAGUCAAGCUGAAACUUUUUUGUUUCUGCUGCGGCGAAAAGCUGUAUAGAGGGUUUUUCUCAACCAAAAAAGACUGCUAGUAGUUCUCCAAGCAUCCUACUUUUAAGUACUACCUGGGAAGCUCCAGUAGGUCAAAAUCCAGGAAAAUUUUACAACCAUUAUGAGGCUAUUGUCUAAGUAAAUUCUGCAGGGCAACAUACUAUUCAUGCAAAAGAUUUGUUGCCUGAAUCCUAGACAACUCACUGAACAGUAUAUACUAGCAUCUACUAUGGAUCUAUCUUCAAACACCAGAUCCAGUCAGUUACUUUCCUCUAGCCUUUUCAAGGUCAGGGAGAUCUGCAAGCAAAACAAAGUAGUUAACAGAAGAUAUGGUAUGCAGGAGGAAGAUAUGGUAUGCAGGAGGUUCCGCAAAAGUACUGUUUAAAUAGAACUGUUUGGAAAGGUACGAACGCUUUUUCCGUUUCUUUUUUGUUUUCCAUUAAAAUCGUAACUACCAGCUUCUCACUAUCGCAGAAGCAGGAGCUCCAAACUGACUUUAAAAACUCCUUUUAGUUUCCCGUCACAAAAGAGGCGUGAGAGUUUUUGUUUGCCAACUAUCUAAUUGUUGCUUAUUUGGGUAGAUAGGGCGUGUUUGAUUCGAAGUUGGAGUCGGAAUCGGAAUCGGAAUNAUCAAAAUAAGCUGGAAUCGGAAUCGGAAUGACUCAUUACCUAAUUCUGUUUGGUUCAUCACCUGAAUCGGAAUCGGAAUAAAUCAUUCCCAUUAUCGGUGUUUGGUUCAGGUGGAUAUAAAAAACGUAAUCAAAUUAAUAUACUAACAUUAUCUUUAUAAUAUAUUAAUUUAAAUUCAAAUUAAAAAUUAAAUAUUAAAAAUUUACAUCAAAAUUUUGAAAUAAUGUCAAAAUUUUAAAUCUAUUUUUUUUUAAAAAAAAUAAACUUUGAAGUUGAAUGGAUAAUUCAAAAUAUGAAACUAAAUUUUGAUUUAUUCAAAUUCAAACUUAAAAUUACAAUUUAAAUUUUAAUUUGAAUCCAUAAAUUUAAUUUAAGUUUGAAAUAAAAUUUAAAUAAAACUUUAUAAAAAUUAAAAUUUAAUUUAAAUUCAAAUUCAUAAAUUAGAUUCAAAAUACUUGAUUAAAUUUUAAUUUUUAAUUUAAGUUCAAAUUAAAAUUUAAAAAUAUAUAUUUAAUUUUUAAAUUUUAACUCAUAUUUUAAUUAAAAUAGUUGAAAAAAUAAAUUUAAUCCGAAAAAUAUUCAUUCCGUCCGGAUUCAACUUCUAAUCCGGCCUCCUAGGCCGGAUUGAAAAAAUGGGUGAUUGGAGGAUUUCCAUUCCACUCGGGAAUCGGAAUCGGAAUGGGACUCCCGCGUACCAAACACCUACAAACGGAUUCAUCCAUUCCGAUUCCGAUUACAAAGUAAAAAAAAAGCGUACCAAACAAGCCCAUAGAGUAGAUAUUCCAAAAGCUAAGCCAAACAACCAAAUGCUUGCUUGGAUUAGCUUCUGUGACAGCUUCUUUACUUGAAAACCAUAUUUUAGGUGUUUGGCGAACAAAAGGCUUAGAAAGCUCGACUGAAACUUAAUAACAUACGCAUCUAGCUGCAGUGAAAAGCUGCUAGAUGGACACACACACAAAAAAACUGUUAGGGUUUCUUUCAACAGCUUGACUCUAACAACACUUACUACAGAAGCACCAUUUGGUGCAAAUCAGAUGUAAGAGCUUUGGCUCUUCGACACCAUAAUGGCUUUUCACUAAGAAGUCAAGAGUUGAUAGAAACGUAUACUAAUUAUUCAACAUCAUAUCCGGAAAGAAGGGAGAAUCGUUUAGUCUUACAGAGAAGUCCAUCAUCAUCACUGCUGUCAUCUUUGCCAUCGGCCUGGGAAAAAGAAAGAAAGAGAGAGAAAAUAAUAUAGCUUAAGACAAUCAAUGAAUAUCUUUUGUUAAGACCGCAAAGGAACUUGAACAGCUAUCUUACCCCACCAUAGUCAUCAUCAGACGGAAGUGAUGAAGCUGUAGAGAAUUACACAUUAGAUAUCUUUUCAUAGUAAGGAAGAGGGAAAAACUAAUAUAUGAGGUUACACAUGUAUAGAACUAUAAAGAAGUUAGAGCCUCUUCGGCUUGGCUUCUGAACCAGCCUCUCUAUCUAUGCUGCAAAGCGGAAGCUUCAAGAAGCCAAGCUUUUGGCUCAGAAUAGCUUUCAUAUGGCAAAAGCUAAACGGCACAAUGGGCCCUGAAAGCAGAGGCUCAAAUUUACGGAAUCUGCUUUUGCACAUCACAGAAUGUUAUUCAACCCUAAAGUUACAGCAGACAGGAAGUGAAAACCUUCUCCCAACAAUUGGACUUUAAGAUCCAUACUAAAAAAAUAUCUAGAAAUCAGUUGUUGAAGUUCUUAUUGUUCAAAGCACAAAAAACAAUCUAAAAUAUUAGCUUUUUGGUAGUCCAAACUUUUAUAAGGUGUUUAAGGAAGAAAGGAUCUUUGAUGUAAAUGGUUUAUUCACCACUUCUCUAAUUCAAGAGAACUAAUAUACAACCAGCAUUGAUCAGUGAAUUUGAAAUAGAUUCACUCCAACAGGAAUCCAACAAAGACCUCCUCAGUACCAAACAUGCACACAUUAUCAAUAAGUCAGUACACGAUAUCAAGCAAACUAUCACUGAACAUUCACAAUACCAAGCAAGAAAUAAGUAGAUGAGCGACAUGACAGAGCUACUUCCUUCUGUAAUUAGCAGUUUCCUGUGAUAUACAUAAAAUGAAUAAAUUAUUCUCCUUAUCUACAUCAAGUUAAUUGGUACAGAAAUUUGAUUUCUGCUGAUAAUUCCCGUAGCCAUAGGUUCAUUAAAAAAUUGCUAUCAACUAGAAAUGUAGUAGGAAGUUUUCAGCAUUUCAAAACAGCUUUAAUACUAAAUAAGAUCGGACCAUAUGCAUAUCUUAACCAAGCUUUUAAAAUUAUCCUCUUCAUAUAUAUAGCCAAAACAAAAAAUUCAUCUUUCAUGAACAACUAUUUAAAAUAUGAGUGAAAUGUUCAUAUGUACCAGAGUCUUCUUCAUCUUCAUCGCACCAUUUGUUCCAGUCUACCUUGAUAUAAGGAGCAGGCUUUUCCUCUGACUUCAGCAGUCGCUUCCACCAACCUUUCUUCUCCUUCUGAAUCGAACAAAUUAUGUUUCGCAAGCCAAUGUUUGUUUUGCUCCCCUAAGAGCAGAGUCAAAUAGUCUUAUUCAUUAUCCUGAGAAUCUAUAGUCCAAAAGAACUCGAUGAAAAUUAUGCACUAAAGAUUGGCAAUUUUCCUAUAUUGUGAACCUCUUUUUCUACUAAACAUUUCGUGAAUAGAACCAUAUAACUUCUUUCUAGCGCUCAGAAAGAAGAUAGAACACAAUUGUGAAGAGUAGUGUAGUAUUUAAAUGGUACGGUAAAACUUUUGAUUUUCUCAUGAAAUAUGAAUGUGCACUUUCACUUUUUGUUUAUCAACAAUAUAUUACAUUUUUAUGCAUGCUCGGACUUUGUCAUACAAGUCAAGUAACUAUGAGUAUUUAACGACGCAUCAACAUGAAUCAAUGAAUAUGCAUCAAAACUCAAAACAGCUACAUAAUUCCACAAUCAAACAACAGAGAUGCAUGCAUCAUAAAUGUGGGUUACCUAGCAAUAAUAUUGAAACUACGAAUUUUUUACAUGCGAAGAACGAAUAAGAAAGAAAUAGAAAAAACAAAGAAAAGGAUUACCUCGAGGAUUAUAGUAUCAAAGAGUUCCAAGCUGAGGCUGAAGGGCUCACCCUGGGCCCCUGUCGCCGAGAAGCUAAACAGACCUUCAGGCGUGCACUUCACCGAAACAUCCUUCGCAUCCGGUAAAGACACCGUCAAGUAGAUCUUAUCAGAGCGCUGUGCCCAAAGAACUUCAGGUUGGCGACUGAAUUUAAACAAGAAAAGAAACCAAGAAAAAAAAGGAGAGAAACACAAACAGUUAGUUUUAUCUGCUUCAUAACACAUGCAGAUCAAAUGCUUGUAGUAAUGCCUGCAUGAACAAAAAGAAAUGAAAAUUCAAAAUCAGAUUACAUAAGUUGUAAAAAAUAAUAAUAAUUAUAAUUAGACAAACUAAAUUACUGCAUCUCUCUUCUGGUAAAAUUCUUAUAUAAAUUUCCCGUAAUUUUUUUUUAUAAUUAGCGAAUCUCCUCAAAGACCAAAAAAAAAAAAAAAAAGGAAGAGAGGAGAUACCCUGGAAACUUGAAUGAGGUUUUAUAUGACAAAGAGGAAAUCAUAUUCACUACGAGAUCAGACGCUGGAAAUUAUGCCCCACUAAAUGAUGAUAAAAAAAAAACAAAGUAAUAAAUUAUAAUAAUUAAACAUGCAAAAAUUACCAAAUCUCUUCGCGUAACACACGCAUACUAGUAAAUCGCCUCGAAAACUUCGGGGGGAAAAAAGGGGAAAAAUAGCCAAAAAAUCGGGCGAAAACAGCGGAGGAGAGAUUGAUUACCCCAUGGGAGAAAUAUGCGCGAGGAAUCGCGAUCGAAAAACCCUAGAAAUUGGAAUAGGGUGGGGAGAGUGAAAAAGUUGAAGUGAGCUUUUGUGUAGAGAGACGAGAGUGAAGCUUCACCAAUUUUAAGCCGUUGUUUUAUAGCGGAGAAGGGGCGUGGGUUCGAUGCCUCGCAUUAACGCUGAGGUGGGCCCAUCGUGGCCCAUUAUGGGCCCAUUUUCAAAGAGAUGGGGCUUCUGGUCUGUGGCUGCACCUUGGGCCUGUUUGGGCCAAGUGGAGAAUCGGACUACAAAGGUAUUAAAUUAUUGGGUUAAUUUCAUACAGGUCCCUGCAAAUAUAGUGAAUGGCAAAUACAUCCCUACAAAGUUGAACUUUCAUAUGUUGUUCCUGUAAAAGUCUUGAUAUUUUCAAAUAUGUCCCUGCCGUUAGAAUCCGUUAGAAAAUUUUAGUUAACCAUAGGUUAAAUAUCUAACCCUGGUUAAUUUUUGACCUUUUUACCCCUUUAUAUUAUACUAUUAUGAAUUUUGGAGGGAUAUAUUUGCGUGGCAAAAUUGAAAAUAUAAACAGUUCUCUAACGGUUCUCUAAUGAUAACAGAUCAGAGGGAUAUAUUUGAAAAUAUCAGAAUUUUUCUAGUAACAACAUAUGAAAGUUGAACUUUGUAAAGGUAUAUUUGUCAUGCAUUAUGUUUGCAGGAACUUGUAUGAAAUUAACCCUAAAUUAUAUGACAUAACCGUUUAUCUCCAAUUGUUAAAGCUUUUAUUAGGCUUCGUUUGGUUCAGGUAUAAAUAAGAAAUGUUUAUUCCAGGGAUGAAUACAAGUUCAAGUAUAAGCAAGAAUUAGACCAAUUUUGCGUUUGAAUGAAAAUUAAGUUGCUUCCACGAAUAAAAAAAAAAAAAAGCAUUGGAUAAAUAAAAUGGAAUAAGAAAAAUAGUAGGUAGAUGUAAAUAGAAAAUGAUGGCAUUACUCCUCUCAUUAAGAUAUAUGAAAAAUAUUUUUUUUUUCUCUACAAGUUUAAGGGGGUGUUUGGCCUAACUUUUAAAAAGCGCUUUUGGGCUGAAAAAUAAUUUUCGGCUCAAUAGAGCGUUUAGCAACUCACUUUUAAAAUCUGAUUCAACUUUUUAGAAUCAGAAAACUGAUUUUGAAGGCCCAGAAUCAGAAACAGAAAAAAGCUAUAUUUUGAAAUCUGAUUCUGAUUUUGGAUUAAAACUUCAAAUUUUUAUUUUUAUUUUAAUUUUAAUAUUUAAAUUUAAAUUUAAAUUUAAUUUUUAAUUUUCAUAUUCAAAUUUCAAUUUUAAAUUUUAAAUUUUAAAUUACAAUUUUAAUUUUAAUUUAAUUUUAAAUUUUAAAUUUCAAAUUUCAAAUUUCAAAUUAUAAUUUUAAUCUUCAAAUUAUAAAUUUUAAAUUUUAAAAUUUAAAAUUUAAAAUUUUAAAAUAUAAAUUUUAAAUAUUCAAAUUUUUAAUUUUAAAUUUUAAAUAUUCAAAUUUUAAAUUUUAAAUUUUAAAUUUUAAAUAUCUAAAUUUUAAAUUUUAAAUUUCAUAAUUAUUUUAAAUUUUCAAUUUUCAAUUUUCAAUUUUAAAAUUUAAUUUUAAAAUUUACAUUUUGAAAUUUAAAAUUUAAAAUUUAAAUAUAUUUUUAAAUAUUUAUAUUUUAUAUUUUAUAUUUCAUAAUUAUUUAUAUUUUUACAUUUAAAUUUUAAAUUUCAAAUUUUAAAUUUAGAUUUUAAAUUUUAAAUUUUAAAUUCUAAAUUUAAAGUUUGAAAUUUUAAUUUUAAUUUAUAUUUUUAUAUAUUAAAAUUUUAUAUUUUAAAAUUCAUAAUUAUAUAUAUUUUUAAAUUUAUAUUUAUAUUUUUAAAUUUUAAAUUUCAUAAUUAUUUUAAAUUUUAAAAUUUUAAAAUUUUAAAUUAUUUUUUAAAUUAAAAUAUCAAAAUUUAAAUUUUGUGCAAUUUUAAAAUUUUAAAAUUUUAAUUUUAAUUCAAAUUUAAAUUUAAAUUUUAAAUUAUUUUAAAAUAAAAUUUAAUAAAAAUAUUAAUUUAUGCUAACAUCAAAAAAAAUUUGCCAAACAGCUUUUCAAAAUCACUUCAGAAAAAUCACUUUUAUCUAAACUCUGUCAAACGCUUUACAGCUUUUAACCAAAAUUACUUCUCCAAACCAAAAUUACUUUUUCAAAAAUCACUUUUUCAGAAGGUAGGCCAAACAGGUCCUAAGUUGUCAGGAAUGAUAUUUUUUAUAUUUAUAUUCAGCAUGUUCACAGCGCAUAGGAACAGUAGUGAAUUUUUAACAAAUUUUUUAAGGUUUGUUUCUUAGUAGGUUGGAACGAAUUCCAAAUAAAUCACUUUCUUCUUUUAAUUUUUGACUCUCACUUAUCAUCUUACUACUCACUCACCAUCCUAAUACUCAGAGUGAAUCGAAGCAAGAGCUCCGCUGCUUCGAAUCCAUUUGCAUCCCUACUCCCACCCCCUUUCGUGGGCAAAGAAUAUUGGGAGUGAUCUGCGCGUCAACUGCCACCAUGGUUUCCGAACCUAAUAUUAUUUUUCCAUUAAAAGCAAGAGGGGAUCGAGAGUGACGCUAGCGAAUAACUAGAAAGCAUAUAAACUUUAGAAGAUUGAGAUGCGCGAAGAAACCACACACACACACACACACACACACACACACACACACACACACACACACAUAUAUGGAAGCCGAUAGGAUUAAUUUGGAUUUGCUGAUAGGCCGACAUAUAUAUCGACUUCUAUACUAUCAGUAGUAUUAAAUAUAUGAAGUUAUCGAAUUUUUCAACGUUAAAUCUAUUUUUUUUGACCAUUUUUAUCUAUUAAAUUAUAUUAUUCAACCAAUUACCCACUCAAUCCUAAGGAUAACUACCAUCCUAACCGCAUAUUCUUUUAUCUAAGGCCAAAAAUCUAAUAGUAUCAAGCGCUUCAUAUUAUUAAAAUAGUAUAAUAACCUACUUUUAUAUAUAUAUAUAGAGUGAGGCUACUAUACUAUCGGAAGCACGGAGCCUUUCGUGCUUCCAGCUCGUUUUCGAUGUUGCGACUUUCGAAUCGUCGAUCGGCUCCGUUAAACUUGAUCUAGAGUAUUUGGAGUACCUAGAAAAUAAAUUUUAUUAUUUUUCGAUAUCAUUUGUCUAGUAAUCCAAUGGGCUCAAAAUCAAUAAAUUUCAAUGGCCGUAGUGAGGCGUUUGCAAGUUUAACGGUGUAGAAAUAUCCAAAUCACGUGAAAUUUUGAUAGAAAAUUUUUUAUACUAUAUAAAACAAGAUCAAUAUUUUUGAUUUAAAAUUUUAAUGUCAUAUUAUUACAUUUUGUAAGAUUUUUAUUUUCAGCCGUUGAUUUUAAGCCCAUUCGUUCACUAGGCAAAUGAUAUCGUAAAAUCAUAAAAUUUAUUUUCUAGAUACUUCAAAUACUCUAGAUCAAGUUUAACGGAACCGAUCGACGAUUCGAAAGUCGCAACAUCGAAAACGAGCUGGAAGCAGGAAAGGCUCUGUGCUUCCGAUAGCAUAGUAAUAUAUAUAUAUAUAUAUAUAUAGUAGUGCUACUACACUCUUCUGAUUAUAGAACUUUUUGUCCUCAAAAAUUAUUUUCAAUGAUUGAACUUUUGAAUCGACGAUCUAAAUCGUUAAACAUGAUUUAAAGUAUUUAAAACUUACAGCAAUCAAAUUUCGUAAUUAUUUAAAUUAUAAUAAAGUCCAUCAAUGGGGUAUAAAAUGAAUGGUCGAAAUCGAACGACCUUCUAAAAUUACAAGAUCAAAAUUUUCAAUUUAAGAUUGGAGCUAUUGAUCUUUUAUCUAUAUAGUGAAUAAAAUUUUCUAUUAAAAAUUCAAUCGAUUUUGAAUUCCUUUUACCAUUAAACUAGUAACUAUUUCAUAUCGGCCAUUAAAAGUUAUCAACUUUGAGGUCUUUCGAUUGUAAGGUAAAUGACGUCGAAAAAUUAUGAAAUUUGGUUUCUAGAAGUUUCAAAUGCUUUAAAUAAUGUUUAACAGUAUGAAUCGUUGAUUUAGAAGUUUUAUCAUCGAAAACGACUUAAGAAUACGAACCCGACGGAUUUUAUCAUCAAUGGCAACAGUACUAGUGUUAGGGAUGUCAAUGAGUAUGGAUAUCCGAAAUUUUAUCUGAACCCGAACGAGAAUGAAACGGAUAUAUCCGAUGGAUAUGGAUAUAGAUUCAGAUAUGGAUAUCAAAAAUAAAAACUCGACGGAUAUGGAUUCGGAUAUGGAUUUUGAUUGAACCCGACCCGAACCCGAACCCGAACCCGAUCCGAACCCGAAUUUAUUUUGUAUUAUAUAUAUAUAUAUAUAUAUAUAUAUAUAUUUGAUGUUAUAUUUGAAUUUGUAUUUUAAAAAUUUAGGUUUAAUAUAAUAUAUUUUGAAAUAUUGAAAAAAAAAAUAAUUAUUUCGGAUUCAAAUUUUCGGAUUCGGGUUCGGGUUCGGAUUCGAAUUUUAAAAAAUCUGCCUCGAAUCCGAUCCGUUGACAUCUCUAACUAACUAGUGUGCUGGUAAAGAUAAAAAGUAAAAAUAUGUGUCGCAGACAGUGACGUCGAUUAUUAUUCCCUAAUUAAACGCGGGGUCGGGGUCUACCUCAUCACUGUCAUCAGCCGCGUAAUCCUCCUCCAAUGGGAUGUUUUUUUGUUUUUUUAAUCCCCUCGCACCAUCAGUUGACCUAAAAUAUAUAAUUAAAAAAGAACAGAAACCCCUGAACUUUAGUCCGCUUCUACGGAUGGAACAAAUUUAGUCCCCUGAAUUUUAGUCCCAAACACCGAUUUUUAAGGAUGGAACAAUUAAUCACUUACUUUAAUUAAUGUGUAAUUAUAAAAAUCGUAUGAAAUAUACUAACUAAAUCUGUAAAGAUAAAUGGUAUAUCCAAAUUUUAAAAGUUAAGGUGCCGUUGACGGAUUCUAAUUAAAUAAAUUAAAAGAUCAUAUAAUAAAAUUAAAAAUUUUAAAUAUUAGCCAGCCAGCUUAAAAUUAUCAGUAAUUUAGCAAAUUUUGUAUGUUUCAAUCUUUUUUUUUUUUAAUUUUGAGAUGGUACGUAGGCAUACUUCUGAAUAUAACGGUCGCAUGAAUGAUAUGAUAUCUCCAAUCAAUCAUAUUUAAAUUUUAAAUUUUAUCUAUUAUAAUAUAAUUAGCUAAUAUCUCGAACCAAUUAUAUUUAAAUUAUAAUAUAAUUAGCUGUAAAAUAAAUAAUGUAGUGUAACUGAUGAACAGAAGACUUCCUAGCCUAGGAGGGGGCAAGGCUCAUUGAUAUUGGUCGGUCAGCUCUUUUCAAAAUUUUUCCACUACCAAAUUCCUCGGCCGACGUCAAACCCUCUUAUUUCGGGGAAGACGACAAAGGAAUGGAUUUCCCUAGUAGAUUAUUACAAUUAAAUCAUAUAAUUUAAUACAAUUAAUUAAAUACUAACAUCUAUCUAUCUAACUACAUUCAAGGAGGGUUUGGGAGGACCACAUGGUGACAAUAUAAUUAAUUAAUUUUAUUAAUAAUAUGCAUAAUUAAUUGCGUAAUAAAAUAUAAUUUGAUAGAUGUAAUUUAAAUGACAUAAAAUAUCGUUGUAUAAAAAAUACAGUAUUUAAAUUUCAGUAGUAAAAUUUUAGAAAUAUAGUGUAUUUCUGGGUAUAUAUAAUUAAUUUUAUUAAACAAUUUCUUUUACAAUUUUUUUUUUCCUUCUAUUUAUUAAUUUUUUUAAUUAUUUUGAUAGAUUUAUCUCAAAUUCUUUUCAUAUAAAUCUUUAUAAAAUAAAUUGUUGUAUAAAUUUACUUUGCGCAUAUACCAAUUUUAAUGACUUUUAUUUAAAUAGAUUUAACUAUUAAAUUAAUUUUAUAUAACUUUUAUUUAAUUAAUAAUUAGGCUUAUAAAAGUAUUUAACAAGUAAAAUUUAUUAUAAAAAUAUUCGCGCGGGUAUUUCACUAGUAUUAUUAAUGUGAAAGUAGUAUAGCAGUGUUCUGAUUGAUGAUGCGUAGAAAAAUUAUUUCUGAACGAACGAUUCUUUUCAAGCAAACUAAUAUUUUCAAAAGAACACUUGAUAACCCUUUCUAAUUGUUGGUGGCCGAAAGUCCCGACCCUUGACCCGGUUAAAUAUUCUCCUCGGGAAAAACGUCGGGAUGAUGAGCGGUCGCGGAUGGUGACUCUCGAAGUUUGCGUCCACGACGGUCAAGCCAUUCGGCCGACGAGGGAUCGAAUCAGCCGGGUUCGAAGACCUCUACAGUAAACUCGCUUCGGCAGGAUGAGCUGAACGAAGAGGGAAAGCCCAGAAUUCGACUAAAAGAUGAGCCGAAUGGCUAAACAAUACAGGAAACUGGCCGGCCCGAAAGCCGAUAAUAGCCCUCUAUUGAAUAUAACAGCAGAGCGUACAGAGAGAAGAGUUUUUAGUCUACAACGGAGUGAUGCCUGAGGGGCAGACAGACUCCAGGAUGCUAAGUUAUGAGAACUACUCCUAGGAAAAAGCAAUAAAUGCAGGAAAGAAAGAUGUAGGAAAAUAAGGGUGGUCUUUUAUUCGCACAGAAAAAAGGCCCUUUUUCAGGGUGCCGUAUGCCUAUGUAUAAAGUUGCCCUUGCGUUUAGUUAUCGUCACUGCACGAUCGGCCACUAUCUCCUGAUUUGGAGGACCACCUUCGACUGAUUGGAACUGCUCAUAACCGCUUGCGGUUGUUACAACUUUUUGAACAAACGCGGCUCAUAUCUUCUGGCGCGUCUUAUAUACUCCCGGACCACCGUUUUGACAUGGAUCAUGGAUGUAGUCCCGGCUUGCCAGCUGUCCGCGUCGAAUUGGCCCAACAAUAAUUUAACCUAAAAGAAAUGAUAAAAUUUGAGAAAAAAAAAAUUAUAGUUGUACUGUGAUUGGAGAUAUCAUAAUAUAUAUAGAGAGAGAGAGAGAGCGAGAAAGAGUAGGACUUGUGUAUUAUUAGAAGCACAAAAACCUCCGUGCGACUAAGCUAUUUUCGAUGAUGGAAUUUUCGAAUCGACGAUUGGCUCCGUUAAACUUGAUAUAGAGUAUUUGAAGUAUCUAGAAAAUAAAUUUUAUGAUUUUUAAAUAUUAUUUAUCCAGUGAUCAAAAAGAUUCAAAAUGAACAAUUGUAAAUAAAAAUCUCACAAAAAGUUAUAGCACUAAACUUUUCAAUAAGAGAUAUUGAUUUUAUUGCAGAUAGUAUAAAAAAUCAAAAUUUUUUCUAUUUUCUAUCAAAAGACAUACAUCAACUAUUAAAAAUUAUUGAUUUUGAAUCAUUUCGAUCACUACAUAAAUGGCAUUGAAAAUCAGCAAAAAUUAUUUUUAAAUAUUUCGAUUCGAAAAUCCUAUUAUCAAAAACAGCUUAGAAGCAUGGAAGCUUUCAUAUUUUUAAUAGGACACAAGUUUUACUCUCUCUCUAUCUCUCUCUCUCUAUAUACACACACAUAAUAUUGCAUCAUUGUCACUAAACCUAAAAGUAUUAUUUACUUUAGAUUAAGUCAAUGGCAAGCAUUAUUUACUUUAGAUUAAGAUUAGGUAAGAGAUCAUUACCUUAUCUUGGUUUUAUUGAGAGUACACGUAAUAUUACAUUUCCACAUCCUUCUACAUCAUUGUCACUGAACUGGGAAUAUUAUUUAAUUUUAGAUACAGCCAAUAGCUAAAACAAUAUUAAAGAUGCUUACAUUGCCCGAUCUCUUUUCGAUUGCAAGUGCUUCGUCCAAUCACCCAAUCAAAAAAUUUAAAUCAGAAAUGUGUUUUAAGGGUACGAGACAAUUUAUUUAAUAAAGGAUUUUUAAGAUACGUUAAUUAAGGGAGGCUUUUGGAGUUAGGAGUGUGCCUAUGUAUGUACCAUCUCAAAAUAAAUGAAAAAAAUAUAUAUAAAACUUAAAUAAAUUGUGGAUCAUUUUAAGUUGACUAGUCAUUUUUUAAAAUUUUGACUUUAUUACGAGGGAAACGGGCCCUCCAAACCACCCGGUCAACCACGAGAAAUCGUUCUCCUGCGUCACCUGCAUUGUAUAUAUUUUUUAAUAUAUUUUUCUAAAAGAAGACAUAAAUAAAAAAUAUAUAUAUAUAUAUAUUUUAAAUAUUGACUAUUGCUUUUAAUUGAAAAAAUAAACUUAAAAAAUAACAAAUUGGAGUGCCGGUUCGGUUGUAGGCCCAGGCACCGACCAAUAUUUUUUCCUCCAUGAAAAUUAGUCGCCCGAUAUGAUCGAUAUACACUUUCUAUUUAGCGUCCUUGAUUAAUUUUUCAUAUUAUCUUUUUAUUUAGAGUUUUUUUUUUUUUUUGAUUUGAAAUUCUCUUUAUCUUAUAUAAAUAAAUAAAGAAUAAACUCUAUGCGCAUUCAGUGUGAGAAAAAAAAAAAAUUGCUACCUUUUUCCUGUACAUAGGCUAUAGGCCUCGUUACCGUCACUCACCGUUCAAAACAGCCACAUAAGACUCCUACAACAACAACAAUAAUAAUAAUAAUAAUAGUAAAUAAAAAAAUGAGAGAGAAAAAGUAGGGACCGUUGGUGAAUGAAGAUGAUUUGCGAAAUAGGUCGGAUAAUGUGCUCGAUACAGGUUUUGUCAUCAUUCCAAAUCGGGCCAACCUAUAAGAAAAUGAGAGAGAAAAUAUAUGUAGACGUGAUCAGUAGAUCAUCAUGCGCAAUGAUGCAUGGUUCGUUAAUGUGGAUAAAGCUCACAAAAUUUCACGAUACAUUUGCUAUAUAUAUAUAAAUAUAAGUGUGCUUCUUCUCCAGAUUCAAUAUACCUAUACCCGUGCGAGCUUAAAUUUUUACAUACCAUAUGAUUGAGAUGGUGAGUUCUUCAUUUGCAGGCGCGCUCUUCCUCCUCACCCUCCUACUACUCUCCGCCGCUGCUGCGACGAUAAACACUCUCCCGCAAGGGAUGCGUCGAGGAGCAGCAGAAGAAAAGGGCGAGCAGUCCAAGAGAUGGGCCGUGCCGUCGACGGGCAGCUCCGACUGUACCUCAGAUCCCAAUCGUAAACCCGUCGGGGUAGGCUGCCCCGUCGGUGGAUCAAAUUAUAGCCGGCAGGUCUCACUCAGGGGGCGUUUGGGCCGAUGAAGUCGCCAUUCCAGCCGUCCCGAGAAAUCUUGAUAUAGUAUAAUCAUUGGCUCAAAUCCGAAUUCCGAAAUCAUCUCUCGCGAAAAGCCCCAAAAUCUAGCCUUCAAAUAGAGAAGGAGGUUUCCCCGCCUUGCCGCGGACUAGAUCUUGCGUUUUUCUGUAAAAGAUGACUUAAAGACUAUUUCGACAAGAACUUGUUUUUGAAAAUAUAAGUUCGUGACUACUUGCAGAAUUUUCUUGAUGGUUUUGUGAUGGAUGAAUGGCUAGACUAAUGCGUGUUUCUUCUACUCUUAAUAAACUUGAUUUGCAAUCGUAACUUCAUCGAUCCAAAGGCUCUCUUAUGAUUGAUGUAUCUAUAGAGACCAGACACAGUAGAAUAGAAACAUGCAUUCUCUCUGCAUGCUUCUUUAUACUUCUUUAUACUUCAACUAAUUUCUAUAUACUUCUAAUAAUAUAAAUAAUGUCUAACGAAAUUAAUCGUCGAUUCAUGUGCUCCAUUAUCGAAUUAAUCGUUGAUUCAUAUGCUCUGUGCCGAAAUGGCACGUCUCUGAUUUCUGAGCCAAAAAAAUCCACAAGUGGCCCGGCCCGAACCGAGUUGGCCCAUUUUAGUGUUUCUUUUUUCUUUACAUGUUAACUUUAUUUUUAAACAUUUUUCAAAUGGUCAAUUUGCAUAUAAAAUCCACAAAUUUUGAGCUUUUGCAAAAUUGGAUCGCCUUUUUUGAUUUUACAGAUUCGAUCCGAAUUUUCAGCAAACUAACCAAAAUAUCCUUAUUACUUUUUUUCUUCUCUCUUUUUUUUUUUUUUUUUUUUCUCGUUCAUUUUUUUUUUCUCAUGCCAAAGAAGGCACCCUCGCCCUCACCCGCGCGCACACCCGCCUUCCUCGCCUCCGACACCGCGGAGGUCGCUGCGGCGCCACAGCCUUAGAGCAGGGGGUCCUUAGCAGCGUCGUCGCCGGCGCAAUGGCCGUUGGCGGAGAGGCGUGACCAAAAAAAAAUUAUAGAAGAAGGAAGAAGAAUAAUAAAAAUAAAAAAUUAUAGAAUAAGAAAAAUGAAGAUGAAAUCACACCGUUAAAAUAAGAUUGCACUGUUUUAAAAGAACGCUGCACUAUUAUGGACGUAAGUUGCACUAUUUGAGAUAUAAAUUGCACCAUUUAAGAUAAAAGUUACUCUUUAAAUAAAAAUUACACCAUUUGAAAGAUAUUUACACUAUUUCUUCUCUAAUUGCACUCUUUGAGAUGUAAAUUGUAUCCUUUAAGAUGAAAGUUACACUCUUUAAACGAAAAUUGCACUCUUUGAAAGAUAUUUAUACUAUUUCUCCUCUUACUAAAUAUUUUAAGAUAUAAACUGUAUCCUUUAAGAUAAAAGUUAUACUCUUUAUAUGAAGAAUGGGCCCCAGCACAGCCUGUACCCUGGGUGGGGGCUGCAACUGCAAGCCAGCUAAGUAUGGGCCAGCACAGAGCGCAGUCGGGCCGGGCUGAACCAGCCCGCGGUCAGCCCGGCUCAGUUUGACGCCCCUAUCGGUAGCCACAAAGCGUCCCCUCUCCCGCUCCAUCUCAGCUUUCAAUUUAAUCCACCAGGUUCUUUUCUUUUUUAAAAAAAUAUAUACAUAUAUAUUUCAAUUAAAAUAUAAGGUAAAAAUAUAAAAAACUUAUGUAAACCAGGAAACAUUUUGAAUAUACUACCCAACCUUUCGAAACUAAUUAUACUAUCCAAUUUUUUAAUUUAUUUAAUUUAAAUUAAAGACGCUUCGAACGCAUCAUUAUCAUUACAGAUUGGAAAAACUUCAAAAACCCCCCCUGUGGUUUCGUGCAUUCUCACUUUGCUACUCUGUGGUUUAAAACGUAUCAAUUUACCCCCCUGUGGUUUCAUUUUUAUCUUUUCGGAAGCUUUUUCGUUAAUAUUUCGUUAAAUUAUAUACAAAAAACUUCAGAUAACCAUCUAUAUUUAUCGAAUAGUCACUUUAGUAUCCUUUAAUUUUAACUUUGUCACUGAUUUUAAAAAAAAAUAAUAAUAAAAUUGAUAACAAAAAGAUAAAAACGAAACCACAGGGGGGCAAAUUGAUACGUUUUAAACCACAGGGUAGCAAAGUGAGAAUGCACGAAACCACAGGGGGGGUUUUUGAAGUUUUCCCUUACAGAUUUAAUAUACUUCCUACAAUUUCCAUACCCAUAAAUUUAUUAAAAUAAGUAACUAUUUUAAAUUUUGAAUUAAAAAAAAUCAAAAUUUUAAAAAAUUGAAUAAACGAUCCAAAAUUCUGCUCGUUUUUACCUUCAAAUAAAAGCUGCACUUCCACUAAUUACUAACAAAACUUGCACCUACCACCAAGAUCAACAAAAUACGACGACUAGAGGCUGCACAUUUUCUAAUCCUUUACAUAUAUUAUGGUUUAGUUCCGUCUUAUUCUAAAUAAAAAGAGCAAUACUAUUCGUGCAUCAACCGUGUAAAUCUUACGCCCUGAGCUUCAAAUGACUGAGAUUUACCCACUAAACUAAAAUUCCUAAAGCAAUUUUUUGGACUCUUAGACUUAAGGGUAUAAAAUGUACAUGUACACCCUAUAUUUCAAGAAAAAAAACUUAAGCAUAAAAUGUUCUUGUUGAGGAACCAUUUUAGCAUUAUUUUGAGCAUCCCGUUUCAUAAUAAACAGACAUAAAACAGUCAUUUUGUAUGAACACAGAUUUUUCUAGCAGCGAGGUGCUACAGUGCAAUAUAUGUAAAAGUUCAAGGUUUAAACUAUUUGAGUGGAUGCGCAUGGACAAACUUCAACAUUGGGAUGGCAUGGGAACUAUCCAUCUACCCAAAAGGAGUAAUGGUGGGAACAUUCAUAUGAACUGGACAUUGAGGAAACAAACUGACAUACCAGUCGUUCUACAAGGCAAGGAUCAACAGCGAUGGCGAGCAGAUUUUGUCCAUACGGCAUGGAAGUCGGCAAAACUAGACGUCGGAGACUCUACCAAUGCCAACUUUUUACAAAGUAAAACUAAAAGAAUUGAAUUUCAUAGAAUACUCAGCUAAGUCGGAAUUAUAAGGGAUAUAUUUCUUCGAAUGAAACUCUGAUGGGGAUGAGUAAAAAGGCAACCGAGUUUUACUUGCUUUAAGGAGAAGACGCUGUAGAAAGAAGCCGUUUCGAAGCAUCUCUAGGCAGUUGAAGCGGCUAUCAUGUUGAUAUGCUUUAAUGCUUGAACCGAAUUCAACACAUUCUGUUGCGCAAACUCUAAAACGCUGCUGAAUCAGCAGAAUCACCAUAUCUUUGUUUUGACCCAAAAUAGAACCAUGACGACUCCGAGCACAAUUGCGACAGGAGCCCAUUUCCGAAUCAAAGCCUGAAUGAACAAAAAAAACAUAACAUUAUGUUCGAUAUGGGUUUGCAUAUGCUAAUAUAUAAUGCCAUUUUCAUUUUCUUUUUUAAAAAAUAGUCACAGAGUUCUUCAAAUUGUUGUUCAUACAGGAAUAUGUUAAUGAAAAUGUAGAAUCAGAAAAUAUGCAAAUAGAGACAAGCGUUGACCAUGUAUACAUGGAAAAUAUCCAUAGCAAAUCAAGUUCAUCCAUACAGCAAUACAUCUGGCUCAAAAAGUUUGUUCACGAAAGCAUAAACGGAUAGGGGGAAAACAUUUAUGACAGCACAAAUAAAAAAGUGUAAAUUCAGAGAGUUCUGCAUCACCCAACAGAAAAAUAAGUUGCACUGCCUCGAAAUCUAGGGAAAGGUAGAACGAUCUCCCUUUUCUUCUCUGAUAUUUGGAGCGAAGAGAAUUUUAAUCACAUUAUAUUCUCACAAACCAAGGGAAUAUUUAGCACUCAAAACCUUUUUAUCCCACAAAAAAAAAAAAAAAUACCCUUCCAAAAUUUAUUCAGAGUUCUUCAGAAACUUUUCCUAAAAAGGGAGCGGAAAACUAUUUUUCCUGGCAGAGAACUGUUUCUUGAGAAGCAUUAUUAGAAACAACUUCAAACAAUCCAAGUUUCCUCUUUAUAAAAAAUCAGAUCACAUUCAUGCAGUGCAUAGUUAUAUUUGAGUGUUUAUAGACGUUGGCAUACAAGCACGAGAAUAUAUAGAAUCAACAAUCUUUUUCAUAAUUUUUCCUGUAAACCAAAAAAAUUUUUACCUGCCUAUUUAAAUCCUUUGCCUUGUCAGCAUAGAUGCGGGAUUCGGAUGUCAACCUACUAGACAUUUCACUGACCUCUGCUCAAAAAUAAAAUUGGAAGAUUUAGACCAGAAGUACAUGUAAAAUAAAUUCUUUAUAAUGAAGUCAGAAAAACCUGUUGCUUUUCUUACUUGUAUAGUAAAAUUGAACUAGAAAGCUCAAUAAUCCAACAAAAAUACUUGGUUAAAAAUCUAGUAAACAUAUUGGCUUGGGCGCUAACUGUUGUAGGAUAUAGAAGAGAAAGAAACAAAUAGGAUAUAUAACAAAGACUUGUGACAGAGCAAUGAGUAUAGAUAGGAAAAUAGCACUGAGUAUAGAUAGGAAAAUAGGGACAUACAAGUCAACUUCUCUCGAAAAAAGGAUUGACCAAGGGUGAGGAUCAAGCCCACACUUACUAGGCUAACAGUCCGAUUAUGGAUGAAAUAUCUGGGCAUAUUCAAAUGAUAUCGCAUGACCCUUAUUUUGUCGGUGCACCUUAAAUAAGGAAGCCAGAUUUUAAUGAAUUAAAGGAUAGCCUCAUGGAAGCAAAUGAUAGAACUGACAGGUUCGGGGACUAGCAUAUCUCAGAACAAAAGUGCAACUAUGCUAAACUUGCCCGUCAAAAUAAAGGGAAGUAGAGAAGUGCUUCCGCUGUUAUUAGGCGACCAUCACAAGAUUGACAACCACCUUAAUUCUUUAUGGAUUAGAAUUUUGAUAAUUCGGAAAAGCAUACGGAAAAGUGAAGACAGAACAAGAUAAGAAACUUGAUAUAAAUGAGAGGGGCAACUAGAAUAGAUAGAAAUCAAGCAUUUGGCAAGUACCAGGAAUACAGCUAGAGGAAAAUCAUUUAAGAUGAUGUUGGACAACUUGAAAAAUUGGAUAGUGCAUCAAUGAGGUAUCCAGUUGAGUUGACAGAGACCAACGGAAAGGUAGGCCAGCAAGAGUUCGCCAUAAAUGAUGAGAAAAUAUGGUGAGCACUUUCAAUACAGAAAAUUACCAACAUUGAGUAAAAUGGUUCACUUUUGGCAUUCUAAAAAAGUUAUUUACAAGCUCGAGUUCCAAUAGCAGUAUAGAUAAUAUUAUGAGCAUUUUUUCCAUGCAACCAUUCUAAAAGCUUGCUACUUCAUACCCUUAAUCUUUGUAGCAUUUCUCAGAGUAUCGGCCAAUUUCUAGAACUAAUUGCUACGAAUUACUGAAAAGGAGAACAACCUCAAGAUGUAUAUAGUGCUCUUUCUUCAAUAAAUACUAAAGAAUUUUGUCAUGCACAUAGGACAUAGACUAUCUCAUUAUGUAAAUCAUCAAGGUGGAUAAAUAGUAAUUUAGAUGCAAAAUAUUUCAGUUUCCUAUUUUUCUGAGUUUAGUUCUGCUUUUACCAACAAAUGGCCAUAAGGUAUGGAGAAGUUAUAAUAGAUCAACAUCAUUCAAACAUGGAGCUAUCAGCAAGAAAUAUCAAGUAAAUCCAUAUAUUUGUAGAUAUUUCUAAAAUGACUUUUUUCCUAUAAUUGCCGCUGCAGCCAUGAUUCAAUCACUUUUGCCAUUUAAUAUAUUCAUGCUCACUGGUUAAAAUGCAUAUGAAGAAAACAAAAGAAAGCAAGACAUCAAAUAAAAGCAUAGGCCAGCAUUGAAGAGUAAAGAGAAUGAAGAACUUACGGUCCAGCUUUUCACCAACACCAAGAACUUCUUGAACAUUACGAGUCAUGAUCUGGUGCACUUCAUAAAGUUCAUCAUUUAACUUUGCUAGAUUUCUUUGGGUCCGAGUAUCCAUGUAGAGUUUCUUGGUCUUCUGUAUAAAAGUGUCUUCGGAUACAAAAAGAAGAAAAAAAUUGAAAUAUUACUGGUCCUUUAAGAAAAUCCAGGAGAAUAUAAAUGGCCAUUAAUAGUCAUCUAUAAACAACAUACCAAAUUUGAUAAAAGCAUACGGCCUUGCAGCAGUUUCAAUUUGAUUCCCGUUGACCCUUUCAAACUCAUUUUUUAGGUCUUCCAGGUACUGAAAAGCAAGUUUCUUUGGAUAUGAACGAUCACACAUUGUCAGAUAGCAAACACGCCCUUCAAUUAUAUAGCUGUAUGGUUAAGUCAAGAAAACACAACACUAGAGAUGGUUUUUGACAUAAAUAUACUAAGUAUAAGGAAGGGCACCACAAUUUGGAUUGGAAUAGAAAAUAUGUAUCCAUAAUUCCAGUAGAGCAUGAUGUAUCUUAUUCUUUGUCAAAGGAGUCAGCGAGAUCUCCUGCAAGCACUGUAAGAUAGCCUUCAUGAUGUAAUUACCUAAUUUGAACAAAAAGACUUUUUUUUGACAGAGAGAAUGGUAGCAUGCUACAGCUUCGUUUAUUUUUUUAGAAACAAACUUAGCUAAAAAUAUGAAGUAAUUAGGCUUCGAACUAAGGACCUCGGGCACCAACCAUCAAGCCAUUUGCCACUUACGCUAGGGACGGCCAAUAAUUUGAACAAAAAGACUUAAGUCUAGUUUGCGUAAGGUCUAGUCUUCUCAGGUUUAGUUUCAUCUGGCUCCACGAAUAUAUGGGCGAAUUUUAUCAAAAGUGUGAUGAGCUGUUAAGUACCAAGUAUUUUUAGGUGAAAGUUCAUAUCCAGAUUAAAUCAAUCGAUUUUUAUUAUAUAAGAUAGAGUUGUUAGCAGCAUCAUGUAAGAUAAGGAUAAGAUUUUGUAAAAGUUCGAUCAAAUUCAAAUGCUUCUAAAUAAGGGUUUAGACAAAGAGUUUAAAUACAAGUAGAAAAGUGUUUGUUCAGUAUCAUUCAUAAAAUCAUUGGUUUAUGAGGAGUACUAUGACUUUUUAAUGACAAGAAACUCUGUUUUUUAAUGCAUGUAGAUCCCUACCUCUGUUGUUUACCUUUAUCUUUAUGAUUCAUCUGUCAGGACCGUCACUUCACAUUUGCCUAUCUAAUUCCCAACCACCCCCCACCCCCUCCCCUAUCUUUUCUACUCCAUAAUUAACGAGUGCUACACCUGACAUUUCAUUUCAUCGCUAUAGAAUAGCUCUAUAUGGACUUUUCUGUAAAACAUGUAGUUCUGCAGAUUGAGCCAAAAAAAUCUCAAUUACUAACCAUCUUUUUUCUCUUCACAGGAAUGGCAACUCUUAAACGAAUAUGGGAGAAAAAUAAAAAAUCGUAGGAUACUGAAAGUAGUAAGGACCAGUCUCAAUUGACAUCCGCGAGGCCUCAUAAUGCCCUUUUGACAGAUUCUUGAACAAAAGUUUUGCUUGCUGCUUAUAGAAAUCAGCAUCUUUCUGAUCGCGACCAUCAUCUAACCCUUCCGCCAAUGGAAGACCAUCGGUGAUUCGUGCUAUCAUCGUUAGUUUCACCAUUUUACCCACAAAACGGCUCACUCUGCAGUAGACGAUCUUCGGAAGCCACCUACAAUAAGACAACGGCAGCCUAAGUUAUUAAACAAGUAAAAUAGUCCAUUAUGUAGCCAUUCAAAUUGAGAAAAUAGCAACUAGACUUGGUAUCUUAAGAUAUCACGGCCAGCUAAUUUUCUUGGUCAAGUCAAAUUAUUAUCAGUUGCUCUGUUGGAUGGAAAGAAUGGGAAAGAAAAUAGGAGAAUCAAUUUUUCUCAUUCGGGUAGAAAUUUUAGGGGGAGAGAAAAGAAAGGGACAGAAAUCCUCAUUUUCCUUUUUUCCAAAGUGGAAAAGAAGGGAGAAAAGAAAAACUCCAUACAAGCUAACUUUCUCUCAACCGACAAAAGUAUGACUCAUAGUUUGAGCGUGAAUUUCUUAAGUGCCAUUAAAAUUAGAAAAAACAGGUUGACAUAUAAUCAUAUAUUCAGACAGUCUGACAUGUGAUAACAGAAAGGGAUACUUGUGAAUGUGGUUUUACAGUAAGAGAACAACGUCCAGGUAAACUCAUUAAUUACAAUGAUACAUAUCCAUAUACUUUAAAAGUCGAAGAGUCAACAGAAGAUCGCCAAAAUGGCUUACGUUGAGCAACAAAAAAAAACUAUCAUCAACUGACUAUUUGUAGGAGUAAAUUCAAAUGCUGACCAAUUAAUAAAAUAUUGUCCAUGGAUUAAACCUAAAAUUGACUAAAAUAAUCUGUUCCUAACUCUAGAUCUAUAUCUGUAAUGUAUUUAAGUAUGAAAUUGAUUGCAUGAGACUGAUCGAAUUUCAAAUGUCAAAGUAGUUAGAGCUAACAAAGCUCCAUUUCCUAGUCUCACUGCCCAAAAAUUACAGUUACUCCUUUAAAAGAAGGUGAUCCAGAUGCACCGUCCAACAAAUUUCAAGUCACUUCAUGUGACAGAUUUCAGAAAAUGGUAAAAAGAAUUAUUCAUUGUUCUACUAUUGUAAUCAUUGCAAUUAGUCAUAUUCGAGCAAAGUUAGUGAAAACUGAAAAAUGUUUUUGCAAGAAUUAUUCAUGUAGAUUGUGUCGUGUAAAGAUUUUCUUAGCAGACUAGUUAGACCAUUUUCUUUCUAUCUUCUCUUUUCUAACCAUAGGGAACUACCAGAAAACUCAGAAAACAUGAGUUAUAUGGCUGAUAAGAAAAUAGUAGGUAAUAAUCAAUCAUGUAUUACAAUAUAUUUCUGUUUGAGUUGCCAAAUAUUGGUAAUCAACCAAGUAACUCAUUUUCAUCGAGAAACAAGCACAAAUUCUUACAACAAGUAUCACGUGAUGAUACAAUUUUGAUGCCAUUGAUUCAUUCAGGCUCAAUUGUUAACAGGUUGGAACUUGAAUACUGUAAUAGGAGAAAAUUCUUCUGAUUUGCCGAUUUUUCCGAAACCCUAGCUUGUGACCUAAUAAAAUUAGCCCAAGAAACCUUCAAAUCCUGAACCCUAGAACCUCCCCAAGCCCUAAAUUACAACAAAUUCAUAAACAAAUGAAACAUGCAGCGAAGAUCAACGGAUCGACCAAAUCAAACAAGCAAAACCGACGAAUUCGUGAUCGAUCUUCGAGAUCUAACAAAACUGAUCAAGAAUUACACCAAAGAACACAUCAAAUCGAACAAUCGCACAAAGAACGGUUACGAAUCGGGAGAAAAAAAGAGAUUACGGUAGAGUCGGUGCUUACGGGAGAGGAACCAAUCCGAGGUUGGCGAUCGCCGAUCUUCGCAGGCUCCGAAAAGAUCCGUGCGCUCGGCGAAGACGACGAGAUGAGGGCGAGGGCGAGGGCGAGGGCGAAGGCAAAGAGGGAGAGAGAGAGAGAGAGAGAGGAAGAGGGAGAGGGAGAGAAAUGGAGAAUGGAGAAACGCUUUUUGUUGGCCUAAACACGAAGGUAUUAAUAGGAUUAUAGGAAUUGUAAAAUGUAUGGAUAAUCCCUGUACUAUCCUCAUAUUACGAUGUAAUUUCCGUACAUUUGUUUUAAAACAAUUUAGCUCAUAAAUUUUUAUAUCUUGCACUUUAGUCCCUUAUUAAGCAAUUUUUUGGUUCUUGUAGAAUAAUUAAUUUAAAUUUCUCCUUCGCUAAAUGACAUUUCGUUAAAUUUAUUUAACCAAGAUCAAAAUGAUUAUUUUACAAAAGUUCACAAUAUUUUAUUAACAGCAAAUGAACAAAAACAAAAAUUUUAAAAAUAUGGUGUUAAAUGAAAAGCUUAGCAAUAAUACUACGGACUAAGGGUUAUUUUAAAAUGUACUCUUCAAUUUUAAUUUUGUUGACUAAAACUCCCCCAGCUUAAGUUUUUUUCUUAAAGAAAAAUAGUAAUUUCAAUUAUUAAUCUUAAAAUUUUAUUAAAUUUAAUAACUCUAUUCACUAUUUGUUUUUAAUCGUUAAUGUAACCUAUAGUUUUAUUUCCUGAAAGUAAUUAAAACAGCUUAGGUUAAACAGAAUAUUUGUUGAAUUUAAUAAAUUUUUCAAAUUCAGUGAUUGCAUUAUUGAAAUAAAAAAAAAGUACAUAAGUGUAAAUUAAAAAAAGAAAGAGACCUCUUUCAAAAAAAAGCAAUAACGUUGAGUUUUAGUUUACUUGUGCCCUUGCCGUUAUGUAAAUUUUAUUCUAACUUAAUUUUACUGGCCAUUUAAAAAAUAAAUGAUCUAAUAAAAAAUAAAACGAUAAUUUUAUAGUAAAGUAAUAUUGUUAAAAUUAUUUUAUACAUUUUUGUAAUAAAAAAAUCUUAAAUUCGAUAUUAUUAUCCUUAUUUAAUAAUUACUACAAACUCUAGGUUUGAGAAACCAAAAUCGAAUAUAAAUCUUACAAUUUAUCCAUACAAUAAUCAAUAUUUUCAUGCUAAUCUUAUUAAAUUUUUAAUAAUAUUAAAAAUAUAAAUAAAAUUUUAAUAUUUUGAUGAGCGGGUAUAAUGUUUACACUUCAUUUUUAGAUAUACUACACAAAGAACUCUCCAAAAAUAUUCAAAUCGCAUGACAUUCUCAAUUUGUUAAAUUUAAAUUCUUUUUUGAGAUAGAACAUUUUUAAUUAAAUUUAAAUUUAUUUUUUAGAGGAGUUAGCAUGCUAUCUUUUUUGUUUAUUUAUUUUUUAAAAAAUAUAUUUAGUUGAAAAUAAAGAAACUAUUCUUUAACCUUAAGCUUUGGAUUCAAUUUUAAUUCAUUUGCCAAUUUUUCUAAGAACAAUUGAUUAAAUUUUUUUUGUUUUUUUAGAAUGGUAACAUAUCUACAUUUUAUUUAUUUAUUUAUUUUAAAAUAAAUUUAGCUAAAAAUAAAUUUACAGGAGUGGUUGGUGAAUAAAAAUUCUGUAGUAGAAACGAAUUAAAGGUGAAAGUGGAAGAAGAGGACGCGUUCUCGUAUCCGUUGCGGAGGUCCACGAAAUGGUGGAGGAGUGUCGGAGAGAAAAAUAAGAGAGUCGCAGUGCGAUCUCAAUGGGAUCAGCGAGUCAGGAGGCGCGAGGAGGACAGGGUGUGCGCUAGCCGGCGAAGGCGUAGCAAGCAACAAGGCACCAUCCACCACCUUUUUCGGAAGAAUAGAAAAAAGAAUGAGAUAAAAAAAAAAAAAAGAGAAAGAAAUAAAGGUAUUUUUCUUAGUUUCUAAAAAUUCAUAUCAAAUCUGUAAAUCUAAAAUGAUGACCCAUAUUUGCAAUUUUAAAACUCAUAAAUUUUUUGUGCAAAUUGACUAUAAUAUAAAUAAAUUUUAAUUUUUUUGAUUCGUAGGUCUACCUUUGCAUCCUAUUUUUUAUUAUACUACGGAAAAAACUUUUUAAAAAUUCUGAACACAUUUUUUUUUAUUUUAAGUUUAAAUUUUUUUUAGAGAAAAUAUUAUUUUUUAAUCAAUUUUUAAAUUUACUUUUUUAAGAAUUUUUUUGAAAUUAAUUUAAAUUUAACUUUUUUAUAGAGAAAGAUUGAAUGCAUUUAUUUUUUUCUUUUAAAAGAAAUAGCCGUACCAUUUUUUUAUUAUUUUUUAAAAUAAAUUUAAGGCCAAUUUGCAUAAAAAAUCCACUUAUUUUGGACUUUUGCAAAACCGGGCCACCUUUUUCGUUUUUGCAGAUUCGGUCCGCUUUUUCAGCAAACUGACCAAAGUAACCCUUAUUACUUUUUCUCUUUCCCUUUCUCUCUCCUCUUCGUUUCUGUCGUUCUUUUUUUUUUUCUCCGAAAAAAAAAAGGCGGAUCGGACCGUCGCCCUCGCCUCUCACCUCCUUUCACCGUUGCCUCCCUCCUCACCCUCCUCAUCACCGCCCACACCCCUCCUCCCCCCCGCCUGCCGCCGAGUCCACCCCACCGUCGUCUCCGUCGCCGUCGGCGAGCCACGGCAUGGCCGGCGGCGGCCCCAUGGCCGUCGUCACCGUCGUUUCCGUCGCUGAGCCCCUCGUCCGCCACCGCGGUCGUCGUCGCUGUCGGCGGCGCGGCGGAGGAAAAGGGCUGCGGAGUUCGUCGCGCGGCGUUGGAGCGGAGCGACCCGUUUUGGCGCCCGCCGCGCCGUCGACGCGGUCCGGCGUCGGCCUGCUGCCACUCGGCCAUCGCGCAAGGCCGGCCGGACCUCAUCUAGCUGCUGCUGGAGUUCGGCGCCAUCAUCGAGCCUCGGCGCGGGCGACAACGCCGCUUGAGGCGUCGGCGCGGCGGGGAGGCGCUGAUCGCGGGCUGCUCCUGGCGUGGGGCGCAGCCGCGGUGGCGGCGCUGUCGGCGGCGGGCGGUGACGCGGAGCGGCGGCGGGGGGCCGCAGGGCGCCCCAGGCGCGCGUGCGUGCGGUGCUUCUUCCUUCUUCUUCAUAGUGUAAUGGUGCACUAUUACACAUUAUAGCUGUAAUUUUCUUGAGGUAGGUGUAAUGGAUGCAAUGAUGCACUUACACAAUUAAUGAGGCGUGCUGGCUUGGCGACGGCAACCGAGACGACGGUGACGGCGACGGAGACGAUGGGGGGUGACGGAGGCUCAGCAAGGGAGGUGACGAGGCGAUUGGAGGGUGACGAGCGCGGUCGGUAAGGGGCGGACGUGGGCUCGGCGACGGCGACGGCGACGGAGACGACAGUGGGGUGGGCUUGGCGGCGGCGGCGGGGAGAGGAGAAGGGGUCGGCGGCAGACUUCGCGUGAAGAGGGAGACGAUCGGGGACUCCUCGACUUGAGCUUGUACGACGGAGCUUGCUCCGCCCCUGCAACUUCGGUGACGACGCGGCACGGGUUCGGCUUGUGGAGGCGGAGGAGGAGGACGCGGAGCUUCGCGGCGGGCUUGCGAAGGGCGACGGGGAGGUGAGGAGGGGUUAGGAGGAGAGAGAAAGAUGAGAGAGAAAGAGGAGCGAGACGACGGUGGGGGGCUGGCUCGGCGGUGGCGGCGGGGAGAGGAGGAGGAGUUCGGCUUGCGGGGAGGCGAGAGGGGCUCGCGGCGGGCUCGAAAAAGAACGAAAAAAAAAAAAAAAGAACGGAAAGAACGAAGAGGAGAGAGAAAGAGGAAGAGAAAAAGUAAUAAGGGUAUUUUUUGGUCAGUUUACUGAAAAAACGGACCGAAUCUGCAAAAAACGAAAAAAAGUGCGCCGAUUUUGCAAAAGCCCAAAAUAAGUGAAUUUUUUAUGCAAAAGCGCUAAAUUUAAUUAGAAAUAUAAAAAAUUUAAUUUUAAAUUUUAAAUCUCAAAUAAUCUAUUUCUUAUAUUAUAAGCAAAUAAGUUUGUUGGUUUCGUCUCACCCCCUCUUUGUCGGUAAGUAUGUGUAAUUACGAUUAUACCCUCAUUUAUUUAUUAUAAAAAUUAUUGAAAUUGAGAUUAAAUUUGAAUAUAUAUUAUAAAUUGUUCGAUUAAUUAUUAAAAGAAUUAGUCAAUAUUAAAAAAUUUUGAAUGCGUUGGAAUUUUAACUUUUAAUUUCUAAUUUGUGUAAAUCAAACUUAAAUUUAAAUUGUGCCCUCAAUUAUUUUUUGGGGUAAGCUUCAAAUAGGCCCCUAUGAUUUAGCUUUAUUUAUAUUUUGUCAUCUGUGGUUCAAAAGGUUUCACUUUAAUUUUCUGUGACUUAACUUUUAUUUAUCAAAAAAUUCUAUAUAAAUUAGAGAAAACAAAGUAACAAAAAUUUUAAUGAGUCACAUUAAAGGAAAAAUAAAAUAUACGCUAAACUAUAAAUGGGCAAGGUGCAACUUUUCGAACUAUAGAAUGAUAAAUAAAAUAAAGCUAAAUUAUAGAGAGGAACAAUGAAACUUUUUAAACCAUAAUGGUCGCAAAUUGGGGGUGUGUAUAAAAUUUAUAUUCGUAAAAUUUAAUUAAACAGAAAUGAUUGAAACAUAUAGGAGGUUUUAUACAGAUUUGUGUAUAUUUCUCUAAAAUACUAUAGUUUUAAAAUAUAUUUUUUAUGCAUCAAUCACAUUUAAAAUCAGCAGCGUUAACUUUUAAAGUUCAUUUGUUAGGUAUAUAUAAAAUUUAUAAUUUUUUUAUGGAUGGAUUAUUUAAUUGUGUAGAUUAUAGGGUUUGAAUUUAAAUUUCAAAAUUUUAAAAUUCAAUUAGAAAGCCUAUAGUGUAUAUAUCAAGUUAUUGGCCUUCAAGUGAAUUGAAGAUGAAAAGCACCUAUUUUUUCUACAAGUGAAUAAUUUAACGAGUUUUCAAUUAAUAGCGAAAUUAUAAGAUUAUUAAUUUUCCUCUUUAUAAUUGAUCUUUUCAUCUUCCACUUGAAAUAUUAAAGAAAUAAAUAAAAUUGGUCCUUAACUAUAAAUUUUUUAUAAACUGAAAUUGGCUUCUAUGGUUAAGCUCAUUUUCACCUAUGUGGUUAAAAGUUUCACUUUAAAAUUUUGAAACUUAAAUUUUAUUUUACCAAAAAAUUCUAUAUGAAUUAGGGGUGGCCAAAUCAAAGUUUUUAAUAAAGCUCAUUAGAGGAUUGGCUAAAGUGAAAAUGCACUAAGUUUAAGAAGACAAGUGUAACUUUUUGAACCAUUGGAUAGCAAAAUGAAAAUAAGUUAAACACAGGGAAAGUAAAGUGACAUUAUUUGAAACACAAGAUCGCAAAUUAGGGGUGCAUUUAACAUUUGAUAUUCUUAAAAUUUAAUUUAACAUAGAUGAUCUCAACAAUAUAGGAGAUCUCUAUAUAAGAUUUGUAUACAAUCUCUAAAAUAUUACAAUUAAAAAAAAAUCUAAUUCUUUAUGAAAUAUUAUAAUUAAAAAAUAUUAAUCUUUCGCGUCUGGAAAAAUCAGCAAUGUUUUGUUUCUAAAGUUAAUUAUAUUAGGUAUAAAACAUUGUAAUUUUUAGAUGAUCUUUUAAUGGUGUAGAUUAUGUUGGUUUGAUUUAAAUUUUAAAAUUUUUAAAAAUCAAUUAGAAUUGAACUUUAUAUUAGUUCUUGAGCACUUCUUUUUCUUUCACAUACACAUCAUAAUAAUACUUGGCCUUUAAAUAACGUAGAAAAUGAAGAGCCACCUAUCUCCUAAAAGUGAGUAAUUUAAGGGAGUUUUUCAUUUUAAUAGAGGAAUUAAUAAGUUUAUCAUUUUUUUUUUUAUAACGAAUCUUUCAUCUUCCUUCUAAAUAAUAAAAUGAUGAUUCUAUUGUUAGUUUUCUCUAUCUUAUAAAGAUCACUAAGUUUUUUCAACCAUUUGAAUUCCACUACCAAUAGAUUAUAUUAGUAUUAAUUAAUAUAUUUAUAAUUUUUUAUUAAUUUAUUGAGUAGUCAAUAUUGUCAUAGGUAUGACAUCAAUUGGACCUUCAAUUUGGAAGAAAUAAGAUUGUGCAUCAUCCUCUAAAUUUGGAAGAAUGCUAUAAUCUUGGUAAAUGAUAAAAUUUUUUAAAUUAUUUAAUUUGUUAUUUUAUAAUAUAUUAAUUUCAUAUUGCUUUGUUUAUUCUUUAUUUUUUUACACUUUAUUUAUUUAUUUCUCCAUGCUUAUGUGAUAGAAAUCAUAUCGACAGUGUUUCAAAGAAUCUUUUUUUAAUUUGUCAUUGAAUAGGUUGCAUAGUAAUAUUGUUUCACUUAAUGAAUUAAUUGAUUUUUUCAUUUUAAUAUGAAACCUUUUGAGUAAGAUAAAUUGUAUUGAUAAUUGCUAUAUAUAAUCAUUUUUUUGUCUAUAUCAUUCAUUUUUUAAUAUCUUGAAUUGCAAUUAAAUGUAUAAUAAAAUAAUAAUAAAAAUAUUAAAUCAUGAUUGUGUAAUUUAUAAGUAAAUUAAUUAGAUAUUUUUAACCAUUUUUUAGACAUACUAUUAUUUUUUAUUUUUAUGAAAUUAAAUUUAUUUUCUUCACAUGGCUUUUAGUUCUUAAAUUUUUUUCAAUUAAUUGUUAUCUUUAUUAUUGGAAUGUCACUUUUUUAUAAAGAAUAUGAAAAGUUAUUGAAUUGCAAAACAAUGGAUGUUGAGAGAUAAAAAUAAAAUACUAAUUCUAAAUUUAAACAAUAUAUAUAGCUUGCAGUUAUAAUCAUAAUCACAUCUCUUUUUUAUAAUAUAUAAUAACAAAAUUUAGCAAUUGGAGAGUUGUUAGAAAGUCAAUACUUAUAAAUUUUUAAAGUGACGUAAUCGAAAGAGAAUCAAUUUGUUCAGCAAAAGUCAAGAUUUGAAAGAUUCUCUUAAACAGAUGAAUAUACUUCAAGUGUGAAUCUUAACAAUUAAUAAAUUUUUUUUUUUCGUAAAUGGAAUGAUCACCAAUUAAAAAGAUGAAAAAUAUAUUACGAAUUGGUUUUCAUAACAUACUUUAUCUUCAAAGUCUCAAAAAUUUUUUUAUAUUGGUCAAAUUUUUAUAUAUUUAAUUAUUUACAAGUCACUUUAAUACGUAGUGUCCAACUCUUUAUGUUUAAUUUUAAAUUAAAAUUGCUUCUUUCUCAUUUGAUUUUAUUUUUAUAAUUAAUAAUUAAUAGUGUUUUAAUUGUAAUUAUAAAAAAUUAUCUGACUUAUUUCAUUCUAAAAUAGUCUUUCAGCUCUUUUGUUUCUUUAGAUUGUCAUCUUAAACUUUUUUUUAAUUUAAGUUUUUAAUAUAUAGUAAAGUGAAAAUUUUAUCAAAUAAAUAGUUGAAUUAGCUAUUACUGUUAAUAACUAAUAUCAUUCUUAACUAUGAACUAAAGUUAAGAAAAAAAAAACUAUUAUUUAGUUUGAUCAUCAUAGAAAUCUCAAAAUUACAUUAUAUACACAAAUUUAAAAUUUAUUUAUUUUAAAAAUAAUUUAUAUUUUUUUUAUUUUAAAUUUAGUUUAUAACACGUUGCCAGACUGCAACGUUAUGUAGACUAGUAAUUUAAAAUUCUUUACCACUCGCCUAGCAACAAGGAUAUAAAACCCGGGUGCUAUAAAACCGAACCGAAUACGGAUGCUGUACUUCUACUUCCGAAAACUAUGGAGAAGCGACUCCGCCGCCGCCGCGGCGGCGACGACGACGACGACGACGACGCCGACGCGGUGGAGUCGUGGGCGGAGCUCGUCCUCUCCUACCUCUCGCCGCGCGACCUCGCCGCCGCCGCCGCCACCUGCACAGCGCUCCGCCGCGCCGCGGCGGUAGUCGCCGCGUGCCGCGCCGCCGACGCCACCGGGGGCCGAGAGCCCCGCCCCGUCCCCUUCCUCAACCCCGUCGACUCCCAACCGUACGCCUUCUUCAUCUACUUCUCGUCCUCCUCUUCCUCCUCGUCGAACCCUUUCCCGGACGCCUCGGGAUGCGAUUGCGACGAUUGCGCCAUCGAGUGCCCGUGUCGGAGACCUGAUCUAGGGUUUCAAUCGGAGAUCAUGACGGAGUGCGGCGCGGGUUGCGCGUGCGGGGUCGAGUGUGGGAAUCGGGCGACGCAGAGAGGGGUUUCGGUGCGAUUGAAGAUCAUUAAGGGGCCGAAGAAGGGGUGGGGGCUUCACGCGGAUCAGUUGCUGAGGAGAGGGGAGUUUGUUUGUGAAUAUGUCGGUGAGAAAUUCGUAAUUCUUUUCUUUUCCUUCAUCUUAGUUUGAUUUAUUUGCUCUUAAUCGCUAUUGAUUCUCUUUUUACAAGUAAAUUGUCAUACAAAGCUAUAAUGACAGGGUUUAAAAAAAAAAAAAAAAAAAAACAAAGAUGCACGUGUGGAGUAAAUUUUGGAUCCUAUUAUAACUGAUUCUUAGAAUUCUAUAAUAUGUUUUCCUCUGAAUCAGGUUCAAUUGAGUUGUAAAUGCUAACUCGUGGCCACACUUAUUGAAAAUAGGACAUUAUUUGGAUCCAUUUUUAUAGUUAUCAAUCAUUUGUUCUUUCAAUUGGGUUCUGAUAAUAAAAGAGCUAAAUUUUUUAUGGUGAUAGCAAAUUCAUUGAGAUCCAGUGAGUUUUCACGUUAUGUCAGUAUCGCAGCUCUUUUUAAUCAGUUAUCCGAACAAGUAUUUGAUUUGCUAUUGGAUUUCUCGUGCGGCCCAGUUGAUUAAGGACCUGGUUGGUCGAGCUUCUGAAACCACCUCUGUACUUCGCGAAACACCGAUUAGAUGUUCAGCAAACAAAAUUCCUUAGGUUUUGCUGUGCAAGAAGGUUGAAAUGAGUUUCUAACCACUAUAGCGAAAAGCUCUAAUUGGGGCCUUGUUUGGUCACACUUCCUCAUUUUUGUUGAAUUUUAGAUACUAAAAUUCUAUGCGAUGGAGAGGACCAGUAGACAUCAUAUUGUUUGCAAUCUACACAACUAUGGGUCUUGUUUCUCAACAAAAGACAAAAAUUUUCACUGCUGUAUUUAUUUAUUUAUUUUUUUUCCAGAAAAAGACGAGUUUGCAAGCUAAUGAACUCUAGCAAGAAUAGAGAAAGUCCAUCAGUCUCUCCAUAGUAUAGUAUUUGAGUUUAAAAAGCAAAACAGUUGAAAUGUAACCAAAGGAGGUCAGAAGCUUGUGCUUCUUAGAGCUUCAAAAAGCUCUAUUCAAGUGGAACUUUUGAGGGGCUCCACCCAAAUGUGUCCCAAGGUUUUUCAAUAUCUAAUUCUUAAAAAUUGGUAAAUCAAUUGUUCUCCAGGUGAGUACUUGACGACGAAAGAAGCUAGAAAACGGCAGAAGCUGUAUGAUGAACUCGCAUCUGUUGGCAAACUCUCUCCUGCUCUCCUGGUCAUAAGAGAGCAUCUCCCUUCGGGAAAAGCAUGCCUGAGAGUGAAUAUUGAUGCUACCAGAAUUGGAAACGUUGCCCGCUUCAUUAACCACUCAUGCGAUGGUGGGAAUCUACUAUCCAUUUUGGUGAGAAACACAGGAUCACUGCUCCCGAGGCUCUGUUUCUUUGCUAAAAGGGAUAUAGUUGAAGGCGAAGAGCUCACCUUUAGUUAUGGGACUGCUAGUGUUAGGUCAAAUGGCCUGCCUUGUUUUUGUGGAAGCUCGUGUUGUUUGGGUGUGUUGCCUUCCGAAGAAACUUGAAUUUUUAUGCCCUUUUUAGUAUUCAAACUUGGAGGAAUUCUUGACAAGAAGUCAUUGAAUCUCAGUCAUAUUCAACUUUUAGGUCCUUUGCAACUAGUGGCAUAAAGAUUGCCAGGUAAACUCACUUAUUUUAUUGUAUCUAAAAAAUUUUAAUUGUUUUUAAGGGUUAAUUACAAAUUUUUAAUUUUGUCGUCGUAAUUUCAGUUAUUAAUAUACUUGCUCGUAAGUUUUUUCUUUAUGAUAAUUAAUCCCUUCUGUUGAUCUUAUAAAUGGAGAAGGAUGCCAUGGCAACACCAUACAUAAGAGCUUUCUUUUUUUUCCUGAGGAACAUCAUACUUAAGACUUUGGUUUGUGAAACUAGGGACUCUAGGAGCUUAAUUGUUGAAGAUGGAACUUUGAGGACUAAAUUGAAAUCAAUCAAACAUCGGGGACUAAGUUAUUGCAGUUGAAACUCUUAAGGCAAAAUGUAAAUCUGGUCAAACUUGAGGAUAUAUAUAUAUAUAUAUAUAUAUAUAUAUAUUAACCAUUUUAAUGUGUACUUUCAGACACCAUAAGUAUAAGUCUUCGCUAUCUAGAUUAGUGAUGCUGUAAGAAGCUCUUGCUAGUAAAUAUUAGAAUUUAUCUUAUUUUGUACUGCAGUAAAGUUCGGUCUUAUUAAAUAGCUUGUUUUAACCAUACAAGGAUUGUAGGCAACGGUUCGCUCAGCAAAUGAAAAGAUGAAGAUUAUCACAUUUGAUAUACUUCACCAUGAAAUGAUCAUUCACAUAUAUUGAAUCCGCCAUGCUAUAAUUUAGGCGUGCAUAUAACCUUUUCCAUCCUAAAUCAUAACCGUCAAUGAGAAUAACAAAAAGGAUACUGUUGGGCAAAAAGAUGUAAAUUAACAGUUGUCAAAUGAUAGAUAUUUAUUUCUUGGUUUUAACUUGAAAAAUCUCAUCAUUUCCCAAUUUCUUUUGAUAGGUUAAGGAUGUUGCAGUCGAGCUACGAGUUCAUUACUAGUUGACCUUUUACCAAAAUAUCUAAGAAUACUUCAUGCAUUAGCACCAGCAUGCUUGACCUAAUUUGUACAGUAAGCAUUUGAGCAAAAUUUUAUAAGCCAAAGUGAUUUACUAUAAGUACGAAUAUACAGAUAUACAUUAUAAUUUCUUGGUUUUGAUCCAAACAAGAGGUCUGAAUUUGCAUUUUUUGAGUCAUAGUAUUCUGAUAGUAAUGAGGUCUGUUCCCAAAAAAAAAAAUAGUAAUGAGGUUUGUUUGUGUAACACUUACUAAGACAAAGAUAAUCCGUAUUCUCUCUUCAAUUUACAAACUCAAAAUUAACCAGUUAAGCUGGUCUUUUCUAAAGGUUCUGCCACAUUUAUAUUUUGUACAGAUUAGAAAUGGUAGUUUUCUUGUUCUUUGUAUAUUACUAUUUGCAUUUUUUUGGUAGCCUUCUUUGGCUAUUUAUCAAAUAUCUUGCUUUUGUUUGUAAAACUAAACUUCUGUCAAGCUGCUUCGCUUCAUUGUGGUACCAAAACUUCGGACAGAUCAAUAAAAUGUGUACAACUAAGAGGCAGGUAAUUCAUUCCUGAUUGUUCUCUAAACAAAUUGUAUCCAAUUAGCGGGACUGACACGGACCAAUACAACAAAUGCCCAGUAUAUGAAAAAGCAACUAAUAUAUUUUCUCUGUGAGUUUUGAGGUUUCGAAUUAUUUCUUUUAUUCUAAUUUUGCAUUUUAAUAUCAGGUCACUUGUAAAUUAUCAAUAUGAAAGAAUUUGCUUCCAGUUACUCCUUGUGUAAUUAUUUGCUUUCACAGUUGUUGAAACCUGCCAGGUUUUGGCUUUCUUCUUCAUCAUCUUCAUCCUGCAAUGGUUUUGCGAGCUCGAGAACCCUAGAAGAGGGCUCAUUAUCAACAAUAUCCAAUGCCGAAAUUGGUAACCGGCUAGGGUUCAUCAAAUUGUUAGACAUCGAGGAGUUGUUGGAGUAGGCUGGUUGCAGUGCCGUGAAAUUCUGCGAGCUCUGGUGGGCCGUCGCCAGGGCCAACUUGCUGUUCAGAAGUUGAGAUUGGAUGAUCGAUAACUCGGCUUGAAGCAGCGUCACCUUGAAGAGGUAACAAAAAUGACAGUAAAAUAUAUAUAUUAUAUAUUCUUUUUAUUCAGGAAUGUGUUGUUGGUUGGUAUAUGUUCGAAAGCGAUUAAACAAACUGAUGCAUUAGUUAGAGAGAGGAUAAGAAGUGGAGCUUCUUGAUGAAGCCUUGCGCAUGCACAUUUUGCAUGAGUGAAUCCAUAAUUUCAUUAGCUCUCAUGCGGAAUGCAUGCUUCUCUCUCUAUGCAUGCUAUAUGUACACCCCUAAAAACGGUUUGUAUAUCUUAUACCCCAUCAUUCUAAAAUUUAAAAAUCUUAUAAAUUUUAGUAUUUUUAAGAAAAUGACAAGACAAGCGCCAGUUCUUGACCCUAGAAUGAGAGGAUGUAAGAUGUGCAUCGUUUUUUUGGGGUGUAUAGAUACCCACUGCUGUGAUCAUCACAGAAAGAUUUUGACAUUCCUCAUUUCCUCAUUGUCUAGUGUCACUAGGAUAAUGUGGCCGCCAGAAGCACCAUAUUUAUACUACCAAAGGAUUACAAAAAUUUUGAUACUAAAUUUUAUAGCAUGGGAGGAUGUAGUAAGCUUUUUUUUUUUUUUUUGGCAUCUUUUAUAGUGUGACCUUCUAACACUUUAGUUCGGAUAUAAGCAAGAACUAGCUAUUACAGGGAUAGGUACAAGUGUAGGGAUAAGAAAAAUAGCGUUGAGAUGAAAAUUAGAUUGUUCCCGGGGAUAAGAAAAAUAGCGUUUAGAUAGAUAAUAUGGAAUAAGAAAAAUAAUGGGUAGUUAUAUAUAGAAAAUGGAGGUGUUGGUGGGAAUAGUUAUACCAGCUUAUUUCAGGUACCUGAGAACUACUAUUCUCGGGUAAAAUAUUUGCCUUUGGAUAUAAAGGGGAUAAGGGGUUAUCCCUCCCCUUAUCCCUAAUCCAAACGGAACCUGAAAGAGUGAGAAGUUUGUAUAUGAUGGGCACAUUAGAAUUAAUAAUUAAUAAUUAGAUUUAAACCAUAUUGGGCACACUAAGAGCUUGUUUGGUUCAUCCAUUUUGGGUAUGAAAUGGGAAUUGGUUUGAUCAAAUCCGGUUAAUUUUGUUUGGUUCGCAUGAAUUGGUUUGGGAUUUCUAUUCCGGACUGAAAUGGGAAUGACCCAUUAGCCUUCAACUUGAUUCCGGUCUUCUAGCCCGGAUUGAGAUUUCAUUCCGGAAGGCCACUAAGUUUUCGAAGCUCAUGUGACCAUCUCACCCUCCUUCUCUUCACCCCUUUCUCAUCAAAAAAAAAAACCUAUCCCCUAUCCUCUCUCUAUCCCUAACCCACAUCAAUAAAAGUUUUUAAAAAUAAAUUUGAUAUUUUUUUUGAAAAACUUAUUAGAGAAUAGUAUUAUAUUUUUCAUAAAUUUUAAAUAAUAUAAAUUUAUAUUUGAAAGUAAAAUUAGUAUUAUAGUAUCCUAUAAUUUUUUUAAUUUAUACGAACCAAACAAUGAAAUGUAAAUAACUCAUUCCAAUUCCCAAUCCAUAAAUAAACCAAACAUUUUUGGGGAGUGGGCCAUUUUAAUUACUAUUUCAAUUUAUUCUCAUUCCAUUAUCCAUUCCAAUUUCACCCUUGAACCAAACAAGCUCUAAAAUUAAUAGGUAUGCUUAAAUAUUUUGGGCAUGCUAUAAUUAAUAACUGGAAUUAAAUAUUUUAGGCAUGUGGUUUGGGCCUAUUGACUUUAUUAGUGCUAAUAGGUUUGUUAUAUUUGGUAUUAGAGUCGGUUUACUAGUCGAAAGUGUGACGUGAUCUUUGCAUCAACCAGUGAACUUGGACUAUAUUUGUGUGAAUUGGGCCUAAAACUGGAGGAGUAUAUGACAUAUGACACCCAAAAAGUCUCAUGGUGGAUAAUGUGAGAGCACAACUGCACAAGGGACUUAUAUGUGCCAAAUACACUAGAAUUAUUAACUGAAUUUAAGUAUUUUGAGUUGAUGGUCCGGACCCAAGUAGUUAUUAGUGCUAAUAGGUUGUGUCAUUAUAUAUAGUAUAAAAAUGAUGCGUCUAACUAACAUACUACCAAACUAGGCUUAAAGCUUCUGAGAAGGGUUGUAAUAUUAUGGUGGAUAUAUUUGGAGAACUUCAUGCCAAACCAACUGCCUUCCAAUGUUAAGUAAGAACUAGUUUGGGGUUGGUAUCAAGCCUUUCAUAAUAAAGAUUUACGUGUGCUAACAAGUUUCCGAAUCGAUAAUUCAUAUAAUUAAAUAUAAUGUACAGUAUUUGAAAUAUAUAAUCAUUCAGAUAGAGCAUUUUAAAAAUAAUAAUUUAAACAGCCAGUAGAGAUGUUUGUUGCCUUAACGGUGUGGAAAAUUCUAAUUCAGUUGAAUAUAUACUUGAUACAUAUUAUGCUGAUUAGAAUUUUAAAGAAUUUUAUUUCUAUUUUUAUGAGGUUUUUAAAUUUUGAACCAUCUAUUAUUUUGUGAGUACCCAUGCCUAUAGGAAAGUAAAAUCUCACGUUACACAUGUAUUUUAUUAGCUGCACACUGCUUAUCGCGUGCGCACGACAUGACAUGCACCGUGCCGAGAACUGGGGACUUGCCUGGUGUUGGAGGGCGAGGAUGGUGGAGACGCAGCCGUAGACGGGGUCGGCGAGGCGGGCCUGGGCCUCGUAGCAGAUGGUGAGCAUGGCGUCGCGGUGCCGCGCGGGGGGCACCUGCCCGGUCAGCAGCUUCGCCACGUUGCUCGCCCCGAACACCUUGUGCACCGCCGCGAACCUCGCCGCCGACGACGAAGCACCCCCGCUCUGCUGCUGCUGCUCCCCACCUCCGAAGUGCGGCGCGAAAACGCACCCCGCCGCGCACCGCCGCCGCAGGAACUUGCACGCCCCGCACGGCUCCCUCCUCUCCUCUCCCCCUCCUGCGAUGCCGUUUCCGCUGACGCAGCUGCUGCUGCUGCUGCUGUUGCUGCUGCUUCUGCUUCUGCUUCUGCUUGAGCAGCUGCGUUUGGCGUCCAUGGGGUUAGGGAGGGGGUGUGGGGUUGGGCUUGAGAUCGAUGACGGUACGAAUGGGAAAUGCGAGGAAGUGUGACGACGCUCUCUCCGCGUUCAUCUGUGUGAAUCUUUAUAGCGCGGGUGGAAAAAUGUUAGGAGGGCCCUGAAGUAUGCGCUAUUUUAAAAGUGCGCCCUAUUUUUUUUUUUUUGUUUUCUGUGAGACAAUUCUUUAUUAAAAGUUUUAGUAAACUCAGUAAAAAAUUUAUCAGCUAAAAACAUUUUAGAACGGCAAAAUUCAAGUAAAUGAUCAUUAACAAAAAGCAUUAGCGCGGAUCUAUUUUAAAGUGGCCUACAACUAAAGUAUCAUUUGGUUCGGGUAUAAGUAAAAAUUAUCUAUUUUAGGGACAGGUAUAAGUAAAAAUUAGAUUAAUUUUGCGUUUGAAUUAUUUUCGAAAAUAAGAAAAAUAGCGUUUGGAUAGAUAAGAUAGAAUAAAAAAAAUAGGGAACAGUUAUAAAUAAAAAAUAAUGAUAUUUUUCUUUUUAUUAUAUUUGAAUUAAAAUAUUUAAAAUUUAAAUUUAAAUUUAAAUAUAUAUAACUCUUAAAUUUUAAAAAUACAAAAUUUAAAUUUAAAAUUUUAAAUCUCAAAUUCAAAAUUUUAAAAUUUUAAAUUUUAAAUUUUAAAUUUUAAAUUUUGAAAAAUAUAUUUCAAACUUCAAAUUUAAAAUUCAAAAUUUUAAAUUUUAUAUUUCAAACUUUAAAUUUAAGAUCAAAUUUAAUUCAUUUUAUAAUUUUAAUAAAGUUUGAAAUUAAACAUUGGAAUAGCGGUAUUCCACCAACACGGUGGAAUAAUAAAUUCCAAGCUAUUCUGGAAUAGCGGGAAAUAGUAAGGUUUAAGCGGAAUAAAAUAUUUCGGCCAAAAAUUAUCCUGUUUGGUGGAACAGCGGGAAUAAUUUUUAUUAUUUUUAAAAAUUAUUUCGUUUGGUGGAACAGCGGGAAUAACUUUCGUUAUCCCCGCUUAUAUCUGGACAGGUGUCUUCCCGUUAGUGACAUGUGAGGUGGGCCCACAAAGCCGGACGAAUUAGAUUUUGCCACGUCACACAAUGCGAGGGGAGAUACUGUUUUGCCACGUCAGACGAAAAGAACACAAGAUUUAUGCGAAGCGUCCCACGGGGUUUUCCCAGUUCACGCAAGAGAGGGUGAUGAGGCUUUAUUGGGAAAAAAAAAUAAAAAUAAAAGGAGAUAAAGGUAUGGCAAGGGUCUUUUUGGUUUCGGAUAAGCAGUUUUUUUUAAAAAAAUUCGUUUAGUCCUUAAGGAAAAAAAAAAAACUUUUUCAAAAUUUUAUUUUUCAGAUUGUAUAAAAGAACUACUAUUUUUUACUUUUAAAAUUUUUAUUCGGAAAUAAAAAUUGUGGUAAUUUUAAUUUUAUUUUACACUAAAAUCUACUUUUAAUAUGGUAAUAAAGUUAUAUCUUCUAAAAUCCCCAUGGUGGUAGAGUGUCCAUAAAAAAAUAAUACAAUUCUAUGUUGUGCCAUCCUAUGGUUUGCAGAAAAUAUAUUAUAUUUUCUAAUUUAAUAAAUAGUUAAAUAAUAAUUUUUUAAAUGAUAUGGGUGCUGAUCUUUAAUUUGUUAAGCCUUGUGUUACCAAAAAUACCUACUUUUAUGCUUCAGAAAAUAUACAAAAAAAAAACCAAAAAUGGUAACCACAGUUUUAUACCUCCCUCUUUUAACUCAUUCAAAACAAAGAAACCAAAAAUGGUAACCACAGUUUUAUACCUCCCUCUUUUAACUCAUUCAAAACACAAAUCAAAAGUCGUUUUUCAGAAAAACGGGUCACAUGCUAUGUAUAGGAGGGGUGCCAACGAGCCGAACACGAGCGAGCUGGGAUCUGCUCGUGUUCGGCUCAUUUCAUAAACAAGCCGAACACGAGCUGACCCAUAAAUAAUAAGUUAAAAAAAUUAUAAAAGAUAGGUAUAUAAAAUAAAUUUAUAAGAUCUUUUCCAUUACACUUCGAACUAAUGGUUGAAAUUUUAUAUAUAAAUAAACUAUUUUAUCAUUGAGUUGCUCUUUAUAUUUAGGUUGGGUUAAAAAUCAUAUAAUAAAAAUCUAUAUUACAUACAUAUAUAACUAUUUAUUUAUAUAUAUAAAUAUAGAAUAUAUGUAUUUGAGUUAUUAUUGAGUCGAGCUCGUAUUAUUGAGUCAAACACGAACGAACGAGCUGACGCAGGUCGUUCAGCUUGUUUAUUAAACGAAUUGAAAAUUUUAGCUCAUGCCCGGCUCAUUUACUGAACGAGCAAUUCGAUCUUGAAUUCAUUUCGAGCCGAGCACAAGCUCGUGAGCUAGAUUGCCACCCCUACGAACAGGACAUUUUGAAAGCAAGCUUUUCAAUGCCAACAAAUAAAAAUGUCCACCAACUGAAGUACGUGCAUGAACAGUUCAUCACUAAAUUGAAACAUUGCAAAAAGUUAAAGAGGUUACCAUACAUUCUAUAAGAUAUUGAAAAUUUCACUGUUUAAGUGUUUUCUUUUUACCCUUCAAGGAAUAACUUAACUACAACAGUAUCAGAAAUUAGACAGGUGCAACAACUCUCACAAAAAAUACAGUUUUAUGGAAAAUACAUCUGAUUUAAGAAGAAAGAUUGAAGCAGAAGAAAUAGACGGCAAAAAUUGCCGAUAUAAUCCUUAGUUUAGAGACGUUUGUUGUCGACCAUCUGGGAUUGAAAAGAGAACGAUCGGCUUCGAGGGUCGGAGGAAUGGGACGUCGCACCGGAAAUAGCCCUUCCUUUCGAGCUGUAUUAUCUCUCCACGCUUCAGAUUGCGCAUGUUGGAGUCCCCAAGAGCCGCAGUUUCCUUUCGCGUGCACGGAUUUAGGUUGUCGAGGAAGUCCUCCCCUUCUUCGAGCUGUUUUUAGUUUUUACAUCCAUAGCAACCAAUUUAUCACAUAUACUGUAAGUGAUUACAUAAAAGGAAGAAACUUCAUCUGUGACAAGUUAUUCAAGGGAGAAGGGAUAAAAUGGCGAGACAUCAGGUACUUUUUGAUGGUUGAGAAAGGAAUUGCAGUAUAUAAGAAAGUGCAGAGAUCAAAGUGUCUAAAUUAAACGUUUCGACACAGGGUUGCAAUAUCGGGACAGUUUAGGUAUUACAUGCACAUUUUACGCUAGUUUCUGUAAUACCCAAUUUGAAUGAGAAUAAGAUCCAUCAAAAUAACCAUCUUUUAACUGCCGAUCGACAACUUAAUUUUAAUUAACCUUUAAUGCAAUAGAGGGUACAGCAUGCAAAGCCUGGGUUUUACGAGUCGACCUUAACUGUUCACAUCAUGGUAUCUAGCUACAAAACAACAAAUCCUAAUUAUACACAUCUACGGUUGGAGAUUGUGAUCUGUUAAGUGGUGUUCUAUAUAUACUACCAGGAGAUGACCAUCAUUUAACGUAAAUCCUGGAAUUCUCAGAAGCUUAUAGCGAAUGAACCAAUAUUCUAAGCUAGCAAAGAAACAAUCGACGGAACGCAGCUAUGCUUUAAACAUUGGGCUCAUAGCACCAAAUCGAUAGUUUGUGUUUUUUUCUUCUUUUUGGCAUAUAUUCCCUGCAAUUAUGUGAAGUGCAACUACCCCUCUAAAGUUCGUAUUUGCCAGUGUACCGGUAAAAAACUUGCUUAUUAUCAUCCAUGCUCCUACUACAUUUAUAUCUCUGCAAAAGCUGCUUUUGCAUAUUCCCCUGUAGAGACAUGAAUGCAAAAAAAAAAAGAUCCUCUGAGGCAUGAGGAUGCAAAUACCAAUUUUAGGUAUAUGCACAAUUUCGCAUAUGCGCAGGAGUGUAUAUAUCAUAAAUGGUUUUAGUUAACAAAUGAGUACUGUGUCGUCAAGGUAGUGCUAAAUUAUAAAUUGCGAUGAUUACCAACUUACCUUUUUCUUCCUUAUUAAGUAGUCAAAUUCAACCAAAGAAAGGUGGACGAGCUCCUCCGUAUCAGGAAGCCAUGUUAGCUUCAACUUUGUCGUUUUAACAGAACCUUCAAGGUGUAACUCCCCAGUCAGAUGAGUGACAUUUCCAUUUUCCUUCUUGAUUUCUUUUAUAAUUGCAUUGCCCCAAUCCAUUAAUGUUACCUCCUCACCCUCUGAGAUAGAUGAAGCAUCACCAUAAUCUAACCAAAUUCUAUUUGUGAAAGUUGUAGCCUUUUUCCCAGCACCCUCAUAUUUUUUAUGCCGGGGUAUGAUCUGCACGAAGGGUUUUUCAGGACCAUUUGUUAGGGUCAAGAUAACACGCCGUUCUUCAAGCACAGCAGUAUGCCUCGGACAUAUUGGAUCAAUUAUUUUUUUAUUAAUUGUCCACAACUUGUCCCACUCCAUAAGAUUCAGAUUUUUUGAAGCACCCUAGAAAUCAAAUAAGAGAUAAUGUCAACCAAUGAAUCAUCGGACACCAUACAAUUCAAGAAAAUUGCUACCAGCCCACCCAAUUAUAGGGUGUACAUAUUACACCCCAUAAUCUUAGGGUUUAGAAACCGCUUUUGAGUUUAGUAUAUUAAAAAAAAAUGAUAAGCCGAGUGGCAAAUCCUAAGCAUAAAGAGAGCCCAGGGUGUAAAUCCUACACCUAUGUUAUAGGUGUACAGGUAGCAUUGCUCACUAUUCAAAUAGGUAAUAAUGUACUGACUUUACCGUAACUAUAAAAACUUUUCAAUUUAUUACCUAACCUUUAUUUCUGAUUUUAGUAAACCCCGUCAAAUUCUUGUUAGAACUAGACAGUUUCGGUCAUAACCAAAAAAAAAAAAAAAACACUAAAGAAUAUUGUCAGAAAAGUCAUAGGCUUUCAAGAACUUCGAAGUACCAUUAACUUCUGACAGCAAGGUAUGCAAAUCAAGUAUGCUAAGUUUAGGUAGUAAAAUCAAAAUUUUGAACUGUAAGUACUCAUUUCAAAACUGUGGUAUAAUUUAGGUAGGUCUGUCCAUUUUUGCCUCUCAAAUGAUAAAAAAUUAGCAACAUCACCUGUUGAAGAAUAAAUUGGAUCAGUGCCUCAAUUUUCAGGCCUCUUCGUACUAUCCCUUGUACGGUGGGGAAACGAGGAUCAUCCCAGCCAUCAACUUUGCCAUUUUGGACAAACCAAAGAAGCUUACGCUUACUUAAAAGGGUAUAAACCAUAUUCAAUCUACUAAAUUCAUAUAUUUGAACCUUCCUUAGUUCCAUAUCCUCGAGAAUCCGAUAAUAUUGUGCAUUUCGAUCAUGAUACUCGCUCGACCGCAAGGCAUGGGUUACACCUUCGAUGGCAUCAACAAAGGGGCAAGCAAAGUCAUACGUAGGAUAGACCUUGUACUUUGAACCAAUUCGGUGGUGAGGAACAAGAUUGCAACGGUAAUAAACAGGGUCCCGCAGAGAUUUAUUUGGGUCCUGCAUGUCCAAUUUACCCCUCACACAGCAUUGCAUACCCCUUUCUGUCCCCGCAACCAUCUCUUUCCACAGAGCCAAAUUCUCUUCGACGCUAUUAUUCCUGCAUUUUGAUUCAAUACCAUCCAUCCUCUCCUUCUGCAUUUGCUCACGAGGUGUGUCAUCAACAUACGCUUUUCCUUUUUUAAUCAAAUUUUCUGCCAUUUCCAUCAAUUGUGGGAAAUAAUCUGAUGUGUAAGUAACAGCAUCGUACUUAAUUCCUAAAGUCUCAAUAUCCUUUAAUAAAUUCUCCACAAACUCAUUGCUUUCUUUAGAAGGAUUUGUAUCAUCAAACCGAAUUAUUAAACGACCUUUAUACCUAUUUGCAAAGUAUUGAUUUAAAAGAGCAGCCUUUGAAUGACCAAUGUGGAGGUACCCACUAGGCUCGGGAGCGAAUCGCAAGCACACUUCUCCAACUUUUGCACCAGGAAGGUCUACUUCAAAAGCGGAAGCAGAAGGACUUUCUUUCGAAUUGACUGCUUUGUUUGCUUCAAUAUCCUUUGAAAUAAGAGAUGAAUUGUAAUUGGCUGCCCUAGGAUUAGAAGCAGGUGCCUUCCCUAACCCACGUUUCCCAACAUAUUGAGCUGUAACUUCAUUUAGAACUUCACCAUAUUCUGAUGCUAUACUGUUGAACCAACGAACAAGGUUUUGAUAUCUCUUUGAUUUCCUCAGGCUUUCCCAUCUCUGCCCGGUACCUAUAGUCAAGAGAACAUUGGUUUCCAAAUAAAAGGCAAAGGCUAAAAUGCACAUAAUCCCACCAAAUAUAGUGUAAUUCCCACUUUAACCCGUCAAUCAUUAAAGCGCACAGUUGACCCCCUAGAUAUAUAAAACUGCAAUUUAUCCACUUCUCAAGGGUGGUAGAAAGUAAGAUCUUUCACAUAAAUCGAUGAGUUAUCUGCACAUUUUGAUUAUCGAGGUAGUGAAGUACAAAUUGCGAUUCUUUUAAGGGGGGCUUCUGCACAUAAUCAAAGGGAAAAAAAACACGGAAGCAUUCAAAUUUAGGAAACUUUACCUGCAAGACCUGACCAUACUGCAAUAUCGGCAAUUGACAAACUAUACCCGACCAAGAAGGUCCUUAGAAAUAAAUGCUUAUCCACAUUGCCACAUGCGCCCUCAAAUUCAGAGCCAGAAAUAAAUAUAGGGGCAUAUUCAAGCCAUUCAUCAAUCUGAAAGCAAAUUAACAGAUCGGUGUGUCAUCAUUUAUUAGUGAGCAAAAUUUUUGAAGUGUAAGGAAUUUUAUUAACUCUAGAGUGCUAUUAAGUAGAAUUUUGAGCUUCUAUAACAACUUGUCCAUUAAAGUCCUCUUAACAGCUUUCCACUAUAGCAUAAGCAGAAGCCAUCAAAUAGGAGCUCCUGCUAUCGGAUCCAGAAGCUCAUUUAGCCUCCCACCACAGGCCCACAGCAAAAGCUUCAAGCAAAUCGUUUGCCAAAUGCCCGACUGCUGCACUUCAAAUCAGGCAAGCUGCUCUAGAAGCCAAAGUCAAGAGGGAUCUAUUAGUUGUAUAUCAAAUUCACCUGUCCCGAUUCGCGGGCAUCGCGCUCAUAGAAGUUGGGAAUUGAUGCGCAUCGUCCAAUAUAGCGAAGAAUUGUGUUGGCCCCAUGCAAUCCUGCCCUGUAACAUCAGAUUGCAAAACAAAUGAAACCACAAACAUGCGAAUAUACAAAACAAAUCUUUAAAAUAAUUUGAGGGUGCAUGGCCAAUUAAUAUAGGUUGCGGACAAACCACGAGGCAUCUGAGAACAAAAAACAAACUUCAAAAUUCUUCUGAUGCAAUCAAUUUUUUACAAGUAUCACAUGUUACCAUACAUAAGAAGAACGAACCAAGAGUUCAACAAUUUUAUUGUAGAUAGUUGUUACCAAAUUCUAUAUCCAAAAUACCGUAGAAACAAAAGAUCAAAUUUAAGUCACGAAGCUAAAGUACGACAUAAAGUGAACAGCAAAAAACACUAGAAAUUAUUCUUUUAACCCAAGAAAAUACAUCAAAGCGUGAUCUUAUAUUACACUGAGACCCUUCAACUAUACACCAUUUGCAUCAAGCCCCCUCAACUACCACUUUCUCUUAUUUCAAAAUGAGGAAUUUAUUAAUUCACAGCUCUGUUAGUAAUUCAUCAUGAACUAUUGCAGUUUUAUUUCGUAAAAGCGAGAAGAGUCAUUAAACUUAAUGAAAUCACUGUUAAAUUUAGUAAAAUCCCUAAUUUAUCAUUCAAAUCAAAAAAAGGAACAAACUUUGAGCAGUUCAUUUCAAAUUUCCUAUAGCUGAGGUGAUCUCCACACAUUGUUUUCCACAACUGAUCGAUUUUUUUAUGAUCAAACAAGAUCACCGUGGAUCAAAACUGGGAGAUCAUAAAGAGCGAUCGGAUCAAACAACAAGUAUCGGAGAUCAAACGCGGUGAGAUUACCCGGAAUCGAAGCGGAGCGAAGUGGCGGAGCUUGCGGGGAGGGUGGGGUCGGCGGAGAUCGCGACGCCGCCGAUCCUCGCGGCGGCGAUGACCGCGAGCGGAGGGUUCUCGGCGGAGAACGCCAAUGUCGCCCCCUCCAUCUUCGCCGCCGAGAAGAAGCCCUCUCUCGUCGAUGGUGGCGCGCUAGGGUUUCUUUUGUUAUAAGGGUUUUGAGAAGGAUACGGUGGGCGCGACUCCACAGUCCACGCGCAGAGAAUAAUAGAAGGAUACCAAAUUUCACAUAGUUCAAUCAUGGGACACCAAAAUAAAAAUAUAGUUGAAUCAUAAGACACCAAAAUAAAAAAAGAUUUAUUUUAUAAUUUGGUGUCCUAUGAUUUCACUCUUUCACGCUUUGGUAUCCCAUGAUUUCACUUUUUCACACUUUGGUAUCCCAUGAUUGAACUAUGUGAACUUUAGUAUCCCAUGAUUUCACUUUUUCACACUUUGGUAUCCCAUGAUUGAACUAUGUGAACUUUAGUAUCCCAUGAUUUCACUUUUUCACACUUUGGUAUCCCAUGAUUGAACUAUGUGAACUUUAGUAUCCCAUGAUUUCACUUUUUCACACUUUGGUAUCCCAUGAUUGAACUAUGUGAACUUUAGUAUCCCAUGAUUUCACUUUUUCACACUUUGGUAUCCCAUGAUUGAACUAUGUGAACUUUAGUAUCCCAUGAUUUCACUUUUUCACACUUUGGUAUCCCAUGAUUGAACUAUGUGAACUUUAGUAUCCCAUGAUUUCACUUUUUCACACUUUGGUAUCCCAUGAUUGAACUAUGUGAACUUUAGUAUCCCAUGAUUUCACUUUUUCACACUUUGGUAUCCCAUGAUUGAACUAUGUGAACUUUAGUAUCCCAUGAUUUCACUUUUUCACACUUUGGUAUCCCAUGAUUGAACUAUGUGAACUUUAGUAUCCCAUGAUUUCACUUUUUCACACUUUGGUAUCCCAUGAUUGAACUAUGUGAAAUUUGGUAUCCUAUGAUUUCACUCUAUCACACUUUGGUGUUCCUACCAUAAACUUCAAAAAACAUAUAUUAAAUUAUUUUAUAAUUGCCUUUUCGACUGCUUUUCUAUUUUUACUUUGGUGUGCUGCGAUUAAACUAUGUGAAAUUUGGUAUACCGUUAUUUCACUCUUUCAUGCUUUGAUGUUUUUAUCAUAAACUUCAAAUGGAUUUUUUAAUAUCAUUUAAUUUUAAACUUUUAAUUUUAUAUCGCGCACCAUCAAACUCCCCACCAUCACACAUUAAAUUUAGGGGGGGGGUUUUUUUUUCUUUUUUCUUCCUUUGCCCGCUCCAUCAAACUAGACCAAGAUUGGCUUGGGCUGGGCGAUUGUAAGGGAAGAGGCGGCGCCGNAUUAAAUUAUAUACAAAAAACUUCAAAUACCCUAUCUAGGUUUAUCGAAUAUUCACUUUAGUACCCUUUAGUUUUAAAUUUAUCACUGAUUUAACGAAAAAAAUUAGUAAAAUCGAUAAUACAAAGAUAAAAACGAAACCACACGUUACUAAUUAAUACACUUUAAACUACGGGAUACUAAAGUGAGAUAGUGUGAAACCACAAGGAUGGUAUUUGAAGUUUUUCUUAAUUUUUUUAAAAUUUUUAUGAUUUAUUACACUAAAAUCUCAUGAACUUAAUUUAAUCGUUUAAAUAUUCACUUAUCAUUGAUGCAAAAAUAGUAUCAUAUUUUAAUUACAGUUGAGCACCAUCAAUAAUAAUAUUAGUGAAAUAUUAAUACUUAAACUAAAUUAGUUAGUGAGACUUGAUUAUAAUAAUUUAAAAUUUUUCCAGCAAAAUUACAAUAAGGUAAUUGUCUAAUUUACUUUUUUAAAAAUAUAAAUUUAGUUAAAAAUGUAAGGCAUUUAAACUUUAAAUUUAAAGCUUCAAAUACCAAUCAUCAAAAUCUUAAUGAGUUGUACCAAAUGUUAAACUUAAUUUUCGAGAGCAUCAUAGGGUCACCCAGCACUGUUGAACUGAAAUUAAAAUAAAAUUAAUAAAUCGUCAAAUAUUAUGAAAUAAUAUUUUUUGAAAAGAGAUUAAAUUAUUAUUAUUAUUAUAACUUUAUGAGGAUAAAUUUUAUUUGUCAAGUGAAUUAGGAAGCACGUUCUUUGCAACCCCUAAACAAAAUUUUUCUUGCAUACGGAAUUAUGUAAAAAACUUAGGAAAAACUUCAAAUACCCCCUUAUGGUUUCACUCUUUUUUUCUUUAGUACCCUAUAGUUUAAAUUGUAUCAAGUUAGUACCCUAUGGUUUCGCACUUUCUCACUUUAGUAUCCUGUGGUUUAAUAUUUUAUUUAGAAAAAAAUAAAACCACAGAAUACUAAGUUGAUAUAAAAAUAAAACCACAGGGUACUAACUUGAUACACUUUAAACCAUAGGAUACUAAAGUGAGAAAGUGCGAAACCACUGGGUUCUAACAUGAUAUACUUUAAACCACAGGAUACUAAAAUAAAAAAAGUGUGAAACCACGGGGCGUUUUUGAAGUUUUCAAAAAAAAAAACGUAUACCACAAAAAAAAAUCUAUAAAUAUUCAUCUUUUUACAUUUUACCCUUUACCUCUCUAUCUUUAAAAAGUUAUAUUUUGCCCCUUCAAAUAUAUUAUUAUUGUAGCAUUUACCUAUGUACGGUUAAUCAUAUUAUAUUAUACAAUCAAGAAAUUUACUCAAUUAUUAAUUAUAUUCUUGAAAAUGUAGAGAAUAUAUAAAAAUCUUAUAUGUUAUCUCAAACUAGAUAACUUUAUGAAAGAGAUUUUCGGCUAUUUAUUAAAUAAUUUUUUAUUAUUUAUAAAAAUUUAAUGGAUAUAACAGUAAUUAUCUAUCAUAUAAUUUAUGUAUGGAAUAUAAUAAUAAAAUUACAACAGUGUGGAGUUAAAUAAUAUAACUUUAAAUUUUCAAAAAGUAAAGUAAAGAUUUCAAAAAAUAGUGGAUAAAGUGCAAAAGUGGUUAAUUAUAAGAAAAGUUUCCAUAUUUUAGUAUACAAAAAAUUCAAACCCAAUGUAGCUUAGGUUUUGUUUGGUAUUGAGCUUUAUUCGACGUCAUUAGAUAAAAUAGAGUUGUUAAAAGCAUAUAGGAAUAUAUUUUUACGGCUUUGUUUGGUAUUAAGGUGGAUCUACGCUAUUAGAUAAAAUGAAGUUGAGAAAAACCAUAUAGGGAUAUAUUUCUGCGUUCUUCGAUGGGACCGUAAAAAAUAUAUCGUAACCGACUAACCACAAUAUGCGGAACGCAAUAUUACGUACAUAAACAAACAGGAUAUUUUUCCAUCAUCGUUUUUCACCGCACGUAACGCAAUUUCUCCGCAAUAAAAAACGAAGCCUACAUUUUUCGGUGGGACCGUAGAAGAUAUAUCAUAAUCGAUUUAUCGCGAUAUACAGAACGUAAUAUUAUAUACGAAAACAAAUAGAGUAAUAGUGAAUUACUUUCAUAUGUUGUUUCUAUAAAAAUUCCGAUAUUUUUAAAUAUGCCUCCGCCAUUAGAAUUUGUUAGAAAUAUUUAAUUAACCGUAGGUAAAAUAUUUAAUCUUAAUUAGUUAAUAAAGUAAAUUGACCUUAUUACCCUCUUUUCAAUUAACAAUUAGGACUUUUAAAGAAACAUAUUUGUGAUUGCAAAAAAGAUAUUUUAUUUAUGAAAUAGACAGGGCUUUGACAUUGACAUAUUUGAAAAUACUAAUAUUUUUAAAGAUACAAUAUAUAAAAAUUAAACUUCGUAGGAAUAUAUUUAUAAUUUACUAUAUCUACGGACCGGAAUGAAAUUAAUCAUAUUUUAAACAGAAAAAUAGGAGCAUAUAUAAUAUUUCAGAAUAUUUAAGGGUAUAUAGAUAAUUAUACCCUUUAAAUAAUACUUCAAUCAUCAAUCAAAUACAAAAACGGCGAACCCUCUCUUUCUUUCUUUCUCUCUCUCUCUCUUUCUCUCUCUCCUCGCUCGCGCGGGGGAAAGCACAACGAGAGAGAUGGGAGGAGGAGGAAACACCCCUUCUACCUCUUCCUCUUCCUCUGCCUCUGCCUCUUCUCCCUCCGCUCCUCUCUCUCCUCCUCCUACUACCCUACGCCUUCUCCUCCUCCUCCUCCUCCCCCUCCUCUUCCUCUUCUUGUUCCCACUCUCCGCUCGCUCCUUCGCCUCCGCGAGCGAGGAAACGGCUCUCAGAGGUACUGCUCACUUCUCUUGCCUUCUUGGAUCGAAACUACCUUGUGCUCGAUCUUUGCUCCGUUCUUUGUUCGUGCGCUAGAACGGGUUGACGAGGAAACGUAGUUGGUUUGGGUUUGGGUUUUGAUCGCGUAGUGUUGGGGUAUCCGGUGCGAAUUCUAGGGUUUUCCUUUUUUUUUUUUGGCUGAAUGCGCUUGUUGGUUGUGCUAAAGAACCGAUCUUUAUGCUAGUAGUCGUUUCGGGUUUCGAUUGUCUAGUGUCGCGGUGUCUGGUGCGGAUUCUAGGGUUUUCUUGCUUAAAUGCUCGUUAGUUGUACUAAAGAACCGAUUUUUAUGCUACUAGUUUGUUUCUCGUUUGAUUGCAUAGUCUUUCUAGGGUGUCUGCUCAAAUGCUCGUUAGCUGUACUAAAGAAUUGAUUUUUUUAUAUGAUUCACUCUCUCGUCUUCUCCACCUCCUUAUAAAAUUACACUUCCCUACUUUUUUGGAUGGAAACUACUUUUAUGCAUGCCCUAAAAAGACUUGAAGGUAACUAGUUAGUUCGGAGUUCGAUUGCUUAGUGUUUAGCUAGCUGUUAAGUACUCUAGGGUUUACUGCUGAGUACAAAAGUGGUUUCUUGGCCCCUUAAACCCUGCUUGGCGCCUAUUUUGGCCCUGAAGUUAUAAUGCUGUUUCACAAAAUUUCGUCUUUAUAAUUCUAAUAGGAAAAGCACUAAAUUAAAAUGGCUUUUUUUUUGUUGCUUAUUUUAGCUUUUGAACAGCACUCCCUAGGUUCGAAUCAUCUGAAUAAAAUAGAUCUGUUUAGUGCAGUAGAAGUAGUGAGGCAUUUCCUACUUUGGCCUUAGGAAGGUUGAUACAAUAACUUUGUAAGUGCCAUUACCAUAGUUAAAUUGGCGCUUCCCUCCCUGGUUUUGUUGGUAUUAUUGUGAUGCCUGCAUUUUUCAUUGCCAUGUUUCCCGCAUACUGUGUUUUGUCACUUGCUUCUAUCCUUUUUGUGUCUCUUAUAGUUUGCUGCAAGAUGAAUGGCCUGCUGCUUGAACUGACCCAUUUAAGCUAUUUGAUUUGUGUAACCACAGAUGUUAACUUGCAAAACCCUGUUAUACACUUUAGUCCUUCGAGCUUUUCUGGGCAUUCAUGUGAACGAGUUCAAAUCACUGGCAUAUCAAGGUUAAACCUUAGGAGCUAUGCCAGUUCUACACGGAUUGCAUUGAAGGUUCCAGAAGGCAUGCCUGAGAGACUUCAAGGGAAGGUAGAGGUUUGCUUUCAUCGGUAAGUCAUAUGACUGGCUCAUUUGUAAGUUCAUAAAAUAUAUAGACCAGAAUACAACUCAUUCUGAAGUGUAUAUGAUAUUAUAGGCUCGACUCAUUCUUAAGUUCAUGUAAUAUAUUGAUCAAAAUCCAACUCUGUAACUAUUUGCAGGAAUAUGUCUGUGGGUUUUUGCCAAUGUGAGGUGGAUGAAUGGCAAACUCUUCAAAAGGGGCAAUGGAGUGCUAUAAUAUCACCUUUUGAGAAAAGAUAUCUCGAUAUUAGAUUGAAGGAUAAAACAUUAAUGUCCUUCACGCUUUCCAUCGAGGAAGGUAAGGUACUCUUUACCAAUUUAUCCUGUCAUAUAAAUUCUCCGAACAUAUUAUGCUUUAACCUUUAUCUUGAUAUGUGUCUGUUUCUUAUGUAACUUUUGAAAUGUGAAUUAUCUCUUGCUUGCAGAAUUUCAACUGUGGCGGUUUAUUUGCCUUGGUAUUGGUUUUCUGCUGCUGCUUCUCGCACCAAUCAUUAGUAACUGGGUUCCGUUCUAUUAUAGCAGCUCCAUGGCUCUGGGAGUUUUGCUUGUUGUUUUGUUAAUUCUCUACCAGGUAAGUUUAGCAAUUUUUUUCUCUCUAUUCUGCCUUAUAAGGCCACAUCAUCAUUAGCAUGGUUCAUGAUCAUUAGCAUAAAUGGAUUUGUAAUUAUAUGGUCUAGAACUUCACUGCCUUUCUCAGUUUGCUAGUAAUUUUCUUGAGCCAGCUGGGAACUUCUGAAAAUCACUUGCAUGUUGCACUAGCAUUAAUUGAUUAGAAGUAUUGUAGGCAAUUUAUAUUUACCAAAAUUCUAGGUCCAUCCUUCUUUUGUUUAAAUUUGUUUUUGCUAACAAUAAAAGAACCUUUCAGGUGCUCAUGGUAAGAAUUCUUAACUAUUUGAUCAUUUAUGAGCACAAAGUUUUUUGCCUGAAGGAAAUAUCAAGCCUAGUGUGCCUACUGAAGUCAUAUACUGCAUGUGAAGAUGUCAAAGUAAGGCAAGUAAUGUAGAAAUUUGGAAAUCGAUGAGAUUUUAGUUUGUUUUUUUAUAAAAUUUUAACCAUAUUUGUCGUUUGACUAUAUAAAGAUCAAUCAUACAAAUUUUAUUUAGCCCACGGUGGUGGUCAUAUUAUUCCAGCUUUUAGAUUUCCUUAUUAAGGCGACAUGCAUUAAAAUUGUCAUGUAAACUUUGUUAAUUAUUGCCUUUUCUUGUUAAAAUUAGCAGACAUCUCUAUUGACAACAGUCAGUUCAACUUGAUCUUUCACAGUAAUUGAAAUGGUAACUUUUUUUCUUUAUGUUUUAUGAUGUGAUUAUAGGGGAUGAAGUUACUACCUAUGGGCAGAAAAAACAUCCUCUACCUAACGAUUUAUGGGUCUGUGGUAAGGAUCUUAUUUUAUAUCGUAAUCUGAUUCUGCUAUCUCUUGUCAUCUAGUAUUGUCUAAUCAUAUUCUAGUUUCUAUUUUUGAUUUCUCUUUCAUAUUUAUCAGCUAGGUGUUGGUUCGUAUAUCACCCACUACUUCUCCACACUAGUCAGUUCCAUUCUUGUGAACUUUGGGUUGAGUGAAGACAUGCAUAAUCCCGUAAGUUCUAUGUUCAUUUUAUUUACAUGAAGCACGGCAAUUAUGUCUGUUCUAUUUGUGGUUUCAUUCUUAUGUUGCAUUGUGGUGGCAGAUUAAUAUAUGCAAUUUACAUAACUACAGGUGAAAAAUGAGAUUUUUUUUUUAUAUUUUAUGUAAUAAAUGUUCUGGCAGCAUUCCACCAUAGGUUGGUUUUAGAAAUGUCAGACACUUAUGCCUUCAAUUUGAGGUGAAAUAUACAAAACCAUUUCCUUUAUACUCUUUAUAAAACUCUUAAUCUUGUUCCACAAUAUAGCUUCCCGUUUUAAGAAUGGAAAUCCUUUCAUCUGUGCUAAUCUCAAUUUUUGGAAGUGAUUUUUUUUCACCAUGAUACUUGCUUGGAAUUUUUUAUUUUAGAUGAUGCUUACAUAGCUAAGUUGUUAUUCCACCUUUUACCUUGUAAUUUGUAAUGUUCUUCCUUUUCCGCUGUACUUUCUCAUUUCCGCUGUAGUUUUUUGCAUCUGCCUUGGAUGUGGAAACAGCUGAUUCUUGGAUCACGAGCAAGUUUUUUCCCCCCUAGUUCUCAUUGUGCCUCAUUUUUAAUCUAUAUAAUUCCCACCUUUGGUGCCAUUAUGAAAAGUUUUCUCUAUUGCAGGUUUCAGUUUUUCUGGUUGUGGGAAUUGUCUUAGCUGGAGCAGCUUUAGGCUACUGGAUUGUGGGGAAGUUUGUCCUUUCAGAAGAUGGUAGUGUCGAUGCUGGCAUAGCACAAUUUGUGAAGUGGGCAAUGCGUGUUAUUGCUCUUGUUUUUAUUAUGCAGGUAUGUUUUAUUGUUAUUUCAGAAUAUCGAUCAGCAAUUAAUUGAAUCUUUAGUUGUUAUGUUUCUAUUGCUUGUUUUCAAGUUUACCUUUUUUGAUAUUUCCACGUGCAUUGACAUUUAAUCUAAAUCUUAAAAAGGUGUAUUAUAGAUCUAUUGCAUUUUUUUGCUUAGAGAAGUACUGGUAAUUAGAUUUUUCUUUGUUUAGUAUGAUUUGUAAUCUGUAAGUUAUUAAACAUGAUGAUGUUAAUUUUUUCUAGUUUUAGAUAGCGAAUUGGGAAUAUUGUUCAUACAAUAUGUUAAGGAUUUUGCAAAUUUAAUUUAUCUAGCAAUUCCAAGGUGUUGUUCAUCAAGAAUAACCUCCGGUCUGAAGUAAAAGAGAAGAUAUUGGGCUUUUGGCAUUAUUCAGGUUGAGAUAGUGCCGUUCUCUUUUUUACCCUGCAUUAUUUGGUGUUUCAAGAGACUUGGGUUACCAUAGGGCACAUAGUCUUAGGAAUCUUUAGGGAUGGAAGUGAUGGUUCUUAAAAAUUGCGGACAUCUCCUACUAAUCAUGGUUAUGGUGCAUUUAACCAAUAGAUUAUGUUUAAACCUUUUGUUUACUGUCAGAGAUGCCUCUGUGCUAGAAUUUUCUCAGGCCGUUAUGUACAGAAAAAGAAAGGUCCAAUAUAGUCUAGGUAAAUGAGUACCAGUAGCAAAUUUUGAACCAUAGUUUGUUCAAGGGAGUGAUGAUUGGCCUAUUUUUUUGGUAUUACAUGUUUCUCUUAACUUUUGUGAAAAUUAUAUUGUUUAUGGUACUUUCAGCUUUGCGUAAGAUAACCAUGUUCAGAGGUUUAAUUGAAGUGGAGAGAUAUAUUUAACAGUUUAAUAAUUUUCAGUCAUGUCAUUGGGACUUCUAUUUUUCUGUGUUGACAUCAACAUCUGAACUUCUCCUAAACAUUUCUUAUGUGGUUUGUUGCAGAGUACUCUUGACAUUCUGCUAGCAAUGGCUUCUCUUGGGGCUUGUUGGAGUAUGUGCUCUGUAAUUUCAAAGAAGCUUUUAAGUCGAGCGAUAACAUUGUAAGUUCCUCGUGUAUCAUCUUACAGGUAAAUUGCAUCAGGGGUUCUCAACUUUAUUUAUGAGAUCUCGCUUUUGUCCCAACCUUUCAAUUGUUAGAGGUCGGCCCAUAAUCUUUUAUAUUUGUUACAAUCAAGUUCUACCAUAGCAAUCCUGAUGCUUGCCGGAUCCUUUGGUCAGGCGAGGAACUCAACAACCAAUGUCCUUAACUUCCUAUCUUUGUCCAUCUAUGAAGGAAUUGAAAUACAUAUUCAUGUUCCGCUAUCACGUCAGCAAGUUGCAUUUACUUCUGGCAACCAGAUUUAACAAGAUCAAAACUGCAACAAAUAACUGAGCCUAAGGACCCAAUCACAACAAUUGAAAAGUUGGGGACUGAAGUGAAACCUUGUGGAGAGGUUGGGGACAGUUAGUGCAAUUUACCAAUCGUCUUAUAACCUUCAUGUUAAAGGUCUUAAAUAUGUUAUUUUUUGACUCAGACAGCAAAGGCCAUUGAAUAAUGAACUUCUAUGGCAACAAAAUGCCAGGCAGGGACACACCAAUUAUAGGCAGGCUGAGUUCUUGAGUCGAUCGGCUAAGAAGGAUUUGGUAGGGCCGGUUUGGGGGAGCUCAGGUAGUCAAUAUGGUUGGUCCAACCCACCAAUGAGAGGUAUCCAAAAUCAUUUUGUUUUACAUUGCACCUUCUUUUUCUCUAUAAUUUGGUUUGUAUUGUCCAAUUCGAAGUUUCUACUUCCCUUAGCAUAAAGCUGUCAGUGCAGACUUCGAUGAAACUGCUGUUAAGUGCUUCUUUAAACAAAUCGCUAAAAGCACUUCUGCAGUCAAUCUGGAGAGGACAUAGGUCCUUUUUAGCCUUCAAGAGUGAGCUCUAUAUUUUAACAAUAAUUCCCACUUUCGCAUACAUGAAAGUGUCUUUUGCAUUUUAAACACUUAUUUUUAUUAGGUUAUAUAUGCAGCUUUACCUCUACAGUUGUUGAAUGGGUGUCUUAUUUUUCUUCACUGCAGGAAGAUUCCUUUUAUCCCCCGGCAAGAAAACCUCAAGUGUGGAUAAAGAUUACUACUCGACUUACCAUAAAAUGCCAGCACGAAAAUAUUCUAAGAAAGAAUGGGAGGAUUUCACACGCAAAUCGACCAAUGAAGCCCUAACUCAGUGGGCAUCAACACCUGAAGUUGCGCAAUGGAUUGCCGAUAAUGCUAAGCGUUUAAAUAUAGACCGAGAGAAUAAUUCAGAUGAUAGCAUGUUGAGCUCCUCGGACUCUUCGGAGGAAACCGUAGUUGAGAAUGGCAAUGGGCUCAGCCUGUUCAAGUGGUACCGAUCAUAGAAUUGCUGGUUCUCUACUGGCCUAUUAUAAAUUUAGUCCCCGAAGUUUGAUCUCAUUUCCUAAUUGUGCCCUCGGAGUUUCAAUUCAACAAUCUAGUCCCUGAAGUUUGUUCCUCAUGACAAUUAAUUUGCUCUUUCUGUCAGUUUAGAAGAACGGCAUGUGCAUCAUUAUCAAAAUUAAAACCUUUGAAGGCUACCGUAUAUCAACAAACUCUAGAGAUUUUACGAAGUGCAUUUAAAAAGAAAAAAAAGAAGAGAAAAUGGAUUUAGUUGCUAUGGGGGACAAACUUUAGGAGCAAAAUUGUUAAAAUUGAGACACGAAGGACUUGAAUGGGAAUAGGUAUUAGCCAUCAAGGAUUAGAUUUGUUACCACCUUUUUCUAUUUCUAACUUAACAAACUAAUGCCCUCACUUUCUUUUCUGGGUUCUUAGAAGGUAAUUUAGGGUGGUCUACCUAUCAUGUUCUUGGCCUAUUUUUUUAUUGCCAAUUUUGUUUAAAAAGUUUCUACUAGUACGGUGGUGCAUUCAGAAAUGACUUUUUAACAAACUAGUUGGGAUAGUUUGGUUGUUGUAGUUCAAGGUUUGUGUGGAAAUAUGGAAUUGCUUGGAAAUAUGGAAUUGCUUUUUGUGGUGAAAUGCUGCUAAUGUAUUCAGGAAAGUUUUCUAAUGUACCAGUAGAUAUUAUUUGACUGCUUAAUCUUUUCGGUUAUUGUUUUUAUUCUAAUUAAUUGGUCAGCUACAUUUUAGUUUUUUAAGUCCUCAAAUAUUUAGUUUGCAUUGGAUUUAUUUUUAUGAAUGCAUGGAACUUGGCAUAUUAAGUUGGUAUAAUGCUGAUAUUCUUCCUACUAUGUGCUUCCUCUCUAUUCCCAUCUUUGUUUCUUUCUACUAAACUGCUGUUAUGUGUUACUGUUUCACUCUUCACAUGCUAACUCUUUUGUACAUCUAUUAUGUAUAUUUUAUGUAUAUAUUGCGAGUUACUGAAAAAUCAGUUACAUCACAGUUUCCCAGAAUAUUCUUUUGUAGAUUUGGCGAAGUACGGCGGCGACCGCGAAACCUCAACUCAAUGGGCUCAGUGAAAGGCCACAGGUUGGAUCAGGUUUGGCAUUGCCCAUUGUCUAAUGCCCCUCGUUUUGUAAGUUUAUCCCCCAUUGUCUAAUGCUUGAAAAGCUGUUUUAGUAAAGAGAAAGGGCCUCCGAUGCGGUCCAACCGGCCGGUUCGACUUCGACUGGUCGAACCGGUUCAUUUCGGUCCGCGACGCUUUUGGUUGCUUUAAGAUCAGUGAAAUGCAGUGUUAACUUAAACCUCUAGAAAUUGUUGUUGCGGUGUGACCCGGUUCGGGCUAGUGGUUCGAACUGGGUCUUGAAGUGCACCACUUCAGGUGCAAUUUAUUGUAUUGAUAGUUGCAGCUAACGAAGUAUAUUCAUAGCAAGCACUGUCAAAUGAAUCAAUUAAAAACUAACACAUUAUCGUUUGUGUUUUCUAAACCUCAUUAAAUGUUUGCAUUAUUGACAGAGCUUGAUGUCACUGUCCUAAUUAGUCGCUGUGGCUGAUUACGAUAGGAACAGAAUAGUAAUUAUAUUAAAAAUAGGGUAAGCUUUAACUAGUCUAGGAAUAUAUUUAUGAAGUUUGUAAAAUUUGUAGGGAUAGAUAUCUUCAAUUUUAAGAUAGGUAAAUAUCCAAUAUACUUUGCCUGAAGAUAUCUUCAAAUUUAUAUUUGUCGCUGUUAUAUUAUACCCUGUUUAGGCCAAAAUGCAAAAAAUUCUCCUGUAAAUAUAUAUUUUUGCAUCUGACCCCCCUAUAUUUUAAAAUCUUUUAUGUUAAGAUAAAUUGAUUGGGGUUCUCUUGCACAAAGUGACCUAAUUUGAGAAAAUAAAUUUAUACAUUAACUCUAUUUUUAACGAUAUAAUGAAUAUUCAAUUUAAACAUGGAAUAGUGACAUACUAAUAAAGGUGUUGGGUUAAGUAUUAUAAUUUUUAAUUUUUAGAGGGUUAAAUAGAGAUUUUUAAGAGAAGGGGAGAUGAAGUAUAAAAAACAGAUAUUUUAGGGGAUUUUUUGUAUUUUAUCUUUUUAUUAAGGGUAGAUUUUAAUUUAGCUUACCAUUGUUUAGCGCAUUUUUAUUUUAUCAUCUUGUAGUUAAAAAAUUAGACUUACCUGCCAUAUGAUUUAGUGUGUGUUUAGUCUGCUAUCACAUGGUUUAAAAAGUUAAUUAUUCAGUAAUUUUAUUUUUUUUCCACCAUAAGAACUUAUCAUUAAACAUGAUGCUGUUCCUUAGUUUUUUAAAAUGUUUGUUUUGUUACCCUAUUUGAUGGUAGGUAUUUUCAGUAAAACAAAAAUAAAAUAUAGAACAGUUAAUUGUAAUUUCUUGAAUCUCAGAGUGGUAAAGUUUAGUAGUUAUGAAUAUUGUAAUAAAUUAGGUUUAGUUUAGUAUUGAGGUAUAUCUAAUGCUAUUAAAUAAAAUGGAGUUAGAAAAAGAGCAUAUAUAUAUAUAUAUAUAUAUAUAUAUAUAUAUAUAUAUAUAUAUAUAUAUAGUUGAGCUAAAAUACUAUCGAUAGCAAACGAGUUCCAUUGCCACCCAUUUAUUUUCGAUGAUAGAGCCUCCAAAUUGAUGAUCGGCACCGUUGAACAUGAUCUAUACCACUUGAAGUGUUUAGAAAUCAAAUUUCAAAUCUUUUCGACAUCAUUUGCCUAAUGAUCAAAGGGUUUCAAAAUUUGUAAUUUUAAUGGUCGAUAUGAGGCGCUUUCUCGUUUAACGGCGUAAAGAUAUUCAAAUCAAUUGAAUUUUUGUUAGAAAAUUUUUUAAAUUAUUUGAAACAAGAUCUAUACUCUUGAUCAUGAUUACAAGACUCCUAUCAUCAUUUUUUAAAUAAUAUUUAUUUUCAGCCGUUCAUUUUUGUGCCAACUCGAUGGAUAAGAGAACAAUAUCGAAAAAGUAUGAAAUUUGAUUUCUAAACACUUCAAGUGGUAUAGAUCAUGUUCAACGGUGCCGAUCGUCGAUUUGGAGGCUCCAUAAAAAACAAACGGAUAGCAACAGAGCCCGUUUGCUAUCGAUAGUAUUCUAGCUCAACUAUAUAUAUAUAUAUAUAUAUAUAUAUAUAUAUAUAUAUAUAUAUAUAUAUAUAUAUAAAAUUUAUUUGUUAUUAAGCUGGUGAUACGUUCUGUUGCCAGCGGUUGCUGUUGGAAUUACAACUAAUUUGAGUGCAAUUCUAAUGUAGCAUUUGGGCCCCGAGCAGUUUUAAUUGUAUUAAAUAAAACCGACCGUCCCUAGAGCAAGUGGCAAAGGGUUUGGUGAUUGAUACCUAAGGUUCAAAAUUCGAAUUCUAGUUGAUUCACAUUUCCAGCUAAGUUUAUUUUUGAAGAAAAUAAAUGAAGUGGGUAGCGUGUUAUCUAUCUCUAAAAAAAAAACUGCAUUAAAUAAACACGUGAUUUAAAUAUGCAUGAACAAUCCUUCAAAGGUAGAAAUUUGGUUAGGGUGGUAAUACUUGAGCAACUUAGCUUUUAUAUAUAUAAUCUUUCUUUUAUCAGUCCAUACACAUCAAAAAUAUUAUGUAGCUUUAAUUUUUUUCAUUUAUUUAUGCACAUAAGUUAAGAUAUACUAUAAUAAUACAGCAAUAAUUCUUAAAGGACCUUUCCUAUUGUACAUAAAAACAAAAGUUUUUCCUGGUCUGAAGAGUCAUCAAUUAUGUGGUGUUGUCUGUCUGCUUCUUACGUGGGAUUAAUUCCCCUGCUUGUCUGCUUCUUAUGUGGGGUUGGAGCCUGCAGGCUGCAGCUUCUUAAAUCUUACGGGAAGACAGUCUAGCUGAUGUGACUGGAAUGAAUCAAUCGUGAGUUUUCUGCCCUUUGAAGUGCUGCAAGGCCGCAGAGGUACACACAAAUGACAAAGCUCUGACAGAACCGUUUAUAAGUUAUUUGAAUUAUAAACUAUUUUUAAUUUACUAUUUAAUAUUUAAAAAUUUUAUGUUUAUUAUUUAAAAUUUCAAUUUAUUUAUUUUGAUUUUGACCACAGUAAUUUUUUUAAAAAUUUUGAAUGGAUUAUUUAGAUUUAGUUAAUAUAGUUUAUACAUUUUUCUCAACUAUCAAUUCAUUAAAGUAGUUAGCUGAUUUUGAUGCAAAUCAAAUAAAUUGAAAGGUCGAGUAGCUAGAUCAAAACGAUUUAUAAUUCAACAAGUUUUAUAUGUUUUUACCCAAAAUAUUCUCUCAAUCUACAGAUCACUUUUAACAUAUAGUAUAAAUUCAAAUUCUUAAUAAUAUUGCUUUUUUGGGUUUAAAAUCCUAAAAUUAUAACCAACCGUACUUAGGACAAAUGACACAAAGCUUGAUGAUUGAUACUCAAGGUUUCAAGUCCGAGGUAUAAUUGCUUCACAUUUUUAGCUAAAUUUAUUUUUUAAAAAAUUAAUAAUAAACAAAGCAGAUAGAAUGUUAUCUUCCAAUCUAAAGAAAAAAAAAAAAAAGGGAGGAAAGAAAUAGGAGUUGAGGAGAAAUAAAGAGAACAAAAAUGAAGAUCUAAUGAGCACAAUAUACAAAAUCGAUUAUCCAUGCAAAUGGAACUGAGGAUGAAAUGUUAUAUAUAUUGAGGUUUUAUUUGUCCUGAGUCAUAAUCCUCAACAAUGACUGAUCCUAACUAGCGCAAUUUAGCUAAAGAUUUAAUGGUUGGUACUCAAGUUUAGUUGUUUUAUAUUUUUAACUGAGUUCAUUUAUAAAAAAUAGAUAAAAUUUUAUAUAUUUUUUAUAUCACAUCUUAUACAUAUGUGAAAGUCCUUACUGUAAUAUUUGUUCCAACUACAAUUUAUAAACACCCAAUUACACAUUCCACAAAAAUAAAAUUAAAAAAAAAUAUUAUUUCAACAUAAAAUUAUCUAAUUAUCCUUAAUUAGAUCUUUGGCUUUGGCCCACAGCAUAAUGAGAUCGGUUUACAAAAGAAACGUUUUCCAUACAUACUCUCUGAUUUAUAACCACUUGUGUGCCCAUAAAUUAUUGUGACAGUGACAAAGGAGCAAAUGCUUUUUCUUUUCUUUUUUUUCUUUUUUUUUUUGGGUUUUUAGCAAUUUUGCAGUGUGGGAAAUAGCUGUGCCCAUACCUUUUGAUCUACAUUGCAUCUGCAUAAUAAUAGUAUUAUUGUUAUUAUUUCAAUUAUUAUGUAUGGUUUGGGGUCCAAGAAUGGAAGAGGAUAAGGUAUGCGGUUUUUAAUGCACCGACCUUAUUAUUAGAGGCAGUACUUUUUUUUCCAAAAAAAAAAAAAACAAAAAAAAAACAUGCAUGAACGAGAACUCGAGUUCCCAUACAUCUCAAACUCGAUCAAUCUCCGAUAACAAAUCCACUACAUUAUAUAUUGGUUACUUUUCAUUUUUGGACCACUAAAAUUAUUAAUUUUUUUUUAAAAAAAAUAGAUAGCAAGCCACCGGUUUUAUAUGUGAAAGAAAAAAAUGAAUGUAACUACAUACGGUGAGGCCACUGGAGCCCAUGCAAAAGUAAAAGACGAGGUAUAAUGAAGAAAACAAAAGGGAGAAAAAAAGAAGGUAAGAGAGAAAACUUCAAAUAUUUUUCCAUAGUUUCACAUAUUUUUACUUUAGUAUUUUGUGGUUUAAAGUGUAUCGAGUUAGUACCAUAUGGUUUCGCACUUUCUCACUUUAGUACCCUGUGAUUUAAAGUGUAUCAAGUUAGUGUUCUGUAGUUUCAUUUUUGUAUCAAGUUAGUACCCUAUGGUUUCAUUUUUUUUUUCUUAUUAUAUAUUUUGGGAUAAUUUUUUGUUAAAUCGGUGACAAAGUUAAAACUAAGGGGUGCUAAAAUGAAUAUUCGAUAAACCUAAAUAGGGUAUCUGAAGUUUUUUGGUAUAUAAUUUAACGAAAUAUUAAACCACAGGGUACUAAAGUGAGAAAAUGCGAUAAUCACAUAAUAUUAAAAUAAGAAAGUACGAAAUCAUAGGGUACUAACUUGAUACACUUUAAACAACACGGUACUAAAGUGAGAAAAUGCGAAACCACAAAUAAGUAUUUGAAGUUUUUCUUCUUUUUUUUUUUUUUAUCAUUUUAGUACUGAUAACUUUUAAACUCUAGAUUGAAAGUGCAUAAUCUGCAUGAAUCUAUACGAGUGUUAAUUACUUAAUUAACAUGCUGCUCUAGCAACUAACGACAAAUAAUAACUGAAACUGUUAGAUGAAAUGAAAUAAUUAUCAUGCAUGCGCAUGUAAUCGAAUUAAGGAUCUCUCUAUUAUCACACUCGCAUGAUGUGGAUAUAAAUAUGACACGCUACUCCCUUGCGUAGAAUACUUGUGUGUAUUAUACAGGUUUCUUGAAUUAUAUAUAUAAUAAUACUUGAUGUACGGAGCAUGUCGUUUUAAGAUAACUUUUGAUCCUCUUGAACUUUUUUAGAUAUCAUCAAAAAGCAAAGUGGAAAAAGAAAACAAAAACAAAAACAAAAGCAAAAACUUUUGUUUUGGAGUACAAACUUAGAUAAUGGUAGUGGAUUUUGUCACGUACAGCUUUCUCAUUCCGUGUGCCUAUAUAUACAACGUUACUAAAUUUUUUGUCAUGAGAUCCAUUAAUUCCUUCAACCAUUUUUAUCUAUUAAAUUAUACUAUUAAAAUUAAAUAAUCACUCACUCAACUCUAGAGGAUCACUAUCAUUCCGACCGCGUAUUUUUUAAUCCAAGAACCGAAAACCUACAAACACCAAUGAUUUGAAACUUUUGAAAAAUAAGAGCUUAAUAUUAUAUAUAGAGAGAGAGAGAGUUGAGCUGGAAUACUAUUAAUAGUAUUUGGGCUCUUUUGCUAUUAUUUUUUUUGUCGUUAGAUCUACACUUUAAUUAAUUCCACCUUUUAAAUCAUAUUAUUCAACCAGUCGCCUACUCAACUCUAAGAGGACCACCACUAAACGUUAGGGCACCACUAUUAUCCUAACCCUAUAAUUUUUCACCCAAGCGUUAAAAUCUCGAUAACAAAAUAGACCAAACACUAUUAAUAGUAUUCCAGCCUAAUUCUAUAAAAUAUAUAGAGAGAGAGAGAGAAAAAAAGAGAGUUGUGCUAGAAUACUAUUAAUAUUAUUAUUUGGAUUUUUUUACGACUAAGUUUAUAAUCCUUAAUUAAAAAAUUAUAGAGUUGGGACGAUAGAAUUCCUGUAGGGUUUAAUGAUACUGCCCCUAGAGUUUAGUAGGUGAUUGAUAGAAUAGCAUAAUCUAACGUGGGGACGGCGGGUUUGUUUAGCGGAUAGAAAAUCUGCUGCUGUAGAGGAGGUGGAGGGCGAAGGCGGAGGAAGAGGAUGCGGUACCAUCCUUGCUAUCGUCGCGGAGGGUCGCAGAGACGAUGGAGGAAGGUCGGAGAGGGAAAAAAAAAAAAGAGGGUCGCGACGCGGCGUUGACGAGGUCGGAGGCGAGGCGUGAGGGGCAGAAGCGAGGCGGGCCGUUUCCGCCUCCACCUUCGCCGCCUUCUUCGGAGAGGAAAAAAAAAACUCAAGAAAAGAAAAGGAGAGAGAGAAAAAGAUAUAAUGGUAUUUUGAUCAGUUUGCUGAAAAUCCGAACCGAUUAUGCAAAAUUGAAAAAGACGGUCUAGUUUUGCAAAAGCUCAAAACUUGUGAAUUUUUUAUGCAAAUUGGCCUAUAUAAAUAUACAUUAAAAAAAAUGUAAACUCCAAUUUACCCUUAUGUGAUUUAGCUCAUUUUUAUUUUACCAUCAUAUAUAUAGUUCAAAAAAUUAAUUAUACUUAAUUAUCUUAUAAUUUAGCUCAUUUUUACUUUACUACUAUAUAAUUCAAAAAGUUAUACAUGUCAAAAAAAUUUACUAUAGUAUCCUUUUUUAUAGUAGAUUUUUUAGAUAAAGGAAGAGAUAAAAUUAUUCAGUAAUUAAGUAUAAUUUUUUAGAUUAUAGAAUGAUAAAAUAAAAGUGAGCUAAACAGUGAGGGAGCAAAUUGAAGUUUGCAUUUAAAGUAAAAGAAAAUAAUAGGUGGGCUCAUAAUUUUACGUAAAAAAGUACUUUUUUGGAAUUAUUAUAAGAAGGAGAAAAGAAGAAGCAACAAAGUUUUCCCAAAAAAAAAUGAAAGAAAAUAGCGAGAAGCAAAGCUGACCAAAUUGUAUUGCUAUAGUUUGACUGUUUUGUGGUGUAUAUAUAUACAUUAUAAAUAGCUAAUAAAACUAAAUAUUCUCUUCCACACAUUAUAAAUAGCUAAUAAAACUAAAUAUUUUCUUCCACGGAAGUGUCAUUUUUGGUUGCUUAUCCUAAACGAUAAGAAGUGCUUAUUUGGCAUUGCCACUAAAUAUAUAUUAUUUUAGUUUUUAAGAUAUAUAUAUAGAGCUAGGCUACUAUACUAUCGGUAGCACGGAGCGCUCCGUGCUAUCAAGUUGUUUUCGAUGAUGUGGCUUCCAAAUCGACGAUCGGCUCCGUUAGAGUUGAUCUACACUAUUGAAAGUAUUUAGAAAACUAAAUUUCAUAAUUUUUCGAUAUCAUUUACUUAUCAAACAAGUAGUCUAAAAUUGAACGGCUGAAAAUAAAAAUUUUAUGAAAAAUGAUGAUAAAAAAUUUAAAUUCAAGAUCAGAUGUACUGAUCUUACUCUAAAUAGUGAAAAGAAUUUUCUAUAAAAUUUUUAUUGCAUUUGGAUUGUUUUACACCGUUAAACUCACAAACACACCACAUCGGCCAUUAAAAUUGUCAAUUUUGAGAUCUUUUGAUCACUAGUAAAUAAUGUUCGAAAAAUCUGAAAUUUAGUUUCCAAUACUUUAAAUAGUGUAGAUCAAGUCUAAUGGAGUCGAUCGUCGAUUUGGAAGCCGCUAUCAUCGAAAACAACUUGGUAGCACGGAGCGCUCCGUGCUACCGAUAGCAUAGUAGCCGGACUCAUAUAGAGCUAGGCUACUAUACUAUCAGGUAGUGUGUAUAUAAAUAUAUAUAGUAUUAUAUAGUUGGACUGGCUACUAUUAGUAGCAAAAUCUCAUCGUUCUACCAGUUUUUUUAGCUUUUGAUCAACUCUUUUCAUUAUUUCUAACCAUUGGAUUAAAUACUUAUAACCAGUGGGACACUCAACCCUAGGGGGCCACUCAACUCAACCGACUAAUAUUAUUCUGACCCUACAAUUUUCAUCCAAGGGUUAAAACUUAAUAGCAAAAUGAGCAUAUUUACUAUUAAUAGUAUUUCAGCCUAAUUCUAUAUAUAUAUAUAUUAUAUAUAUAUAUAUAUAGUUGAACGUAGGUGCAACUGCACGUAACAAUUAUUUUAAUUUAUUUUUAAAUCAAUAAAUUAUUUGUAAAUCAUAUUUAUUAAAAAUUUAGAAUAAAAUAUUUCUAAAUUAUAUGUUACAUUUUAUUAGAAAAUAUCUACAAUAUUAAAUUUAAUUUUAAUAUAAAAUAGAUGGAUAAAUUUGAUAUCAAAAUCAAAAAUUAAAUUUAAUUCAAUUUAAACUAAUUUUAACUUUAUAUUAAAAUAAAUGUAUAGAAGUAUUUUAACAGAUUGAACAUAAUAGUUCAUUUUUAUUUUCAAUAUUUUAACCAAUUGAUUAUAACCGUUUCGUAGAAUUGAAGUUAUAGAAGUUAUAGAUAAUAUGAAUGUUUUUUUUAGCCAAUUAAUCAUAUAUUCGUUCUUAUUUUUGAUAAUUUUUUACAAAUUAAUCAUAUAAUUUGUAUAUCAUAUUAAUUCAAAAAUAUGAUUUACAAUUUAUCAACCAAUCUAUCUUUUAAAUUAUUUCCAUUGUAAUAUAUAGAUAGUAAAUUAAUUUUAAAUUUUGAAUUGAUAUAUAGAUUUGCAGUAGAUAUUCUGACAAAAUUUUGGAUAAGCAUGAAUUUUUUUCUCUUUUAGAGAUAAAAAAUUAAAUUAAAUUUUAAUUAAAAUUAGAUUCAAAAUAAAUAUCUUUCGGUUGGCAAAUAAAUUUGGAUAAGCGUAUCUCUUUUUUUUUAAUUUUAGAGAUAAAUAGAAAUUUAAAAAUUGUUUCCUUACGUUAUUUUUUUACGUAAGGAAAAGGAAUCAAUAUUUUUCAACCAAAAAUGGGUCUGUCGACGGACCUAAAUUUGAAUACGAGCUUUUAUAUAUAUAGUAAAAUGUAUGUAAAAUGCACGUAAUAAUUAUUAGAAGAAGUUAUAAUUUUUUAAUUAUUUUUUUAUUUUAGGCCAUUUUAUAUAAUUGCACAAUAUGUAUCUAAAAAUUUAAAAUAAUAAAUCACGCUAUUAAGAAAGAUAUGCUUUAAAUGAUAAAUAAUUAACAAUAAUCUCUAAUGCAAAAAUUACUUUUGAAAUUAAAUAGAAAAAUAAAAUCGUUAGGAAAUAAAUUUUUGAAAUUAAAUAGAAAAAUAAAUCCGUUAUCUUAAAAGAAAUAUAUUUUGAAAUUAAAUAGAUAAUAUCUAAAAAAGAUAUUUUAAAAUAAAUAGACAAAUAUCUUUUAUAGGAUUUCACACCCGUAAUCUGUUAUAGAAAACUUACUUUUGAAAUUAAAUAGAAAAUUUAUAUUUUAGGAUUUUCACAUCUCUAUCUGUUAUAGAGACACUUCGUAUUAUUACUGUUUUUUUUUCUAUUUUUAUUCUUAUAUUUAAAUUUUUCAUACGGAAGAGAAAAAUGGGCGCUAAUUUUUCCGCUGAAAAAUGGUCUGUCGACAGACCCAAAUUUGAAUAUACGUGCUUUUAUUAUUAUAUAUAAUAUAUAUAUAUAUAUAUAUAUAUAUAUAUAUAUUGAGAGAGAGAGAGAGAGAAUAGGCUGGAAUACUAUUAAAUAGCAUAAAUGACAUGGUGCUAUUAAGUUUUUCCGCCCUUGGAUUAAAAAUGUACGGUUAUGAUGAUGUGGGCCCCCAAGGGUUGAGUUGGUGGUUUGGUUGAAUAGUUAUAAUCUAAUGGGUAAAAAUAAUCAAAGGGAUUAAUCUAACGGCAAAAAAUUGAUAACAGCAAUACUUCCAAGUUGGUAUGCUUAUGGAAGCACGGAGCCCUCCGUGCUUCCAAGUUGUUUUCGAUGUUCGGACUUUCGAAUCGACGAUCGGCUCCGUUAGAGUUGAUCUAGAGUAUUUGAAGUACUAGAAAAUAAAUUUUGUGAUUUUUCAAUUCAUUUGCCUAGUGAUCGGAAGGGUUCAAAAUCAAUAUUUUAACGGCCGUGGUGACCGAUUGCAAGUUUAACGGUGUAGAAAUAUCCAAAUCACAUGAAAUUUUGAUAGAAAUUUUUUAUACCAUAUAAAACAAGAUCAAUAAGUUUAAUCUAAAAUUUUAAUGUCAUAUUCAUAUAUUUUGUAAGAUUUUUAUUUUCAUCCGUUGUGUUUGAGCCACUUCGAUCGCUAGGCAAAUGAUAUCAAAAAAUCGCAAAAUUUUUUUUUUAGUAUACUUCAAACUCUAGAUCAAGUCUAACGGAGCCGAUCGUCGAUUCGAAAGUCGAACAUCGAAAACAAAAGUUGGAGCACGGAGCCUUCCGUGCUUCCAUAAAGCAUCCUAGCCGCCACUCUAUAUAUAUAAUAUAUAUAUAUAAUAUAUAUAUAUAUAUAUUAUAUAUAUAUAUAUACUAUAUAUAAAGAGAGAGAGAGAGAGAGUUUUUGCUAGAAUACUAUCGGUAGUAAACGGCUCGGUUUACUACCGAUUUGUUUUAGAUGAUAGAGCUUCCAAAUUGAUGAUCAGCACCGUUAAAUAUGAUUUAAACUAUUUAAACUAUCUGGAAAUCAAAUUUCACACAUUUUCGAUAUUGUUCUCUUGUCCAUCAAGUGACAGAAAAAUGAAUGGCUGGAAAUGAAUAUCCUUCAAAAAGUGAUGAUACAAUUUUUAUAUUUGAGAUAUAGAGUCUAAAAAUCUUAUCUUUUAAAUAGUUUAAAGAAUUUUUUUACAAAAUUUAGUUGAUUUGAACUCCUUCUAUACCGUUUAAACAAGCAAACGAUCUAUAUCGGCCAUUAAAAUUAUAGAUUUUUGUGACAAUUUGAUCGUUUGGUUAGUGAUGCAAAAACUCAUGAAAUUUGAUUUCUAGAUAAUUUAAAUGGUCUAGAUUAUGUUCAACGGUGCCGAUCGUCGAUUUGGAAGCUCUAUCAUCAAAACAAAUCGGUAGUAAACGAGCGUACUACCGAUAGUAGCCCAAUCAAUCAUAUAUAUCUAUAUAUAUAUAUAUAUAUAAUAUAUAUAUAUAUAUAUAUAGUCCGGCUACUAUACUCUUAUGAGUAUGAUUCUUUUGAUAUCAUAAGGUUGUUUUCGAUGUUCGGACUUUCGAAUCGACGAUCGGCUCCGUUAGAGUUGAUCUAGAGUAUUUGAAGUACUUCUAGAAAUUAAAUUUUGUGAUUUUUCGAUAUCAUUUGUCUUGUGAUCGAAGGGUUUCAAAAUUGAUAAUUUUUAACGGCCGUGGUGAGCCGAUAUUUGCUAGUUUAACGGUGUAGAAAUAUCGGUAUAGGUUGAAUUUUUGAUAGAAAAUUCUAUUCACUACUUAAAUAAAGAUCAAUAACUUCGAUCUUAAAUUGAAGGAUCCGAUCAUCCAUUUUUAGGAUGUCGUUCGAUUUUAACCGUUCAUUUUAUACCUGCUUGAUGGACUUUAUAAUGAUUUCGAAAAAUUACGAAAUUUAUUUUUUAGAAGUUUCAAAUACUUUAGAUUAUGUUUAACGGUGUGGUUCGUCGAUUCAAAAACCCUAAUAUCGAAAAUAACUUAUGAGCAUGAAGGGCUCUAUACUCAUAAUAGUAUAGUAGCCCUACUCUCUCUCUCUCUCUCUCUCUCUCUCUCUCUCUCUAUAUAUAUAUAUAUAUAUAUAUAUCGCCUUCAACUCUUAUUUUAUUUUGAGUUAUUUCAAUCAAUUUAUAAAUUUUAUAUUUCAUUAAACUAAUUAGUUAUUAAAUU
rnacentral:lncRNA from 1 species